rnacentral:lncRNA from 1 species
UGGAGUCCUCAAGUUGAUUUUUGAGGGAACAAGUUUACCAGUGGAAGAGACGAUUAAAGAAUUCGUCACUAACACCAUAAGGCCAGAAGGGUCGACAUCAGAAAUACAACUUAAAGAGGAGUACAAAGAGCCCUCUCAUCUCCUCGACCUCUUGCGAAGUGCUCGCCUAGGUAGGUAUAAAAAGAUUAGCAAGCAAGAACUAGGGAGUCAACCGGAACAAGAGCAGGAAGCUGGAAAAAAGGGAGAGUCGUCGUCGUCUCGAGGAAGAGAUGGAGGGUUCUGUUGCCCAUGGAAAAAAGGCAAACAACAAGGCAAUUGGCCGUCUUUUCGACACAUCAAGGAGCUUAAAGCUGCCGGGAUCCAUCUCCAACCGAGUGCAACGAGUUCCUUGACAGACAUUUAUUUCAAUUCCUACUUCUUCUAUGGCUACCUGAAACUUCCCCAAAUAAUCGUUGAUGACUCUACGAAGCCCAAGUUCUUGAACAUUGUAGCCUAUGAAAUGUGUCCAGAUGCCCCAGAUGACUAUGCGGUCACUUCUUAUGUAUGCUUCCUUUACGAGCUCAUUGAUCAUGCAGACGAUGUGAAGGAGCUGAGAUCUAAGCACAUUCUCUACAACUGUCUUGGCUGCGAUGAAGAUGUGGCCAAAAUUUUCAACGAGAUCGGCAAUGACUUGGUAGAUCCCGAUGCUUAUAAAGAAGUGAAAACUAGUAUUCAGAAACACUACGACAAGAGAGUGAAUAUUUGGAUAGCUAAAGGCCUUCACGAACAUUUCAGGUCUCCAUGGACUAUCAUCGCUUUCAUUGCUGCUGUUUUGAUACUACUUUUUACUGGGGUUUCGACCUACUACGCUCUUCCCGAUAAAUCUUCUUAUCGGGUUUCAGACCUACUUCGCUCUUCCCGCUAAAUCCAAGUGAGUCAUGGUAAUAUAUAUCUUCAAAUUGAUAAAUGGUAGUUUUUUCUAUUCAUUCUUUCAUUCGUUCAUGUACAGAGAAUAUAUAGAGGGUAAUCACCAUUCUAAGAAUGGGAAAGAAUGAUACAAGGAAAGAAUGAUAUAGGAAAUAACAAUUAAUAUUCUAAUAUCUCAACUUUCCUAAUAUCUCAAUAUUCUUAAUAUCUCAACUUUCCUAAUAUUUAAACAUUCCUAAUAUCUCAACACUAAAUAAUAUAAGGAAAGAAUGAUAUACGGAAAACAUUCCUAAUAUCUCAACACUUCCCCUCAAGUUGGUGCAUAGAUGUCACACAUGCCCAACUUGUCUAAAAAUUUUGAGAACACUUGACUUGAGACAACUUUGGUGAGGAUAUCGGCCAAUUGAUCUUCUGAUCGAAUCUUAGGCAAUUCCACAAUCUUAUCAUCCAAAUUUUCCUUAAUGAAGAAUCUAUCCACCUCGACAUGCUUUGUACGAUCAUGUUGUACUGGAUUAUGAGCAACGUCACAUGCGACUUUAUUGUCACAAAACAAUCGAAUUGGUCGCCUAGAUAAGUAACCUAAAUCCUGUAAGAGAAGUCUUAGCCAUAAUGCCUCACAAAGUCCUAGAGUCAUACCUCUAAAUUCUACUUCUGCACUUGAACGAGCGACGACAUUCUGCUUCUUACUUUUCCAUGUCACAAGAUUACCACCUACAAAGGUAAAGUAACCAGAUGUAGAUUGCCUAUCAUCCACUGCACCGGCCCAAUCAGCAUCAGUAUAUACUUCUAUACUCUGAUGAUUAACAUUUUUAGCGAACAAAAUUCCCUUCCCAGGAGCAUUCUUCAAAUACCUCAAAAUACGCAUAACUGCAUUCAUAUGUUGCUCUUCAGGAUUAUGCAUGUAUUGACUCACUACACUCAAUGCAUAAGCAAGAUCUAGUCUUGUAUGAGCUAAGUACAUUAAUCUCCCUACAAGUCUCUGGUAUCUUCCCUUAUCCGUUGAUACUUGAUUAGGCUCAACACACAAUUUCAGACCUUCUUCUAUUGGUGUAUUAACAGGUUGACAUCCCGACAUUCCAGUCUCCUGUAAAAGAUCUAAGGCAUACUUUCUUUGAGACAGAAAAAUUCCUUCACUUGAUCGAUAAACUUCAAUCCCAAGAAAGUAUUUCAGAGGACCUAGAUCUUUCAUUUCGAAUUCUUUAGAUAGAUAAUUUUGGAGAGCUUUUAUUUCUUUAGGAUCAUUUCCUGUAACUACCAUGUCAUCCACAUAUACGAUGAGUGCGAUAAUCUUACCAUGUUGCUUUUUCAGGAACAAAGUAUGAUCUGAAUUACUUUGAUGAUAGCCAAAAGCUCUCAUUGACUUUGUGAACCUUCCAAACCAUGCUCUCGGGGAUUGCUUCAACCCAUACAAUGACUUCUUCAAUUUGCACACCUUCUGACAUUGCUUUUCUGACACCAUGCAUCCUGGUGGAAGAUCCAUAUAUACUUCUUCAGAUAACUCGCCAUGCAGAAAGGCAUUUUUCACAUCGAAUUGUUGUAAUGGCCAAUCUAGUUUUGCAGCUAAAGACAGUAAUACUCGAACUGUGUUGAUCUUAGCUACAGGUGCAAAUGUCUCUGUGUAGUCAAUUCCAUAAGUUUGAGUGUACCCUUUUGCUACCAGUCUUGCUUUAAAUCGUUGAAUACUACCUUCUGCCUUGUACUUCACAGUAUAGAUCCAACGACACCCAACUGGCUUCUUUCCUGGUGGACAUUCUACGAGUUCCCAUGUUUCAUUCUUCUGCAAUGAUUUCAUCUUUUCAUUCAUGGCUGCUUUCCACCUUGGAACAGCUAAGGCUUCCUGCACACUGUUAGGAAUAGCUACAGUAGAUAAUUGAUUUACAAAUGACUUAUUUGAUUCAGACAAACGAUGGUUAGACACAUAGUUGCUCAUUGGAUAUUUGACUUUGGUAGACAAUUCAGGUUCAUAUGUAGGUUUAGGAAUACCUCUAUUAUGACGGUGUGGUAACUGUUUCAUGAAUGGAUCAGGUUCCAAAUUAAGAACACCUUCAACAGACGACGAUUGGUUUGGUAUUUCAGUAAAGACAUUUUCGAACCCAAAUUGUUGACCACUCAUAUCCAACUCACCCGCUUCUUGGUUCACUAGUUUAGAUUGUCCAGAUUCAUUCUCCUUAGAGAUAUGAUAAUCAUAAUCGAGAGUCUGAAUUUCCUUAUGGUACUCCCCCUGAAGUUCAGACUCAGAUGAAAAAUACAUCGAAUCUUCAUGAAACACCACAUCCAUUGUAAUAUACAUUUGUCGAGUUGGAGGAUGGUAACAUCGAUAUCCCUUUUUGUGCAAUGCAUAUCCAACAAACACACAUUGCAAUGCAUGGGAAGUUAAUUUGGUGCGUUGGUGUUUGUGUAGAUGCACAAAUGCCACACAACCAAAAACACGAGGAGGUAGAUUUGGGACAGUUGGGGCAACUACGAUAUUAGUAAGAGCUUAGAGAGGUGUUUGGAAGUUAAUUGAGUUAGAAGGUACCCGAUUAAUCAAGUAUGCGGCAGAUGUGAUUGCUUCUCCCCAAUAAGAUAUCGGUGUUUUUGCUGCUAUCAAGGAAGCACGAACAACCUCUAACAAGUGCCGAUUUUUUCAUUCAGCGACUCCAUUUUGCUGGGGUGUAUUGGAACAAGUAGUCUGAUGAAUGAUGCCAUGUCCUUCCAAAUACUUUUGAAGAUCAAAACUUUGAUAUUCUCCACCAUUAUCACUAUGCAGAACCCGAACCUUUGCAUUGUACUGAGUUUCAAUCAUUUUAUGAAAAUUUUGAAACAACAAGUUCACUUCAUCUUUGGUCUUCAUCAAGCAUAGCCAUGUCAUUCUGGUACAAUCAUCAAUAAAAGUAACAAACCAACGUGAGCCACUCAAAGUUGGGACUUUGGAUGGGCGGCCCCAAACAUUAGAAUGUAUAACCAUAAAAGGAAACGGACUUUUGUUCAAAAUUAACGGAAACGAAACACGAUGGCUUUUAGCCAAUUCACAAAUAUCACAAUGGAAACCAGAAAUAUCACUCUUUGCAAACAAACUAGGAAACAAUUUUUUUAAAUAACCAAAGGAAGCAUGUCCCAGACGUCGAUGCCACAACCAAAUUUCAGACUUUUUCUUCUCCCCCUCAGAUCCAUCUGCCAUCAAGGCUUGUUGCAACUUAUUUGAAUCCUUUGACUGCAAGUCCAAGUAAUAGAGUUUUCCCCGCUUAAUACCCCAACCAAUCGUCUGUCUUGUUUGGAUGUCCUUAAUCACACAAAAUUCAGGCCAAAAAAUGACAAUACAAGAUAAGGCUGCGGUGAUUUGAGAAACUGACAAAAGAUUGUAAUUUAAAGAUGGAACAACUAAGACAGAAUCCAAAUUCAAAGUAUCAGUAAGAGUUAAGGAUCAUUCCCCAAUGACUGGGGUUAUGUUACCUUUGGCUGUGGAAACAAUUUUUUGUGAGGAAGGUCUAAGGGGUGAAACCUGUCUAGAAUCAAAAGUCAUAUGAUCUGUAGCACCAGAAUCAAUUAUCCUUGCACUAUUAAUAACAGGUGUAAAAGUAUUUAAAAACUUACCACCAUGAUUUGUAGCGGCUACCAAUGUAGAGGCUUUCUCAGCAACAUUAGCCUCUGUUUUUAUUUCGGCAACAGUUGCAAUCGAGGUUUUCUUGGAAUCCUUCUUCCGUUGAUCAAGAUUAUUAUCAUUAAUAACAAAGUGUUGAUAGCCUAAACAUGAUCUAAAGGUCCAUAGUUCAAACCCUCGGUUCCUCAUUGUUUUCCUGGUCAUACCAAGAGUCGUUGCUUUGAAAUUGUGGCAUAUCCAGAUUGGUGGGAUCAAUCUUAUUGUAGUGAGUGCAUUUGAAGGUUGACUUAUCAACAUUAGGGCUUGUCUUAGGAUGGAUGAUCGCUGUCGGACUACCAUAGCGACAAAAUAUCUAGGAUUUCAGUUCCAUGGCUCUGAUACCAUCUUCAAAUUGAUAAAUGGUAGUUUUUUCCAUUCAUUCUUUCAUUCGUUCAUGUACAGAGAAUAUAUAGAGGGUAAUCACCAUUCUAAGAAUGAGAAGGAAUGAUACAAGGAAAGAAUGAUAUAGGAAAUAACAAUUAAUAUCCUAAUAUCUCAACUUUCCUAAUAUCUCAAUAUUCCUAAUAUUUCAAUAUUCUUAAUAUCUCAACUUUCCUAAUAUUUAAACAUUCCUAAUAUCUCAACACUAAAUAAUAUAAGGAAAGAAUGAUAUACUGAAAGCAUUCCUAAUAUCUCAACAAUAUAUAUGGGUUAAUUAUGAAUGUGAUGUGUUUUUUUCUUGUUUGGUGUGUAUGAUUGUUGUAUCACUGGAUUUCAUGGACGCAAUAUUAUUAGUCUUUUCCUCCCCAUGAGUUUGCUAUAAUCUAUAUAAUAUAUGUUUGAACUCACAAUUUCCAGCUACCUUCUUUGUAUUCUUUUUCAUAGACCAGCAUCAUAGAUAACAAACUAUCCACAUAGAAAAUUUUCAGUUAACGGUGUGUAAUUCCGUGGAUGGGAUUGAAUAUUCAACACACAAUUGUUUUUUCGAAUAAGAAAAUUAUGGAUAUAUUAAAAUCAUAAUUUUGAUAUAUCUAUAUAUAUAUAUAUAUAUAUAUAUAUAUAUAUAUAUAUAUAUUUAGAAAAGCAAUUAAAAACUGCAUUUUUUAAUGAAGUCUUCUGAUUUUUAUUGAUUUUUUUUUUUCAAAUUUCCAACUUUUUUAAGAAAUCUUCUAAUACUCUUGAAUUCUUCAAGAGAUUUUUAAUCUUCUAUCUCUUUAAGGCUCUAGGACAUUUCUUUAUAAAAAUACGUACAUUCAUUUGGAGAUCAACUAGGGCUCCAUUAGACCCUAUGUUGGUCUAAAUAUUCAUUUUGCGAACCUUGGGAAUGGAUUUGAGGCAUUUGCCUACCUUGAAAUGUGAUUUACAAUCCCCACACAUUAUCCUUAAGAAAAAUAUAUACAUUCUUCACAAAAAUACAUACACUUUUUUGGAGGCUAACCUUGAUCCCAUUAGAUUCUAUUUAGAUCUAAAUAUUUAUUUGGGGAUCUUUGGAAUGAAGUUAAGUCAUUUUUCUAUCUUGAAAUGUGAUUUAGAACCCCAUGUACAUCUUUAAGAAAAAUAAGUAUAUUCCUCACAAAAAUACGUAUGUUUUUUUAAAAGCCAAUCGUGACCUCAUAGGCCUUAUUUGAGUCUAAACAUUCAUUUGGGGAACCUUGGGAAUGGAUUUAAGCUCUUCGUCCACCCUAAAAUGUGAUUUGCAAUCGCACGUAUAUCUUUAAGAAAAAUAUAUACUUCUUUUAAAAAAAAAGUGUGUACAUUCUUCACAAAUAUAUAUAUAUAUAUAUAUAUAUAUAUAUAUAUAUAUAUAUAUAUAUAUAUAUAUAUAUUUGAUAGCCAACCAAGGCUCCAAUAAUCCCUGAUAAAAAUAUAUGUAUUUUUUAAAAUGAUGUAUGUAGUUUAACAAAUAUAAGAAAAAUUAAUUAAGGGGAAAUUAAUGUAAAAUAUUAAAUACAAUUUUUUUUUUUAUGAAAAAUAUAUUUUCUUUUAUAUUUUAUGUUAAUAAAAAAUUAAAGGUUUUAACAAAGCAAAAGGUUAGAACCAGAAAUUAAGUUAAAACCAUAAGAAAAAAAAAAAUAAAAGCACCAUCACUUACUAAUAUUUGAUUUGAAAAAAUAAAAAUAAAAAUAAUAAAAAUAAUAAAAUAGUGUUACAAAGAUAUUCUUACUUUCACAUGUAAUAAGAUUUAAAAAAUAAAUAAAUAUUUUAUUUGACAUUAAUAUAAAAAAUCUUAUAUCAUAAACCUCUAAAUAAUAAAAUAAAUUUUCUAAAUUUAAACCUUAAACCAUUAAAUGUAUUAUUAUAAUUAAUAUUUAAAAUCAUCAAGUAUAUUACUUUUGGGAUAAUAUUUUCAUUUUUGUUCAUUAUAUAUUUAUGUUUUUAUUUAAUUUCUUAUUAUUAGCUAUUUAUUAUAUAUUAUUAUUUUAAGUUUAAUAUAUCCAAAAAAUAAUUAAAAUCAAUAAAUACGGAGAGUGAAAAAAUUUGAAAUUAAAGAGGUUUUAUAAGAGAAUACAUGAGCAUAUUAAGAGAAAUGGUAAAAGAAAGAAAGAAAAAUAACAAUAUUUUUAAAUGUGAUAGGUGGCAAUUGAUAGGAUGGUUAAGGAUGGUAAUGAGACAGGUUUUUUCGGAUACUCGUCCUGUCCAGGCCCUAAUGGGACGGAUUUGAAAUUUAAAUAAACGGGUUUGAGAUAUUUUUAAAGCUUGAGAUAAGUUUGGGGCAAGUUCGGGUAUUAUCUUGUCCCAUCCCGUCACACCUUGAUUAUAUAUAAAAUUAAUUUUAAAAAUUAAAUUAAAUUAAUUUUUAUUUUCUUAUUUUUAAUAUAUAGAUAAUAAUAAUAAUAAAUUUUCAAUAAAUAAGUUUUAAAAAAAUUAUAAUAAUUCAAUUAUUUAUAAAAUAUAUUUAUUUUAAUGUUUUUUAGAAAUUAAAAUAAUUUUUUUAAAAGAAUUAAAAUUUUUUCAAAAAAGGGUUAAAUGGGUAAGGCGGAACGGGUAUGAGAAUUUCUCAUACCCGCCCGCAUUAUUUAAUUUUUUUAAUGGGACAACGAUGAAAGUUAUUUUGAAUAAACGAGACAAGGUUGGGAUGAGAGCUACUCAUCUUAAACAUGCCUUGUUGCCUUUCCUAGUGAAAGAGGAAAAAAAAAAAAAAAAACAAAAGCCAAAAAACAAAAAAAGGAAAAAAGUAGGAACAUGUUUUUUUCCCAAAUAGAAAACGUAAAAGUAAAGUCCAACAAUUUUUUUUUUUUUGGUUAUAUAUAUAGCAUGGUGGGGAGGGUAUAUUCCAUAUUACAUGAGACUUCCAUGGCGGGGAAGGUAUAUUUCAUAUCACAAACUUACUCAAUUGUGUUUUUCCUUUUAGGAUAUGGAAGGGCUUUCCUUAUGCCCAAGAAAUGCAUAGAUUCAAUUGAAGAAAUUGAGGAAUAUGGUUGUUCUUUUUUUUUUUUUUUUUUUUUUUUUUUUUUUUUUUUCUUUUUUUCCUUUUUUCCUUUUUUAAAAAAAGAUGAGCCAAGGUGGAACUCAGGUGGAACACAUUGGUUCCAGUCAUUUUCUUGGGCAAAGAUAUGUCCAGGAUAUGGGAAAGGGGCAUUAAAUUAAAUAUCUUUUGAAAAGUUUAUUAUAAUCAUUUCACACAAUAUAAAUUUCACUAAAUUUUUCGAACUAAGGUUCUCUGAUAAUUACUUUAUAAUAAUAAAAUUAAUUCUUACAUUACAUGUAAUAUUCAAAUUUAAAAAAUCCAAUCUCAAAUAAUUUAAUAGCUAAAUUUAAAUUUAAUUUUUGAAACUCCAAGUUUCGAAAUGUGACUUGGCAAGAAUUUAAAGUACUGAUUUUCGACUAACUUUUCACAAAUUUUGCCUAAUUAAAUAAAAUAUUAGCAUGUGAAUGUUCACUAACAUCACGUAAUUCAUUGAUUUAGAGGAUUCAAUUUGGUUGAUGUUGAGGAUAGUCAUCGGCAGUAGACUAACAUCUUCUCGACCAAUUAACAUACCAACAGUGAUUAGGCCAAAUGUGGUGAUCGAAUUCCAUGGAAAAGCAGCAAAAAGGGAGGUGCGUUGGAGAGAAGGAAGGCGGUCAACCAAGCAGGAACAGUGGAGAAAUUGGCCUCGAGCCUAAGGAGCAUAGGAAUGAAAUUAAUGAAAUCAGUCCUAGGAUGAAAAUUUGGAUUGGGUCUGUCCAAAAAGCAGAAGAAAAGACGAAACCUCACUAUCAAUGGCCAAGGAUACCGAAGGUUCCUCUGAUGCUGAGGGGGACCUGGGAUUUCGAGAAAUUCUAUGAACCAAGGGUAAUAUCAUUCGGUCCUUACCACCAUGGCAAGCCCCAACUUCACCCAGUGGAAAUGAUCAAGCCUCUUAUGUGCCAAAAAAUUCCUGGAUGACAGUAACCAGGACAUCGAAGCUUUGUACACAAAAAAUGGAAGGAAAAUCAAGGAAGUGAGGAACUGCUAUGAUUGGAGUGGUACAAACGAGUAUGAUGAUGAGGCACUCGCCUGGAUGAUGCUUCUGGAUGGGUGUUUUUUACUAUAUUUCAUUCACUGUGUAGUGAGAAGAAAUCAGAGUAAGUUGCAUGGUUUGAAUGUUAAAGAUUAUAUGAUUACUUUUGUGCACCAGGACUUGUUCUUGCUUGAGAACCAACUUCCCUUUGGAGUCCUCAAGUUGAUUUUUGAGGAAUCAGAAUUCAAUAUUGAUGGUUCACCAAUGCAAGAGAUGAUAAAAAAAUUCGUCAUUGACACCGGUAGGCCAGAAGGGUCGACAUCAGAAAUACAGAUGGAAGAGCCCUCUCAUCUCCUCGACCUCUUGCGAAGUGCUCUCCUAGGCGGGUCUAAAAAGAGUAGCAAGCAAGAAGCUCAGGGGUUCUGUUGCCCAUGGAAAAAAGGCAAACAACAGGGCAAUCGGCUGUCUUUUUGACACAUCAAGGAGCUUAAAGCUACCGGGAUCUAUCUCAAACCGAGUAGAACGAGUUCCUUGACAGACAUUUCUUUCAAUUCCAACUUCUUCUAUGGUUACAAGGAACUUCCCCCAAUAAUCAUUGAUGGCUCCACGAAGCCCACGUUCUUGAACAUGGUAGCCUAUGAAAUGAGUCCAGAUGGUCCAGAUGGCCCAGGUGGCUAUGCGGUCAGUUCUUAUAUAUGCUUCCUUGACAACCUCAUUGAUCAUGCAGACGAUGUCAAGGAGCUGAGAUCUAAGCACAUUCUCUACAACUAUCUUGGCAGCGAUAUAGAUGUGGCCCAAAUUUUCAACGAGAUUGCCAAUGACUUGGUAGACACCGAAGCUUAUGAAAGUGUGAAAGCCCGUAUUCAGGAACACUACGGCAAGAGCGUGAAUACUUGGAUAGCUGAAGCCCUUCACAACCAUUUCAGCUCUCCAUGGAUUCUCAUGGCUUUCAUUGCUGCUGUUUUGAUACUACUAGUUCCUAUGCAUUUGAUUUCAGAAUUUAAAUUGUUUUUUUCUUUUUACUUUUUCAUGAAUUAUUAUAAACUUUUGAUCGAAUAGAAAAAACCAAAAUAUUUGACUUUUUCUAAAUGGAAAAAGUAACAUAUUGGUUUUUCUUUACUAUUUUAAUGUUUGAUAGAUGAUCUGCACCCAUCGAGUUAAUCAAUUCAAAAAGUGUUGUUCAACAGUGUUGGAAAAUCAUCUAAUCCUGUCUCCUUGUAGAACAACUUGAACAAAAAUUUAUUGCUUACAGUUAGCAACCAUUGUGGGGCAUCCUGGCUGCCCAAACACACAUUUUCUGUUGGAAUGUGAUGCAUCAGAGACAACACUUCUUUAAUUCCUUCCCAAUCAUGGGAGUCUCUAAUAAAAUUAGGAUUCCGAAGCUCUGCAUCCUCGUCCUGUACAGAAUGGUCUGCCACACAUGCCUCCUCAUUCACCAGAAUUAUAAACUAAUUUAGGAACCUCAUCUUAAGAGAUCCACCCAUAGACCAAACAUCUUAACCAUAAAUCACAUUUGAGUCCUUUCUAUGAUUUUAUUGGAAACUUUAUAGCCUCAACAACACAUAACCAUUUGUAAAUCAAGCCCUUCACUAUUGCCCCAGUCAACAUCUUAUUCAGCCUCAACAUUAUGCUAAUAGCACCUUCAACUACAAUUUCGACAAUGCCACUCCUUACUGGUGUGGUUGUAGUCUUUUGUGCACAUGACCAGUUGUAACUUUUCUCUAACUACUGAGCAUUUCUAUCACAAAGGAUUUAUUGAUUUAACAUCCUGUUGAAAAAACUUCUCCUUCAGUCGAGGUAUGCAUAGAUCAUACAUAAUCCCACAUUCCACAAACACCUUUCCACUUCAUUCCUUCCAUUCUAAUAUUAAUGCACAAAGAAGUUGCAUGCAGAACAGAGAAUCUAAAUGUCAGAGGGUCUACCUGAUCAUCAACCUUCAUAUGCUUUUAGAACAGAUUGGCAUCAGGGCAUUCUCUAGUCAAUGGUCGUAAGCCCCUACCAUAGCACAAAGUAUUUUUAAGCGGCAAGGUACUCAAGAGAAAGUAAAGAAAAAGAAAAGGAGAAAAGAAAAAGGACAGAACAAUAGGUUCCUUAUUAUUUGUACACUUCCAUUAUUAUAUAUCACAAUGUUGCUUGGUGUUUAGCAAUAGUAUUCCCACCAGCAUCUUGAGUCUGCCAGGGAGAAAUAAACGUACUCGGGUCUAGAACUUACAAAGCUCCCAACUUGCUAGUGGAAACUGGUAUAGAACCAACCAAAUUAUUUCUGUAUCCUAUGAAGAUUUGAAAAUUAUAUAAUCUUCCUAUGUCAGAAGGGAUGACACCAUUGUGAUUGUUGUCAACAAUGCCCAGCAUCAGCAAGCCAGUGCAGUUACAAAUGCUUUCAGGAAUGACACCUUCCAAAAAGUUAAGUCCAGAACCUAGAAAUGCAAGAUUUCCAAGGAAUGUUGAACAAUUCUACAUGGAAUGGUACAACACUAGUUGCUUCAUAGUGCCAAGAUUAUGGGGGAUGCCCUCAUUGGAGCCAACUAUUGGAACAAAUUAGCAUGCUAUUGACAACUACUCCACUGUGUUGCCUGCAAAUUAAAUUUUCCAUUGGUGGUCUUCUUCCACAUAUCUGGUGCCACACAGCUCUUGAUAUAGCAAGGAUUGCUCUAGACUUGAUGAGUACCUCAAAAAAUGCCAAGGAAAGUACAGUGAUUAAUCUAACAUGCUUUAAGUCAGAGGCUCUUCCUCCCAUCCAUGACCAGGGAGUCUCUUUGAUUUCAACCUUUUUAACACUCAAUAUUAGUUUUCAAUAUUUGUUUCAUCUUAUAGUAUAGAGUUACUGAAACAGAGUAACUUGCUUCAAACAUAUUCUUAAGAGACUCACAGGCGAAGACGGCACAAACCUAGAUUACCUCAAAGUGUUGGAUCCCUGCCUGUAUGCAAACACCCCUUCAUAAUAUAAGAUCUAUCCAACUAAGCACCAAAAAUCCAUAUUCCUAUACAUGACCAAAAUAGUAAAGCUAAUCCAUACAUUUUUAGGCACAUAUAUCAGGUAAAUAAGAACUAAGAAUCAAAAGAAUAAACCUAAACUAGAUGAUUCAACAGGACGUAAUUCAGAAGUGAUAUUUCACGAAAUGUGAUUUAGAGAAUUAAUACCCUGAAGGUGGUAGGCCAAACUUAGGUUCUGCAUAAAGGGAUACACCAAAAGACAUUCUGUUGGUCUUGUGUCUGGAAAGCUGCAUCUCCACCAGGACUUUCAUAAUCUAUUAAUUGUUUCACUGCAACUUUGGUGUUAUUUGCAAGCACUCCCUUAUGAACUUUUCCAAAGCAUCCCUGUCCAUGAACAUUUUUCUCACUAAAAUUGUCUAUAGCUAGCUGUAACUCCCUCCAUGCAAAUCUUCUCAAUUGGCCAAAUGCAAUUCUUUGGUCAACUUCACCUGAAAACAGAUGGAAAGAUGUCUAGAAAGAAAAUUUCCAAGAGAAUCAAAUUUUGCAUCAAAUCCUUAAAAUCUGUCCAAGUAUUUAAAAGAGAUAAAAGCAUAGUUCUUUUCAAUACAGAACUAUGGCAUGAUCUGUAAAUCUCUUCAAACUUUUUGUACUUGUAGGCAUCCCAAGAUAACAUCCAAUUGAGAACAAGCCUUUGAAAAUCUAACAAAAACUUGCUUUGAUGCUAUUAUCACCUAAAAAAGAAGAAGAAGAAAGCAUUGUAGCCAUUGCACAGAACCAGUCCCAUUCAUAAGGGUGGACGGGUGACACACCCAACCUUCACCAUUUUUUGCAUGAUUUGGUCAUACAUAAAGCAAUCAAUAUAUACUUGGUUAAACAUCAAGCUUAAUUUUAGCCUAAUCAAUUGACUAAAGCUGCAAUUACACUUAAGUUUAAACUACCAAAAGUUCACCCAUUUUCACAACAUUAAAAUUAAGCUAAAAUUACAGUGAAAGUGAUAGAACUUCAAGCCAAAAUUUAGGUGGAGAAAUGAAUUUAAUUUGUCUCAAGAGCUGAAUUACAAUGAAGUCAAUAAAUAAUAUUAUCUUCUUCGGUUCAUGAACACCAAACUGAAAUUACAACAAAAUUGAAAUCAACAUUUUGCAUCAAAUUAACCUAAUUUCACUCAUCUUUUAUCUUAAACUAAAAUACAUCUUGUAGCACUCAGUGAUCAAAGCCUGUUUUUCUUCCCCCUUACUUCCUGUUUAGACAUGGAGAGGUGAAACAAACUUUGAGAUAUUCAAUGAUUCAACAAAGCUUUAAUCAAAUACUAAACUGCUUGCUUUGAUGGAAGAGUUAGUUUCAUGAGGGAUGUGCCCAUCUUCCUUGAAGCUUGUACCUAUGCACUUACGAUUGGUAAAAGCCAGGCACCAUAAACAUAAGAGUUUUUGAAUUUUUAAGGGAAAAUCAUGCUUUCAAACACUAAUAAAAAAAGUACAUCUGUUCCUAGGGGAACUAGAACCCCUAUAUCCCCAAUCAUGAUCUAUAUAUUCCUUUGGGAACCCUCAAUAAGUGAUUACAGGUCCUCCUUAUUCCCAAAAUGAACUUUGGAACCUCAAGUACAUCCUUAAAAAAAAUAAGUACAUCUGUUUCUAAGGAAACCGAGACUCCUAUCCCCCUUAUAAUGGUCUAUCUAUUCCUUUGAGGACUCUCGAGAAUUGAUUAUAGGUCAUCCCCAUACCAAAACGGACUUUGGAACCCCAAAUACAUCUUUAAGAAAAAUAAGUACAUUUGUUUUUAGGGGAACCAAGACCCCUAUCUCUUUUAUCCUGGUCUAUAUAUUCCUUUGGGAGCCUUCUAGAAGUGAUUGGAAGCCCUCCCCUUCCCCAAAAUGGAAUUUGGAAUUUUAAGUACAUCAUUAAAACAAAUAAGUACAUCCUUAAGAAAAUUAAGUACAUCUAUUCCUAGGCAAACUAGGGUCCUAUCUCCCUUAUCAUGCUCUAUAUAUUCCUUUGGGUACUCUUUGGAAGUGAUCGGAGGUUCUCCCUAUCCUUAAAAUGGAAUUUGGAACCCCAAGUACAUCCUUAAGAAAAAUAAGUACAUUUGUUCCUAUGGGAAUCGAGACCCCUAUCUCUUUUAUCAUGGUCUAUAUAUUCCUUUGAGGACCCUUAGGAAUUGAUUGGAGGUCCUUCCUAUCCUUGAAAUGAACUUUGGAACCCUAAGUACAUCCUUAAGAAAAGUAAGUACCUCUAUUCCUAGGAAAAUCAAGACCUUUGUCUCAUUUAUCAUGGUUUCCAUAGAUUUCUUUGGGGACCCUUGGGAACUAAUUGGAGGUCCUCUCCAUUCUUGAAACGGACUUUAGAACCCCAGAUAUAUCCUUAAGAAAAAUAAGUACAUUUAUUCCUAAGAGAAUUGAGAUUCUUAUCUCCCUCAUCAUGGUUCAUAUAUUCUUUUAAUGACCCUCUAGAAGUGAUUUGAAGUCGUCUCUCACCCUGAAAUGGAUUUUGGAACCCUAAGUACACCCUUAAAAAAAAUAAGUACAUCCUUAAGGUUAAGGAAAUGCAUAUUGUUAGGAUAUGUAGAUGGAGUGAAAAUGUACAAGUUAUGGUGCUUAGAUUCAAAAUUCUCUAAUUUAUAAUUAACAGGGAUGUGGCUUUUAACGAGUAUGAAAUGUUGAGUCCAAGAAAGGAGCAACUUCAUGUAGAAAACAACCCUAGUAUGAGAGAAAAUGUGGAGUUUGUGCCUAACAUAGAAAAAACGAUUUCAAAAAAGCCAAAUGAGGAAGAAGUGCAACAUCUUGAUGAUAAAGAAAAGACAUCACAAUAGCAACAAUAUUAUUUGGCUAGAGAUAGAACGAGGAGGCAAAUUAAACCACCACAAAGGUAUGCUUAUGUAGAUUUGGUUACUUAUGCACUUGGUGUGGCAAAGAACAUUGAAAAAGAGGAAUUUCAAACUUAUCACUAGUAGAGAGUCUACACAAUAGAUUGUUGCCAUGAAUGAGGAAAUUGAAUCUCUUCAAAAGAAUCAUACUUGGAAACUAGUUGAGAAGCCUAAAAAUCAAAAGAUUGUUGGUUGCAAAUAGGUCUUCAAAAGAAAUUAAGGGAAGGAAUUUCAAGAGUAAGGAUGACAAGUUUAAAGCAUGCUUAGUGGCAAAGGGUUACACACAAAAGAAAGGAGUGGACUUCAAUAAAGUUGUCUCCAGUUGUGAAGCAUAGCUCAAUCAAAGUGUUACUUGCUAUGGUUGCUUUAUUUAAUUUAGAUUUAGAGCAACUUUAUGUCAUGACUGUUUUUCUACAUGGUAAGUUGGAAGAAUAGAUUUAUAUGAAUUAACCCGAGGAAUUCAUUAUUUCAAAAAAGACCAUGUUUGUUUGUUGAAGAAAUCUCUUUAUGGCUUGAAGCAAUCUCUUAAGCAAUGGUAUAAAAGGUUUGAUACUUUUAUUAUUGGCAAUGGCAACCAUAAGAGUGAGUAUGAUAAUUAUGUUUAUCACAAGGAAUUGUUUGAUGGUUCUUUCAUUUAUUUAUUGUUAUAUGUUAAUGACAUGUUAAUUUCCUGCAAGAAUAUGUUUGAUAUUAACAAGUUGAAAACUCAACUCUAAGGAGAGUUUGAAAUGAAAGACCUUAGAGUUGUGAAGAAAAUAUUAGGUAUGGAUAUUCAUAGAGACCAAAAAGUAGGGGAAUUGUACUUUUCACAAAAAAGUACAUUGAGAAAGUGUUAAAAUGCUUUGGAAUGCAAGGGUCAAAACCUAUGAAUACUCCAUUAGCAACUCCAAACUUUCAAGUGCUUUUGUUGGGAACCCUAUAUUACUUCGUUCCCAUGCCCUAGAUCUCAUAGGGUGCAUGCAUUUAUCCCUAGACAUCUCUAAACCUACUGUAGCGAAAAACUAAGUAUUCAAAAACCAAUAUUGAUACCAUAGAAAUCUUAGAUCUAGAGAAAAAAAAUCACAUACCUUUGAUUCAAAUGUUCUUGAAUUGAUUCCUAUUGAUGUAGAUAAGUCCAAAGUCAUAAUGGAUCUUGUAACACCAUGAUCUUCCGCCCGAUAACUCUUUAUUGUGUCUAGGCACUGAAAUGGUUGACAUCUUAAGGGUGGAGGUUAGACUUCUCUCUUUGGACUAUAUGGAGAAAAUGGCAAGACAUGGAAACCCUAACCCUUAACGGGUAUUUAUAGGCUUCUUAGUAAGCUUAAGUGACUUAAGCCCACCCAAAAAGGUUGCUAAUUAAUUAAUUAGUUAACAAUACAAGAUCCUAAUUAACCAAUUAGCUUAGUUAAGAGAUAUCACUAACUUAUCACCAUGCAACCUUGCAUAAUCACUAAAAUAUCCUUAUGCACAAAAAUGAACUAAAAACCUUUCCAACCCUCAUAAACUAUACCAUCAAGGAAUAUGAGCUCAAAGUAGGGACCACUAGGACCCAUAGGAGUACUAGCUCCCUUAGAAUAAAAUUCUAAAAUUGACUCAACAUCUCACUAUAGAAAGUCAACUGCACUCUAGUACCUUAUGUGUAUUACAACGAGACACCAAGUGCUCGGGUUCGUGACCUACAAUCUACUACAUGCAAACUCUCCAUGAACUGGUGUUUGUAGUCUAACAAAGUAGUGCUAUCACUUAUUAAGAUUAUCUCUCAAAUCCUUAAGUUAUAGAUUCCAUUUUUUUUAUGUGAUCAAAUGACAUACUCUAGCUCAAAGAAGGAUUUGUCAAAUUCCACUAAAUGAAUUAUUGUGGCCACAUAUUUCAUGAUUACAUAUCCUUUAGAUCACCCAAGGAGACGCGCUGUCUCAAUCCCAUGAGAUAUCAUGGUGCCUCUAUUGAGAAUACUUGUUGCCACCAACCUCCAUCAACAAUGACCCAAUCCAUGGGGAUAUGUGACCACUUUAGGGUCUCAUCCAUAAGUUAAAGUCUCUUAUUGAUUUCAACAUAUGCUUAAUAUUCUCUCAAGGUUGAGAGUCCAUGUAGUAUAGUCACUUAGUUAAUCAUAAAAUUUGAUAGUCUUGCAUCAUGAUUCAUCGUAGGUCCUAUCCAGUGUGCACCACAUAUACUAGCGUACUCACCAUAGGAAUCCCAUCCUAACGACCUAGAUAAGCAAUCCCUCCGAUUAGGAGGUGGUGCACUAUAGUCUCUACUAGAUUGUCCAAAUCCAUGAACCAAUUGUGGACAACUUAUCUAUUUAUAAGAAACCCAUGACUUGUAACUUUUGUGCAACUCCUAAUAUACCAAAGUCAUGUACAAUGUAAGAGACAUGUGUUGAAUGUUCAAAUCAAUAUUAAUACACCAAAAGGAUAGCAAGAGGAUGGUUAAGUCUGACUUUGUUACAUUAUGUUAUGCUUUUAAGGGCUCAAUCCCAACAACUUUAUCACCAUAGAUCAAAGAAGAAAUGGAGCACAUGUCACAUGUUCCUUAUGCUAGUGUAGUUGGGAACAUUAUGUAUGUCAUGGUUUGCACUAGGCUAGACAUUUCACAUGUAGUUAGUGUGGUGAGUAGAUAUAUGGAUCACUCUCGAAAGAUCCAUUGGCAAGCAGUGAACAAAUAUUUCGAUAUUUGAGAGAAACAUCACAUGUUGGCUUAACAUAUGAUAAAAGUAGUGACAUCUCUGAGAAAAUUGUUGGUUAUGUUGAUUCUAAUUAUGCUAGAGAUUUGGGGAAAAGAAGAUCUCAAACAAUUUGUGGUAGUGUUAUUAGUUGGAAAGAACCUUUGCAAUUUAUAGUUGCUUUAUCAACCACUGAAGUAGAAUACAUGGCGGUCAUAGAAGCGGUGAAAGAAGUUAUUUGCCUUAAGGGCUUGGUUGGAGAUUUAAGCUUACAAUAGGAGUUGAUUGUUGUGUAUUAUGAUAGCCAAAGUACCAUACAUUUGACUAAAAAUCAAAUGUUCCAUAAGAGGAGCAAACAUAUUGAUGUCAAUGCAUUUUAUUAUGGAUGUGAUCGCAAAGGGUGCUAUUGCAAUGAAAAAAAAAUCCCUAUAGUGGAGAAUCUUGCAGAUAUGAUGACUAAGUUCGUUUUUACAGUUAAAUUCAGGUAUUACUUGGACUUAAUUGAUGUUAAUAGUAUCUAAAGACUCCUUUAGGGUGUGGGAGUGAAGAAACAUGGAAGACUUUCGAGUUUGUUUGAAUCUUGAGAAUUUGAGCCAAGGUGGAGAUUAUUGAAAAGUGUCUCAGAUUCUAUUUUUGAGUCAAUUGGAAAGUUAUAGAUAGUUUCCUAAUAAAAAAAUAUUCUUGUAAGUGGGUUUCCUAUUAUUAUAGAGGAAAUAUUCUUUUAGGAAAAAACAUUUUUGAUAAUUAUACACUUAGUUUCCUAUAUAGAAUCUUUCUAUGUAAUUAGAGAAAUAUGUAUAAAAAGAUAUUUUGACCAAAAUAGUGGAAGUUUUUUUUUUGGGUAUAAUUGGGACUUUGGGAUUUGAAAGCUCUAAGAUUGUAAUAUCCUUCAAUAAUAAUGGAAAUUAUUUUUUAUCUUCACCUGUGGAUGUAGGUUUGAGGUCGAACCACAUAAAUUGUUAUGUACUUUGUGUGUUUUGUUUUUGUUAGGAAUUUGAGGCUAAUCCAAACUAUGGUAAUCACCUUGGGGGGGGGGGGGGGGGGAUAAAUAGGGUGAUGGUCUCUUUUUCACAAAUUUAAACUAUGCAAAAAUAAGAGUCAAUUAUAUGCAAAUAUAUAAUAAACAAAAUAAACACAAUUGCAUAUAAUUUAAAAGAGUUAGGGAAGAGAGAGUGCAAACAUGAGAGUUUAUAGUGGUUCGGUACUUCCUUGCCUACAUCCACUCUCCUCAACCUCCUAAUCGAGUGAGGGUUCCACUAUCUUGAAGCUUCAACCAAGUUUCCAAUCUCUUUACAAUUGGAUUAUGGUUCCAAUUCACCCUCUUGGACUUUUGGCUCCAAGCACCCUUUACACUUCUUCAAGAGAUAUCCCUCUCUUGAAUAACCUCUCAAGUGAUACCCCUCACUUGAGAAAAUCCCUCACAAAGAUAUACAAAUAAUGAUCUCACAAAAAUCCUAGUAAUAGAACUUUAGGCUCAAAGAUACAAGAAAAACUAGGAUUGAAUGGUGCACUAAAGAUAUGCAAGUUAUGAAACAAUGGUGCACUCAAAAACACUCUUCCAAGGCUCAAAUAUAAUCAAGAAUGAUUUGGAAAGGUUAAGCUCUUGAAACAAUGAAGAUUGGAGCCUUUUUAUAGAAGAGAAAAUCCAAACUAGCCGUUUGGGGGUUCGUCCGGUCGAGCUAUGGGUCGACUGGUUGACUAGCCAUUAGCAUUAAAUGCUUGGCAGGUGACCGUUGGGCCUUAGCCGGACCUCGACCGGGAAGAGAGUUACCUUGAUCGGGAAAAGAAGGCCACUAGGAGAGAGAGAAACUUUUGGCCUCCCUCGACCGGUACUCGACCGGACGAGCACAACUGGUUGACCGGUUCCUCGACCAGUUGAACUGGUUGAGCCAUUUUUUGGCUCAACACCCAACCCUUUUCAACUUAAAACCUCUUAACACAAGUUUGAAAAUUAUUUAACACAAGGUUUUAGUUGAAAACAUGAAAUCAUCCAAUUUUAAAGAUAUUUAAAACAAUAUUACUCUUGGAUGAUUUUGGUGCAUAAAUAAAGAAUGAAAUGCAUGAAAGUCCUAGUGCACCAACAACCUUACAAAGAGAUCUUAAGAAGUUUUGGUCUUGAAAAACUCUUCUCUUUGAGGUGGUCUUCUUCUUCGUGAUUUCUCCUUGGCUUGAUUUGUCUUUGGAUUGACACUUUGGAAGUCGUCUUGCCUAAUCACACUUGAAAUAUAAUCAUUAGUUCUAAACCUUGUUUUGUUAUCAUCAAAAUCAAGAUUAACCAAACCUUGGUUUCACAGUUUUCAUUUUUUUUUUCUCCCUAUUAUUAUUACUAUUAUUAUUAUAUAUACACCCAUGUGACUUGCAUGGUGGAAAGAGAAUAUUUCAUAUUCCAGGCAAGAAGCAAAGGUUACUCAAUUGUGUUUUUCCUUUUAGAAUGCAGAAGGGGUUUCCUUAUACUGAAGAAAUGCAUAGAUUCAAUUGAAAAAAUUGAGAAAUAUGGUUGUUCUUUUUCUUUUUCUUUUUCUAAAUCAUAGAUGAGCCAAGAUGAAACCCAUGUGGAACACAUUGGUUCCAGGCAUUUUCUUGGACAAAGAUAUGUCCAAAAUAUGGGAAAAUGACAUUUUAAAAUUAAAAAUGAUUUUAAAUUUUAAAUUUCUUUUUUUAUAUGUUUAAAAGCUUUUCAACUAGUAGAUUCGAAUUAUAACUUCCAAUUUAAUCGAAGAUUAAAAAUUACAAUAAUGAGAUUCUCAAUUCUUCAAAAUGAAAUUAAUUUAAUCCAUUUCCUUUGUAAAUUAUACCUCAAUUCAAUCAACCUUUCAAAAAUUAAAUUUACUUAAUGAUAAUAUUCAUAUUUAAUCAAUUUACCUUUUUGUGUAAAUUCCUAAAUUUAUAUAACAUAAUUUAAUCUUAAUUUUAUUUUGAUUCAAUUUUGUUUCACGUUUUAUAAUUUUAUAAGGUUGAAUUCUAAUAAUAAUUAAAAAUUAAAUUGAUUUGUUAUAAUAUUAAAUUAAAUAUCUUUUGAAAAUUUUAUUAUAACUAUUUGACAUAAUACAAAUUUCACCAAAAUUUUUAAUUAACUUUCUCUAAUGAUUACUUUAUAAUAAUAAAAUUAAUUAUUACAAUACAUGUAAUAUUCAAAUUUCAAAAAUUCAAGCUCAAAUAAUUUAAAUUUAAUUUUGAAGUUCCUAAUUUCCAAAUGUGACUCUCGACAAGAAUUUAAACUAACUUUCGACUAUUUUUUCACAAAUUUCACCUAAUUAAAUAAUAUAUUGACACGUGAAUGUUCACUAACGACACGUGAUCACGAUUCAUUUUGGUUGAUGUUCAGGAUGGUCAUCGGCAGUAGACUAACAUCUUCUGGACCAAUUAACAUACCAGCAGUGAUUAGGCCAAGGUGGUGAUCCAAUUCCAUGGAAGGGCAGCAAGAAAGGAGGAACGUUGGAGAGAAAGAAGGCGGCCAACCAAGCAGGAACAGUGGUCAAACUGGCCCCGAGUCGAAGGAGCGUAGGAUUGACAUUGUUGAAAUCAGUCAUAAGGUGAAAAAUUGGAUUGAGUCUCUCAAAAAAUGCAGAAGAAAAGACUCAAUCUCAAAGUCAAUGGCCAAGGACACCAAAGGUUCCUCACAUGCUGAGGGGGACCCAGGAUUUCAACAAAUCUACGAACCGAGGGUAAUUUCAAUCAGCCCUUACCACCAUGGCAAGCCCCACCUUCACCCAGGGGAAAUGAUCAAGCCUCUAUGUGCCCCAAACUUCCUGGAUGAUAGUAAGCAGGACAUCGAAGCUUUGUACACAAAAUUGAAAGUAAUAUGAGGCAGUGAAAAAGUGCUAUGAUUGGAGUAGUACAAACGAGUAUGAUGAUGAGGCGCUCGCCUGGAUGAUGCUUCUGGAUGGGUGUUUUUUACUACAGUUCAUCCGCAGCAAAGAAUACGACAGUAAAGUCGAUAUGAGUAACGUUCAUAGAAAUCACCAAAUAAAUUUUGUGGUGCAGGACUUGUUCUUGCUGGAGAACCAACUUCCCUGUGGAAUCCUCAAGUUGAUUUUUGAGGGAGCAAAAUUCAAUGAUGGUUCACCAAUGAAAAAAAAGAUAAAAAAAAUUCGUCACUAACACCGCAAGGCCAGAAGGGACAUCAGAAAAAGAGGUGGAAGAGUUGGACGAAGAGCCCUCUCAUCUCCUCGACCUUUUGCGAAGUGCUCUCCUAGGCGGGUCUAAAUAGAUUAGAAAGCAAGAAGCUCAGGGGUUCUGUUGCCCCGAUUGGCCGUCUUUUCGACACAUCAAGGAGCUUAAAGCUGCCGGGAUCCAUCUCAAACGGAGUAGAACCAGUUUCUUGAGAGACGUUUCUUUCAAUUCCUACUUCUUCUAUGGCUGCCUGAAUCUUCCCCCAAUAAUCGUUGAUGACUUCACGAAGCCCAUGUUCUUGAACAUUGUAGCCUACGAAAUGUGUCCAGAUGCCCCAGAUGACUAUGCGGUCACUUCUUAUAUAUGCUUCCUUUACGACAUCAUUGAUCAUGCAGACGAUGUCAAGGAGCUGAGAUCUAAGCACAUUCUCUCCAACCUUCUUGGCAGCGAUGAAAAUGUGGCCUAACUUUUCAACGAGAUCGGCAAUGACUUGGUAGAUCCCAAAGCUUAUCAAGAUGUGAAAGAUCGUAUUCAGGAACACUACAACAAGAGAAUGAAUACUUGGAUAGCUUAAGCCCUUCACGACCAUUUCAGUACUCCAUGGACUAUCAUCGCUUUCAUUGCUGCUGUUUUGAUACUAUUUCUUACUGGGGUUCAGACCUACUACGCAAUUCCCGGUAAUUAAUAUAUAUAUAUAUAUUGGGUUAAUUAUGUCUGUUGUGUGUUUUUUUCUUGUUUGGUGUGUAUGAUUAGAGAAAUAAAGAUGUAUAGAUUGUUAAGUUGUAUGACUGGAUUUCAUGGAUGCAAUAUUAUUAGUCUUUUCCUUCCCAUGAGUUUGCUAUCUAUAAUAUCUGUUUGAACUCACAAUUUCCAGCUACCUUCUUUGUAUUCUUUUUCAUAGACCAGGAUCAUACAUAACACAACCACAUAGAAAAUUUUGCGAUUGAAUAUUGCACACAAUUUUUUUUUGAACGAGAAAAUUGUGGAUAAAAUCAUAAUUUUCAUAUAUUUAUAGAUUGAGGGAACAAUCUUAAUUAUGCCCUUUGAUUUUUUAUUUUUUAUUUAUAAAAGAUAAAAAUAUCUUUUUAGGCAAUUUAAAUGCUUAAUUUUGAAUCAAACGAGAUUUCAUUAAUAAAUAUGACAUUUUUAAAUGAAGUCUUCCAAUCUUCAUUGAAAGAAUCUUCAAGUUUUCAACUUCUUUAAGAAAUCUUCAAAUACUUUUCAACUCUUCAAGAUAUUUUUAAUCUUCUUGAAUUCUUUUUAAGAGCUCUAGGGCUUUUCUUUAGUCUUCUGCCAAAAUACAUCACUGAAUGAAGGAGAGAACAAAGGCAUUUUUCAUUCAUCACUGAACUUGUUUGAAAAGAAAAACACACACACACAGAUGGAGUUAGAAAUGAAAGUGGAGAAAAGCACUCGACAGUUUUGCAUACUGCAUGAUAGAACUCGUUGAAAUUGUUUAUAUCCCUGGCACUAAAAUACAUCUUGUAGCACUUAGUGAUCAAAGCCUGUUUUUCCUCCUCACUUCCUGUUCAGACAUGGAGAAGUGAAACAAACUUUGAGAUAUUCAUUGAUUCAACAAAGCUUUAAUCAAAUACUAAACUGCUUGCUUUGAUGGAAGGGCAGAGAUGAUGGUACCAGGAAUUAGUUUCAUGAGAGAUGCGCCCAUCUUCCUCCAAGCUUGUACCUAUGCGCUUGCGAUUGGUAAAAGCCAGGCACCAUAAACAUAAGAGUUUUUGAAUUUUUAUGGGAAAAUCAUGCUUUCAUACACUAAUUAAUAAUAAUAAAAAAAUUCUCCAUAUUUAAAAAAAAUAUAUAUAUAUCAAGACCACUGUAGUUUUCCUUUUAAAACUUUUUUAAUUUCAAUUUUUUAAUGUUUUAUCUUUUCAUAUUUAUUGGUUUCAAUCAUUAUAUUGAACACAUUAAACACAAAAUGAUAACAUUAUUGAGAACAAAUAAAAUAUAACCUAAAAUACAAUAGACAAACAAUUGAAGUUUCUUAGUAAUAUCUAAUUUAUAAUUUUCAAGAAUAGAAGAGCGAGUAUAUGAAUACUCUUGAGAAAAAAAUUAUUAUUUUAUUAAAAAAAACAAGUACUUUUAUUGUUCUUUAUGAUUAAAAAAUAAUAUUUUAUUUUCCUCCAUUUUUUUUAAUAUAAUCUAUUAAAUUAUAUUUGUUGUUGUCAAAUUUCUUUGUAUUAUUAUUAUUUUAAAAUUUGCAAGUCAUGCAAAUUUGUCAUAAUCUCAUAACAAUAAUUAACAUACAUGUUAGAUAUAAUUUCUAAGUUUUUUAUGUUCGAUAUAGAAAUUUUUUUAUGUUGCAUAAUAUAUUUUUAUUUAAUAUAAUAAAUUUAGAAGUAAUAUAUUAAUAAAGUUGAUCAUACACCUUCAUGAAAUAAAAUAUUCAAAGAAUAUUAAAAUUUAGAUGAUCCUGUCACUAUAUCCAAUUAUGUAGGAAAAAUGUGUACAAUCUUCAUCAAAAUAUAUAGGUACAUUCUUUUAGGGGGAAUCGGGACACUCACACUUGUUAUGUCCUAAAUAGUCAUUUGGGAGACCUCGAGGAAUGAUUUAUGACCUUACCCCAACUAGAAAUCAAAUUUUGAACCUUAUACACAUCUAAAAGAAAACUACAUACAUUCUUUUUAGGGUGAAUUGGGACCCCAACCACUCUUAUUACAUCCUAAAUAGUCAUUUGGGGGACCUCGAGAAGCGAUUUGAUUCCCCCACCCCAAAAUUAAAUUUGGAACCCCAUAUAUAUCCUUAAUAUAUGUAUACACACACACACACACAUAAUUAAAAAAAUACGUAUAUGUUUUAUAAAAAUAUAUGCAUUUUUUGAAGGGUGAACCGGGACCCCAAUCACACUUACUAUGUCCUAAAUAGUAAUUUAGGGACCUCGAGGAGUCAUUUGUAACCUUCUCUCACCUCGAAAUCAGAUUUGGAAUGUCACAUAUAUUCUUCACAAAAAUACAUACAUUUUUUUAGAGUGAAUCCCAAUCACCCUUAUUAUGACCUAUAUAUUCCUUUAGGGACCAUCAGGAAGUGAUUUGAGGUAUUCCCCCACCCCAAAAAGGAUAUUGCAACCCCAUAUACAUCCUUAAGAAAAAUAAGUACAUUUGUUCCUAAGGGAACUAGGACUCCUAUGUCCCUUAUCAAUGUCUAUAUAUUCUUUUGAAAACCCUCGAGAACUGAUUGAAGGUCCACCCCAUCCCCGAAACGGACUUUGGAACCUUAAGUACAUCCUUAAUAAAAAUAAGUACAUAUGCUCCUAGGGAUAUUGAGACCCUUAUCUCCAUUAUCAUGGUCUAUAUAUUCUUUUAGGGACCUUUGGAAAGUGAUUGGAUAUCUCAUAAACUCGUAUACCUCUUAAGAAAAAGAGGUGUUACAUAGUCUAUAGGACAUAUCCCCAAAAGAAUAUGAGAAAAGAUGAAAAACCUUUCCACGAUCUCACUUAGUCCUUCAAAGUUUGAUAUCUUUUUUCCAUCUUUCCAUUUUGCAAUGGAGACUCUAGUGCACAUAACUAGGAAAUAAUCUCAUGCUCCAACAAAGAGAAUCAAACUUACUAGACAUAUCACCCUGAUAUAAUCAAAGUGCCUUGAUAUCCGACUCCACCUUAAAUUCAAUGAAUUUAUCCCAGUUAUCAAAUUCUUAUACACAUAUUCAAACCUAGACUAAUCAUCACUAAAAAGUGAUGAAGUACACAUACCCUCCCCAUGCAUGAAUACUAAAAGAUCCAUGCAUGUUAGUAUGCACUAACUCCAAACAUUCCUUGGCUCUAAUCCUCUUGGCCAUUUUACCAUCUAUAUAAAAUUCACAAACUAGAAGAUCCUUUGAAUAAAAAAGUCCAAACCUAACUAGUCUUUAAAUCCUACUCAAAUUGAUAUGACCUAGGUCUUUAUACCAAAUGUUUGAUUAGUGCUAAGUUCAAUCUUAAGAUCUAACUAUUCUCAUCAUUUGCCAAAAUGAUAAUGAAAUACAUAUAAAAAAAAAAAAAUUGGAAGAUAUUACAUUCCACUGACCUGCACAACUAACUUUGCAAUUGAAGUUAAGGUAAAUAUAAUCUCAUCAUUUAACCUUCUCACUUGUUGAAUAUCCUGUAAAGACUACAUAUUGUAGGCAUAUAAUCUAUUCACCAUAAAUGGUAAAAUCCACCACUAAAUAUUCAACAAUGAGAAAAUGAUGCAUAUUUUUUUUUCUUUUAGGUAAACUAAGCAUUUCUUUUCUAGUGUCCUAAAAGAAUACAAAGGAAUCACCUGCCCUUGAACUUGCUUUCUUAUUUCUUCUCUUGAAUUUUCUUUAUUUGGUAUUGUUGUUCUUCUUCUUGGCUAAAAAAAAUGUAAAGAACCUUUUACUUCCAUAUGAACACCCUUAUAAUCUUUAAGAUUCCCCUAAACCAUCCCAAGGGAAACUAACAAUGUCUCUAAGAUUAUAUGAACUCUACUGUUUAUAAUAGUCCUAAGGACAACUUGUUAAAGUUGACCUGCCUUUAUCACCAAAUAGCCUUUGCAAACUAGAAAGAGAACAUCAAAGUCCUUGGUAAUAGAUAUGUGUUGCUAUUGCAACACAUUAUCCAAAGAUCUAAGUACGAGACACUUGGUCUUUUGAUCCAUCUAGCACCACCUUUAAUAUACCUACUUUUUCCUUUUUUACUAGGUUGGUUCAAAAGAAAUAGCUUGUUUUGCCUAAACUAGUUUUUAUGCAAUUAGUUACUAUAUCCAAAUUAGUUCAAAUGAUUAGUUGGGUUUGGUCUAUUGUGAGAAAGAUAGUGAUAAUAAAACCAACAUGAUAUCUUAACAAAGAUUAUAACCAUGCAUAUGACAUAAUUGAGCAUUCAAGGCAAUUGGUAAUUAAUUUAGCAAAAAUGUAGUGCUCUCAAACUACAUGUCAUUUCGCAAGGUAUCUUAGUGUCAUAAGAAUCAAGCUUACAAUGGGGAGGUCAUGAUUUUAUUACUAGUUAGAGACCUUCUCAAAUUGACCUCUUUGUCUUAACCAUGAAGGUAUCUAAAGGCAAGAUUAACAUACAUUUUUAUUUGGCUCAUGAACUAUGCAAAUGGGACCACAGUGCAGGCGUUUCAACAACUUCAAAUCCACUGAUAAGUGUAUAACCAUUGUCCUUGAACUAUCAGUGUCACCAAGUAAGGAACCCCACCAGUGGGAUGGUUUCUCCCACUACAGACAUGUCUAGUCUCAUCCUAAUGGAGAGUUCUUAUCCUUUGAUUCUUAAGACCUAACCUACCGUGGGGGUGGUGAUGAGCCCAAAUCUAGAUGGGCUCGAUAAUGGAGGCAUGGGCUUUCCUAAGGCCCUCUCCCACUUAAUUUUUUGAGAUAGAUGACCAUUUUAAAACAUUGUAAUUCCCUUGAUGAAUAAAUUAUCUACUUUGAGAAUUUUCAAAAAUAUUUAUUUCCUAAUUGGAAACUUAGUGUAAUAGGAGAAUAAAUUCUCCUUCUCUUACACAAAUCCAAUUAAUAAAUAUUUUAUUUAGGAAAUGUCUCAAAGAAAUUUAUUUCCAUCAAAUUACUAAGCCUUUUGAUAAUGAUUUUUUAAUGAAAAAUUAUCUUUAAUGAAAAUUUCCAAAAUGUUUAUUUUCCAAAUUGGAACUCUAGUGUAAUGAGGAAAUUACCAAUUUAUGAGAUUUUGAAAAUCUUAAGAGCACCUUAUCCAGGAAAUCAACUUUUGCUUCUCAUAUUCAAAAAUACUUAUAAGAUUUACUUAUUUCUUUUGCUUCUCAUAUUAAAAAAUCCUUAUAAGAUUUACUUAUUUCUUACACCUUUCCAACUUAAUAAAUAUUUCCAUGACAAUUUUAUAAUAAUUUAUUCCAUUAAAUAAUACCAAAAAUAGAACCUUUUAGUAAUUCCUUAAAGGAUAAACUAUUCUCUAUGAAAAACUCCUAAAAAUGCCUAUUUUCAAAAAAGGAAUUAAAUAAUUCAUUUUGGAAAGUAUUUUCAAAAUAUUUUAUAUCUCCAUUGAAUUACUAAAACUUUCCAAAAAUUAUUUUGAUAACCCUUCCUAUCAUAAAUUAUCCAUCAUGAGCUAAGACUCCUCUGCUAGAAAAAUUACUCUCUCAAUCCUUAUUCUUGAAUGAUCCAUAUCCAAACUGAAUGGUUUCCUUAUUUUAUUUUAUUUUUAGGGGGGAGAGCUUGGAGGAUCAUUAUAGAUGUAGUUCUCCUUCUCUCGAGAUGGGGGGUUGGGAAGCCUAGAGGACCACCUAUAUAAAACCAAGUAGAUAGUUCCAAAAAGAAUAACAUUAUUCUUAGCAACAACCAGUUUAAACAAAUAAUCUUUGGAAAAUAUCUUCUCAUGAAAAUUUACUAAGAAUACCAAAAUACUUAUUCAAAAUUAACACUUAUUUUGGUAACCUUCUUAAUUAUAAAUUAUCUAUCAUGAAUUUUCAAAAUUAACUUAUUCUCUUUAACUAAAAAACUUAUGCAAAAAGGAAAAAUAUUAUUUUAUAAAGAUUUGGAACAUCAAGAGCUUUUUCUUAAAAUAUUAUUUUUAGAGAUCUCAAAGAUUUGAGAAGAUUUUAAAUAAAAUUAAAAUCUAUAAGAAUUAAUUUUAAAAAGAAAAGAAAACUUUUAACCCUUUUUCAACUUAUCUUUUCUUAAAAUAAAAUUUCUCAACCAUUCACAUUCUAAUUUAAAUAAGUUUUCCAAUUUUGAAAAAUCCAUGAAAAUUUUUAUUCAAUUGAGAAUAUCAAAAUAAUUUAAUGUCGCAUAUGCAAUAAAUAAAGAGCAUAUAUAAACAAGGAAAUAAAUAAGCAAAAUUUCCCCAUGGCCUUUAGGGAUCCUACUGCGUAGUCUAGUAAUACAUUUCAAUAAAAUCCAAAUCACCAAUAUUAUCAAAUCAAACCUACAACAAAUAAAGGGUUAGAAAAAAGGAAAAACCCUUCAUCAGUAUGCCAAAAGUGCCAAUCUAUUGUCACUUGUGCUCGAGCGCCCAAAAAUUUGAAGAAAAUGUUAGAUACAACUUGCAUUGUGAUUACUACUCAAAAAAUACUCUUUUAUAGGUUGAAACUAACUGUUUUAAACACUUUUGAGUGGUAGUUAAUACCUUUUAACUCAAUUGGCACAUUAAGUAACCUAGCAAGGGUUACUAAUCAGUUUUGGCAAGUUUUGGUGUUUUUGGUAGCUAUUUGAUCAUUGAAACAAGCCAAGAAUGAGGGAGAAUUUUGUGAAAUCCAUGGCAAUGCAAGUUGAAGCUCAAAUACAUGAAGAAUCCGAGCUUUGGAGCACUUCAUAGCCCUUUGCCAAGCUUGGCAAUAGGUUGCCAAGCCAAUCAGAGAUGCAAGGAAGAAAACUAGAGGAAAAGUCCAACAACCAGCAUUUUCGCAUAGCAUGCGAAAUAAAGAGGAAGAGCAGCUGCAGGAAUGAGAGCAGGAUUGAGUGAAAGACAAUUUCGCACACCAUGCGAAACCACAAGAAGCAGCCAAAGAAUUUCGCACACCAUGUGAAAUUUCGCAUGGUAUGCGAAAUCCUCUUGUGUACCGACUCCGUUAGAUUUUUAUCUCCAGAUAUUUUGUAUAAUUUCCUAUUUUCUCCUUGUAAUCAAGCUAGAUAUUUUCAUGUAUAUCUUUUCUAGACAUGAAAGAAAUUCAUUCAUGAAACACUUGUAAAAUUCCCGUAGAAGAAAUAUAUAGAGAUUUUGCUCUGUCUUUCCUUCUCAUUUUGUUUUCACUUUUCUUUCUAGCCAAACAACCUCUGAGGAUGAUUUCUCAGGGGAUGAGUGGCUAGGUUUUACAUUUCUUGGAGUGAUGGAAACUAGGUGAAGGACCCGAAUGCAAAGAUGGGAGUUGUCCUUGCUUUAAAUGAAAGUAGUUGUUAACGUGAGGAAAAGAUCCAAAAUCUCCCUUUUUGCCUAAGGAACCCGAUCCUAGUGACCUAAAGCUCCAAGAGACCUUUUCUUUGUAGUUAACUUCACUAAUUAUUUUUGCUUAACUUAAAAUCAAUCUUUGCAACCAAAAUUCCAUUUUCUUUAAAAACUAAUUUUCAUAAGGAAAAACACCAUUUUAUUUCCUUCACUAAUGUGAACUGUAUGAUGAAAACCCAUCCCUAUGGAUGAUCCUAGAGCCACUAGACUAAGUUAGCUAUGCUAUCCUAGUGUGAGGUGAUUUAGGUUUGAUAAAUUUUGUUGAUAACACCUGCCUGAGCCAGAAUCAAAUGGCAUGACUGUAAUGAAGACGAAUCAAGUAUGCAUACUUGAAAGAAGACAAGCAGUGCCAUGUUGUUAUAUCUUCAGCUCUUACCAUUCAUUAGGAGGAUUGUCUACUUGAAGUCCUUAGAAGAUGUAGGAAGGAAAUAGGGUGGCAAAUUUCUGAUUUGAAAGGGAUCAACCCUUUAGUCUGCACCCAUCAUAUUUACAUGGAGGAUGAAGCUAAGCCAGUUUGUCAACCUCAGAGAAGGUUGAAUCCUCACAUGCAAAAGGUGGUGCAAACUAAAGUUCUUAAGCUACUUCAGGCCGGUAUUAUCUACCCCAUAUCAGAUAGCCCAUGGGUGAGUCCUACUCAAGUUGUGCCAAAGAAGUCUGGGAUCACGGUGGUGCAAAAUGAUAAGGGAGAAAAUGUCUCUACACGCCUCACUACAUGUUGGAGGGUGUGUAUCGAUUACAGGAGAUUGAAUGCGGUGACAAGGAAUGACCAUUUCCCGUUGCCCUUUAUUGAUCAAGUGCUUGAGAGGGUCUCUGGGCAUCCUUUUUAUUGUUUCUUGGAUGGCUACUCCGGGUACUUUCAGAUAGAAAUUGAUGUUGAAUACUAGGAGAAGACCACUUUCAUAUGCCCAUUUAGAACCUAUGCAUACAGGAGAAUGCCUUUCGGCUUAUGCAAUGCACCCGCAACUGUCUAAAGAUGCAUGUUAAGCAUUUUUAGUGAUAUAGUGGAGCGUAUUAUGGAAGUCUUUAUGGAUGAUAUCACCAUAUAUGGAAGUGCAUUUGAUGAAUGCUUGAUCAACUUAGAAGUUGUUCUGAACCGAUGCAUUGAGAAAGACUUAGUGCUUAACUGGGAGAAGUGUCAUUUCAUGGUACAACAAGGGAUUGUCCUUGGACACAUCAUCUCCAAGCAAGGCAUUGAAGUAGACAAAGCAAAUGUUAAACUCAUUGUUAAGUUACCAUCCCCAACAAAUGUCAAAGGAGUAAGGUAAUUCCUUGGCCAUGUCAGGUUCUAUAGGAGGUUUAUAAAGGAUUUCUCUAAGCUUGCAAGGCCUCUUUGUGAACUAUUGGUGAAGGAUGCUAAAUUCAUAUGGGAUGAUAGAUGCCAAAGGAGUUUUGAAGAAUUGAAGCUAUUUCUGACAACCGCACCAAUAGUGAGGGCUCCCAACUGGCAACUGCCCUUUGAGGUAAUGUGUGAUGCCAGUGACUUUGCUAUAGGAGUUGUUCUUGGCCAAAGAGAAUAUGGAAAGCCCUAUGUGAUCUACCAUGCGAGCAACACAUUGAAUGAGGCGCAAAGAAACUACACAACCACUGAGAAAGAAUUGUUAUAUGUGGUUUUUGCCUUAGAUAAGUUUCGUGCUUACUUGGUGGGGUCUUUCAUUGUGGUUUUCACUUAUCACUCUGCUUUGAAGUAUCUGUUGACUAAGCAAGAUGCGCAAGCAAGGCUGAUUAGAUGGAUUUUCUUGCUUUAAGAGUUCAAUCUCUAAAUCAAAGACAAGAAAUGAGUGGAGAAUGUGGUAGCAGACCACCUUUCAAGGCUAGCUAUAGCACAUAAUACCCAUGGUUUGCCCAUUAAUGAUGAUUUUCCAAAGGAGUCUCUCAUGUUGGUGGAAGUUGCCCCUUGGUAUGCUCACAUUGCGAACUACCUAGUCAUAGGAGAAGUUCCAAGUGAAUGGAAAACACAAGAUAAGAAACAUUUCUUUGCAAAAAUUCACGCCUAUUAUUGGGAAGAGCCAUUUCUAUUCAAGUAUUGUGUGGAUCAGGUAAUAAGGAAGUGCGUUCCUGAAGAAGAGCAACAGGGGAUCCUCAGCCAUUGCCAUGAAAAUGCAUGUGGAGGCCACUUUGCUUCUUAGAAGACAGCCAUGAGGGUGUUGCAAUCGGGUUUCUAUUGGCCAUCACUUUUCAAAGAUGCCCACACCAUGUGCAAGAGUUGUGAUCGAUGCCAGAGGCUUAGGAAAUUGACACGCAGGAACAUGAUGCCUUUGAACCCCAUUUUGAUAGUUGAUCUUUUUUAUGUUUGGGGCAUUGACUUCAUGGGACCUUUCCCUAUGUCUUUUAGCUACUCUUACAUCUUGGUAAGAGUAGAUUAUGUUUCUAAGUGGGUUGAGGCAAUCCCAUGUAAACACAAUGACCAUAAAAUGGUUCUCAAGUUUCUCAAGGAGAACAUCUUCUCAAGAUUUGGGGUGCCCAAAGCCAUAAUUAGUGAUGGGGGUACUCAUUUUUACAACAAGCCUUUUGAAACUCUCUUGGCCAAGUAUGGGGUGAAGCAUAAGGUAGCUACACCUUACCACCCUCAAACUAGUGGGCAAGUUGAGUUAGCGAACCGGGAUAUUAAAAACAUAUUGAUGAAGGUGGUGAACACAAAUAGAAAAGAUUGGCCAGUCAAGCUCCUUGAUUCACUAUGGGCAUAUAGAACAGCUUAUAAGACCAUUCUUGGAAUGUCUCUGAUUCGUGCCCAGUAGGGUAUUUUAAUCAAAAAUAUUUAUAAAUCCUAUGACCUUAUACUAGCGUAGCAAAGCUACUAUAGUACAACAGCUCUAGGGUCGAACUCUGGGAUGGGUUUUCAUUCUACCAGUGAUAGACUCAAGAUUAGAAAUUGAAUCUGAUGAUUUCCUUUGUCAAAAACUUAAAGUUUAAAAGAAAAUAAAAUUUGUUUUGAAAGUGGUGUUUGAAACUAAACUAACAUAGAACUAGGUAAAAAUGGAAGAAAGAAAGUCUCCCGGAGCUAGAGGUUGCUAGGAUCAAGUUCAGAAUGCAAAGUGGGAAAUUCCGGAUUUUUCUCCUCGUAUUAGGGACAACUGAUUACUACUCAAAAAGUGCUAUUUGAUAGCUUAUAAUUAAUCCUUUUAAACACUUUUGAGUAGUAGUUUAGGCCUUUUAACUCAAUUGGCAUGUUAAGGAUCCUUUAAAGCAAUUUUAAUCACUUUGUGCAAGUUUUGGUGUUUUUGUUAGUAUUUUGAUCACCAAAGCAAGUCAAGACUGAGGAGAGCUAUGAGGAAUCUUGGGCAAAGCUUAGAAGUCAUUUUCCAAGAGUGAAUCCGGAUUGCAAGGAGAAAAAGCAAAGAGAAUCUACCAUAGAGCAUAUUCUUGAUGACAGUCACAGAGGCCACUUUUGGAGCACUUUCUGAAGUCCAAAUAAUGCAUGCUAUAUACCAUUUCAAAGCUCAGGAAGUCAACAAUCUAAUGCUUCAAACGGUGUGCAAUUCGGAGUUGAAACGAAGAAGUUGCAGCCAUUACAAGCCAAUCACUCCGAGUUGAAGGAAGCAUUUUGCAAAGUGCUGCGAAAUCACCCUUUUGUUGCGAAGUGAUUUCGCAGCAUUUUUGUACAGUAAGUUGUUUCUCCUUCUGAUGAUGCACGAUUUAUGCCGCGAGAAGGAAGCUAGGAACCUCAAGGUGGAAGCCAACUUCGCAGCCCUGUGAAGAUAGCUUGGUGUUGCGAAAAUAUUUCGCAGCCCUCUUGAGUGUCUGCGAAAUCUCGCAGACACCAUUUUUCUCCUGCGAAAUGGUUCCUGAAGCCUCCCGAUAUUUGCUACCGACAUUGGGAGAUAUUUUCCAUUAGAUUUUUGUUGUCUAAAUCCCAAAAUACUCCUUGUAAACCUCCAAUUACAAGAUUCCUUAGCUUUUAAGUUAGUAAAAAGACUAAAUAUCUUUGUAACAAUUAGUUUUAUAUUAUGUUCAUAUAUAUACCUCUCGGGAGCCUGUUCUCGGAGAGGAGUUCCUUCUGAAAAAGUUUGGGUAAGCAAGUAAAGUCUAUUUUCUUUCUACUGCCUUACCUUAUCACUUUGUAUUUUCAUUUCAUUUCUAAGUUAUGAAUUCUCUGAGGAGUUUUCCCCAGAGAAUGAGUAACUAAACCUCUAGUUCCUUGGAGCUAAGGUUGCCGGGGAAGGUUCCAAGUGCAAGAAUGCAAAGCUUUGUGGUUUUAGCUUUUAAUGAAGAGGAAGUGAAAUCCUUUAAUGAUUUCUAUGUUUUUAGUUAACUUAAAACACCUUAGAGUCACCUGGGCCAACACUUGGUAAGGCAAGUGAUUUCCAACCAUGGAAAUGCACUAGUUUACCUCUUGCGAGCCUCUGGGAGGUGAUUUCAAGGUAGGAUUUUCUGGAAUUACCAACACUUGGUAAGCUUUUGGACUCCUAGGAGACAUCCAUUAGUUAUCUCUUGCGAGUUUGUGAAGGGAAGUCCAAGGUUAAAGAUCAUCUUGAAUGGUAAGUGCUCGUGAGAGGCAUGAACCAUUGCAAGUUGCAUCAGUGAGAGAAUUAAAGUGAAAUCUAAUUGAAGGAAUCUCUGUACAACACCGGUUAGAGAAUUGACUAUAUGUUGAAUCUCUAACGCGAGGAAAUGAACCAUCUGACCGGAGCUAUGUCUUUUGCAUGAGGAAUCACCCCAGUGAACCUAACUCUCCAGGGAAUGCUUUUCUUCCUAAAUUAUUCCAAACUUCUGUUAUGUUAGUUAGUUUAAGUAUAAACAUUUACCAAUCAAAGUUUGUGUUUUACUUCUUAAGCUAACCGUGAAAUGAAACAAGACCAAUUCACUUGGAAUUGGUAUCAUUGAUAGCUUGCUAAUCCUUCCCAGUGAACGAUCCUAGAGCCGCUAUACUAUAGUAGCUUUUUCUUUGCUACCCUAGUAUAUGGUGUAAUAGGUAUAAAUUUUGUUGAUUACUCCCUCAUCCAAGGAGCACCAGCUGGACAUGAAUCAGCUGAGACACCAAUUGGGCACGAAUCAAAUGGCGCCGUUGCCGGGGAAGAUGUCAAGUUUAUAUUGAUACCAUUUUUGAGCACUUGUGAUUUUCAUCACAAGCUGGUAACGUUUCUUUCACUUUACUAAUUUUCAUUCUUUCUUUAUGUAUUCAUAAUCUAAGUUUAUCUUAUUAAAUUUAGCCUAGUUUAAUUUUGCUGUUGUAGCCUUGUUUCUCUUGUUGUCCUCUGUUUUUUUUUUAAGUUGUAGAUAGAUACUAGUUGUGUAUGCCCAAGUGGAUACGAGACAGUGGAGGAAGGCUUGUUAAGUGUGAUACACCUCAGAGGGGAGAAUUUGAAGUAAUCUUGAAUAUCAUGGAAGCUACACCUGAAGAUCAGCAUAGUCACCAAGGUCGUCAAGACAAUCUCAAUGAAUUCAGAUCAAUGAGGGACCGUAUGCAUCCACCUCGUAUGAGUGCACCAUCAUGCAUAGUGCCCCCUACAGAGCAGCUAGUGAUCAGACCGUAUCUUGUUCCACUUCUACCAACUUUCCAUGGGAUGGAAAGUGAGAAUCCGUAUGCACACAUCAAGGAAUUUGAAGAUGUUUGUAAUACAUUCCAAGAGGGAGGAGCUUCAAUUGAUUUGAUGAGGCUUAAGUUAUUUCCUUUUACUUUAAAGGAUAAGGCCAAAAUUUGGCUUAAUUCUUUAAGGCCAAGGAGUAUCCGCUCUUGGACUGAUUUACAAGCUGAAUUCCUCAAGAAAUUUUUUCCUACUCAUAGAACAAAUGGCUUGAAAAGGCAAAUUUCAAACUUCUCAGCUAAAGAGAAUGAGAAAUUCUAUGAGUAUUGGGAGAGAUACAUGGAAGCUAUAAAUGCUUGUCCUCACCAUGACUUUGAUACUUGGCUAUUGGUGAGCUAUUUUUAUGAUGGUAUGUCUUCCUCAAUGAAGCAACUCCUCGAGACAAUGUGUGGAGGAGAUUUCAUGAGCAAAAAUCCAGAGGAAGCUAUGGAUUUCUUGAGCUAUGUAGCUGAUGUUUCAAGGGGAUGGGAUGAACCAACUAAAGGAGAAGUGGGAAAGAUGAAGUCUCAGUUGAAUGCUUACAAUGCAAAGGCUGGGAUGUAUACUUUAAAAGAAGAUGAUGACAUGAAAGCAAAGUUGGCAACUAUGACAAGAAGAUUGGAGGAGCUGGAACUGAAAAGAAUACAUGAAGUGCAAGCUGUUGCUGAAGCACCAGUGCAAGUGAAGCUGUGUCCUAAUUGUCAAUCAUUUGAACAUUUGGUGGAGGAAUGCCCUGCAAUUUCAACUGAAAGGGAGAUGUUUAGAGAUCAAGCAAAUGUUGUUGGACAAUUCAGGCCCAAUAACAAUGCGCCAUAUGGAAAUACCUACAACUCAAGUUGGAGGAAUCAUCCAAAUUUCUCAUGGAAGGCCAGAGCAACUCAAUACCAACAGCCGGAUCCACCAUCUCAACAAUCUUCAAGUAUUGAACAAGCAAUAGCCAAUCUCAGCAAGGUAAUGGGAGAUUUUAUUGAAAAGCAAGAAGCCACUAAUGCUCGAGUCGAUCAAAGAAUUGAUAGAAUGGAGAGUAUGUUGAAUAAAAGGAUGGAUGGAAUGCAAAAUGAUAUGAACCAAAAGUUUGACAACAUCCAGUAUUCAAUUUCAAGGCUUACAAAUUUGAAUACACUGCAAGAAAAGGGAAGAUUUCCUUCUCAACCUCACCAAAAUCCCAAGGGUGUCCAUGAAGUGGAAAGCCAAGAGGGAGAGUCAUCACAGAUGAAAGAUGUCAAAGCCUUGAUCACUCUAAGGAGUGGUAAGAAAAUUGAGCAGCCAAUACCCAAGCCACAUGUUGAGAAAGAAGAAGAGAUAAAGAAAGGGAAUGAAAUGGAAGAUAAAGAGUGUGAGAUCAGUGAAGAAAAGAAGGACUCUGAUUCAACAAUGAAAGCAAUUCCAGAGAAAGAGCUUCUGAAGGAAGAAAUGCUGAAGAAAUCAACUUCUCCACCUUUUCCCCAAGCAUUACAUGGGAAAAAGAGGAUUAGAAAUGCAGCUGAAAUCCUUGAAGUCUUGAGGCAAGUGAAAGUUAAUAUUCCACUGCUGGAUAUGAUUAAACAAGUUCCAACAUAUGCAAAAUUCCUAAAGGAUUUAUGUACUAUCAAAAGAGGGUUAACUGUAAACAAGAAAGCCUUCUUGACUGAGCAAGUAAGUGCAAUCUUACAGUGUAAGUCUCCUUUGAAGUACAAAGACCCUGGAAGUCCUACCAUUUCAGUCAUGAUUGGAGGAAAGGUAGUGGAGAAAGCCCUGUUAGAUUUGGGAGCAAGUGUGAAUUUGCUUCCAUAUUCCGUCUACAAGCAAUUGGGACUUGGAGAGUUGAAGCCAACAGCAAUCACUCUAUCUCUGGCAGAUAGAUCGGUGAAAAUUCCAAGAGGGGUAAUUGAGGAUGUAUUGGUUCAAGUGGAUAAUUUCUACUAUCCAGUAGAUUUUAUUGUUCUUGAUACAGAUCCUACUGUAAAGGAAGCUAAUUUAGUUCCUAUCAUCCUUGGAAGGCCAUUUCUUGCAACUUCAAAUGCAAUCAUCAACUGUAGAAAUGGGCUUAUGCAACUCACUUUUGGUAACAUGACACUGGAUCUCAAUAUUUUCUACAUGUCUAAAAAGCAAAUCACUCCGGAGGAAGAAGAAGGUCCAGAAGAGCUAUGUAUAAUUGAUACUUUGGUGGAGGAGCACUGCAAUCAACAUAUGCAAGAAAAGUUGAAUGAAAGUCUUGAGGAUAUUGAGGAAGGUUUUUCUGAAUCUCCUAUUGGGCUUGCUACUCUACAAAGUUGGAGAAAGAUAGAAGGAAUUCUACCUUUGUUCAAUAAGGAAGAGGAGGCAGCUGUUGAAAAAGAAAUUCCAAAACUCAAUCUGAAGCCUUUACCUGUGGAGCUGAAAUAUACAUAUCUUGAAGAAAAUAAUCAAUGUCCUGUUGUGAUAUCCUCAUCUCUGACCAGUCAACAAGAGAAUUGUUUAAUGGAAGUUCUCAAGAGGUGUAAGAAGGCAAUAGGAUGGCAAAUAUCUGACUUGAAAGGCAUUAGUCCUUUAGUUUGUACUCAUCAUAUAUAUAUGGAGGAGGAAGCAAAGCCAAUUCGUCAAUUUCAAAGAAGGUUGAAUCCUCAUCUACAAGAGGUGGUGCGAGCUGAAGUGCUGAAGCUACUUCAAGCAGGAAUCAUUUACCCUAUAUCUGAUAGCCCUUGGGUGAGUCCUACUCAAGUGGUACCAAAGAAGUCAGGGAUCACAGUGAUUCAAAAUGAAAAAGGGGAAGAAAUUACUACACGCCUCACUUCAGGUUGGAGGGUGUGUAUUGAUUAUAGAAAGCUGAAUGCUGUCACUAGGAAAGAUCAUUUUCCAUUGCCAUUUAUUGAUCAAGUGCUGGAGAGAGUCUCUGGACAUCCAUUCUAUUGUUUCUUGGAUGGGUAUUCAGGGUAUUUUCAGAUUGAAAUUGAUUUGGCAGAUCAAGUAAAGACCACUUUUACAUGUCCAUUUGGAACAUAUGCUUAUAGAAGAAUGCCUUUUGGUUUAUGCAAUGCACCUGCUACAUUUCAAAGAUGUAUGUUGAGUAUUUUCAGUGAUAUGGUGGAGCGAAUUAUGGAGGUUUUCAUGGAUGACAUCACCGUAUAUGGAGGUACAUUUGAGUAAUGCUUGGUUAAUUUGGAAGCAGUUCUUCAUAGAUGCAUUGAAAAAGAUCUGGUGCUCAACUGGGAGAAAUGCCAUUUUAUGGUACGUCAAGGAAUUGUCCUUGGCCAUAUCAUCUCUGAAAAAGGCAUUGAAGUUGAUAAAGCAAAGGUGGAGCUUAUUGUCAAAUUACCAUCUCCAACAACUGUAAAAGGAGUAAGGCAGUUCCUUGGCCAUGCAGGGUUCUAUAGGAGGUUUAUAAAAGGUUUUUCAAGUCUUUCAAAACCUCUUUGUGAGCUGUUAGCUAAGGAUGCUAAGUUUAUAUGGGAUGAAAGGUGUCAGAAUAGCUUUGAUCAACUGAAGAAAUUUUUAACAACUACUCCAAUAGUGAGAGCCCUUAACUGGCAAUUACCUUUUGAACUGAUGUGUGAUGCCAGUGACUUUGCUAUAGGAGCUGUGCUUGGCCAAAGAGAAGAUGGGAAGCCCUAUGUGAUUUACUAUGCAAGUAAAACACUGAAUGAAGCUCAAAGGAACUACACAACUACAGAGAAAGAAUUGUUAGCUGUGGUAUUUGCUUUGGACAAAUUUCGUGCUUAUUUAGUGGGGUCUUUCAUCAUUGUCUUCACUGACCAUUCAGCCUUGAAGUAUUUAUUGACAAAGCAAGAUGCAAAAGCAAGGUUGAUUAGAUGGAUUCUUCUGUUACAAGAAUUCGAUCUUCAAAUCAAAGAUAAGAAAGGAGUGGAGAAUGUAGUAGCUGACCACUUGUCAAGGUUAGUUAUAGCACAUAAUUCCCAUCCCUUGCCUAUCAAUGAUGAUUUUCCUGAAGAAUCACUCAUGUUUCUAGUGAAAACUCCUUGGUAUGCUCAUAUUGCCAAUUAUUUAGUAACUGGUGAAAUUCCAAGUGAGUGGAAUGCACAGGACAGGAAGCACUUCUUUGCCAAAAUUCAUUCUUAUUAUUGGGAAGAGCCCUUUCUCUUUAAGUAUUGUGCAGAUCAGAUUAUUAGGAAGUGUGUCCCCGAAGAUGAGCAGCAAGGGAUUCUAUCUCAUUGUCAUGAGAAUGCAUGUGGAGGCCACUUUGCCUCUCAGAAAACAGCCAUGAAGGUAUUGCAAUCAGGGUUUACUUGGCCAUCUCUUUUCAAAGAUGCCCACAUCAUGUGAAGAAAUUGUGAUAGAUGCCAAAGGCUUGGAAAGCUAACAAAAAGAAAUCAAAUGCCUAUGAACCCCAUUCUGAUAGUAGAGUUAUUUGAAGUAUGGGGCAUUGACUUCAUGGGACCUUUCCCAAUGUCUUUUGGUAAUCCAUAUAUCUUGGUGGGGGUAGAUUAUGUUUCUAAAUGGGUUGAGGCAAUCCCCUGUAAACAAAAUGAUCACAGGGUGGUUCUCAAGUUUCUUAAAGAGAACAUUUUCUCAAGAUUUGGGGUGCCCAAGGCCAUAAUCAGUGAUGGAGGUGCUCAUUUUUGCAACAAACCUUUUGAAGCUCUGUUAUCCAAGUAUGGAGUGAAGCAUAAGGUGGCUACACCUUAUCAUCCUCAGACUUCCGGGCAAGUUGAGCUAGCUAAUAGGGAAAUAAAGAACAUCUUGAUGAAAGUGGUGAAUUCCAACAGAAAAGAUUGGUCUAUUAGGCUUCAUGAUUCAUUGUGGGCAUAUAGAACAGCUUAUAAGACUAUUCUUGGGAUGUCUCCCUAUCGUCUUGUCUAUGGCAAAGCAUGUCAUCUCCCUGUGGAAGUUGAAUACAAAGCUUGGUGGGCAAUAAAGAAGCUGAACAUGGACUUGAUCAAGGCAGGAGAAAAGAGAUUUCUAGACCUUAAUGAGAUGGAGGAAUUAAGAAAUAAUGCUUAUAUCAAUUCCAAAGUUGUAAAACAGAGGAUGAAGAAAUGGCAUGACCAACUCAUCUCUAACAAGGAAUUUCAGGAAGGGCAAAGAGUUUUGAUGUAUGACACAAGACUCCAUAUCUUUCCUGGGAAGCACAAAUCGAGGUGGAUAGGCCCGUUUGUUAUUCACCGAGUAUGGUCCAAUGGAGUGGUGGAAUUAUUGAAUUCCAAUGGCAAGGAUAGCUUUAAAGUCAAUGGAUAUCGUCUCAAGCCAUUCAUGGAGCCAUUCAAAUCAGAAAAGGAGGCAAUCAACCUCCUUGAGCCUCAAAAAGUCUAAGCAAAGAAGGGUUUGCUAGACGUGGUUUUACCACAGUCCAAAAUUUUUGUAAAUUUUGUAAAUUUUCAAGUUGUUUCCAUAUUUUUGAUCUUAGUUUUUGAUCUUAAAUCAUGUUUUUAGGUGUGUUUUAAUUGUUUUGAAUGAUCCCAGGUGGAAGAAAUUUCAAGGAGAUUGAAAGAAAAAAAAAUCGGGUCGAAAUCAGAGCCAAAACAGAGGAAAAACAGAGGAAAAACAGGGGAAAAACAGAGCUCUGCGAAAUUUCGCAGAGUGAAGGAAACCUCUGCGAAAUCAGCACUAUGCUGCAAAUCCAUUCCGCAGCACUGUAGAAGUCUCUGCGAGGGUAUUUCGCAGCUACGAAAGCAAAUUUGGCACACGAGUGCCACUUCGCAGUACAGUAGCAUCCAUUUGGUAGCUGCGAAACACAUUGCGAAAUGGAAAAGCGUGAUUUCGCACCAAAAGUCCCAUUCCGCAGGGUAUUUCGCAAUUGCGAAAGUGGUUUUGGCACACGAGUGCCACUCCGCAGCACAGUAACAUCAAUUUCGCAGCUGCGAAACUCACUGCGAAGUUGCUGCGAAAAUGGCAUUUUGCUGCGAAAUUGGCGUUUUGUUGCGAAACUCAAACUGACACUUAGGCUUCCGUUUUUCCUAUUUAUACCGGUCAUUUGAGCUGCGAAAAGGGUUUCAAAAAUCAGAGCACCAUUCUCGCAGCCUCUUCGUCUUCUUCAGUGAGCCUCGCCGUCCAAACCCCCGGUCAUCCUCUCAGAUCAUCUACGUCAGCCAAAGUUCGGUAGCCUAAAAUGGCGCGAACACGAGGGGCUAAGUCUUCUUCUCCUUCGAACCGCAAGAAGAGUCUGCGAAAGGAGCCAAGUCCAGGUUCUGUUCCAGAACCUGCUCCAGAGCCCUCGCCGUCGAGACCAAUUCCUCCUCCGGUGAAGCCCGUGCCACCAAAGCCGCCGGCAAGACGAUAUCUAACCAGGUCAGGAGGUAGGCCAUUACAGAAGAGACCCAGGGUGGAGAGCUCAGAACCCAUCGAUUUGACUGAGCAAUCUCCAGAGCCUUCACCAAUCCCAUCACCGGUUCAAACUCCAGUGCCAUCUCCGGUUCCCUCGCCAAGUCCCCUGCCAGUUCCAUCGCCGGUACCAUCUCCAACGCCGCAAGAAAAAUCUCAGGAGCCCCAAGCGCCACUUCCCGAACCCCAAAUUCAAGCUGAAACAGCUCUGGAAGAAGUAAUUAGGAGGCCAAUGCUACCUCAGCCCCCAAUUGAAGGAAACUUGGAUUGUCGAACUCGAGCAUUCCAUUCCGAGCUUUGUUUCGACUUAGCAGCAUUCAGAGUGAGGCCGGAGCUUGCCCAAUCAUUCCAGCUGCUGAGGAGGUAUCAUAUGGAGCAUCUGCUAGCUCCAAGAGACUUUUUCUAUCCCCGAAUAGCCACGGAUUUCUACCAAUCCAUGACAACCAAAGAGGUCAGGAAUCCAACCUUGAUUCAUUUUACUAUCGAUGGGAGACAUGGUAUAUUGGGAGCACGACAUAUUGCUGAAGCCCUGCAAAUUCCCUUUGAGCCAACCCAAUUCGAUAAUUUUAGAGCUUGGGCAAAUCCUACUGAGCUAGAGAUGGUUCGCACCCUUUCUAAAGGAGCUGCAAAUCGAUCACAUCUGCUGAGGGGGGAGCUUCCUCCAGUUAUGUUUUUGAUUGAUGCCUUUUUGAGGCAUAAUAUCUAUCCAUUGCAGCAUUGGACCCAAAGAAGGGGAGUCCUCCUGGAAGCUCUUUACAAGAUGUCAGAAGGAUUUUUCUUUGGGCCUCAUCAUCUGAUCAUGGCAGCCCUUCUCUAUUUUGAAGAGAAGGUGGACAGAAAGAAGCUUCAAAGAGCUGAUUGCAUUCCCCUCCUCUUCCCAAGGCUGCUAUGCAAAAUUUUGGAGCAUAUGGGAUAUCCCUUUGAGCCUCAGCUGGAGAGAAAGCGAAUAUGCCGUGAGCCAUUCACUCUUGAUAAAUGGAACAAUAUGACGACCUACAAAAUUGAUCAGCCUGGGCAGCCUCAGCCAGCUGCAAGGAGAGCAUCCCCAAGACAUAUACCCGAAGGUAUAACAGUUGCUGCUCUUGCCAUUCCUAGAGCUCCUCCAGCUGCACCUGCUUCAUCUCAGCCAUCCACAUCAGCUGAGCCGAGGAUGGCUAUUCCUAUAUCUGAAUAUCGAGAGUUGUGCCGUGCAUUGGAGACUCUUACAGCUUCUCAGAGCAGUCUUGCUCAAGAGAUGGCAGCCAUCAGAGCAUGCCAAGAGAAGAUGUUAGCCACUCAGGCUCAACAAGCUGCCAUCUUAAGGCAGCUCUAAGUCCAUUUCGAUCUGCCACAAGCUGUAGAGCCCUCCACUGAUACUCCAGCAGAGCCACACUCUCAGCCUUCAGAAUCUCAUCCUCCAGAGCCAGAAGCCCCAGCUGAUCUACUAAAAAGGCAGCAGAUCCAUCUGCCUAAUUCUAGCCACAACCCCACUCAUCAGACUACUAUCUAUCUAAUAUUUCUAUGUAUUUCGUUUUUUUUAGUUGAAAAGAAGUCCCAGUAUUUUGGUACUAUAUAUGGGAUUCCUUGUGUUACUUGUCCUUGGCACUAUACUCGAAUGAAUUGAAAGUAAUACAAGUUGAAUAUUUCUUGUUUAAAGUUAGCAUUAAGUUAUUCUUAUUUCCUUUUCUCACAUAUUCUAUUCUUUUUGAAACAUGUGGUUUUCCCCAAUCAAUAUUCGAAUUUGAUAUCAGCAAGGAGGUACCACUUCCUCCCUUUAAUUACAGUCACUCAUAUCACAUUGAGGACAAUGCUCAGUUCGGUUGGGGGGAAUGAGGAAGGAAGUAUGCUAAAUCUUUUUGGUAUUGCAAGUAUAUUGGUUAAUUAGUUGUAGUUUUUGCUUUUUACUCUUGUUACUCUAUUCUCCAUGAAUUUUGAGGAAAAAUUUUCAAAUUAAACCAAGAGAAAUUGAACUGUUGUUUUUCACUUGACUUAGAGUAUGGAUUAUGCUUACUAAAGUGGUUCAAUUGUUGAAGCUUCUAUUGAAAUUGAAUUGAGUUCUUCCACUUUAAGCUAUCCACACAAUGUGCACAUUAGAUUCCGAUUAUAAGAUGAAAAGCUAUUUCCCUCCUGACUUAGGAUAAUUUUGGGACUUGGUAUAUUUGACCUCAUUUGAUAAAAAUUGAAACACCCUGCAAAAGGCCAAAGAGCCUUUGAAAUAAAGAAAGUUGUUUGCUUGCCUUGAAACCCGAGUAAGGUCUGAGGGGUAUAUGGUGAAAAUCUUUAAAGCCUGGUGCCCUAAGCCUUAAUUGGUUGGGAGUCACCGACCUCAAUGCUCAUUAUAAGGGUGAAUAGGUAAAGUUAGCAUAUGGUAGAUGCUUGGGUAUUAGAAAUUCAUUCUUAAAAGUCCGGGGAAAAAUCCGAGGAGUUAGUGGUUGAAAGAUCCUUAAAGCUUGGUGCCCUAAACCUUAAUUGGUUGGGAGUCAUCGAUGGACCCCCAUUACAUGGACAAGUCAGAAAGAGUACCCCAUAAAGCUACCUUGAAAAAAAAAAAAAAAAAAAAAAAAAGGUGUGUUCUUUUCUUAUUGAUUAUGGUCAGAUUAUUGCUAAAGUGUUAAAAAGAGAUAGGUUGGGGGGUGAGAUUAGUAGCAUAUUAUUCUCGGAAGCUAAGGAACUAAUACACAUAGAUUUGUGUGGAAGAUUAAAGUUUGAUUCUUAGGAAGUGGAAAUGAUUUUAAAACUUCAGUUUGCAUAAUGCACUCCCUUGAUUGAUAGUGUUUAGCAUAGUUUGUUAUGACUCUUGUUGAGAUUUGGGUUUGUAUUUCUUUAAUGCUUCAUGUGAGAAUUAGAUCAUCAUGCCACUUGAGAAUUAUUUUCUUUCAGCAUGAUGUUGUAAAUUUUAGAUUAGUUUGCUAUUUAUUUUCAUUUUUCUCUCCUAUAUUGCUAAGGGACUAGCAAUAUGUCGGUUGGGGGGAGUGAUUACUACUCAAAAAGUGCUAUUUGAUAGCCUAUAAUUAAUCCUUUUAAACACUUUUGAGUAGUAGUUUAGGCCUUUUAACUCAAUUGGCAUGUUAAGGAUCCUUUAAAGCAAUUUUAAUCACUUUGUGCAAGUUUUGGUGUUUUUGUUAGUAUUUUGAUCACCAAAGCAAGUCAAGACUGAGGAGAGCUAUGAGGAAUCUUGGGCAAAGCUUAGAAGUCAUUUUCCAAGAGUGAAUCCGGAUUGUAAGGAGAAAAAGCAAAGAGAAUCUGCCAUAGAGCAUAUUCUUGAUGACAGUCACAGAGGCCACUUUUGGAGCACUUUCUGAAGUCCAAAUGAUGCAUGCUAUAUACCAUUUCAAAGCUCAGGAAGUCAACAAUCCAAUGCUUCAAACGGUGUGCAAUUCGGAGUUGAAACGAAGAAGUUGCAGCCAUUACAAGCCAAUCACUCAGAGCUGAAGGAAGCAUUUUGCAAAGUGCUGCGAAAUCACCCUUUUGUUGCGAAGUGAUUUCGCAGCAUUUUUGUACAGUAAGUUGUUUCUCCUUCUGACGAUGCACGAUUUAUGCCGCGAGAAGGAAGCUAGGAACCUCAAGGUGGAAGCCAACUUCGCAGCCCUGUGAAGAUAGCUUGGUGUUGCGAAAAUAUUUCGCAGCCCUCUUGAGUGUCUGCGAAAUCUCGCAGACACCAUUUUUCUCCUGUGAAAUGGUUCCUGAAGCCUCCCGAUAUUUGCUACCGACAUUGGGAGAUAUUUUCCAUUAGAUUUUUGUUGUCUAAAUCCCAAAAUACUCCUUGUAAACCUCCAAUUACAAGAUUCCUUAGCUUUUAAGUUAGUAAAAAGACUAAAUAUCUUUGUAACAAUUAGUUUUAUAUUAUGUUCAUAUAUAUACCUCUCGGGAGCCUGUUCUCGGAGAGGAGUUCCUUCUGAAAAAGUUUGGGUAAGCAAGUAAAGUCUAUUUUCUUUCUACUGCCUUACCUUAUCACUUUGUAUUUUCAUUUCAUUUCUAAGUUAUGAAUUCUCUGAGGAGUUUUCCCCAGAGAAUGAGUAACUAAACCUCUAGUUCCUUGGAGCUAAGGUUGCCGGGGAAGGUUCCAAGUGCACGAAUGCAAAGCUUUGUGGUUUUAGCUUUUAAUGAAGAGGAAGUGAAAUCCUUUAAUGAUUUCUAUGUUUUUAGUUAACUUAAAACACCUUAGAGUCACCUGGGCCAACACUUGGUAAGGCAAGUGAUUUCCAACCAUGGAAAUGCACUAGUUUACCUCUUGCGAGCCUCUGGGAGGUGAUUUCAAGGUAGGAUUUUCUGGAAUUACCAACACUUGGUAAGCUUUUGGACUCCUAGGAGACAUCCAUUAGUUAUCUCUUGCGAGUUUGUGAAGGGAAGUCCAAGAUUAAAGAUCAUCUUGAAUGGUAAGUGCUCGUGAGAGGCAUGAACCAUUGCAAGUUGCAUCAGUGAGAGAAUUAAAGUGAAAUCUAAUUGAAGGAGUCUCUGUACAACACCGGUUAGAGAAUUGACUAUAUGUUGAAUCUCUAACGCGAGGAAAUGAACCAUCUGACCGGAGCUAUGUCUUUUGCAUGAGGAAUCACCCCAGUGAACCUAACUCUCCAGGGAAUGCUUUUCUUCCUAAAUUAUUCCAAACUUCUGUUAUGUUAGUUAGUUUAAGUAUAAACCUUUACCAAUCAAAGUUUGUGUUUUACUUCUUAAGCUAACCGUGAAAUGAAACAAGACCAAUUCACUUGGAAUUGGUAUCAUUGAUAGCUUGCUAAUCCUUCCCAGUGAACGAUCCUAGAGCCGCUAUACUAUAGUAGCUUUUUCUUUGCUACCCUAGUAUAUGGUGUAAUAGGUAUAAAUUUUGUUGAUUACUCCCUCAUCCAAGGAGCACCAGCUGGACAUGAAUCAGUUGAGACACCAAUUGGGCACGAAUCAACAACAACAUAAAGGAUGGUUGUUUCUUGAACCGGUAUAGAUUUAACAAUGAAGAUUUAAUCCAUAAAAAGUCAAUAGAAAUGGUAGUCAAGUUCCAUUAAUGGCUUUAGACACUAUGGGUCUUCACCUUGAGCCACUUUCCAAUGGCUCGUACAUGAUAACUAAUGGUCUUAUGUGGAUCUAGCAAUAAGUAUCCACAGAGACCUAAAAGCUUAUCAUGUAUUGGCCAUUCAAAGUGAUUCAAAGGGAUUUAAAGCAAAACUUUAGAUUUUAAAAACCAUUUAUGAACUCCAACUACCUGUAUUUAAAGCACUAGAAUUUUCCACUUUUGCAUCUGGACUUUUCACCUAGCUUCCUUCACUCCAAGAAACUAAAGGUUUAGCCUCUCAUCCUCUGGGAAAACAUCCUCAGAGGUUGUUUGGCUUCCAAGAAAAAGAAAAUACAAUAAAAAAGAGAAGGUAAAAGCAGAGCAAAGCUCUGUAUUUUUCUUCAUUUCAAAACUAUACAAAAGAUGUGUCGUCCUCCUUCCCCUGAGAACAGGCUCCCAAGAGAUAUUUAUAUAGAAAAUUACAAAACAAAAUAUCUUUUGGAUAUUCAUCCUUUUUCCAAACUUAAUAACUAAGGAAUCCUAUAAUUGGUGGAUUACAAGGAGAGUUUGGGAAUUUAGACAUCAAAUAUCUAAAGCAAAAUAUCUCACAAUGUCGGUCGCAAAGAUGGGAAGCUUUAGGAGAAAACCACGGCACUGCAAGAUGGCCGCAAAACUCUCCGGGUAAGCGUUAUCCUCGGAUCCGAAUAUGUAUAUCCGGAUAGUUGAAACGCCUUCUCUCCCAUCCGGAUAUGUCUACCGAAUAUGAGACAUCCGGAGAAGGUAGAACUUCGAUCGGACUGUGAUACAUCCGGGUAAGUGCUAUUAGAAAAGAGGAUCCGGAUAUGUCUGCUAGAGGAAGUUGAAACGCCUCUUUUCCCAUCCGGCUCCUGAAUUCCGGAUGUCAUCCGGAAUGAUGGCGGCGCUGGAUGUAAGUGGCAGUAGCCGGAUUCCGGAUGUGAUACAUCCUGGUGGUAAGUGGCGGUAGCCGGAUGGAAUUCUUACCCGGAUGGAAUGAGCUGGAUCCCAUACUCCUUGUAUUCUGGAUUUGCUUAAGGAUUCCAAAGAACUCUCCUCAAUCUCAUAUUGCUUUGGUGAUAAAAAAGCUAUCAAAACACCAAAACUUAACACAAUUUGAUUAGAAUUGAUUGCAAGGGUCCUUAACAUGCCAAAUGGGUUAAAAGGUAAUAACUACUACUCAAAAGUGUUUAAAAGAGUUAAUUACCAGUUAUGAAAUAACACUUUUUGAGUAGUAAUCACUCCCCCCAACCGACAUAUUGCUAGUCCCUUAGCAAUGAAGGAGAGAAAAAUAAAAAUAAACAAUACUAUAAUUUACAACAUCAUGCUGAUCAAAAAACAAUUUCCAAGUGGCAUGAUGAUCUAACUCUCACAUGGAACAUUAAAGAAAUAAAACUCAAACUUCAACAAGAGUUAUCAAAUAACUUGUCUAAUCACUAUUCUUAAAGAGAAGACAUUAUGCAAACUUAAGCUUUAAAAUCAUUUCCACUUCCAUAGGAUCAAACCUUACUCUUCCACAAAAAUCUAAGUGUUAUUUAUUAGCUUCUGAAUAUAGUAUGUUGAACUAAUCUCUCCCCCAAACCUAGUUCUUUUUCAAAGCUUCGCAAACUGGUCAACCUCCAAUAGGCUAAGAACGCACCUCUUUUUUUCACAAUUUUUUUCUUGUAGGAGUACAAGGCUAAAGGUAUUUUUUUUCUAAAUUGUCCAUGUAACGGGGGUCCAUCGAUGACUCCCAACCAAUUAAGGCUUAGGGCAUCAAGUUUUAAGGAUCUUUCAACUACUAACUCCUUGGAUUUUACCCCGGACUUUUAAGAAUGAAUUUUUAAUACCCAAGCACCUACAGUAUGUUAAACUCCACCUAUCCACCCUUGUAACGAGCAUUGAGGUCGGUGACUCCCAACCAAUGAAGGCUUAGGGCACCAGGUUUUAAAGAUUUUCACCAUAUACCCCUUAGACCUUGCUCGGGUUUCAAGGCAAGUAAACAUUUUUUCUUUCUUUUUUUUUUUUUUUCAAAGACUCAUUGGCCUUUUAUAAGGUGUCCCAACACUAUUAAAUGAGGUCAAAGGUACCAAGUCUAAAUUUUCCUAAGUUAAGAGGGAAAUAGUUUUUCAUCUUAUACUCGGAACCUAUUGUGCACAGUGUGUGAAUAGCUUAAAGUGGAAGAACUGAGGUUGAAUUCACUAAAAGUUUCAACAAUUCAUCAACUUUAGUAAGCAUAAUACAAAAUCUAAGUCAAGUAAAAAGACAAAAAUUCAAUUUCUCCCAUUUCAUUUUGAAAAUUUUUCCUUAAUAACCAUGGAGAGUAGAAAAAAACUUUAAAAAUUUUAAAAAUUAAGCAAAAAACAACUAAAUUACCAAAAUACUUAGCAUUAUUAACAAAAACUUCCUUCCUCAACUCUCCUCCCAACCAAGCUGAACAUUGUCCUCAAUGUGACAACAACGAUUGAACAAUAGGGAGGAAGUGGUGCCUCCUGAGUGGUAUGAAGUUCAAGUAGAAUAGGAGAACCCACAUGUUUCAAAAAACAAUAAAAGAUAUGAGUAGAGGAAUUAAAAAAAUAUAAUGCUAAGUGCUCACAAAUGAUAGAGAUUUGUAUUACUUGAUGGCAACACAAUUUUAUAUAAAAAACAAGCAAUACAACCAAUCCCACUAUAUAAUACCAAAAAUAUGGGAUUUCAUAAAGGAAAUACAUAAAGUAAAGUAUGUAAAUGAUCAGAAAUAGGGAGGAUGAUGAUGGUAAGCUGAUGGCUCAGGUAGAUGUCUCUGCAUCUUCAGUAGCCGGCUCAGGAGGGGCAUGGGGCUCCGUGGCCUCUGAGUGGGGCACUGCAGUGGUAGGGGUAAGAUGCUCAGUAGCUGAUGGAAGACCCAGAUGGUGCUGAAGCUGCCUCAGGAUGGCAGUGUGUUGAGUCUAGGUGGUCAAAAUCUGCUCCUAGUGAGCACGAAUAGCUGACAUCUCUUGAGCAAGGCUACUCUGAGUCGCAGUCAGUGUCUGCAAUGUGUGGCAUAGAUCUCUAUACUCUGAAACGGGUAUGGUCAUCCUAGGCUCGGCUGAAGUAGAGGGCUCUGAUGCAGUUGGAAUAACUAGAGGGGUACUAUGGGUGGCAGGAAAAGCAAAGGGUAUACCCUCAGGUAUGGGCUCUGGAGAUGCUCUCCUGGCAGCUGGUAUCUCAGCUGGCUGUGGGUCCUCUGGCUGCUGUGGCUGUGGAAGCUCUGGAUGCUCUGCUCUAUAUGCUGUCAUAUUGGUCCACUUGUCGAGAGUGAAUACCUCUUGGCAUAUACGUCUGCGCUCCAGCUGAGGGUCUGAUGGAUACCCCAGAUGCUCCAAAAUUUGACAUAGCAAUUGUGGGAAAAGAAGUGGAAUAGCAUCUGCUCUUAGCAGCUUCUUCCUAUGCACCUUCUCUUCAAAGUAGAGAAGGGCAGCCAUAAUCAGAUGGUGAGGGCCAAAGAAAUAUCCCUCUGAUAUCCUAAACAGGGCCUCUAGCAGAACUCCUCUCCUCUGCACCCAAUGCUGAAGUGGAUAAAUGUUGUGGCGCAGGAGUGCAUCAAUGAAGAACAUGCUCGGAGGAAGUUCCUUCCUCAACAGAUAUGGAUUUGUGGAUGUUCCUCUGGACAAAAUAUGAACCAUUUCAAGCUGGGAAGGAUUAGUCCAUACUCGGUAAUCCUUUAGACGGGCUGGCUCAUAUGGAAUAUGCAGGGCCUUUGCUAUGUGGCGAGCUCCUAAAAUACCAUGACGUCAUUCAAUGGUGAAGUGGAUAAGAGUAGGAUCUUUGAUCUGAUUAAUAGUCAUGGACUGAUAGAAGUCCAUUGCUACUCGGGGAUAGAAAAAAUCCCUGGGGGUCAGCAAUUGCUCCAUGUGAAAUCUGUGUAGUAGAUGGAAUGAGUCUGCGAGCUUCGGCUGAAACCUGAAGGUGGCUGUGUCAAAACACAGCUCAGAGUGAAAUGGUCGAGCCCGACAAUCUAAAUUCCCCUCAAUGGGCGGCUGAGCGACCAUCGGACGCUUGAUCAGCACCUCAGGAGCUAUCCCUGAGGGAAUUUGAGACUUUGCAAAUGGCGGUUGCGACGGCUGAGGCUCCACUGGAUUCUCUGAAGAUAGCGCCGGAGACAGCUCUGUAGAUGGGUCCGGAGAGGGCUCUGGAGAGGAGUCCAGAGACUGCUCCGUUAAGUCUAUUGGCUCUGAAUCUACUACCCUAGCUUUCUUUUGUGGGGGAUGCCCCCUUGACCUGGUCUGAUAACGCUUCACCUAAGGACUCAACGGCGCGGGUUCCGCCGGAGGUGGUGCGGCUACUUAUCGCGGAGGCUCUGAUGUGGAGCCUUGAACAGGCGCCUCUCGCUCGACUCUCUUGCGGCCGGACGAAAAUGAUGACUUUGCUCCUCUGGUUCGCGCCAUGGCGGACCGAAGAGAAUGGUCAGAGGUGAUGGCCGGUGGCUCGCUCGGCUUCGGGCUCAGGUGAGAGAGCGAACGAACGGUUGCUCUGGUGUUUUUUCUUUCUGAAACCUUUUGGCAGCUCAAAUGACCGGUUUUUAUAAAAAAUAAAGGAAUAUAAAGGGUCAUUUUGAUUUUCGCAGAGGAAGGCUGAUUUCGCAGCAAAAGGUUGUUUUCGCAACAAAAGGCCAUUUUCGUAGCCCAUUUCGCAGCUGCGAAAUGGGGGGAACUAUGCUGCGAAAUGGCACUCGUGUGCUUAAGUGUGGUUUCGCAGCUGCGAAAAUUUUCGCAGAGAGGGGCUUGAGGCUGCGAAAUGAUUUCGCAGCAAAAUAGCGAUUUUGCAGCGAAGUGGCGAUUUCGCAGAGGCUUUUUUUAGGCUGCGAAAUCUCGCAGACCCUUGUUUUUCCCCUGUUUUACACUCUUUCUUGCUCCAAACGACUUUCCUUCAAUUUCUUUGCAAUGACUCCUGAUUUUGAUCAUCCAAAAACCUAUAUUACAUCAAAACAAAUUAGAAUGAAAUUAAGGUCAAAAAUAAAAAUCAAAACAUGCAUAUACACAAGAAAAAACACUAGAUUAAACUAAAAUCAACGCAAAAGGAAACAAAAAGAGGGUGAACUUUUUAGUCUUUGAAGAGACUAAAUUCAACCACGAACUGAGUGUUUUCAUGUUAGAGGUGGAUCAAGGAGGAUGAAUUCCUCCUUGUCUCGGGAAAAUGAUUCCAUAUAGGGCUUGAGACGAUGCCCAUUCACUUUGAAAGUUCGAGUGCUCUUGAAGUUGAGUAGUUCCACUACUCCAUUUGAUUGCACGUCAUGAAUUAUAAAAGGACCCGUCCACCUUGAUUUCAAUUUUCCCGGAAAAAGAUGAAGUUUAGAGUCAUAAAGCAAGACUCUUUGUCCCUUAGUAAAAUUCUUCUGAUUUACCAACUGAUCAUGCCAUUUCUUCAGCCUCUCUUUUGCAAUUUUUGAAUUGAGGUAAGCAUCAUUCCUCAUUUCCUCCAAUUCGUUCAAAUCCAAACAUCUCUUUAACCCGGCUCUUGUCAAAUCCAUGUUGAGCUUCUUGAUUUCCCACCAUGCUUUAUAUUCAACCUCCACUGGGAGAUGGCAUGCUUUGCCAUAAACAAGGCGAUAAGGAGACAUUCCAAGAAUGGUCUUAUAAGCGGUCCUAUAAGCCCAUAAUGAAUCCAGGAGCUUAAUAGACCAAUCCUUCCUAUUCACAUUCACCACCUUCAUCAAUAUAUUCUUGAUCUCCCGGUUGGCUAACUCAACUUGGCCACUUGUUUGAGGGUGAUAAGGUGUAGCUACCUUGUGCUUGACCCCAUAUUUGGCUAGAAGAGUCUUAAAAGGCUUGUUGCAAAAGUGGUUUCCUCCAUCACUGAUAAUGGCCUUAGGCACUCCAAACCUUGAAAAGAUGUUCUCCUUGAGAAAUUUGAGAACCACCUUAUGAUCAUUGCUCCUACAUGGGACUGCUUCUACCCACUUAGAGACAUAAUCCACUCCCACCAAAAUGUAGGAGUGUCCAAAUGACAUUGGAAAUGGUCCCAUGAAGUCUAUCCCCCAAACAUCAAAGACAUCCACUAUCAAGAUGGGGUUCAAGGGCAUCAUAUUUCGGCGUGUUAGCUUCCCAAGCCUUUGACACCGAUCACAUCCCUUGCACAUAGAGUGGGCAUCCUUGAAAAGAGAGGGCCAUCAAAAACCUGAUUGGACCACUCUCAUGGCUGUUUUCUAGGAAGCAAAAUGACCUCCACAUGCACUAUCAUGACAAUGGGAUAGAAUUCCUGAUUGCUCUGGUUCAGGAACACAUUUCCUUAUGAUUUGAUCCGCACAAUAUUUGAAGAGAAAAGGCUCCUCCCAAUAAUAGGCAUGGAUCUUAGCAAAGAAAUGCUUCUUGUCUUGGGCACUUCACUCACUUGGAACUUUUCCAGUAACCAAGUAAUUUGCAAUGUGAGAAUACCAUGGAGCUACCUCUAUUGACAUGAGAGACUCCUCAGGGAAGUCAUCAUUAAUAGGUAGGCCAUGUGAGUCAUGUGCUAUCACAAGUCUUGACAAGUGGUCAGCUACCACAUUUUCUACUCCCUUUUUAUCCCGGAUUUGGAGAUUGAAUUCUUGAAGCAAAAGGAUCCAUCUUAUCAAUCUUGCCUUGGCAUCUUGCUUGGUUAGCAAGUACUUCAAAGCAGAAUGGUCAGUGAACACCACUAUACAGGACCCUACUAAAUAGGCACGAAACUUAUCCAAGGCAAAAACUACUGCCAACAACUCCUUCUCAGUAGUUGUGUAGUUCCUUUGAGCCUCAUUCAAAGUUUUGCUUGCAUAAUAAAUCACAUAGGGCUUUCCAUCUUCUCUUUGCCCCAAAACAGCCCCCAUAGCAAGAUCACUUGCAUCACACAUUACCUCAAAAGGUAAUUUCCAAUUUGAGGCUCUCACUAUUGGUGCAGUUGUGAGGAAUUGCUUCAGUUCCUCAAAACUCUUCUGACAUUUCUCAUCCCACACAAACUUGGCAUCCUUUACCAAGAGUUCACAAAGAGGUUUUGAGAUUUUUGAGAAAUCCUUAAUGAACCUCCUAUAGAACCCGGCAUGUCCUAGGAAUUGCCUAAUUCCUUUAACAUUUGUGGGAGGUGGCAACUUAACAAUUAGCUCCACCUUUGCCUUAUCUACCUCAAUGCCAUUCUUGGAGAUUAUAUGUCCUAAGACAAUUCCUUGUUGUACCAUAAAAUAGCACUUCUCCCAAUUUAGCACUAGGUCUUUCUCAAUACAUCUUUGGAGAACAGCUUCUAAAUGCAACAAACACUCCUUAUAAGAACCUCCAUAUACAGUGAUGUCAUCCAUGAAGACUUCCAUGAUGCGCUCCACCAUAUCACUGAAGAUGCUUAGCAUACAUCUUUGGAAAGUUGCAGGUGCAUUACAUAGACCAAAGGGCAUCCUCCUAUAGGUAAAAGUACCAAAGGGGCAAGUGAAGGUUGUCUUUUCUUGAUCUUCCAAAUCAAUCUCUAUUUGGAAGUACCCCGAGUAACCAUCCAAAAAACAGUAGAAAGGAUGCCCUGAGACUCUUUCAAGGACUUGGUCCAUGAAAGGCAAUGGGAAAUGGUCUUUCCCAGUCACUGAAUUCAACCUCCUGUAGUCUAUACACACCCUCCAUCCUGAGGUAAGACGUGUAGAGACUUCCUCCCCUUUCUCAUUUUGGAUCACAGUAAUUCCAGAUUUCUUUGGGACUACUUGGGUUGGGCUCACCCACAAGCUAUCUGAAAUGGGAUAUAUGAUCCCUGCUUGAAGUAGCUUCAGAACUUCACCCCUUACCACCUCUUGCAUGUGAGGAUUCAACCUCCUCUGGGGCUGCCUCACUGGUUUAGCAUCUUCCUCCAUGAAGAUAUGGUGGGUGCAUACCAAAGGGCUAAUCCCUUUCAAAUCAGAAAUGUGUCAUCCAAUGGCCUUUUGCAUUUUUUGAGGACUCCCAAAAGACUAUCCUCUUGAUCACUUGUGAGAGUUGAAGAAACCACCAUUGGACAUUUCUCAUCUUCCUCCAAAUAUGCAUACUUCAAAUCAACAGGAAGUGGCUUCAAAACUAGUUUUGGAGGGUCCUCCCUAGCUGCUCCUUGUGAGUCCUCCUUAUUGAACAAGGGUAAGAUCUCUUCCCUUCUCCUCCAAGGAGACAUGACGACUAACACAUCAGAGGGUUCAGGUAACCCUUCUUCAAGCACUCCAAGGCUUUCAUUCAAGCUCUUUUCUAAAUUCUUGUCACAAUGCUCUUCAACCAAAGUGUUGAUCAAGUACGCCUCCUCCAAUCCUUCCUCCUCUUCGGGGUGAAGAUGCCUCUUGCAUAGGUGGAAUAUGUUUAGUUCCAAGGUCAUGUUUCCAAAUGUGAACUGCAUCACCCCAUUCCUACAAUUGAUGAUGGCAUUGGAGGUAGCUAGGAAAGGUCUCCCUAGGAUGAUUGGCACAUGAUUUGUUUCCUUAAUAGUGAGAUCAGUAUCAAGCACCACAAAAUCCACGGGAUAGUAGAAUUUGUCCACUUGAACUAAAACAUCCUCUAUCACUCCCCUUGGGAUUUUGACUGACCUAUCAACUAAGGAGAGAGUGACGGUUGUGGGCUUCAAUUCUCCAAGUCCCAGUUGCUUAUACACAGAGUAUGGGAGCAAAUUCACACUUGCCCCCAAGUCUAGUAAAGCCUUCUCCACAUGUGUCCCUCCAAUGUUGACUGAAAUGGUGGGACACCCCGGAUCUUUGUACUUAACUGGAGACUUACACUGAAUGAUGGCACUUACUUGCUCAGUGAGGAAUGCCUUCUUUGUCACAAUUAACCCUCUCUUGACCGUGCACAAGUCCUUUAAAAUUUUUGCAUAUGUGAGGACUUGCUUGAUCAUAUCAAGGAAGGGUAUAUUCACCUUCACUUGUCUCAAAAUUUCAAGAAUUUCUGAUGAAUUCUUGAUUCCCUUCUUUCCAUGUAAAGCUUGAGGAAAAGGGGGAGGCAUAUGUUUCUUCAUCAUAUCCUCUUUAAUCACUAUCCUUGGCUCAUCUUCAAUGCUUGAAUCAGAUGCAUUUUUCUUCCCACUCUUCUCUUCUUGGUUAUUGCUCUCUUUAACCAAGGUUCUCCUUGACAUGAGUUCUUCAUCUUGCCUCACCUUAGGCAAGGGUUGGUCAACCUCCUUCCCACUCCUCAAGGUGAUCACAGCUUUAACCUCCCUCAACUUUGAAGACUCCCCAUCUUGGGUUUCAACUUCAUGAACACCCUUUGGAUUUUGGCUUGGUUGAGAGGGAAACUUUCCUUUCUCAAUCACUGUGUUGAGGUUGGUAAGCGUAGAGAUGGAGUAUUGAAUAUUAUCCAUCUUCUGAGAUAGAUCAUUUUGCAUCCCAUCCAUUCUCUUAAUUUGAGAACUUUCAACAUUUUCAAUCUUUUGGUGCAAUUGGGAGUUGAUUGCCUUUUGUUCACCCACAAAGUCACCCAUGACUUUACUUAGGUUCACAAUGGCUUGCUCCACUGAAGAGGUUUGUUGAGGUGCUUGGGUUUGGGCUUGUGGUUGGUAUGGAGGUGGCCUUGGUUUCCAAGAAAAAUUUGGAUGGUUUCUCCAGCUUGAAUUAUAGGUGUUUCCAUAAGGUGCAUUGUUGUUGGGCCUAAAUUGCCCCACAACAUUGGCUUGAUCACCUAACAUUUCCCUAACAGCUGGGAUGGUUGGGCACUCAUCUACCACAUGAUCACAUGAUUGGCAAAUGGUGCAUGGCAUGACAUGGGCUUGUGUCUCGGAAAUGGCUUAGACUUCAUGCAUUUUUUUCAACUCAAGUUCUUCCAACCUCCUUGCCAUUGUUGCUACCUUAGCUUUCAUGUCCAUGUCUUCACUUAACAUGUACAUUCCAACCUUUGGAUUUACAGGAGCUUUCAUCCUUCCCAUUUCUCUUGAGUUGGGUUCAUCCCAUCCUCUUGAUACCUCAGAUACAUAACUUAGAAAGUCCAUGGCUUCUUCCGGAUUCUUACUCAUAAAAUCUCCCCCACACAUGGUUUCAAAAAUUUGCUUCAUGCAGGAAGACAUCUCAUCAUAAAAAUAGCUCACCAAGAGCCAUGUAUCAAAGCCAUGAUGAGGACAAGCAUUGAUGGCCUCCAUAUACCUUUCCCAACAUUCAUAGAACUUCUCAUUUUCUUUUGCAGAAAAAUUUGAGAUUUGUCUCUUCAACCUAUUGGUCCUAUGAGUGGGGAAAAAUUUCUUCAAAAAUUCGGCCUGAAGAUCAACCCAAUUCCUUAUGCUCCUUGGCCUUAAAGAGUUAAGCCAUAUUUUUGCCUUGUCCUUCAAAGUAAAAGGGAAUAGCUUGAGUCUCAUCAAGUCUAUUGAAGCUCCUCCCCCUCCAAAAGUAUUGCACACCUCCUCAAACUCCUUGAUGUGGGCAUAUGGGUUCUCACUCUCCAUUCCAUGGAAAUUUGGUAGGAGGGGCACAAUAUGAGGCCUUAUAAUCAGCUGCUCAAGAGGAGGUACGAUGCAUGAGGGUGCACUCAUCCUUGGUGGGUGCAUUCUAUCCCUCAUGGAUAGAUAUGCAUUUGGAUUAUCCCCUUGAACGUGUUGAGAAUUCUGAUCCUAUUGUGGAGGGUCCAUGAUGUUUACACAGAUAUCCAACUCUGUGUCUUGAGGAUUCUCAAUCCUUACUAGUCUUCCCUCUUGGUUCCGAAUCCAAUAGGGCAUGCACAAGUUACAACUUCCCUGAAAACAAAACAAAGACAACAAAAACAAAAGAAAACUAGAAGAAAAUUAAGGUUAGAAAGAAAAUGAAAGUAAACUUAACAAAAGGAAUUCUACAAUAAAAAAAAAAUGAAGUUAGUGAAAAAGGAAUUCACCAAACUUGUGAUGGAAAUCACAAGUAGCCUCUAAAAAGUUGUAUCACUAUAUCGUGGCACCAUCCCCGGCAACGGCGCCAUUUUGAUUGUGCCCAGUAGGGUAUUUUAAUCAAAAAUAUUUAUAAAUCCUAUGACCUUAUACUAGCGUAGCAAAGCUACUAUAGUAUAGCAUCUAUAGGGUCGAACUCUGGGAUGGGUUUUCAUUCUACCAGUGAUAAACUCAAGAUUAGAAAUUGAAUCUGAUGAUUUCCUUUGUCAAAAACUUAAAGUUUAAAAGAAAAUAAAAUUUGUUUUGAAAGUGGUGUUUGAAACUAAACUAACAUAGAACUAGGUAAAAAUGGAAGAAAGAAAGUCUCCCGGAGCUAGAGGUUGCUAGAAUCAAGUUCAGAAUGCAAAGUGGGAAAUUCCGGAUUUUUCUCCUCGUAUUAGGGACAACAACAUAAAGGAUGGUUGUUUCCCGAACCGGUAUAGAUUUAACAAUGAAGAUUUAAUCCAUAAAAAGUCAAUAGAAAUGGUAGUCAAGUUCCAUUAAUGGCUUUAGACACUAUGGGUCUUCACCUUGAGCCGCUUUCCAAUGGCUCGUACAUGAUAACUAAUGGUCUUAUGUGGAUCUAGCAAUAAGUAUCCACAGAGACCUAAAAGCUUAUCAUGUAUUGGCCAUUCAAAGUGAUUCAAAGGGACUUAAAGCAAAACUUUAGAUUUUAAAAACCAUUUGUGAACUCCAACUACCUGUAUUUAAAGCACUAGAAUUUUCCACUUUUGCAUCUGGACUUUUCACCUAGCUUCUCUCACUCCAAGAAACUAAAGGUUUAGCCUCUCAUCCUCUGGGAAAACAUCCUCAGAGGUUGUUUGGCUUCCAAGAAAAAGAAAAUACAAUAAAAAAGAGAAGGUAAAAGCAGAGCAAAGCUCUGUAUUUUUCUUCAUUUCAAAACUAUACAAAAGAUGCGUCGUCCUCCCUCCCCUGAGAACAGGCUCCCAAGAGAUAUUUAUAUAGAAAAUUACAAAACAAAAUAUCUUUUGGAUAUUCAUCCUUUUUCCAAACUUAAUAACUAAGGAAUCCUGUAAUUGGUGGAUUACAAGGAGAGUUUGGGGAUUUAGACAUCAAAUAUCUAAAGCAAAAUAUCUCACAAUGUCGGUCGCAAAGAUGGGAAGCUUCAGGAGAAAACCACGGCACUGCAAGAUGGCUGCAAAACUCUCCGGGUAAGCGCUAUCCUCGGAUCUGGAUAUGUAUAUCCGGAUAGUUGAAACACCUCCUCUCCCAUCCGGAUAUGUUUACCGAAUGUGAGACAUCCGGAGAAGGUAGAACUUCGGUCGGACUGUGAUACAUCCGGGUAAGCGCUAUUAGAAAAGAGGAUCCGGAUAUGUCUGCUAGAGGAAGUUGAAACGCCUCUUUCCCCAUCCGGCAUGAUGACGGCGUUGGAUGUAAGUGGCGGUAGCCGGAUUCCGGAUGUGAUACAUCCUGGUGGUAAGUGGCGGCAGCCGGAUGGAAUUCUUACCUGGAUGGAAUGAGCUGGAUCCCAUACUCCUUGUAUUCUGGAUUUGCUUAAGGAUUCCAAAGAACUCUCCUCAAUCUCAGAUUGCUUUGGUGAUAAAAAAGCUAUCAAAACACCAAAACUUAACACAAUUUGAUUAGAAUUGAUUGCAAGGUCCUUAACAUGCCAAUUGGGUUAAAAGGUAAUAACUACUACUCAAAAGUGUUUAAAAGAGUUAAUUACCAGUUAUGAAAUAGCACUUUUUGAGUAGUAAUCAGUCUCUUUAUCGCUUAGUCUAUGGCAAAGCAUGCCAUCUCCCUAUGGAAUUGGAAUACAAAGCUUGGUGGGCAAUCAAGAAACUCAACAUGGAUUUGAGCAGAGUUGGGUUGAAGAGGUUCUUAGACCUCAAUGAGAUAGAGAAAUUGAGAAAUGAUGCCUACAUCAAUUCAAAAAUUGCAAAAGAGAAAUUGAAAAGGUGGCAUGAUUAGUUGAUUUCCCGUAAGGAUUUUCGAAAGGGACAAAGAGUCUUGCUCUAUGACUCUAAGCUCCACAUCUUUCCGGGUAAGCUGAAAUCAAGGUGGAUAGGUCCUUUUACCAUUCACCAAGUGCAUUCAAAUGGAGUAGUGGAACUACUCAACUCCAACAGCACCAGAAGCUUCAAAGUGAAUGGCCACCGUCUCAAGCCCUUUGUGGAGCAUUUUUCUCGCGACAAGGAGGAAUUCAUCCUCCUUGAUCCACAUCAAGCUUGACAAGACCAAUCCUUUUGAUGGACUUAGUCUUUCUAAAGACUAUCGAGUCUAUAUCUUUUUGUUUUAUUUUUUAUUUGAGAGUUUUCCUGUAUUAUUACUUAUUUUUAUUUUUAUUUCUCGUUUUUAUUUUAUCUUGGUUUGAUUUAACUUAGGUUUUUGAUGAUCAAUUGUAGGGGGACUUCAAAUAGAGGAAAAACCAAGUAAAUUCGCACACACUGCGAAAUUUUCAUAGGGCAUGCGAAAUUCAUGAAUCAUUUUGCAUGGGGUGCGAAAAUAAAAACACCUUGCGAACUCAUUUUGCACACUUCGUGAAAUUUUCAUAGAGCAUGCGAAAAAUUUCGCACACCUAACACCAUUUGGCACACUGUACGAAAACCUAAGGGGUUUGCGAAGUAAUUUCGCACCCCAUAUGCCAUUUCGCAUGCUGUGCAAAACUCAAGGGACGCUGUGCAAAAAUGAAAAGUCCCUACCAUUCCUUUUUAAACCCCUGAGCCCUAAUUUCUCCAUUUCGCAAACACCAAACACCCUAUGAAUUCCUCAUUUUCCUCUGCCACCUUGCGACCUCAUCCAUAUCCAUUCAAUAUCCUGCCCCGUGCACAUCACUUUGAAGACUCACACUCCAAGCCAUAUUGGAGCACGGACCCGAGGAGCUCUUCCCGCCCCUUCACCGAGUCGCACUUUGAGACAAAUGGCCUCCACUGCUCAGGUAUCUAGUGAUUCUCCAUCUCAGGCCAUGGAGGCCCCGCGGAUUCCACCUUCUGAGGGUGGAGCGCCCACUAGUCCUUCAUUUUCGGCUCCUCAGCGCAGAUAUGAGAUGAAGAGACCACCUACUACACCAGGGGCGACUAUUUUACGCCCUGAGAGUUCAGUACGACGCCCUCCUACCAAGAGGGCUAGGACUUUAGGCUCAGACGAGUCAUCCAAAGCUCCACAGCCUGAGCCUCCGGUAGCUACACAUGCUAGAGCUCCUGCAGAUUCUGAGCUCCUUUUUGACAUGUCACUAGAGUCUAUUAUCAGACGCCCGAUGGUCACAACACCGCCCAUUGAGGGUAACUCAAAUUGUAGAGCGAGACCGUUCCACUCGGAGUUAUAUUUUGAUCAAGAGGUCACGCAACAGUAGCCUGAGCUCUGAGACUCAUAUGGCCUACUACAAAGGUACCAUCUUGAGCACCUUAUGACUCCUCGUGAGUUCUUUUAUCCUAAAGUAGCACUAGACUUUUACCAAUCCAUGACUACUCGUGGCGUCUCAAGUCCUACCGUGAUACACUUCACCAUUGAUGGACGUCAUGGUGUCCUCGAGGCCAGACAUAUUACAGAGGCUCUAUAGAUUCCUUUCGAGCCAGUGGAUCCGUUUGUUUUCUGCCAGUGGUCCCCAAUAUCUCAAAGGGACAUGGUCCGUAUUUGAUCCAGAAAGACCUCUUCAGAUUCAAUCCUUCUACGAAAGGAGCUUCCACCUGGGAUGCUCCUCAUAGAUGUGGUGCUAUGCUCCAACCUCUUUCCCUUACAGCAUUCGGUAUAGAGGUAAGGAGAUAUUUUGGACACUUUAUUUCGUAUAUCAGAGGGCUUCUACUUUGGCCCGCACCACUUGAUCAUGGCCUUUCUUGCCCACUUUGAGGAGAAGGUCCAUAGGUGAUUCGUGCCCAGCUGGUGUACCUUGAUUUUGGUCCUCAGACGGGAGUAAUCAACAAAAUUUAUAACCUAUUAUACCAUGUACUAGGAUAGCCUCAGCUAGCAUAGCAUAGUGCCUCUAGGAUCGUUCACUGGGAUGGGUUUUCACUUUACAAUUGAUAUUAGUUCAAAGCUGAAUUUGUGCUUUUUCAUUUCAAGGUUAGCUCUAAAAGAAAACAUAAAGAUGUUUGAAAAGGUUGGUUUUUAAGUGAAACAAAAAAUAAAGUAACGGGAAUUACUUACUAAGAAAAGCGUUUCUUGGAGUUUUAGGAUCACUGGGGUCAGGCUCCUCAUGCAAAAACAGAGCUCCUGUCACUUGAGUCUUUUCCUCGUGUUGGGGAUUUAACAUAUAGUUAUUUCCCGAACUGGUGUGGUACAGAUGCUUCCCUUUAAUGGGUUCAAACACUAAAUCCCUCUCACUGAUACAUCUUGCAAUGGUUCAUACCUCUCACCUAGCAUUGGCCAUUCAAGAUGAUCCUUAACUUUGGAUUACCCGUCAAAAGCUCGCAAGAGAUAACUAAUGGAUGUCUCCUUAGAGUCCAAAAGCUUACCAAGUGUUGGCUAUUCUAGAAAAUCCUACCUUUAAACCACCUCCCAAAGGCUCGCAAGAGGUAAACUAGUGCAUCUCAAUGGACGGAGAUCACUUGCCUUACCAAGUGUUGGCCCCGGUGAUUUCAAGGCGUUUUAAGUUAACUAAAAAGAUAAAAACCAUUAACGGGUUACACUUUCUCUUCAUUAGUAGCUGAAACAACAAAACUUCCAAUUUUUGCAUUUGGAAACUUACCCGGCUUUCUUCACUCCAAGAGACAAAAAGCUUAGCCACUCAUCCUCUGAGGAAACAUCCUUAGAGUUUGAUUUGUUAGAAAUAAAAAUAACGAGAAAACAAAAAUAUGAAGGAAAAACAGAGCAAGUGCUCUGUAGAAUAUUUUUCUUACUAUCGUCGAUUACAUAUCUGAUAUAUGAUUCCUCUUCUCUUUACAUUGGUUCAAAGAUAUAUAUAGAGAAGAUAUUUUCUAAGAAAUAUCCCAAUAAUAUCUUCGACUGAUUACAAGGAGAAAAUAGAAAUUUACACAAAAUAUCUUGAGAAAAAAUCUAACUUAGUCGGUGGCAAAUAUCUAAGUUUACACAGGUGGAUUUCACAAGUUUGAAUUGUCCAUUUUGCAAGUUGAAUUUGUGAUUUCACAACUUGGAGGUGAUUCCGCAACUUGGAGAUGAUUUGCAACUUGUUUCGUAGCUUGGAGGUGAUUUCGCAACGUGGUUCGCAGCUGCGAAGAUGGAGUUUCAACUUGCGAAGUGGCACACGUGUGCUUGGAGGUGGUUUCGCAGCUGUGAAACACCUUACUAAAUUUCGCAAGUAGAUUUUAUUUCGCAGCUCAUUUCGCAGCUGCGAAAUGGGCUUUGGGCUGUGAAAUUUUCGCAUAGCUUGAUGCAGUUGUCUUCAAACGGCCAUAACUUCUUCAUUUCAACUCCAAUUGACACAUCGUUUGAAGUGUUGGACUCCUGACUUCCUGAGCUUCGAAAAGACAUAUAGUAUGAAUGAAAUGGACUCCAGGAAGUACUCGAAAUGUGUCCAACAGUUGCUGUCCUCUUAAAUUUCUUCAUGUUAGAUUUCUCUCAUUUUCCUCCUUGCAUUCUUGAUUGACUUUGGCAAAGGACUACGAAGCUCCAAAGCUUGGAUUCUUCAUGUAAAUGAGCUUCCAUUUUCUUUGCCAUGGAUUAUAUAAAGCUCUCCCUCAUCUUAGAUUGCUUUGGUGAUCAAAAAGCUAUCAAAAACACCAAAACUUAACACAAUUUGAUUAGAAAUGAUUGCAAGGGUCCUUAACAUGCCAGUUGAGUCAAAAGGUAAUAACUACUACUCAAAAGUGUUUAAAAGAGUUAAUUACAAGCUAUAAAAUAACACUUUUUGAGUAGUAAUCAAUAGGAAGAAGCUUCAGAGGGCGGACACCAUUCCAUUACUAUUCCUAAGGUUGUUGUGCCAGAUAUUGGAGUAUAUGGGCUUUCCUACUAAGCCUCGGCUCAAGCGUCGUCGCCUUUGUCGAGAGCGAUUCACUCUCGACAAAUGAAAUUAGUUGGCGGGAUAUUCUGCACCUCCAGGAGCCCGUCCCAUGGUAUCACCUCCAGUGCCCCCAUAGCCAGAGCAGGGCAAGCUUCUGGCAGAGACUACACCACCAGUGCCCACACCUGAGGCUAUUUCUGCUACUCCCCCUAUGACUCCUACUGUUCCAUCACCAGUCACUCCUACUACAUCCAAGCCUUCCAUCACCAUAUCGGCUUCGAAAUUUCACACCCUUGUGCAUACCUUUUAGACACUGACCACCACACAUGCGGCUCUCUUCCAGUAGAUGGCUGACAUGCGUGCACAUCAGGACCAACAGACUGCUAUACUUCGCCAGAUUCAGCAGCACCUCAGACUUCUACCUCUACCUCAGCCUGAUCUUCUUGCAUCAUCAAAGCCUUUAGCUCCAACUGAGGACACUACCACGGUAGAGGUCCAGAUCCCACCACCUCAAGAGCCCACCACAAAUGCCAUUGCUUCACAUGAUCCUCAGGAUAACCCUCAGACAGUUAACACAAUCACAGCUACACCUGAGAAUGCAUCAUCUCCACCUGAGGCUCCCACUACUUGAUCAUAGGACAUCUCUUUAUCUUAUUGUAUUUACAUAUUAUAUUAGUGGAGAUUUGUCAUUGUUUUGAUGCUUUAUAUUCUGAGACUGGAUGUAUUACCUGAUCAUAUCUCAUAUUGUACUUUCUCAUAUUAGUAUAUAGACAUCAUAUUUUUUAUAUUACUUGGCAUUUUUCUAUUUCCUCUACUCAUUACCUUUUUGUUUUCUGACUCAUGUGGUUUCUCUUAUACAACUUAGACUUCAUUUCACUCAGGAGGUACCACUUUCUCCCUUUAUUUUCAAUUGCUCUUGACACAUUGAGGACAAUGUUGAUCUUGGUUGGGGGAAGAGUUGAGGAAGGAAGUUUUGUUAAUAAUGCUAGGUUAAUUUGUUAAUUUAGUUACUUUUUGCUUAAUUUUAAAAGUUUUUUUACCCUACUCUCCAUGGUUAUUAAGGAAAAAUUCUCAAAAUGAAAUGGGAGAAAUUGAGUUCUUGCAUUUUUACUUGAAUCUUAGAGUUUGUAUUAUGCUUAUUGAAGUUGAUGAAUUAUUGAAAAUCCUAUUGAAUUCAACCUUAUUUCUUCCACUUUAAUCUUACCACACAUUGUGCACAUUAGGUUCCAAUUAUAAGAUGAAAAACUAUCUCACCCCCUGAACUUAGGAAAAUUUUGACUUGGUACCUUUGACCUAAUUUUAAUAGUGUUGGGACACCUUAUAAAAGGCCAAUGAGCCUUAAAAAAAAGAAGAAGAAGAACAAAGUGUUUCACUUGCCUUGAAACCCGAGCAAGGUCCAAGGGGUAUAUAGCGAAAAUCUUUAAAACCCGGUGCCCUAAGCCUUGAUUGGUUGGGAGUCACCGACCUCAAUGCUCGUUACAAGGGUGAAUAGGUGGAGUUUAACAUAUUGUAGGUGCUUAGGUAUUGAAUUUCAAUCUCAAAAGUCCGGGAAAAAAUCUGAGGAGUUAGUGGUCAAAAGAUCCUUAAAGCUUGAUGCCCUAAACUUUGAUUGGUUGGGAGUCAAUGAUAGAUCCCCGUUACAUGGACACUUUAGAAAACAAUUCCUUCAGCAUUGCACUCCUACAAGAAAAAAAUGUGAAAUAAAAGAGGUGCGUUCUUAGCCUAUUGGAGGUUGGUCAGUUUGCUAAAGUUUGAGAAAGAACUAGGUUGGGAGGAGAGAAUAGUUCGACAUACUAUAAUCGGAAACUAAUAAGCUUAACACUUAGAUUUUUGUGUGAGAGUAAGAAUUAGACCUUUGGGAGUGGAAAUUCUUUUGAUGCUUAAAUUUGCAUAAUGCCUACUCUUUAUAAAUUGUGAUUAGGCAAGAAAUUUGAUGACUCUUGUUGAAGGUUGGGUUUUGCCUCUUUGAUAUUCCAUGAGAGAGUAUAAUUCGCAUCAUGCCACUUAAAUUUUUUUUAGAGUAAUCAGCAUGAUAUUGUAAAUUAUUUCACUGUCUAUUUUUCUUUAUCUCUCCUUCAUUGCUAAGGGACUACCAAUGUGUCGGUUGGGGGGAGUGAUUACUACUCAAAAAGUACUCUUUUAUAGCUUGAAACUAACUGUUUUAAACACUUUUGAGUAGUAGUUAAUACAUUUUAACUCAAUUGGCACAUUAAGGAACCUAGCAAGGGUUACUAAUCAGUUUUGACAAGUUUUGGUGUUUUUGGUAGCUAUUUGAUCAUUGAAACAAGCCAAGAAUGAGGGAGAAUUUUGUGAAAUCCAUGGCAAUGCAAGUUGAAGCUCAAAUACAUGAAGAGUCCGAGCUUUGAAACAUUUCAUAGCCCUUUGCCAAGCUUGGCAAUAGGUUGCCAAGCCAAUCAGAGAUGCAAGGAAGAAAACUAAAGGAAAAAGUCCAACAACCAGCAUUUUAGCAUGGCUAUGCGAAAAUUUCGCAUAGCAUGCGAAAUCAAGAGAAAGAGCAGCUGCAGGACUGAGUGAAAGACAAUUUCGCACACCAUGCAAAACCACAAAAAGCAGCCAAAGAAUUUCGUACACCAUGAGAAAUUUCACAUGGUAUGCGAAAUCCUCUUGUGCACCAACUCCGUUAGAUUUUUAUUUCCAGAUAUUUUGUAUAAUUUCCUGUUUUCUCCUUAUAAUCAAGCUAGAUAUUUUCAUAUAUAUCUUUUCUAGUCAUGAAAGAAAUUUAUUCAUGAAACACUUGUAAAAUUCCCGUAGAAGAAAUAUAUAGAGCUUUUGCUCUGCCUUUCCUUCUCAUUUUGUUUUCACUUUUCUUUUUAGCCAAAUAACCUCUGAGGAUGAUUUCUCAGGGGAUGAGUGGCUAGGUUUUAUGUUUCUUGGAGUGAUGGAAGCUAGGUGAAGGACCUGAAUGCAAAGAUGGGAGUUGUCCUUGCUUUAAAUGAAAGUAGUUGUUAACCAUUAAUGGUUUUUAUUUUAAGGUUUAGCUUUAAAUCCCUUAAAAUCACCUUGAAUGGCCAAUACUUGGUAAGCUUUUCAGAUUCUAUGGAUGCUUAUUGCUAGAUCCAUGGAUGUCCAUUAGUUAUCAUUUACGAGCCAUUGGAAGGUGGUUCAAGGUGAGGGUCUUUAGUGUUUGAAGCCAUUAAUGGGAAGCAAUUACCAUUUUUCAUGAAUCCUUUCGAUCAAAUCUUAAUUGCUAAAAAACAAAACCGGUUCGGGAGAUAACCAUCCUUUAUGUUAUUGUCCCCAACGCGAGGAGAAGAUCCAGAAUCUCCCCCUUUGCCUGAGAAACCCGAUCCUAGUGACCUAAAGCUCCAAGAGACCUUUUCUUUAUAGUUAACUUCACUUAUUAUUUUUGCUUAACUUAAAAUCAAUCUUUGCAACCACAAUUCCAUUUUCUUUAAAAGCUAAUUUUCAUAAGGAAAAACACCAUUUUAUUUCCUUCACUAAAAUCAACUGUACGAUGAAAACCCAUCCCUGUGGAUGAUCCUAAAGCCACUAUACUAUGUUAGUUAUGCUACUCUAGUGUAAGGUGAUUUAGGUUUUAUAAUUUUUUUGUUGAUAACACCCGUCUGGGCCAGAAUCAAAUGGCACGACUGCAAUGGGGACAAAUCACAUUGCUGAAAGAAGUGCUUGAGCCGCUCAAGCGUAAACAUUACUUGAGCCACUCAAGCACUAACAUUGUUUGAGCAUUGCAUUUCUUACCUACACUCUCGAGGUUGCUUCUGCACUUUUUUCAACUACCUUAAGCUUUAAAAUCUUGCCUUUUUUUGGUUGAGGAAUAUCCAUUGAACCGCUAUGAUUGGCGAAAUGCUUCCAUGCUCUCUUUGGGUUACAAGAUUGAUUAAAAACCAAAAUUUUACAUAAUCACAAGUCAUAUACUCCUCAAAAUGAGAGUUUAUAGUCAAUCUAGCCAAAAGGAAAAAAACUUUUAUAUCCAAAAAGAAAAUCCUAUGCUCUUAAUCACAAAGCUUACAACCUAAACUAGAAAACAAUAGAUUAAACCAAUAACAAUCAACUAAUCUGAACAUAAUAAUGAUAUUCAUUCAUCCAUUUAGGCCAUGGGAUGAAUAACCAAACUUAAAAAAAAAAAACAAAAAAAAAAACCAUGAGCACCCUCUAGAAUAGAUCUAGCUAACAAGAACAUAACCUGAGGCUCUAAUACCAAUUACCAGGAAUACUAGAUUUCUCUAUUCCCUGUCCCUGGAUCUAGUAGGGUGCAUGCAUCUAUGCUAAGCACCUCUAAAUCUAUUACAAUGGAAACAUAUGGCUACAAAACCAUAUAAAGAUAAAAAUCUAGAGAAAACAAAGCUCAUACCGAAUCUAGAUGUUCCUAGAUCAAUUCCAGAUGGUGAAGAACAUGCUUAAAGGUCUCAUACACUCAAGAUCUUCCACCUGAUGACUCGAACCACAAUCUUGGUACUCCAAAGUGUGGGCUUUGGAAGAGAUGAAGAUAUGACUCUCUCUAUCUUUCUUUAGAGAUGAAAGAUGGAUCUCAUCAAAAAGUGGUGGAAACAUUAACCCCUAAGGGGGUAUUUAUAGGGUUCCCCUACUAAGCUUAAGUGACUUAAGCUCACCAAAGCUUGGGUCACUUAAUCUAACCUAAAACUAGUUCUAAUUGAUUAAUUAACCACAUAGAGUCAUCUAAUUAAUCAAUUAGCCCAAUCUAGAGACCUUGUUCACUAUCUCCUGUGCAACCAUGAAUCAUUACCAAAACAACCUUAUACACAAAAGUGAAUAUUGGCUCUCUUAGAAUUCAAUUCUAAAAUUGAUUCAACAUUCCACUAAAGAUAAUCAAUUGCACUCCAGUACCCUAUGUAAAUAACAACAAAAUGAAGUUUGAGUUCAUGACCUACUAUCCAUUACAUGCAGACUCCCCAUGAAUCGGUAUUUGUAAUUUAACAAGGUAGUAGUAUCACUUAUCAAGAUUACCUCUCCAAUCCUUGAGUUAAAAAUCUCAUUUGGAUCACCCAAGAAGACACAUUGUCUCCAUGAGAUGUCAUGAUGUCUCUAUUGAGAAUACUUGUUGUCACCAGCCUCCAUCAAUAGUGACCCAAUCCAUAAAGAUAUAUAACCACUUUAGGAUCUCACCCACCCACAUGUCCAAUCCUCAUGUUGAUUUUGAGACAGGCUCAAUAUGCUCUCAAGUUUGCAAGUCAAUCCAAUAUAGUAGUUUGUUGAAUCAUGACAAUUAAUAGUCUUGUGUCAUGAUUCAUCAUAGCUCUUUUCUAGUAGGCAUGACAUACACUAGUGCAAACAUCAUAGGAAACUCAUCCCAACAAUCAAGACAAGUAAUCCAUUCCAUUAGGAGAUGGUGUACUACAAUCUCUAAUGGAUUGCACAAAUCUAUGAACCAAUUAUGGACAACUUAUAUAUCUACUUACAAGAAACCCUUGACUUGUAUCUUUUGUGCAACUCCUAAGGCACUCAAGUCAUGUACAAUUUAAGAGAUAUAAACUAAAUGCUCAAAUCAAUGUCAAUACACCAAAGGGAUAACGAUGGGAUAGUCAAGUCUAAUUUUGUUACAUCAUGUCUUACUUUUAGGAUCUCAAUCCCAACAGUAUCACAUGGUAGUAGAAGAUAUAUGUUGAACUUUAUUGAUUAUUACUCUAGAAAGGUCUGGGUAUAUAUAUUCAAACACAAGAAUGAUGUCUUUGGGUAGUUCAAACAAUGGAAAGCUAUGUUCAAGAAGCAAACUAGAAAAUAAAUCAAGCACUUGAGAAUUGACAAUGGUAUGAAAUUUAUAUGGGAAGAGUUUAAUGAGUUUUGCAAGAAUGAAAGUAUUGUGAGACAUUACAUAGUUAGGCAUACUCCACAUAAAAAUGGUGUUGCAAAACAAAUGAAUGGAACUCUUUUAGAGAAAGCAUGAUGCACGCUUUCAAAUGCAGUGUUGUCAAAUGGAAUUUUAGGCUGAAGUGAUAAAUUCUACUUGUUAUCUUGUGAAUAGAUCUCCUUCAAUUCCUAUUAAUUAUAGGACUCCUGAAAAGAGAUGGUCUGGUUCUCUUUCUAAUUAUGGUAAUUUAAGAUUUUUUUUUUUCUUGUCCUACUUAUACUCAUGUAAAUGAAGGUAAGUUGGAACCAAGGAGAAGGAAGUGCAUAUUGUUAGGAUAUGCAGAUGAAGUGAAAGGGUACAAGUUAUGGUGACUAGAGUCAAAAUUCUCUAAAUUUAUAAUUAACAGGGAUGAGACUUUUAAUGAGUUUGAAAUGUUGUAUCCUAGGAAUGAGUAACUUGAUGUAGGAAACAACCCUAGUAUGAGAGAAAAUGUGGAGUUUGUGUCUAAAGCUUUAGAAACCAUAGAAAAAAAAAAUUAAAUAAGGCCAAAAGAGGAAGAAAUGCAACAUCUUAAUGAUAAAGAAAACGCACCAUAAGAGCAACAAUAUUAUUUAGCCAAAGAUAGAACAAAGAGGCAAAUUAAACCACCACAAAGGCAUGCUUAUGUAGAUUUGGUUGUUUAUGCACUUAGUAUGGUAAAGAACAUUAUUGAAAAUGAGGAACCACACACUUAUCAUGAAGUCAUCACUAGUAGAUGGUCUACACAAUGGAAUGUUGCUAUGAAUUAGGAGAUUAAAUCUCUUCAAAAGAACUAUACUUAACAACUAGUUGAGAAACCUAAAAACUCAAAAGAUUGUUGGUUGCAAAUGAUUCUUCAAAGAAAUGAAGGAAUUUCGGGAGUGGAGGAUGCUAGGUUCAAAGCACACUUAGUGGCAAAGGGUCACACACAAAAGGAGGGGGUGGGUUUCAAUGAAGUGUUUUCCCUAGUUGUGAAGCAUAACUCAAUUGGAGUGUUACUUGUUAUGGUUGUUUUAUUUAAUUUAGAAUUGGAGCAACUUGAUGUCAAGACUACUUUUUUACAUGAUAAGUUAGAAGAACAAAUUUAUAUGCAUCAACCUAAGGGAUUCAUUAUUUCGAGAAAAGAAAACCAUGUUUGUUUGCCGAAGAAAUCUCUUUAUGGUUUGAAGCAAUCUCCUAGGCAAUGGUAUAAAAGGUUUGAUACUUUUAUUAUUUGUAAUGGCCACCACAAGAGUGAGUAUGAUAAUUGUGUUCAUCAUAAGGAAUUGUUUGAUUAUUCUUUCAUUUAUUUAUUGUUAUAUGUUGAUGAUAUGUUAAUUUUCUACAAGAAUAUGUGAUAACCCGACUCUUGGUAGCUUGGCAUGUAAGGGUAUCAACAAAAUUUACACCUAAGGUCCUUACACUAAAGUAGCAAAGCUACUAUAGCAUAGUGGCUCUAGGAUCGAACACUGGGAAGGGUUUUUACUUUAACUGGUGAAGUUCGGAGGAUGGAGUGAACUUUUCUUAAUAAAAAUUAGGUUAAGAUGAAAACAUAAAAAGAUGAAGGCGUUGUAAACUAAACUAACAUGAAAAUAGGUUAAAAGAUGGAAAAAGAAGUUUCUCAAAGCUUUGGAUAGCCAUGCUUAACUCACUGUGUAAAAAUGGAGAUUUUGGGACUCUUCACCUCGAGUUGGGGAAGCAACUAAGGUGAUGCUUACUUCCCGAACCGGUAUGAGUUUAACAACUGAGUUUUAGUCCUUGAAAACUUACAAAAAGGGUAGCUGAACCUCAUAAAUGCUCUUUUAUUAGUAUAGGUCAUCUCCUCGACUUGCAAUACAAUGGCUCGUAGGAGAUAAUUAAUGAACGUCAGUGGAUCUAACAAUAAGAAUCCACUGAGACCAAAAGGUUAUCAAGUAUUGGCCAUUCAAAGCAAGUUAGAGGGAUUAAAAGCUUUACUUUGAAUGAAAACAUUUAUGACGCUUAGCUACUUACAUUUAUGGCUUGGAAAUCUUCAUCGUGACACGGGAGCUUCACAUGGCAUCCAUUACUUCAAGAAACUAAAAGGAUUUAGCCUUUCAUCCUUGGGGAUUUCAUCCUCCAAGGAUGUUUGGCUACUAAGAAAAUGAGAAAGAAAAGAGAAAAGAAGCGUAUGAACAGAAGUGCUCUUAUAACUUAUAAAGUUACAGGUUACAAGAUGAUCGUGUCUGAGGCUCUUCACCUCUAUUUAAAGACAAUAAAAAGCUAAAUUACAAGAGCUAUUACAAAAGCAACCUUUUCAUUGGUUGAUUACAAGGGUAAAAUAGAUUUUUACAAAGCUAAAAGUCAAGCAAAAUAUCUUGGAGAACCGGCAGUGGAAUAUCAUCAACAGCGUCUCAAAACAGGGGAUUUCAAAGGCAUUUCGCAAAGGGGGGGAGGGGGAGGGGAAGAUGAAAGGUCCAAAUUUUGCAAGGUGCCUAAAUCCAGCUUGCGAAAUUUCGCAAGGUGGUUUCUUCAUGGUGCGAAAUGGCCAAAUUUCGCACCAUGAGGAAAAUCCCCUUGCGAAAUUUUGGCAAGGCGAAAUUCACCUUGCGAAAUGGUGUUCCCAUUGCUUGUGCUCGUGUUUCCACUUGAAAUUCAAGCCUGUAAACGUCCAAAAUCCUUGCUUAACUCACCCAAGUAGCUCCUCCAUCAAUUGGUAUGCUUGAAUUGGUUCAUAAGCUGAUGAAAAACAUGUAAACUUGCCACUAAAAAUGGUUAGAACUAAUUACUAAGGAGCUUAAUGAAUUAAUUGGGUUAAAUGAAUAUGAUUACUACACAAAGGUGCUUAAAACCCUUAUAAUUAGGUCUACAAAAUAGCACUUUUUGGUAGUAAUCACACCCCCCAACCGACUCAUUGCUAGUCCCUUAGCAAUGGAGGAGAUAAAAACUAAGCAAACAUAAUAAUAUACAUAAAAGAGGUCAUGCAAAUCACUCCAAAAAAUAAUUGAGUGGCAUGACUGAUAUCAAAACACAUCUCACAUGGUGAACUAAAGAUAUGAAGAUUCAAAAUGCAAUAGGAGUUGUCAAAGCUAAAACUUAAACAAAAAGUACAAAGAGUGGAGAUUAUGCAAUUAAGUAUCAAAAGAAUCUCUACUCUCAAGGUUCCGAAUCAAACUCUUCCAUAAUGAGCUAAGUGUUAAUGAGAUUAGCUUCCAGAUAUAGUAUGUACAACUAUCCUCUCCCCCCAACCUAAGCUUUUCUCGAACUUUGGCAAAAUUAACCAACUCUUAAUAGGUUAGGAACGCACCUUCUUAUUCACAAUUCUUUUUAUUCACUAAACUUAACCAAUUCACCUAUGUAGCAAGCAGAGGAUCGAUGACUCCCAACCAAUCAGGGUUUAGGGCAUCGGGUUUUAAAGGCUUUCGCCACCCAUUCGGAUCAUGCUUAGGUUUCAAGGAAAGAAUAGAAGCUUAUUCUCUUUUUUUUUUUUUUUUUUUUUUUUUUUUAAGACUCAUUGGUCUUUUUGAGGUGUCCCAACACUAUUAAAAAGAGGUUAAGUAAUGAACCAAGUCAAAAUUUUCCUAAGCUUAAAGGGUGAGAAAGUUUUACAUCAUAUAUCCGAGAUCUAAUGUGCACGGUGUGUGUAAAGCUUGAAAUGGAAGAAAAAAGUUCGAAAUCAAAGAGGGUUUCAAUAGAUUAUCAACUUUGAAAGCAUAAAACAAACUCUAAGACUUAAGUAAUUAAGUUAAAACUCGACUUAUCCUAUUUUAUUUUGAGAAAUUAUCUUUAACAACCAUAGAGAAUGAAACAAAAAUUUUUGAAAAAGGUCAAAAACUACUAAAUCAACAAAAUAACUAACUAAAAUAGGAAAUACUUACUUCCUCAACUCUCCCCCCAACCGAGAUGAACAUUGUCCCCAAUGUUUCUAUCGAAAAAGACGAGGAAGGAAUGAUAUACCUUAUGGUGAUGUGGUAUUCAAGGCGUGUGAGUGCAUCCACAUGAUUCAAAAACCAUAAGAAACGUGAGAGAGGAAAUAAGAUACAAAAAAUGAUGCUUAUAUAAACUGAGAGAGUUGAGUACAAGAUAUAAGCAUGAGGUACAUACAAUCUCAGAAUAUAAAACAUGUAUCAUAUACAAAAUGGAGAUAGAAAUAUCCAAUCAUGGAUGUGGCUCCUGAGGUGGAGGAGGUGAUAUGCCCAGGUGAUGGUGGAUCUGAGAGAGCAUGGCGGAGUGCUGGUCCAGGAUAGCUGUAUGCUGAGCCUGAAUAGAUGUAUGCUGAGCCUGAUGUGUCUGUAUGGUAUCCAUCUGUCGUCUGAUGGCCUGCAUCUCACGGACUAAGGUGGCCUGAGAGGUGCUCAAUGAGUGAAAGGACGACAUGAGAGCUCUGAACUCUGUAGCGGAGACAGCAAUGGAUGGCCCGGCUGAAGACUCAGCAUAGGCUGGAGCAGGAGUGACUGGUGGUGUGGGAGUAUCAGUAGUGCAAGUCACUAGAGCAGGUACUGAAGAAGAAGGCUCUGUGGUAUGUGGGUCCUGCUCUGGUGAUGUCUGUGCUGUAGGUGCUGAGGUUGCUGGAGAAUCGGGAGGCGCUGGAGAAGCUGGAGGCGCGGGAGCUAAUGGUCUAGGGAUACCCUAGUCCAUGGGUGAGAGGUCUAAGAAAUGGGUCCAACUCUCACUGGUAAAGAGCUCUCGACAAUGAUGACGACGCUCUAGAUGGGGCUGAGAAGGGUAUCCCAUAUCCUCUAAGACCUGAGAGAUCAGCCUUGGAAAUAAGAGUGGAAUAGUACCAGCUCUGUGUAGGCGCUUCCUAUGCACCUUCUCCUCAAAAUAGGUAAGAGUAGCCAUGACUAGAUGGUGGGGUCCAAAGUAGAAUCCCUCAGAGAUGCGGUAAAGCGCAUCUAAGAUAGCACCUCUCCUCUGGACGACAUGCUGGAGGGGAAAAAGAUUGGUGCGGAGCACCAAAUCGAUAAGUAACAUCUGUGGAGGAAGCUCCCUCCUCAAAAUGGUCCUACCAGUGACUCUACCUCCUGAUAAGGUAGACACCAUGUCGGGCUCUGAAUACUGAGACCAAUGCCGGAAGGAACCAAGGUCCUCAAGGAUAGGCGGAAAAUGCAUAGCGGCGGCUAUAUCUCGGGCCUCUAAAAUACCAUGCUGGCCAUCAAUAAAAAAAUGAAUGGCUAUGGGGUCCGGACGCCUCUAGUAGUCAUAGUCUGGUAGAAAUCUAAGACUACCCUAGGGUAAUAGAAGGACCUAGGAGUCAUAAAUGGCUCGAUGUGGUACCUCUACAGAAGGCGGUAUGACUCCUCUAGCUCUGGUAAUAGGCGGAGAGUCUCAUGCUCCAUACAGAUCUCGUAGUGAAAUGGCCUAUCUCUGAUAUCCGUGUUGCCUGGGAGGGGUGGCCCUACUAUCAUAGGCCGCUUGAGGACCUCUGCUAGGUGUGAAGGGCCUGGGAUAGUAGAUAUUGGAGGUGAUGGAGGGGCUCUGGAGGACUCGCCUGGUCCUGAAAUCCUAGUCCUCUUAGGUGAAAGACUGCUCACAAGGGGUGGCAUUGGUGCCCUGGAAGACCCAGAUGAUCGUCUGGUCCCGUACCCGUGCUGAGUAGAGGGAACUGGGGUCUGGGCAGGCUGAGAUGGUGUAGAACGACCACCUCUCUGUGAGUGGGCCCCACGCUGACUAGCUGAAGAGGAUGCCCCCCGUGUCUGUGCCAUGGUAUAAAUACUGAAAUAAGACUGAAAAGCACGAAAAAUAGAGCAUCCCUGAUUACUACCAAAAAGUGCUAUUUUGUAGACCUAAUCAUAAUGGUUUUAAGCACCUUUGAGUAGUAAUCAUAUUCAUUUAACCCAAUUAAUUCAUUAAGGUCCUUAGUAAUUGGUUCUAACCAUUUUGUGGUAAGUUUUGGUGCUUUUUGAUAGCUUUUUGCUCACCAAAGCAAUCCAAGAAUGAGGGAGAGCUGUAUAUAGUUCAUGGCAAAGCUUUUGAAAGCUCAAAUUCAUGAAGAAACCAAGCUUUGGAGCUCAAUAACCCUUUUCCAAAGUCGUUCAAAGUAUGCAAGGAAAGAACAAACGGAGAGAGGAAAACAGAGUAAGGAAAAUAGGGGACAGCAACUGCAGCCUUCCUUCGCACUUUUAGAGCACUUUCCGAAGUUCAUUUUCUACAUGCUAUAUACCAUUUCAAAGCUCAGGAAGUCAAGAAUCUAAAGCUUCAAACCGUGUACGAUUUGGAGCUGAAAUGAGGAAGAUAUGGCCUUAGGAAGACAACUGCAUCAAGCUAAAGGACAAUUUCGCACCUUGCGAAAUUGGAACUCCAACGUGCGAAAUUUAAAGUGGAUGGCAGCUGUGUAGUUGCGGUGAAGCCCAGCAUGCGAAGUUGAUUUUGCAACUUGUGGACUUGGAUCUCAACAUGAGAAAGUGAAUUCUAAGUUGCGAAAUCAACUUGCGAAAUUUUCGCAAGUCACCAUGCAACGUGCGAAACUGGGAUAUUUAUGCCGACUCUUUUUCUUCUGAUAUUUUUGUGUCUAAAUUUCCAUUUUCUCCUUGUAUUCAGCCACUCAUGUAAUUCCUUAGCUAUGAAGUAUCCAAGGAAGGGUAAAUUACCUUCCUAUAUAAACUCUCUUGUAAACACUGAAAAAAGGACUCUCGGGGAGCUUUUUCCAAGAGACCAACUUAUGUAAAUUUUACACUUAGUGAAAUACAGAGAUCUCUUUUGCUUUCUUUUUCUCUCUACUAUUUUCUUUUUCUUGGAAGCCAAACAGCCUCUGAGGAUGUUUUCCCAGGGGAUGAGAGGCUAAACUUAUAGUUUCUUGGAGUGAAGGAAGCUAGGUGAAAAGUCCAGAUGAAAAGGUGGAAAGCUUCCGUGCAUUAAAUUCAGGUAGUUGGAGUUCAUAAAUGGCUUCUAAAUCCAAAGUUUUGCUUUAAAUCCCUUAGAAUCACUUUGAACGGCCAAUACAUGGUAAGCUUCAGGUCUCUGUGGAUGCUUAUUGCUAGAUCCAUAUCAGUCCAUUAGUUAUCAUGUACGAGCCAUUGGAAAGUGGUUCAAGGUGAAGACCCAUAGUGUCUUAAGCCAUUAAUGGACCUUGACUAUCAUUUCUAUUGACUUUUUAUAGAUUAAAUCUUCAUUGUUAAACCUAUACCGGUUCGGGAAAUAACUAUAGGUUAAAUCCCCAAUGCGAGGAGAAAAAUCCGGAAUUUCCACUUUGCAUUCUGAACUUGAUCCUAGCAACCCUUAGCUCCGGGAGACUUUCUUUCUUCCAUUUUUACUUAGUUCUAUGUUAGUUUAAUUUCAGUCACCACUUGCAAAACAAAUUUUAUUUUCUUUUAAACUUCAAGUUUAUGAUAAAGGAAAUCAUCAGACUCAAUUUCUAAUCUAGAGUCUGUCACUGAUAGAGUGAAAACCCAUCCCUGAGUUCGACCCUAGAGCUGCUAUACUAUAGUAGCUUUGCUACGCCAGUAUAAGGUCAUAGGAUUUAUAAAUAUUUUUUUAUUAAAAGACCCGACGGGGUAUGAAUAAAUCCCAGGGGUAAAGUGUCAAAAAUAUAGUUGAAAUGGUAACCAGUGCAAAAUUUGCAAGGCAUGAAUAGUGGUUGCUAAAUUUGGCAACGGGCACUAUUCACGCAACACUAAUCACAGGCACUAUUCAUCUUCUUUUCCAAUGCUUACUUUGAAUUUGAGUUUUCAUUUUUAACGGUUUAAAGUUCAGAAAAAGGGUAUGGUUUUAAUGGAAACAUGAUUCUAAAUGCAAUGGAGUAAGUUUGGGAGCCUAAAACACAUUGCAAGAUAGAGAUUUUUGCAAAAAUGGUGGCCGGCCAUGUGGGUCUUUGAUUUGAAAAAAUGGAUUUUUGAAAUGGUUUUAAUGGAUGAAAAUGCAUGUUUAUGGUCCCUUAAACAUUGAAAUGACAUAAACAAGCAAUUUAAGGAGCCAAAAAUGGAGAAAAAUGAAAAAUUAUUCACCUUGGAACAAUGAAGCACGCGGCCUAGAGAGGAAAUGCAAGGGGAAUAGUGUUUUAUGCAUGAAAAAUGAAGUUGAGAAGGCUUUAAAAAGGGUUUUUGGCCAUGAAUUUUUUUUUGAAAAUUUGUCUAAGUACGGGGAUGAACUGAGGAGUGUUAAAACUACAAAAUUGAAGUUUGAAAAUGAAUUUAAAAAGAAUCAAAUCCUUGGUAAGCAUGAAGAAAAAAUUUCGCAAGGUGAAAAUUCACCUUGCCAAAUUUUCGCACUGGCUACUCCCCUUAAAAACCAAUUCCGAGAGGUUGUAAAUUGCAUCUUGCCAAAAUGUGCAUUUCGCAAGGUGAAAAUUGACUUGCGAAAAUUUUCGCACUGGUUACUCCUUGCGAAAGUGCAAUCCCAGCGAAAGUGCAAUCCCGAGAGGUCGUAAAUUGCAUCUUGCCAAAAUGUGCAUUUUGCAAGGUGAAAUUCACCUUGCCAAAUUUUCGCAACUCACUUUUUGAGUUGCGAAAUGGGCUUUUAAGCUUGGACUUAGAUAUAUUUCUCCCCUAUUUCACCUUUCUCUCCACAUUUAUGAGCUUGUGAGCUUUUGUACCUGCUAUUGGACAUCAAAGCUCCAUUAAAAACAUUAAAAAAUCAAAAUCAAAACUAAGAAACCUAAACAAAAUAUGUGCAAAAGUAUUAAAAAUGCAAAGUAAACAAGAAUGUAAUACUAAAAUUAAAACAAAAAGAGAUGAGCACUUAACUUUUCAUGCUAAGCUCAUCAACUUACCACACUUUCUCAAGGAUGUGAUGGGUCAUGGAGGAUGAGUACCUCCUUGUCACGGGAAAAUGGCUCGAUGUAGGGUUUGAGUCUUUGCCCAUUUACCUUGAAGAUCUUUGCACUUUUUGAAUUGAGUAACUCAAUUACUCCAUGUGAGUGUACUUGGUGGAUGACAAAAGGCCCUACCCACCUUGAUUUGAGCUUUCCCGGAAAUAUGUGAAGCUUAGAGUCAUAUAGCAAGACUCUUUGUCCCUUGAAAAAUUCUUUCUUGGUCACCAACUGAUCAUGCCAUCUCUUUAGCUUUUCCUUAGCUAUUUUUGAGUUGAGAUAGGCAUCAUUUCUCAAUUCCUCAAGCUCAUUCAAAUCCAAACUCCUCUUUAGCCUAGCCUUUGUUAAAUCCAUGUUGAGCUUUUUAAUGGCCCACCAUGCCUUGAACUCAAUCUCAACGGGAAGAUGGCAAGCUUUGCCAUAAACAAGACAGUACGGUGACAUCCCAAGGAUAGUCUUAUAAGUCGUCCUAUACGCCCAUAGGGAAUCAAGGAGCUUAAACAAACCAAUCUUUCUUAUUGGUGUUCACCACCUUCAUCAAGAUGUUCUUAAUUUCCCGGUUGGCUAGCUCUACUUGGCCACUCGUCUGAGGAUGAUAAGGUGUAGCUACCUUAUGCUUAAUUCCGUACUUGGCCAAAAGAGCUUCAAAGGGCUUGUUGCACAAGUGAGUGCCUCCAUCACUGAUGAUUGCUUUAGGCACUCCAAACCUCGAGAAGAUGUUUUCUUUUAGGAACUUGAGAACCACUUUGUGAUCAUUGGUUCCACAGGGUAUAGCUUCAACCCACUUUGAAACAUAAUCAACUCCUACCAAGAUGUAGGAGUGGCCAAAAGACAUAGGGAAAGGUCCCAUGAAGUCUAUGCCCCAAACAUAAAAAAGAUCCACUAUCAAGAUGGGGUUCAAAGGCAUCAUGUUUCUCCUUGAAAGCUUGCCUAGUCUUUGGCACUUAUCACAUCCUUUACUUACCUCAUGGGCAUCCUUAAAAAGUGAGGGCCACCAAAAGCCCGAUUGAAGAACUCUCAUUGCCGUCUUUUGAGAGGCAAAGUGGCCUCCACAUGCAUUCCCAUGGCAAUGAGAUAGGAUCCCAUGCUUCUCUUUUUCAGGCACACACUUCCUUAUAAUUUGGUCUGCACAAUACUUGAAGAGAAAAGGCUCCUCCCAAUAAUAUGCAUGGACCUUGGCAAAGAAAUUCUUCUUGUCCUGAGAGCUCCAUUCACUUGGUAUUUCUCCCGUGACCAAGUAAUUGGCAAUGUGUGCAAACCAUGGCACUUCCUCCACAAGCAUCAAGGAUUCCUCAGGGAAAUCAUCAUUUAUGGGAAGUCCAUGGGUGUCAUGAGCGAUGUUGAGCCUUAACAAGUGGUCAGCUACCACAUUCUCAAUACCUUUCUUAUCUCUGAUCUGGAGGUUGAACUCUUGAAGCAAAAGUAUCCACCUAAUCAACCUAGCCUUGGCAUCUUGCUUGGUUAGCAAAUACUUCAAAGCUGAAUGAUCCGUGAAUACCACAAUGGAAGACCCUAUCAAAUAAGCUCUGAACUUAUCCAAAGCAUACACCACAGCAAGUAAUUCCUUCUCAGUGGUGGUGUAAUUCCUUUGAGCAUCAUUCAAAGACUUGCUUGCAUAGUAGAUCACAUAAGGUUUACCAUCUUCUCUUUGUCCCAAAACAGCCCCAAUGGCAUAAUCACUUGAGUCACACAUCACUUCAAAUGGCAACUCCCAAUUUGGUGCUCUCAUAAUGGGCGCUGAUGUCAAGAAUUGCUUAAGAAGCUCAAAACUCCUUUGACAUUUAUCAUCCCACUCAAACUUGGCAUCCUUCACCAAUAAUUCACAAAGAGGUUUGGCAAUCUUGGAAAAAUCCUUUAUAAACCUCCUAUAGAACCCGGCAUGCCCAAGGAAUUGCCUUAUUCCUUUUACAUUGGUGGGAGGUGGCAACUUCACAAUUAGUUCCGCCUUAGCUCUAUCUACCUCUAUACCCUUCUUUGAGAUUACGUGCCCAAGAACAAUACCUUGAUUUACCAUAAAAUGGCACUUCUCCCAAUUGAGUACUAGGUCUUUCUCUAUGCAUCUUUUCAAAACAUCUUCAAGAUGUGACAAACAAUCCUCAAAAGAAGUCCCAUACACAGUUAUGUCAUCCAUGAAGACUUCCAUGAUUCGUUCAACCAUGUCACUGAAGAUGCUAAGCAUGCAUCUUUUGAAGGUAGCAGGAGCGUUGCAUAAUCCAAAAGGCAUCCGCCUAUAAGCAUAGGUGUCGAAUGGACAAGUGAAGGUAGUCUUCUCCUGGUCCUCCACAUCAAUCUCUAUUUGAAAAUACCCGGAAUACCCAUCCAAGAAGCAAUAAAAAGGAUGCCCAGAUACUCUCUCAAGGACUUGAUCCAUGAAAGGUAAAGGGAAGUGAUCCUUUCUCGUUACUGUGUUCAACUUCCUGUAGUCAAUGCACACCCUCCAACCAGUUGUGAGGUGUGUGGACACUUCAUCUCCAUUUUCCCCCUUGACUACGGUUAUCCCGGACUUCUUUGGAACAACUUGGGUUGGACUCACCCAAGUGCUAUCUGAAAUGGGGUAAAUGAUGCCCGCUUGAAGAAGCUUCAACACUUCAGCCCUUACUACCUCUUGCAUAUGAGGAUUCAAUCUCCUCUGUGGCUGACGAGUUGGCUUAGCUCCCUCCUCCAUAUAAAUAUGGUGCGUGCAAAUCAAUGGGCUUAUCCCCUUCAAAUCAGAAAUUUGCCAUCCGAUGGCCUUCUUGUGCUUUCUAAGGAUUCUUAGAAGAUUGUCCUCUUGUGAAACGGUUAAAGAAGAAGAAAUUACCACUGGGGCUUUAUUGCCUUCCUCCAAGUAAGCAUACUUCAACUCGGCAGGAAGGGUCUUCAAUUCAAGCUUAAGGAUUGCAUCCUUAGCUUCUUUCAUCUCUUCCUCAUCCUUGAACAAAGGGAGGAUCACUGGCUUUUGUCUCCAGUUUGACAUAACAGCAUUCAUUCCCAUGGGUUCAGCUAACCCAUCAUUAAGAUCUUCAUGGAUUUCAUCUGGAUUCUCUUCAAACUAAUCAAGCAUACUCUGAUUACAAUGCUCCUCCACCAGGGUAUCUAUCAUACACACUUCUUCUAGGCCCUCAUCUUCUUCAGGAUGGAUGUGCUUUUGACAUAGAUGGAAGAUGUUGAGUUCCAAUGUCAUAUUCCCAAAAGUGAGUUGCAUGACCCCGUUCCUACAAUUGAUGAUUGCAUUGGAUGUUGCAAGGAAUGGUCUUCCAAGGAUGAUUGGAACAUAGUUGAUCCCUUUGACAAUGGGAUCCGUAUCAAGCACCACAAAAUCUACUGGAUAGUAGAAUUUGUCAACUUGAACCAAUACAUCCUCUAUUACCCCCCUGGGGAUUUUCACUGAUCGGUCAGCUAAGGAUAGGGUGAUCGAUGUUGGCUUGAGUUCUCCCAACCCCAGGUCCUUGUAUAUAGAGUAUGGAAGCAAGUUAACACUUGCCCCCAAAUCAAGCAAUGCCUUCUCCACUUGGGUUCCUCCAAUAUUGACUGAGAUUGUAGGACACCCCGGAUCUUUGUAUUUGAUUGGAGAGUUGCAUUAGAUUAUAGCACUCACUUGCUCGGUUAGGAAGGCUUGCUUUGUAACAUUGAGUCCUCUUUUCACAGUGCACAAGUCCUUCAAAAACUUUGCAUAUGUGGGUACUUGCUUGAUCAUAUCAAGUAAAGGAAUAUUCACCUUCACUUGUCUUAGCACAUCAAGAAUCUCAGAAGCAUUCUUGAUUGGUUUCUUCCCACGCAAGGCUUGAGGAAAUGGAGGAGGCAUGUGCUUCUUCAUCAUGCCUUCCUUUAAAAGAAUUUGAGGUUCCUCAUCCAUGCUAGGAAUGAUGCUUUCUUUCAUCUGAACUUCCUUACCCUUUUGUUCUUUCUUCUUUUCUUCUUUUCUAUCAGCCUUGUCUUCGUUGGCUUUCCUCUGAUCAUGCUCCGGCUGAUGCACUUCCUUACCACUUCUCAAAGUGAUAAUAGCUUGCACGUCCCUCACCUUUGAAGAAUCCUCAUCUUUAGAUUCCACUUCAUGUAUCCCCUUAGGAUUUUGGUGAGGCUGAGAGGGAAACUUCCCUUUCUCAUUGACAGUGUUCAAAUUUGUAAGCCUUGAGAUGGAAUAUUGGAUGUUGUCAAUUUUCUGAGACAACUCAUUAUGCAUCCCAUCUAUCUUCUUGUUCAAUGUACUCUCUACGUUGUCAAUCUUCUGAUUUAGUUGAGAGUUGAUGGAUUUUUGGUCACUCACAAAGUCACCCAUAACCUUGCUAAGGCUUAUGAGUGCUUGCUCAACUGAGGAUUGACCUUGACUCUGUUGGCUUGAUUGGGCUGGUGACUGAUAUGGGUUUGGCCUUGGCUUCCAUGCAAAUUUUGGGUGGUUCCUCCAGCUAGAGUUGUACGUGUUGCCAUAGGGAGCAUUUGAAUUUGGCUUCCAUUGGCCAAUCAGGUUAGCUUGUUCCUCGAACAUUUCUCUUGCUGCUGGAAUGGUGGGACAUUCUUCCACCAUAUGUUCAAAUGACUAACAGAUGGAGCAAGGAUUGGCUUGUUGUUGAGGUUCUGAAAUAGCUUGGACUUCGUGAACUUUUCUCAACUCCAUUUCCUCCAUUUUUCUAGCCAUGGCAGCUACCUUGGCUUUCAUCUCCAUGUCUUCACUCAGAUUGUACAUCCCCCCUCUUGACAUUUGCUGAACUGGCCUCUUCCCCAUUUCUCUGUUAUUGGGCUCAUCCCAUCCACGGGAAACCUCUGAGACAUAACUUAGGAAAUCCAUAGCCUCCUCAGGGUUCUUGCUCAUGAAAUCACCCCCACACAUUGUCUCCAAUAUCUGCUUCAUUGAAGAUGACAUGCCAUCAUAAAAAUAGCUCACCAACAGCCAUGUAUCAAAGCCGUGGUGAGGACAUGCAUUGAUGGCCUCCAUAUACCUCUCCCAGUAUUCAUAAAAUUUUUCAUUCUCACGUGCUGAGAAGUUGGAGAUUUGUCUCUUCAAUCCAUUUGUUCUAUGAGUAGGGAAAAACUUCUUCAAAAAAUCAGCUUGAAGUUCUGUCCAUGUUCUUAUGCUUCUCGGCCUCAAGGAAUUGAGCCAUAUCUGGGCUUUGUCCUUUAAUGUGAAUGGAAAGAGCUUCAACCUCAUAAGCUCAAUAGCUGUUCCCCCUUCUUGAAAAGUAUUGCACACAUCUUCGAAUUCCUUUAUGUGCGCAUAUGGAUUUUCACUUUCCAUCCCAUGGAAAGUAGGAAGCAGAGGCACGAUGUGUGGCCUGAUAAUCAAUUGCUUUGUAGGAGGAAUGAUGCAAGAUGGUGCACUCAUCCUCGGAGGGUGCAUCCUGUCCCUCAUGGACCUAUACAAGUUCGGAUCAUUCUACUGCCCGUGUUGUGAAUGUUGAUCCUCUGGCUGAUUCUCCAUGACUUCCAAAAUAAUCUCUAAUUCAGUAGCUCGUGGAGUCUCUAUCCGCACUAACCUUCCCUCUUGGUCUCUAAUCCAAUAGGGCAUGCACGGAUUCAGCUGGAACAAAACAAAUAAACAAAACAAAGAAAAAGAAAAAAAAAACAGAGCAUGCGGAAGGAAAAACAAAGUAUGAAAAAUAAACUAAAAAUGAAAGUUAAAAGCUAAAAGAAACUUAUCUAAACUAAGUUAAAAAUGUUCUAAAACUAAAAUAAAAAGUUAGUAAAUGAAAAAUGAGAUAGAAUUCACCUCACUCAUGAGAAGUCUCACAAGUUACCUCCGGCUGAUCUAUUCACAGUGAAGUAGCACCCCUCCUCGGCAACGGCGCUAUUUGAUAACCCGACUCUUGGUAGCUUGGCAUGUAAGGGUAUCAACAAAAUUUAUACCUAAGGUCCUUACACUAAAGUAGCAAAGCUAUUAUAGCAUAGUGGCUCUAGGAUCGAACACUGGGAAGGGUUUUUACUUUAACUGGUGAAGUUCGGAGGAUGGAGUGAACUUUUCUUAAUAAAAAUUAGGUUAAGAUGAAAACAUAAAAAGAUGAAGGCGUUGUAAACUAAACUAACAUGAAACUAGGUUAAAAGAUGGAAAAAGAAGUUUCUCAGAGCUUUGGAUAGCCAUGCUUAACUCAUUGUGUAAAAAUGGAGAUUUUGGGACUCUUCACCUUGAGUUGGGGAAGCAACUAAGGUGAUGCUUACUUCCCGAACCGGUAUGAGUUUAACAACUGAGUUUUAGUCCUUGAAAACUUACAAAAAGGGUAGCUGAACCUCAUAAAUGCUCUUUUAUUGGUAUAGGUCAUCUCCUCGACUUGCAAUACAAUGGCUUGUAGGAGAUAAUUAAUGAACGUCAGUGGAUCUAACAAUAAGAAUCCACUGAGACCAAAAGGUUAUCAAGUAUUGGCCAUUCAAAGCAAGUCAGAGGGAUUAAAAGCUUUACUUUGAAUGAAACAUUUAUGACGCUCAGCUACUUACAUUUAUGGCUUGGAAAUCUCCAUCCUGACACGGGAGCUUCACAUGGCAUCCAUUACUUCAAGAAACUAAAAGGUUUUAGCCUUUCAUCCUUGGGGAUUUCAUCCUCCAAGGAUGUUUGGCUACUAAGAAAAUGAGAAAGAAAAGAGAAAAGAAGCGUAUGAACAAAAGUGCUCUUAUAACUUAUAAAGUUACAGGUUACAAGAUGAUCGUGUCUGAGGCUCUUCACCUCUAUUUAAAGACAAUAAAAAGCUAAAUUACAAGAGCUAUUACAAAAACAACCUUUUCAUUGGUUGAUUACAAGGGUAAAAUAGGUAUUUACAAAGCUAAAAGUCAAGCAAAAUAUCUUGGAGAACCGACAGUGGAAUAUCAUCAACAGCGUCUCAAAACAAGGGAUUUCAAAGGCAUUUCGCAAAGGGGGGGAAGAUGAAAGGUCCAAAUUUCGCAAGGUGCCUAAGUCCACCUUGCGAAAUUUCGCAAGGUAGUUCUUCAUGGUGCGAAAUGGCCAAAUUUCGCACCAUGAGGAAAAUCCCCUUGCGAAAUUUUGGCAAGGCGAAAUUCACCUUGCGAAAUGGUGUUCCCAUUGCUUGUGCUCGUGUUUCCACUUGAAAUUCAAGCCUGUAAACGUCCAAAAUCCUUGCUUGACUCGCCCAAGUAGCUCCUCCAUCAAUUGGUAUGCUUGAAUUGGUUCAUAAGCUGAUGAAAAACAUGUAAACUUGCCACUAAAAAUGGUUAGAACUAAUUACUAAGCAGCUUAAUGAAUUAAUUGGGUUAAAUGAAUGUGAUUACUACACAAAGGUGCUUAAAACCCUUAUAAUUAGGUCUACAAAAUAGCACUUUUCGGUAGUAAUCAAUAUGUCUGAGAUUAACAAGUUGAAAACUCAACUUCAAGGAGAGUUUGAAAUAAAAGACCUUGGAGUUGGGAAGAAAAUAUUAGGUAUGAAGAUUCAUAGAGACCGAGAAGUAUGGCAAUUGUACUUAUCAUAGAAAAAGUAUAUUGAGAUAGUGUUGGAACAGUUUGGAAUGCAAGGGUAAAAACCAAUGAGUACUCAACCAGCAACUCACUUCAAACUUUCAAGUUCUUUAUUACCAUAGACCAAAGAAGAAAUGGAGUACAUGUCACAUGUUCCAUAUGCUAGUGCAAUUGAUAGCAUUAUGUAUGUCAUGGUUUGCACUAGGCCAAACAUUUCACAUGUAGUUAGUGUGGUAAGUAGAUAUAUGGAUCACCUUAGAAAGAUCCAUUGGGAAGCAAUGAAUGGAUACCUUGGUACUUGAGAGGAACAUCACAUAUUGACUUAGUAUAUGAUAAAAGUAGUGACAUCUCUGAGGAAAUCGGUGGUUAUGUUGAUUCUGAUUAUUCUAGAGAUUUGGAUAGAAGAAGAUUUUUAAUAGGGUAUGUAUUCACUUUAUGUGGUAGUGUUAGUAGUUGUAAAGCAACUUUGUAAUCUACAAUUGUUUUAUCAACCACUAACGUAGAAUACAUGGUGGUCACAGAAGCAGUGAAAGAAAUUAUUUGCCUUAAGGGUUUGGUUGGUGAUUUAAGCUUACAAUAGGAGUUGAUUGUUAUGUAUUGUGAUAACCAAAGUACCAUAUUUGACUAAAAAUCAAAUGUUCCAUGAGAUGAGCAACCAUAUUGAUGUCAAUGCAUUUUAUUAUGGAUGUGAUCGCAUAGGGUGCUAUUAUAGUGAAAAAAAAAUCCUUAUAGUGGAUAAUCUCAUAGAUAUGAUGACUAAGUCCAUUUCUAUAGUUAAGUUUAUGCAUUGCUUAGACUUGGUGUUAAUAGUAUCUAAAGGCCCUUUUCAGGUGUGAGGUCGAAGUAACAUGGAAGACUUUUGAGUUUUUUUUUUUUUUUUUUUUUUUUUAAUCUUGAGAAUUUGAGCCAAGGUGGAGAUUGUUGAAAAAUAUUUCAAAUUCUAUUUUUGAGUCAAUUGGACAAUUGUAGAUAGUUUUCUAAUAGAAAAUAUUCUUGUAAGUGAGUUUCCUAUUAUUAUAAAAGAAAUAUUCUUUUAGUAAAAGACAUCUUUGACAAUUAUACACUUAGUGUUUUAUAUGGAAUAUUUCUAUGUAAUUAGGAAAAUAUAUGUAUAGGAAGAGAUUUUGACCAAAAUAGUGGAAGUCUCUUUUUAGGUGUAAUUGGGACUUUGGGAUUUGAAAGCUCUAAGGUUGUAAUCUCCUUCAACAAUAGUGGAAAUUCUUCUUUGUCAUCACCUAUGGAUGUAGGCUUGAGGCUAAACCACAUAAAUUGUUAUGUACUUUGUGUGUUUUGUUUUCAUUUUCUUAUUCUUUUAUCCCUAUUAUUAUUCUUUGUCAUGAUUUUUCCCAAUAGAAGUAUAUAUAUACCAUGAGACUUGCAUGGUGGGAAGGGUAUAUUUCAUAUUAGUGACAAGAAGCAGAGCUUACUCAAUUGUGCUUUUUCUUUCAGAAUAUGGAAGGGGUUUCCUUAUGCUCAAGAAAUGCAUAGAUUCAAUUGAAUAAAUUGAGGAAUGCUUUACUCAAUUGUGUUUUUCCUUUCAGAAUAUGGAAUGGGUUUCUUUAUGCUCAAGAAAUGCAUAGAUUCAAUUGAAUAAAUUGAGAAAUGCUUACUCAAUUGUAUUUUUCCUUUCAAAAUAUGGAAGGUGUUUCCUUAUGCCCAAGAAAUGCAUAGAUUCAAUUGAAUAAAUUGAGGAAUAUGAUUGUUCUUUUUCUUUUUCUUUUUAUUUUUUAAAUAAUAGAUGAGCCAAGAUGGAACUUACGUGGAACACAUUGAUUCCAGUCAUUUUCUUGGACAAAGAUAUGCCCAAAAUAUGGGAAAAAGGCAUUUUAAAAUUAAAAAUGAUUUUAAAUUUAAGAGUUUCUUUUUUAUAUGUUUAAAAACUUUUUAAUGGGUAGAUUUGAAUUGUAACUUGCAAUUUAAUCUAAAGAACAUUCGAAAAUUAAAAAUUACAAUAAUGAGAUUCUCAAUCCUUCAAAAUGAAAUUAAUUUAAUCCUCUUUCUUUGUAAAUUAUCCCUCAAUUAAAUCAAUCUUUUAAAAAUUGAAUCUACUAAAUGAUAAUAUUCAUAUUUAAUCAAUUUAUUGUUGGAAUUUAUAUAGGUGAAUGGAAAUUAGGACUUCUUUUUUUUUUUCCCCCUUGGAAAACAUGCUAUUUCUUAACAGACACAACUUGUUUUAAAGAAUAUGUCUUGUAUUUAAAAGACAUCUUAAGAUACAAUCCUUCAAAGGAUACUAGACACAUCUUUUCUAAUAAGUCACCUUCAAAUCUUUAAAUAGGGACCCCACAUAGCAUUUUCAUUCAUUCAUCCAUUCUCUCCACUCUUUCUCAUUUCUUGUCAUUCAAGUUCUCUUUAACUUCUAGUCUAGUCAUUUAUCUUUUCUACCAAAUAUUUGGUAUACAAGAGAGUACAAAUCACCAAGUGAUUCAUUGUUUCUUGUGAUUUGAAGUACUACUAUCACAAGAAAGUGAUCGUUGUAUCCUGGGAGACGAUUGUCAAUAAACCGUAAGCACCUAAGCGGGACAAAUUCGUCUUAAGAACACAGAGUCAAACUCUUGUUUCGAUCAACCUUAUUUGUAAGUUCCAAUUUUCUAAUUACUUCAUUUUAUUUGAAUAUUUAUUACACACACUUAUUAUCCAUAUAUUUUGAGUGAUAUGGAUAACAUUUAUCUUUUUGUAUAAAUUCCUAAAUUUAUAUAACAUAAUUUAAACUUAAUUUCAUUUUGAUUCAAUUUUGUUUCAUGUUUUAUAAUUCUAUAAGGUUGAAUUUAGGGAUGGCAAUGGGCGGGUUUUUUCGGGUACCCACCCCGUCCCGCCCCUAAUGAGACGGGGUUUAAAUUUAAUAAACGGGUUUGGGACGGGUAUGAGAUUUUUUUUUAAACCCGGGGCGGGUUCGGGUAUUGCUCCAUCCCACCCCGCCCCACCCCGUUUACAUAUAAAAUUAAUUUUAAUUCAACGAGCUUAAUUCCACCCAAGAAUCCCUCUUCCCAAACCCAGAAACCCCACCAUUUUUCCUUCACGAAAGCUCUCAAAACUCCACCUAAUCAGAUCUGUUCAAGAACAAUUUGAUCACCAGCCUCUUACUCGGUCAACACCCAGAUGGGAAAACAUGCUUUCCACUGCAGCAAGCUUGUACCCUCUCUAUGUCACUGCUGGAGGGGUUGUUGCAUGUGUGAAGCCAUCUGUUUUUGCUUGGUUUGUGGCGAGAGGCCCAGCUUCUUAUAGCUUAUCACUUGGGUUAAUCAUGUUGUCCAUGGGUAUCACAUUGAAGCUCAGGGACUUCUUCAAUUUAUUGAUCCAGAGGCCUUUUUCUGUGAGUUUUUUAUGGUUUGGAGUUUUUGGGUGUUUUGGUAUUUGAUUGUUUUUGAGACAUGGNNNNNNNNNNNNNNNNNNNNNNNNNNNNNNNNNNNNNNNNNNNNNNNNNNNNNNNNNNNNNNNNNNNNNNNNNNNNNNNNNNNNNNNNNNNNNNNNNNNNGUUGAAUUCCAAUCAUAAUUAAAAAUUAAAUUGAUUUGUUAUAAUAUUAAAUAAGAUAUCUUUUGAAAAAAUUAUUAUAAUCAUUUAACAUAAUACAAAUUUCACCAAGUUUUUCUAACUAUGGUUCUCUAAUAAUUACCUUGUAAUAAUAAAAUUAAUUCUAACAAUAUAUGUCAUAAUCAAAUUUCAAAAAUCCAAUCUCAAAUAAUUUAAUAGCUGAGUUUAAAUUUAAUUUUUGAAAUUCUUAAUUUCCAAAUGUGACUUGACAAGAAUUUAAACUAUUGACUUUCGACUAAGGUUUUACACAUUUUGCCUAAUUAAAUAAAAUAUUGACACGUGAAUGUUCACUAACAUCACGUGAUUCAUUGAUUUAGACGAUUCAUUUUGGUUGAUGUUGAGGAUAGUCAUCGGCAGUAGACUAACAUCUUCUGGACCAAUUAACAUACCAGUAGUGAUUAGGCCAAGGUGGUGAUCCAAUUCCAUGGAAGAGCAGCAAGAAAGGAGGAACGUUGGAGAGAUAGAACCAGAAGGCGGCCAACCAAGCAGGAACAGUGGCCAAACUGGCCUCGAGCCUGAGGAGCAUAGGAUUGACAUUGUUGAAAUCAGUCAUAGGGAUUGGAUUGAGUCUCUCAGAACGGCAGAAGAAAGAACUCAAUCUCAAAGUCAAUGGCCAAGGAUACCAAAGGUUCCUCAGAUGCUGAGGGGGACCCAGGAUUUCAAGAAAUUCUACGAACCGAGGGUAAUUUCGAUCGGUCCUUACCACCAUGGCAGGCCCCACCUUUACCCAGGGGAAAUGAUCAAGCCUCUAUGCGCCCGAAACUUCCUGGCUGAUAGUAAGCAGGACAUCGAAGCUUUGUACACAAAAAUUGUAAGUAAUAUCGAGGCAGUGGAAAAGUGCUAUGAUUGGAGUAGUACAAAAAAGUAUGAUGAUGAGAAACUCGCCAGGAUGAUGCUUCUGGAUGGGUGUUUUUUACUAUAUUUCAUCUGCAGGGAAGGUAUGAUAAACGUUCUUAAAGUUCACGAAAUAGAUUUUGUGGAGCAGGACUUGUUCUUGCUGGAGAACCAACUUCCCUUUGGAGUCCUCAAGUUGAUUUUUGAGGGAGCAAAUUUCAAGGUUGAUCUACCAAUGGAAAAGAAUAUAAUAAAAUUCGUCACUGUCAUCGGAAUGCCAGAAGGGUUGUCAUCAGAAAUACAGCUGAAAGAGGUGAACUAAGAGCCCUCUCAUCUCCUCGACCUUUUGCGAAGUGCUCUCCUAGGCAGGUUCCACAUGAUUAGGAGUCAGCCCGAAAAAGAGCAGCAACCUAAGAAAAAAGGAAAGUCGUCGUCGUCGUCUCAAGGAGGAAAGUGGGGGCUCCGUUGGCCAUGGAAAAAAGGCAAACAACGGGGCAUUAGGAAGUCUUUUCGACACAUCAAGGAGCUUAAAGCUGCCGGCAUCUACCUCAAACCGAGUAGAACGUGUUUCUUGAGAGACGUUUCUUUCAAAUCCUACUUCUUCUUUGGCUACCUGAAACUUCCCCCAAUAACCAUUGAUGACUUCACGAAGACCAAGUUCUUGAACAUGGUAGCCUAUGAAAUGUAUCCAGAUGCCCCAGAUGACUAUGCGGUCACUUCUUAUGUAUGCUUCCUUUACGACUUCAUUGAUGAUGCAGACGAUGUCAAGCAGCUGAGAUCUAAGCACAUUCUCCACAACCUUCUUGGCAGCGAUGAAGAUGUGGCCCACAUUUUCAACGAGAUCGGCAAUGGCUUGGUAGAUCCCGAAAUUUAUGGAGAUGUGAAAGCUCGUAUUCAGAAACACUACGACAAGAGAGUGAAUACUUGGAUAGCUGAAGCCCUUCACGGCCAUUUCAGGUCUCCCUGGACUUUCAUGGCUCUCAUUGCAGCUGUUUUAAUACUAAUUCUUACUGGGGUUCAGACCAACUACGCUCAUCCCGAUAACUAUAUAAAAUAUUUAUAUAUAUCGUCAAUUAUAAUUGGGAUUUGUUUUUUUCUUGUUCGGCAUGUUUGUGAUUAGACAAAUAAAGAUGUAUAAAUUAUUAAGUUGUAUCACUGGAUUUCAUGCAUGCAAUAUUAUGAGUCUUUUCCUCUCCACAUGAAUUUGCUAUAAUCUAUAAUGUCUGUUUGAAUUCAUAAUUUCCAGCUUGCUUUUUUCCGUUCUUUUUCAUAGACCAGGAUCAUACAUAACACAACAUUCACAUAGAAAAUUUUCGGUCAACAAUAUGUGAUUCCGUGGAUGGGAUGGGAUUGGAUUUACUCACACACUUUUUUAUCAAAGGAGAAAAUUAUGGAUAAAAUUAUAAUUUUGAUAUAUUUAUAAAUUGAGGGCUCUCUAAUUUUUAUUUUUUAUUUUUUAUAAAAGACAAAAAUAUCCAUUUUUAGGUAAUUUAAUGUUUAAUUUUGGAUUAAAAAAAUUUCAUAAAUAAAUACUACAUUUUUUAAUGAAGUCUUCCGAGCUUCAUUGAAAAAAUCUUCAAAUUUUCAACUUCUUUGAGAAAUCUUCGAAUACUCUCCAACUCUUCCAUAAAUUUUUUAUCUUCUUGGAAUCUCUUUUAAGAGCUUUAGGGCUUUUCUUUAGUUUUGAAAAAAAAACACACACACACAGAUUGAGUUAGAAAUGAAAGUGGAGAAAAGAAAAGUACUCGACAGUUUUGCAUACUGCUUGAUAGAACUCGUUAAAAUUGUUUAUAUCUCUGGCACUAAAAUACAUCUUGUAGCACUUAGUGAUCAAAGCCUGUUUUUCCUCCUUACUUCCAAUUUAGACAUGGAGAGGUGACACAAACUUUGAGAUAUUCAAUGAUUCAACAAAGCAUUCAUCAAAUAUUAUACUGUUUGCUUUGAUGGAGGGGCAAAGAAGAUGAUACCAGAAGUUAGCUUCAUGAGGGAUGCGCCUACCUUUUGAAUGGUUGGAUAUGAUGAUAUUGUUGGAAAGUGUCUCAAAAAUUAUUUUUGAGUCAAUUGUAAAAUUAUAGAUAAUCUCCUAAUACAAAAUAUUAUUGUAUUUAAGUUUCCUAUUAUUAUAGUGGGAAUAUUAUAUUAUAAAAUUUUUUUUUUUUUUUUUUUUAGGGAAAGAUAUCUUUGAAAAUUAAUAUACAUUUAGUUUUCUGUAUGCAAUCUUCCUAUAUAUGUAAUUAGGAAAAAAUACAUAGGAAGACAUUUUGAUCAGAAUAGUAGAAGUCUUUUUUUUUUUUUCGGUGUAAUUGAGACUUUGGGAUUUGAGAGUUAUAUGAUUGUAAUCUCCUUUAAUAAUAGUGAAAGUUCUUCUUUGUCUUCAUGGGUAGAUGUAAGUUUGAGGUCGAACCACGUAAAUCAUUGUGUACUUUGUGUGUUUUAUUUUCAUUUUUUUUCCUAAUAUUUUUUCUUUGUCAUGUUUUUUCACUAUAAAUUGGUAUAAGAGCAUAGGUUCUUAGACAUGGAAUGAUAAUAGAGUUUGAGGUUGAGAAGUUUGAUGGAAGAAAUAAUUGAAGUUUGUGGCGCGUUAAGAUGCUAGCCUUAUUAGUUCGACAAGGAUUGUCCAAAGCACUGAAAGGUGGAGAGACUCUACCAACAACAAUGUCUAAUGAAUAAGAGGAUGAACUUAUGGAGAAAGCGCACAAUGCUAUUCUAUUAUGCUUCGAUAAUGGGGUAUUUCGUGAGGUUGCAAAAGAGGAUACGACUACUGAGUUAUGGUUGAAGUUAAAAAGUUUGUGUAUGGCGAAGUCUCUUAUAAAUCACUUGUAUUUAAAAAAGCGAUCAUUUACUCUCUAAAUGACCCUUAAUUGUUAGGUUAUUUAAAUUGUGUUUUCUAAAAGUUUCAUGGUAUAAAUGGUAAACUUUUACAAAGUGAAAAGUAGCGAUGAUGUUUGUUAAAAAAAUGAUUUAAUUAACUUGGUAGUUUAUGAUGUUCACUAAUUUUGUUUUCAAACAUACACCAUAUUUUAUUAAUUACAUAAAAUUUGCUUAAGCUUGAAUAAGAACAGCCCCUUUUAAUCACUACUUUAAAAUUAAUGAAAUCAAAGUUCUUAAUUAAGAAAUAAUUGAUCUUAAUUUAUUUCUAUAAUUAUGAAAGAUUAGGGUGACCCCAAUCACAUUAAGUACUUUUUCAAAUGCAUUAUGAUAAGUGAUAACCACUAUGGAGGCAAUAAUUUAAUUAAUUUAUUUGUAUGCCCUAUCAUGCAAAAUGAGAGUGACCCUAAUUAAUAUAUGUAUAUAAAUGGGCACUUGAUCAAUUGAGAAAUAUCUAUUGAAAUAACUUCUUUUUUUUCCAAAAAAUUAUUUUUUAUUUUUAUUUUUUAUUGGGUAGGUAGACUUAAAGGGUCAGUAACCAAAUGGGUUGGCAAAAAAAUUUAAAAUUUAGUUAAAUGUAUAUUUCAGUUAAUUAAUUAUCUUAUAGCUGUCCAAUUAAUUCAUUAUUGAUUAAUUAUAUUAAACAUAAAUAAAAGUCACUUUCUUAAAGUGGAGAGUCCAACAUGCAUGAACGCCUUUUUUUAUUUUCUAAUUUUAUUGUUUAUUUUUGGAUAGAAAGAUAGCUUUUGACUGUUGCUCUUUCUUUUAUUGUUAUUAUUGUUAUUAUUAUUAUUAUUAUUAUUAUUAUUAUUUUGGCUCAGAUGCAGUGGGCUAAGACAAAUCUCCAUUCAAAAUUGAACAAAAUCCUCCAUUUCAACAUUUUCUUAAGCCCUUUAUUCAUUUUCAUUUUUUUUUCUCUAUAAUUUAUAACAUGCUAUAUAUAAUUAUAAUCGAUUUUUUUUUGGGUUAAAAUAUGACAAAAUUUCUAGAUCCCUUUUAAGUUAGUUAAUGAAAACUUCGUAGAAAGACAAAUAUACUCAGUGUCAUGAAAAUCAUUUUUUAACUUAUUUGAGAAAUUGUUUUAUAUUUAAUAAAAAAAUCUUUUCUAAUUUACUUGAGAAUUUAUUUGAGGAUUUAUUUAAUAUUUAAAGUGUGUUUGAUAAUAUUUUUACUUAAAAUAUUAUUAAUAAAAGUGUUUUUUUUAUUAAAGUGUUUUUUAGAAUAAUCACUUAUCAAAUGUUUCUUCAAAAUACAUUAAGUAAUUUUUCAAUAUUGCAAAUGAUUUUUCAAAAUUUUGAAAAUAUUUCCUAAAUUUUACCACAUAUCUAUUUUUAAAAAAAUAUUUUUUAGACUAAAACCAUUUUCUAAAAUCAUUAUCAAACGAUUAACUUCCACAUCAACAAAAAUUACCCAUUAACAUCAUACUUUAAACUUUGACUUUAAUUACUUAAUACACUCAAAAAUAAGAAGUUAUCUAAAUAUAAAACAAAAUUAAAAAAUUAUUAAAUUUCAACCACCCUACAUACUAUCAAACCAAAGUGGACACAAAAAUUUUGCUCACACUUUUAUCAUAUCAUGGAAUUAAAUUUAUAAGCUAUGGAUGUGAAAUAUGGGUCUACCAUGGUAUAAAUUAUAAAAAUAUUAAAAAAAAAAUUAGGGUAGGGGUGAAGCCCAAUUCAAAUUGAAGUACAAAAAUAUCAUACAUGGUGAGACAACUACAAUUCACAGCUAAGAUCCAUUUAUUUGUCUUGUAUGGAAGGUUAAGGGUCACUAUCUUUCUGGUCACCCAAUGGAUAUAUAGACCAUCACAGCUAAGGUCCCAGCCCCACCAAUCCACCAUGGACAACAUUCUCUUAUCAUAGUACUGUUUGAAUGCCUAGAUCACAUGCCAUUGUAUGCCUUGAUAGAUAAAAGAAAAUUUAUGAUAAUUUGUAUAAGAAACUUAAAUUUAUUAUUUUUAUUUUUAUUUUUACUAUUUACUAGUAUUACUAUUAUUUAGGUUCAGGUGUAAAUAGAUCUUUGAUUUUAUAAAAAAAUUAUUGAACGUUAUUUUAUCAUGUAAUUUAGUUUUAGAAAGCAAUUCGAAAACAUUAAGAUUUUUCUUGGUUAAACAUCUAUAUUGGCUAGAUAGUGAUUAUAAUGUUUACAAUAAUAUUUAUUAUAAGUUUAAUGCUAUGACAUGGAAUCGUAUUGUGCAUGGCAGGUUAUUUAACCUUGAUGUUACUAAUUUAGACUAAUAAAUAAAUAAAAGAUUGGUUAAUAUUGGUCUUAAUAUUAUUUAAAUUGAAAAUUAUUUAAUUUGUUUAUAUCAAUAAAGGUAUCUUUGAUUGCUUAAUCUCAAAUCCUCAUUUCAAUCACUAAUUUUGGGUUAUGUGAAUAUCAAAUUAAUGUAUUUUUGUAUUUUAUCGAUCUUCUAACUAACGUACUUAGCAUAUGUGUUUAAUAAUGUAAAUCAUAAAUAACUUGGUUUAUGAGAUAGACAUUUUGAUAUUGAUGUGUUAAUUAAAAAGUCAAACAACAAGUAUCUCUUUGUCGUGUUGUCUCUCAUGGAAAUGACCCUAACAUUAUCUUUAAGCUAGGUUUAUUUCUAAGCUCAUCAAGCAUUAUUAUUUGUUUAAUUAUUCCCUUUAAUAUGAAAUAAAUAAAUGAAGAUUGAAUCCAUUAAUAUAUUUUUUAUCACUUGAUUAUUAAUUGAUUGAGACACUUAAACCAAUCUUACUAUGCCCAAUAGUAAGAGAAUUGAUUUCAUAAAGAUACACUAAAUUUUUAUUAAAACUUCACACUUAGCUCUUUAUUUAAGUUGACGUAUUAGUGUUAUUAGGAGACGAAAAAUAUUAACCUAUCUUAAAUAAGGAAGUGAUGACUUGAAAAUGAAGUAAAACAACUAAAAAAUAAGCAUACAUACUUCGAUUUUAUAAUAUUUUUAACACAUGGCACAUGAAUCUUAGGAUAACGAUGUAUUGUAUUUAUGUAAAUUAUAUUAAGGCUUUAGCCCUAAUUGACCCAGUACUCGUUAUUUGUAUAAUAUAUACAGGACAAUGUGAAUUUUUAGAGAAUCAAAUAACAAAUUAAAUGUCGAGUUAUUAAUCAUUUGAGUCAUACACAAAUAAGUAUAUAAAUUUUUUUGCCAAAGCAUGCAUUACCAUGCAAGAAAUACCUAGUUUGCUUACCCUAAAAAGGGGUCAAAUUUGUUAAUUGAGAAUGAGAUCUCUUUUACAAAGACUCAACACGUAUAAUCAUGGCUCUUGGGAAAACAUUGAAUCUAUGGUAUUAAUUGGUAAUGUUCCCAAUUAAUACCAAUUGGAAUAACACUUUAAAAUAGUACGAAGAAAAGGAAAAACCCUAUUUAAAAUAUUGCAUGGUACCCACCAAUACCAACUAGAUUCUUUAUCAAAAUUAUUACCACCUAACUCAAAUUCAUACACUAAAUUUUCUGAUAAUAUUCUUUGUCUAUGUAAAUAAAAAUGUUAUAUCUAUAAUUAAUUUUUAAGUAAAAGUAUGGACUUUUCAACAAGAUGUAUGUAUAUUUAUUGUAUCAUACAUCAAGAUUGAAGAUAGUCUUCAAUCAUUGCAUAAAAAAGUUUAAUUAUUAUUAGAAAUGGAUCCAUGAAUGAGCAAAAUAACUUGAAAUAACCUUACACAAUGUAAAAUAUUUAAAAGAAUAAAUUAAUAAAUAAUAAUCCAAGUGUUUAACGAUUAGGGUUUUGACGAUAUGUUAAAUCAUCGCUUAUUUUUAGAGAUUAAAUAGAAUGUGUUUGAGAGUGUUUUUACUCGAAGUAUUUUUAAUGGAAGUUUUUCCUCAUAAAGUGUUUUUAGGAGAAUAACGUAUCAAUUAUUUCUAAACAAACACUAAAAGUAUUUCCUUAAUCUUGUCAACCAACUAAUAUUUUUUCAAAAACACUUUUUGUAAAAACCCACACCCUACCGUGUGUAGAUAUUGUCCGCUUUGUCUCUAAAAAGGUUUUUAUAACUUUAAAACACGUUUACAGGGUUAAGAAGAGCUUAUACUCAUAUGGUAUAAGAAACUUUUUUUUCUAUUUGAUGUGAGAUAUCACAAACAUCCUCUUAUGCAGACAUGUUCUCGUUGUAUCUCUUGGGAUUGUGGGGUCAAAUAGAUAGACACCCCUCAUAGGGUUAGACUAACUUCCACACUAUGGUUAGAAAUUAUCUCUAAUACCAUUUGUAAUAACCUACAUCCAACCAUAUAGAUAUUGUUAAUGACAUAUACCCAAUUAUAUAGAUAUUAUCCGUUUUGGGCUCAAAAGAUCCUUAUAACUUUAAAAUACGUCUACAAAAUUAUAAAGAACUCAUACUCAUAUAGUGUCAAAAAUUUUCAAAAUCACUAUUAAACAUACUCUUGAUUUAAAACUCGGAUAUUUAUACCUCACAAUUAAGUGAUUCAUUUACCAUUUCUUCCAUCAUGAGUCUAUUUCACUAUCCAUUGAUCCCUUGUUUAUUGACAAAAUAUUAUUUUCUAACCAUUUUUAUCCCUUGACACUAUCUUCGACUAUUUCUUUUUUUAUUAAAAUUGAUUAGAUAUAUAUAUAUAUAUAUAUAAUAUUGUUUGUCGAAUUUCCAAGGAAAUUAGGUUGAUUUGCCAUUCGAAUUAGUCAAAGGUAAUGUUUUAAGGGAACAUCCCACAUCAAUAAGAAAAAAGAUUUACUGUCUUCUGGCAGAUUUACUCUUAUAUUAGCUGUUAAUUUUCUUUAAAAAUUAUUAAAUUAUCUUAAUACUUAAGCAAUGAUUAUAAAUUGGGUAGUCAUAUUUGGAUUAGUCUUACACAUCACCUCAUAAAGAGUGUAUGACUUUGUAUUUAAGCCAAUCUAUAAGUUUGAAGCCGGCCUAUUAUUUUAAUUUCUUUAGGUUGAACUUAAUUCAACUUAAAUAAUUACCACUUGCACCUCCACCCCAAUAGGAAAACUCCCCCCAAAAAAAAAAAAGAAAAAAAAAAGGGUUUUUCUACUUAGAAUUAGGAAAUCACUACUUUUUCUUACCUUAAUUUUCUAUUUAAAAAUGGGAAAUGAUAAUAAUUUUAUCAUAACAACACUACUUUGAUAACAAACUAAAGCCCUAUUUGGCCAUAUUUUCUCAAACUUUGUUUUAAAAACUAAUUUUAAAUUAAAGAAUAGAAAACGGUUUUUAAAAAUAAAUUUUUGGUCAAGGGGGCCAUAUUUUCCUUUCGUUUUUAAAAAACUGAUAAAAACAAUUUCUACUUUUUCCUAAAAAUUAUUCUAUAUUUCACUUUAUUUUUAAAAAUUAUUUCCCAAAAAUAAAUAGUAUUAGAAAAUUUUAAAAACGGGUUUCUAUUUUUAAAAACAAAAAACUGUUUUUAAAUCAUUAUACCAAACAGACUCUAAGUUUUAAAGAAUUUAAACAAAAAAUGAAUAAUAAAAUUUGAUCACUCAACGAUUCUCCAUCGAAGUCAUUAACUCUUUUCCUCUAAUUCCCCUCAUUUAAACUUACUUCCAAUAUUAAUCACAACAAAUAAGUAAAAUUUAAUAGUUCUAAACAAAUUUUAAGUUUCGUAUUACUUCAACUUAAAUAGUUAAGAACAAAUUAAACAAAAUUUGUAUCAAGUUAAUUUAAACUAUUAAGUAUUAAUUUAAUCUAUGCCUACAAUAAGAGACAUAUUUGAACUUAAAUCCUAAAAAUUAAAAAAAGAAAAAUAAAUAAAGACUAACAAUGUUGACCAUGAUUUUUAAGUGGUUUUAUCAUCAUUAUGAGAAGUUUGUAAAUGAUAUCAUUUUUUUUCUUUAAAUUUGAAAGUUUGUGAAAAAUGUUUAGGAUGUUUGUUUCCAGUGAUGAAUUCAGAGACGUAGAGAACUCCAAAAUGUGGGUCAAAUAAUUCAAAAUCAAAUUGAUGAUAAAGAUAUGGGCAAAUAAUCCAAAAUGUGGGAAGACAAUGAUGAUGAUGGCUGCCUAAUACAUACUUAAUCAUCAAGAUUUUGGGCAAAAAUCUCAAUUGGUGGGCCCAAUCAUAAAAUGGCUUUUCACUUUUUGUUUGUUUAUUUAUUGGGUGUCAUUCAAAUAAAAGAAUGCUCUACAAGGUGCCACUUUGUGUUUUGGGUCUAAUUGGGCCCAAAAAUUAAGAUAUGGUCCAUAUAUAUUCCAUAUUUAAUAGAAAAGAUAUGAGAUAUUAACUAACCAAUAUACCCUUAAAAUUUCCGGCUCAGAUUGUUGUAAAUUAAUGGGUUUGACAGGUGGUAAACUUGAAAUGCCAUGUCACUUGACUGAAAAAUCUGAAAUAAAGGGCAUAAGGGUCACCACCCUCCUACCCCUUUCUCUCCCUUCGUAAACAACAUGCUCACAGACGAUGUCAACUGUGAUUGUCCUCCUAUUGGUUUCUUCAGCAGUUGAGGAUUGUGAGCAACUUAGAAAAGCCUUUGCAUGUAUUUUAUCAUCAUCAUUCCCAAAUCCAAAUGACGGUGAGUCUGAAUUAUUUUCUCACAUUUUGAUUUGAUCAUGUUGGUUCCUUUGAUGAUGUGGUGGAUGUUUGUUUAUUGGGUUAGUACAAGGUUUGAGGAAAGACAUUUGUUUUGAUCUCGUGUUGGGGUGUUUAAAAAAAUUUUGAACUUAAUAACAUAGUGUUUUUGGGUGCAGGGUAGGGGAUAAAUGAGGCUUUGAUCAUAUCCAUCUUGGCUCAUAGGAAUGUAGAACAACCUAAGUAAAUUCAAGAAACUUACAGUGAAUAUUAUGGAAAAGAUCUCCUCAAAAAUGGCAUUUCACAAGUCUUAAAAUUUUUCACUUUAGAAUCUGCUUGUUAGGUUUAUAGUCCAGAGAAGAAAUGGGUAUCGUCUAGACGGUGAGCUUUGGGGAUGAGCUAGCCCACUUAUGAUGAAUAAGAAACUAAAUUGGGUUUCAUUUUUCCCCUUUUCACUUAGCUAUGACAUUGGAAUGUGGUUAACUCGCCCAUAUGCACUCGUUAAGUUGUAGCUAGAUCGAAUUCCUGCAACUGUACAAGGCAUUUACACAAAGUGUGUAAGGCUAAUGUACUAAAUAUACAAGGGUGUGUAUUUUAAGGGGUUUUAAGUGAUUUUAAUGAACUUACUCAUUUACUUUUUCCAAUCAUGGGGACAUUCCUAACACAUAUUGCUUGACAACACACUAAUUGUAUGCAUUUUAUUUGAUGUUUAUCAUGUUAAUUCAUUCUAUUAGCUCCCAUACUAAUGAUGAAUAUGAACCGAAAUGAGGGUAAACUUUUUCCUCCUUUUCCCUAAUCCAUGAGAAUGAAAACAUUGUUUACACACCCAUAUGUACUCGUUCGUUCGUACCUAUUUUGGAUUUCGUUAUUGUACAAGGCAUUUACACUAAGUGUACAAUGCAAAUGUGUUAAUUAUACAAGUGUGUACAAGACUUUCUAUCUUGAAAGAUUUCAACUGCUUUUGAAAAAAUUGCUUGCUCAUUUCUUUUUUCUAAGGGGUACAUUCCUCAUAGUCAUUGCUCAUAGGAUAUAUGUUUGAUAAUUUUUGUCAAAAGGAACAACAUAGCAUACUUAUUUUUAUCAGAAUUUGCACUUUAGAUAUUGGUAGUUAAGACCUUAGAAUCGGCAUUCAUGAUGAGAAAAUUAACAUGAAAAUAUCAUUAUGACACAUUAUCAAACAUAUAUCCUACAUCCACCAUUACUAUAAAAAGAAACAUUAAUAUUUUGUCUGUAACCUGAAAAACAACAUAGAGUCUAGCUGAGGGUUCUCUUCCUCUUAUGCCUCCAUUUUUCUGGAAACAAAAUCAACUCAGAAGAUAAGACUUAAGUUCAAAAUAUAUAAUUUCUUAGUUAUCUCAGCAACAAAUAGAUCUAGUAUUAUUGAUUUCUGCAAAGAACCCAAUAGAUCUAGUAAAGCCAGAAUCCCAAUUAGGAUAUCCCCACCAAAUAAUAGUACAGAAAGCAAGAUUCAAUUUUAAAAACGGGUUUCUGUUUUUAAAAACAAAAACCUAUUUUUAAAUCAUUAUACCAAACAGACCCUAAGUUUUAAAGAAUUUAAACAAAAAAUUAAUAAUAAAACUUGAUCGCUCAAUUAAUUUCCAUCGAAGUCAUUAACUUUUUUUCCUUAGUUCCCCUCAUUUAAACUUACUUCCAAUAUUAAUCACGACAAGUAAGUAAAAUUUAAUAGUUCUAAACAAAUUUAAAGUUUCAUAUUACUUCAACUUAAAUAGUUAAGAACAAAUUAAACAAAAUUUGUAUCAAGUUAAUUUAAACCAUUAAGUAUUAAUUUAAUCUAUGCCAACAAUAAGAGACAUAUUUGAUCUUAAAUCCUAAAAAAAUAAAAAAAAUAAAUAAAGACUAACAAUGUUGACCAUGAUUUUUAAGUUGUUUUAUCAUCAUUAUGAGAGACAUGGACCCCAAUGGGAGUCACUUGAUGGAGCCAUUGACAAAGUGAUCAAUUAUUACUUGAUUAAGAAGAAAGUUUGUAAAUGAUAUCAUUUUUUUUCUUUAAAUUUGAAAGUUUGUGAAAAAUGUUUAGGAUGCUUGUUUCCAGUGAUGAAUUCAGAGACGUAGAGAACUCCAGAAUGUGGGUCAAAUAAUUCAAAAUCAAAUUGAUGAUAAAGAUAUGGGCAAAUAAUCCAAAAUGUGGGAAGACAAUGAUGAUGAUGGCUGCCUGAUACAUACUUAAUCAUCAAGAAUUUGGGCAAAAGUCUCAAUUGGUGGGCCCAAUCAUAAAAUGGCUUUUCACUUUUUGUUUAUUUAUUUAUUGGGUGUCAUUCAAAUAAAAGAAUGCUCUACAAGGUGCCACUUGGGCUAAUUCAAAAGGGUUCAUUUCAUUCUCAUUAUGAUAGCGCUAAUUCAAAAGGGUUCAUUUCAUUCUCAUUAUGAUAGCUUAGACUCCAGUAUGGGAAAAAGCAUGAGAUUUAAAAACAAUUUCCAUGAAAAAUAUGGUUAAGUGGAAAAAAAAAAAAAAAAAAGGGAUGGAUAAAUAAUUAGGGUUUUUAAAUUAGCAAAAUAAUUUUUUUUUAAUGUUAAGGAAUUUAUUUAUAAAUCAAGAUAAAUUUGCCUUACGGAGAGUCUGUGCAGUGUUUUUAGUUCAUAAAGUGUUUUUAAAAAUAAAUUAGGUUUUUUACAAAAUUAAAAAAAAAAACAUUUUUUUAAAAUUAGAAAAAUCACUUAUAAUAUUUUUUUUUAAAAACACUUGAUUUUCCUAAAAACACUAUCAACACUGUCAAUGGCACUCAAAAGUCACAGGUUUAUACCACUUCCCCAAAAUAAUUUUUAUAUAAUUAAUAUUUGUAUACAUGUUAGAAUUUUGUUUUAAAAUUUUAAAAUAAAUAAAUAAAAUUUAAAAGAAAAGAAAUUUAAUCUGCAUUUUUAUAGUAAUUACCACAAGUUCCUCCUCCGACCCCAUUGAUCCCACACAUGUUCCUGAUUUUAUUUUCUCAAGAAACAAACAGAACACAAGAAAAUUGCAACCAACCCUCUCUCAACUUCUUAAUGACCAAAAGAAGUAACCCUUUUGUGGGCUGUUUAGGCUCUACCAAUACAUUUAUCUGAAAACUUUCAACCAAAUCAAAACUCUGGAGCAUUGUACUACAAGAUUAUGGAGUGACCUAAAAAGAAAAAAUGAAAAGAAAAGAAACUCUGAAGCGCAAGAGAAGCUUCAACAGACUCCCAAAAUGCAAUAAGCAACAAGAAAAUAACUUCUACUCUAUGAGUUUAGAGCUAAGCAUAAGAAAUUAGAGAACAAAACGGAAUUGGUUAAUAAAUUUCAAGCAACAGAGUUCAACCAUGGGCAGAAAAAAGAGGGUGUAAGAAAUGGAAGCCAUUGGAUUCCGCGUAAAAUAGCACCUGCUGCUCUUGAAUUGGUUCGUCAAACAAGUAUAUAAGAGAGUUGAAACUGUCAGAAAAAUCAUUGAAGAUGGAGAAAUCCUCCUCAACAAUCACAAGGACACCCAUUAUGUCAAGAGUAAGAUAAUUACAGGAAUCAUACAAUACUGAAGAAUUGCAGAAACUUGGAUUAUAAAAUGACCACUUGAAACUGGAAAUCCUAUGAAGGGCCACAGCAAGUUGCUAUCAAAGGGGAGGGGAGAGCACCCUAUUCCUCGAGUAACCCAAUAUUUCAUUAACAAGAGAGGCCUUUCUCCUCUUCCCAGAUCAAGAACCAGACUAUGAUUAAAAAGGAUUACAGUUUAGUGUUCGAGUUUCACCCGCUAUAUAUACUUUCAAACCAUUAGAAAACUGAAGGAGAUUGUCGUAUGUUUUGUAUAGCAGACUCACCUCCUCAACAGCUGUUUCUCUAAGAUGGAAAUUCCAAGUUGACAAGCUGCUACUUAUGAAGUACCAUUAUCACAGUGCUGAGUGAAGCUUCCAUCCUUUUGCCCAGAAACUUAUUUUUGGUAAUGAUGUUCUGUACUGUGAUGUGGUCAUUUUCUAAGAUUGGCAACUAGUUAAUGUCGUAAAGACUAUAGAAAAGUUCUAAUUCCAAAUGUAUUUUUGCAUCUAAAAAUUUAGUACAAGAACUGCCUGUCAAUCAAGUAAUAAUUUCAUACUUGAGCAUCUAUAAAUUUUAAUCUCUUGGCCGAGUAUUCAAAACCAAAUAUUAGUCUUCAUGGCCUCAGCACUUGGCUUCCAGACAGAAUGUCUGCCAAUUUCACCUUUCCCAGUCACAAUAAUUAGAUGAAUUCCAUCAUCCAUGAUGUUAACUAAAAGACCCACAUAUCCAAUUUACCCUCCAAAUAAUUGACCUGGAAAAUAAGGAGAAGAAAAAAAGUGUCAUUUGAAAUGGAAACAGAUAAACGAUGUAGAGUAGCAAAGUAUAAGAAGCUCAUGCUUCUGAAUUCUCACAGGAAAAAGUAGUAUUUGUUUUGGCUUCCUUUUUCUUUUCCUUUUUUAGUGCAUUUAGUAGUUCUUCUUUCAAUAGUUCCUCUCAGGUUUGUCCACUGACCAAUCACUGCCAUGAGAACACAGUAUGAAGAGGCAACGCUGUUGCCUUUCUAAAUCGUGUAACAUUCAGUAUGGCUGCUGGCAAGCUGCAAGAUCUAAAACCUAUUUCCAUAAGCGGAUUCAAGUUGAGUUAGCAUGCUCGGAUCAAUUCUUGGGUCUUUUAGGCAAAAAUACACUAUAUUGGGAGCAGUCACAACAAUCUGAAUAUGGAUAUUUAUAUCAUGUUGUCAGCUUCUAGAACAUUACAGUUAUAGCAUACCGCAGUUGACCAUCAUAAUUGAAGUUGAAAAUCCACCAAACAAUACCUUAAGAAAAAAAACUUCGAGUGUUUAUCCAUCCAUCCAUGAUUGACUCUCCAAAUGUUUAGAUCUGUUUUUAUCCACUAGGUUUGUCAUCACAAGUGCAUGAAUGAACAAUUGCAAGACAUAUGAAGACGUUGAAUCUUUAUGCAUAAUAAUGCUGAUGAUUCCCUUCAUUUCCAGCAGCAAAUACUUAAAAAGCCCAGAAGAGAAACAAAAACUAAACUGAGCCAGAAUUUUUGGUCCAAAAUCAUCCCUAUGAAAAUACUAGCUAGUGCUCAACCUUUCUUAUAAUGAGAUUCUGCAGAACAUAAGAGGUCUGCCCUGUUUGGCAAAGACAAGUAUGAAUCAAUUUUCAGUUAUCGGCAUGAUAAAAUGCAUUAAGCAGCCAUGGUUAGCAGGAGCAGCUCAGAGUCAUUUGUAUUGCACAGACUUAAGAAGAUUUGGUCCAAGCUGAAGAGGCAUUGAGAUAUGGAAAAUAGUAAUUCGAUGGUUCUAAGAGGGUUCCCCAGUACAUCAUUGAAGAAAAGAGACUGAAAAAUUGGCAUUCUUAAAAUUGCCAUGUUUCCAGUUGGCAGAGUAAACCUUGCACCUGAGGCAACCCUGAUAUUUAGUGCAUAAGCUUAAUGGACUCAAAAACUCACAUUUCCAGACGAUCAAGUGAGGAGACCCGCAUAGCCAUCCGUCUAUGUAGAGACUUUGCAUUCUUCAAGCUCCAUGAUGAGGCCCAUAAAGGUAGAACAUGUUCCAUCUUAGAGACCUCUUGUGGGGAUAGAACUGGAAACAAAUAGAAUUGUAAGAAUUCAAAAAACAUAAAUCCUGGUUCAAGAUACAAGAUUAUGGAUAUAUGUUUGGCUAAAGCAAUAAAGUUAAAGAGCUGCCUCCAUGUGGAAGCCCAGAUGGAGACAAAUAUGCAUACUUCCAAAAGUUGAGAUGUUUAAGGUUAGGAAGCAGUUUUUGCCGGUUAAGAAUUAUUAGACCAAGCCUCUUCCCUAGUACCAGUAAAACAUUUCAUAGAACCAGUAAAUGAUUUGACCCCUUAUGAAGUGGACAAACCAUGUUCAGUCCUGGUCUUUUCUGGCAGUGGUGUUUCAGUUUCUUCGAAUAGUUAAGCGUAGAAUGUUAAUUCACACGAAUGUUAAUUCAAUUUUUUCCUCUGCCCUAGUUGAUGAGGAAAUUGCAGCGUUUGCAAAAAGAAUUUAGGAAAUUCUUUAAAAAUAGAAAGAAGAAAAACUUUUAAGUAUAAAGAAGAUCUCAAAAGAUCUAAAGGAUCUCCACCUUGGGCUUGUGCUUAAGCUCCUAAAGAUUCUAAAGUUUAUUUUUUUGCAACAAACAUUGAGUAAUGCUAUCUAUAAAUCCGAGUUCAUACAUGAGCAUCAACGGUAGAUGCUUAUAACAUUGUAGACAAAUUGCUACAAAAUUGGGUUUUGUCUUAGAUCGCCAAAACAGGAGACUACUAGGACUCUGUGUGCAUGAAUAAUAUCGUAGGCAAUCCUAUUCCAGAUUAAUUUGUAACUUGAGUCCCGUAAGUAUGACUAGUUCACCAAAAUACAUUCACUUAAAGUUUAAAGUGGCUGCAGCCUACGUGAACACUGAAACACCUAUCCUAUUCUGUCCUUGAACACACGUUAGGGACAGUGAGUAAUCUAGAGAUCCAGUUUUUGUGCAUGGAAAAUAAAAAUGUUUUUUGUAAAUUCUAAAAUUGGUUAAUCAAGGCUACAAUUGAAGAAGACCAGAAUUUGAUAUCCACUUGGUGGCUUAGUGGAUCAAGAAGGAAAUUACACUUUGUCCAAUCAAGAUAGAGAUUUGAUUGGUUAAGUGAAAAAGUUGCACCUAGAUUGAUCAAGUGUUGGUUCACCAAGCUUAUAAAUUCAACCAAUUUAUUGAAGUGUUAUAAUUGGGUUUGAACUCUCUUAAAGAGUUCUGGACUCCAUAAAUAUUGUUAAAGUAUAUUAUGUUAUGGGCUUUAGGCCCAGUUAGGUUAUAGUACACUUUACUUGUACCGCACACUUGUACCGCACACAUAUGCCUCCUAUAUAAAGGCGCUGAUGUAUAUUCUUUAAUCAAGAAAUAGAAUACAAUUAUUCUAUAUUUCAAACAUGGUAUCAGAGCCACUGCUCUGACCUUUUCUUAGCAGUCUUGUCUUCAUUAGUGUGACUUCCUUUAAACGCUUCCGCCAUCACAACUGCCGCCGCAGCCUCUUGCCGUUGAACCUCCGAUGUCAUCCAGCCGUCGUCCUUGGGUUCUGGACCUGUAGCCGCCGUCGUUAAGGAGUUUCACACUGCACAGACCACUGCUCUUUACAUCACCGCUGCGAAUAUUGCUCCGAUUUCAUUUUUGAAGGUACCACUGAGAUCGUCCAGCGCCGAUCUACACAUUCGUGGAACCCUUGCCACCAUCGGAGACCGCACGCGCCCCCACGCACCGCUCAAAGAUUCUGCGACGCUGAUCACGCGCCUCCACGCGCUCUCACGAGCCAGGCCUGGUCUGCUGACAUCAUCAUCUCUGCCACGUCAGCCAUAGCUGUGUCAGCAUCCACUGAUCUGCUGACGUCAUCUCCACGUCAUCUUCAGCCGUUGACCGUUGACUUUGACCGUUAACUUUUCCAGUUGACUUUUUUUCCGACCAGGUUCUCCUUACCCAGUUUUUCAUGUAGAUUUCAUUUCUGCAGUCGGUUUUUGCAUAUUGUGUCUCUAAAUGGAUAAAAAAGAUGUUUUUCUUCCUCACCCCAUCAAUUCUGUAUUGAAGGGGAAUAAAAAUUACUUAUCCUGGUCUCAAGCUAUGCGCAGUUUUCUUAAGAGUCGCAUGCUCUGGCAUUAUUGUACUGGUGCAAUGACUAUUCCUGUCAAGGGAGCAAGUGAAGAAGAUGUUGUCUUUCUUAGUCGCAUGAUUGAAUGGGAUAGUCACAACCACAUGAUCCUCACAUGGAUCCAGAACACUUCCAUUCCCUCUAUUUCCAAUCUAUUGGGCAGCUUUGACGAUGCAAAAUCUGCAUGGGAUAUGUUGACCAAAAGGUACUCCACUACUCAUGGAUCCAUGAAAUAUCAGUUAGUGGUUGAAUUGCAUCAACUCAGGCAAGAACCGGGGCAAUCCAUCAAUGACUAUUAUGAUCAGCUUCGCUUCAUUUGGGACCAAAUUGACCUUUCUGAUCCAACUUGGGCAUGCUCAAAAGAUGCUCAGCAAUAUGCUUCCAUCAGAGAUGAAUUUCGCCUCUAUGAAUUCUUGAUGUCACUUCACAAGGAUUUUGAGCCCAUUCGUGGUCAGCUGCUAAAUCGCAGUCCUGCUCCCUCUCUUGAUACUGCUGUGAAUGAGUUGGUUAGAGAAGAAGCUCGUCUUGCAACCCUUCAAGCCCAGAAUAAGCUCAAUGUUUUGGCUAUUGCUCCAUCUACUCCACUCAUAGAGCAACCUCAGCAAUUAGGUGAUUUUUCUGGCUCUAGCAAUUGUCGCAAGCAAACCAACAAGAAGUUCUGCAACUAUUGCAAGCGUCCUGGGCACACCAUUGAGACUUGUUACCGUCGUAACAAAUCUACUGCUGCUGUUGCUAAUACUAAGCCUACUCCGCCAACGGCUUCCACCUCAGUUGAGUCCUAGUCUUCUGGAUCUACUAUCAAUCUCUCCUCCACUGAACUACAGGAGAUCAUAGCUCAGGCUGUUCGUAUGGCUGGUAAUGCAUCUCUUUCCACUGCUUUAUCUGUUCUACCUGGUAAGUCUCAAACUUGGCUUUUUGAUUCUGCCUGCUGCAAUCACAUGACACCUCACUCAUCCCUAUUCUCCAACCUUGACCCUGCACCACAUCCUCUAAAUAUUCAUAUAGCUGAUGGUUCCACCAUGCAUGGAAAUAGUCUAGGUUUUGUUUCAACCUCUAAUCUUUCUGUUCCUGGAGUCUUCCACGUACCUGCCCUAUCCUAUAAUUUGUGCUCUGUGGGACAAUUAGCUGAACUAGGUUAUCGCUUUAUUUUUUACUAUUCUGGGUGUAUUGUGCAGGAUCCGAGGACGGGGCAGGAGCUUGGGACCGGUCCUAGAGUUGGGCGUAUGUUUCCCAUGAACAAUCUUCAUCUUCCACCUGUUGCUCCUGUUUCUGUUGUUGCUGCAACGGCUGCAAUUUCUUCCUUACCUUUUCUUGCACUUUGGCAUUCUUGUCUUGGUCAUGCACCAUAUUCUCGGGUACAACAGUUAGUGUCUAGGGGUCUAUUGGGUUCUGUGUCUAAAGACAAUUUUGAUUGCACUUCAUGUCAGUUAGGAAAACAGCCAGCUUUGCCUUUUAAUAACAGUGAAUCCAUUUCUAAUAGUAUUUUUGAGUUAAUUCAUUCUGAUGUUUGGGGACCUUCUCCUGUUGCUAGUAUUGGUGGAUCUCGAUAUUUUGUUGUUUUUAUUGAUGAUUAUUCUCGUUAUAGUUGGAUUUUUCCUAUGAAAUCUCGUUCCGAAAUUUUAUCAAUAUAUAGCAACUUUGCAAAAAUUGUUGAAACUCAAUUCUCCAAACGUAUCAAAACCUUUCGAUCUGAUAAUGCUCUUGAAUAUACUCAAUAUGCAUUUCAAGCUCUGUUACAUUCCUAUGGCACUAUACAUCAUCUAACUUGUCCAGGUACCUCUCAGCAAAAUGGUCGAGCCGAAAGAAAACUUCGUCAUAUUCUUAACACUGUUUGUGCUCUACUUCUUUCUGCCAAAGUUCCUGCCCCAUUUUGGGGUGAAGCUAGUCUUCAUGCUGUUCAUGCAAUUAACCGCAUUCCAAGUGCUGUCAUCCAUAAUCAGACUCCGUAUGAGCGUCUCUUUGGGUCACCCCCUAACUAUCAUCACCUUCGUUCCUUUGGAUCUGCUUGUUUCGUUCUUCUUCAGCCUCAUGAGCACAACAAACUUGAGCCUCGAUCUAGACUCUGUUGUUUCCUUGGUUAUAGCGAAACUCAAAAGGGGUAUAGGUGUUAUGAUCCUGUCUCUCAUCGUCUUCGUGUUUCUCGUCAUGUUGUCUUUUGGGAACACCGAUUGUUUGUUGAACUCUCUCACUUUUGUUCUUCCUUGACUAACUCCUCUGUUUUAGAAAUCUUUCCAGAUGAGUCUCUUAUUCCUUCUACAAAUACUUUUGAUCCUCCUUUGGACUUCUCUCUAGAUAUCUUUGAUGCUUCUCCUAGACAAGUUGCAGAUGAACAGAUUAAUGACGAGCUACCCCACUUUGAGCCUAGGUCCCCUGCUCCUGCUCUACCUGAAGAUCCUCCACAAGACAUUCCACCUCGCCACUCAACCCGGGUAAGAUCCAUUCCUCCACACCUCCUUGACUAUCAUUGUUACACUGCCCUUGCUACACUUCACGAGCCUCAAACCUAUCGUGAGGCCUCUACUGACCCUUUAUGGCAGAUUGCAAUGAAAGAGGAACUUGAUGCAUUAACCAAAAACCAUACUUGGGACCUGGUUACUCUCCCUCCUGGACAGUGUGUGGUUGGUUGUAAGUGGAUCUAUAAGAUCAAGACUCACUCUGAUGGAUCCGUUGAGCGCUACAAGGCUCGUCUUGUUGCCAAAGGUUUUACACAGGAGUAUGUGAUUGAUUAUGAAGAGACGUUUGCUCCAGUUGCUCGUAUCUCAUCUGUUCGUGCUCUCUUAGUUGUUGCUGCUGCUCGUAAAUGGGAUCUUUUUCAGAUGGAUGUUAAAAAUGCCUUCCUUAAUGGGGAUCUGAGUGAAGAAGUCUAUAUGCAACCUCCUCCUGGUUUCUCUGUUGAAUCAAACAAGGUUUGUCAUCUUCGACGUGCACUUUAUGGUCUCAAACAAGCCCCACGAGCUUGGUUUGCCAAGUUCAGCUCCACUAUUUUUCGCUUGGGUUACACUGCCAGUCCAUAUGAUUCUGCCUUAUUUCUUCGUCGUACUGAUAAAGGCACUAUUUUGCUUCUUCUAUAUGUGGAUGAUAUGAUCAUAACUGGUGAUGACCUUAGUGGCAUUCAAGAACUCAAGGAUUUUCUCAGUCAGCAGUUUGACAUGAAAGAUCUUGGACAUCUCAGCUAUCUCUUGGGUCUUGAAAUUACUCAUUCCACAGAUGGUCUUUAUAUUACUCAAGCCAAGUAUGCUUCUGACCUGUUGUCUCAAGCUGGACUCACUGAUAGCAAAACUGUUGACACUCCAGUUGAACUUAAUGCGCAUCUGACACCCUCGGGGGGGAAACCAUUGUCUAAUCCUUCUCUUUACAGACGAUUGGUUGGCAGCUUAGUUUAUCUCACAGUUACUCGUCCAGACAUCUCCUAUGCUGUUCAUCAGGUGAGCCAGUAUUUGUCUACACCACGAUCAACUCACUAUGCUACUGUUCUGCGUAUUCUUCGAUACCUGAAGGGUACCCUUUUUCAUGGCCUUUUCUACUCAACUCAGUCUCCUCUUGUACUCCGUGCAUUCUCAGAUGUUGAUUGGGCAGGAGAUCCUACUGAUCGCAGGUCCACUACAGGUUAUUGCUUCCUCCUUGGUUCUUCUUUGAUUUCUUGGCGAAGUAAGAAACAAACUUUUGUGGCCCGUUCCAGUACUGAAGCAGAAUAUCGUGCCCUUGCUGAUACCACUUCUGAGCUCCUUUGGCUAAGAUGGCUUCUUAAAGAUUUGGGUGUGUCCACCUCCUCUGCUACUCCUCUUUAUUGUGACAACCAGAGUGCUAUUCAUAUUGCUCACAAUGAUGUCUUUCAUGAACGGACUAAACACAUCGAGAUUGAUUGUCAUUUUAUCCAUUAUCAUCUUGUCCAUGGUGCUCUUAAGCUUUUCUCCGUCUCCUCUAAAGAUCAACUUGCAGAUAUCUUCACCAAGUCUCUUCCUAAGAGACGCACUCGUGAUUUAGUUGACAACCUCAAGUUGGUCUCACAUCCACCUUGAAGUUGAGGGGGGCUGUUAAAGUAUAUUAUGUUAUGGGCUUUAGGCCCAGUUAGGUUAUAAUACACUUUACUUGUACCGCACACUUGUGCCGCACACUUGUACCGCACACAUAUGCCUCCUAUAUAAAGGCGCUGAUGUAUAUUCUUUAAUCAAGAAAUAGAAUACAAUUAUUCUAUAUUUCAAACAAAUAUAAUUUUUUUUAUAGGCAACAAGAACAACAAAGUACACACUAAGUGUCAAAGGACAGGUACGAAGAAGACAGAGGAAGGAACAAAAAUCAAUACCCUUUCUCCUCCAUACUCAGAACUAAUCAAGUUCACAAAGCCUAUCAAGGACAUGAGAUUAACAUCAACAUAUAAUUUAGCCCAUUCAGCAAAAGUAUAUUCAUAAAUGAUAGUUUAAUUGCUUAUUCUGUCUUUUCUGAAUCUUCAAAGGUCUUUUAGUUUCUUUCCAUCCAAAGCAUCCAGAAUAGAACAUGGAGCUGCCCUCCAUGUUUUUUUCUGCUUCUUGCCCAGAAAGGAGCCAUGUUAGCUUAACAAAGCUUCCCUCACCAAGGAAUGGAACACCUAAACCACACUAAAAAUAGAAAAAAUCAACUACCACAGAAUACUAGCCAUCGAGCAUUGAAGGAGCAAAUGAUUAGUCGACUACUUGUCCUUUUUACACAUGUAGCACCUAUUCUGAAUACUCCAUCCCCUCUUUUUAAGUUGCUCAAUUGUCAAAAUUCUGCUCCAUGAAGCUUCCCAAGCCAAAAAAACUCACAUUCAUGGGGAUCCAGGCAUUCCAAACACAGGUUGCAGGGCAAUGCUCCCUUCUACCCUAUAGACUAAAGAGAGGUAGAAGGAUUUAACAGAGAACUUGCCACCUUUGGAUUCCUUUUACUCCAAACUAUCAUCCUCCUCUCUCCUAACUGAGCAAGUUUGGAGUUUUUGGAAAAAGUUUGUCCCUACUUUAAGCUCCCAAUCACAAAAUUGUCUAGAAAACCAAGGGCUCCACCAACCACUUUUGCCAUAUCGCUCCCAUACAUCCACAACCUAAUGUAUCUUUGUCUGUGGCAAAAGAGAACAAUGAUGAAAAAAAACCUUCUAGAGAUGAGUCACCAUAUCAUCUAUCUUUUCAAAACUUGACCCUUCUACCAUUGCCAAUAAAGAACUGAUCUCUGUCCCAUUAUUUUUUGAUCGCUUUCCACUCACUCACCCCAUAACCUUGAGCACCAUCCCCCUUCUUCUCUAAACUUUUGAGAAAUAACUUGCUUCUAAAAGAAUCCCUCUGAAUCACAAAUGUCCAAUACUACUUGUUGAGAAGAGCCUCAUUUAGAACAUAGAGGUUUUUGAUACCUAGGUCUCUUCUCUCUUUGUCUAAGCAAACUAUAGGCCACUUAAGAAGAGGGUUAUUUUAUAAAUAUUUAACUUAAGAAGGUUAUUUUAUACAAUCAUUCUAUUGCAUAUUGAUUGGAAAAAUCCCUCGUAACUUGCCCUUUCACAUUCCUCGAGUGUGACUUGCAAGUUGUGCUUCCAAUGACUUCUAGAAAGAGUUUUUAAUAUCUGCUAAAAGACAAACAAGGAGUUGUCCACAGCACGACAUGAAUGUGCAAGCAUCGAGUAAGGAUUGGGUGCUGUGAUCCAGGACUGGAUGGUGUGGAUGCCUCAUCUAUAUUUUUGUACUCUAGCUUUGACUUCUAUAGGAUUAGUUUCAAAUGGUUUACUGUCCAACCACGUAAUAAUUUGAAGAGUUCUUCACAUACACAGAAUGCCUUCUCUAUAUAUACUUUUCCUGAUUUAUUUAUUUAUUUAUUUAUAUUUUUAUUUUUAUAGGUGUAUGCUUUCCUGCUUGUUGUGUCAAUCAGAUUGAACGUGUUAGAUUAAUUAAAAUUAAUUCCACUAAUUUUGAAUUGAUUCAUUUAAAUUUUUUUAAAAGUAGACCAAUUCAACAACACUCCACCCACCAUCCCCCCAUCCCACGGUACACACAACCGAAAGGUCUAUCUAGGCUACCAAGAGUGUACUCAUAAGCGCAUACACAAAAUUAUAAAUGAAUUGCAGUAAUAUUCACAAGUCAACACUUUCAUCCAUGAAUUUUCAGUUUCAAUAUGUUGUGAAUAAGCACAAAUUUGAGCAUCAGAAAUUGAACACUACAACAAAAAUAAUUUAUGGUGUCACUAUUUAUGGUGUCACUUUUCAAAUAAUGACACCAUAUGACAUAAAAUUCAUAAAGGUGACACAUCAUAUAAAAAAUUUUAAUUAGGAUAGAUGAUAUUAAUUUUAAGUUUAGUGUCAGUUUUAAAAAAGUGACACCAUAUAAAAUAAAAAUUUUAAAAUAUUAUAACUAAAUGGGCCCACAUUGAGAAUAAUGAUAAUAUCUAAAAAAAACUCAUUGUUUCCACAUUCCCACAAUCCAAAAAAAUCUCAUUCCAUAACUCAUAACCAUAACUUUCUUCUAUCUCUCUUCUCACACCCAUAGUUCACACACAACUGCUCUUCUCUACUUCGUGGACUCUUAGGUAACGCAAAAUCUCUUAGAUAUAUCAUUUUCUUUUUUUUUUUUAUUAAUGCCAAAAUCUUUAUUAGCACAACUGAUUUACAUUCAUUGAUUUGGUAUAUUUGUAAUGUAGAUUGUGUAAAUAAUGUUUUUUUUAUUGAGUUGCAGGAAAGUAAAAAUUAGGUUUAACAUUCCACCAUAUCUUUUGUUUCAUUGUUAAAUCCAUAAACCCCAAAACGAAUGAAAAUAAGAUAAAUGAAUGAUUUUUUAAUAUCUUUGAUACUCAAAAUGAGGGAUAAAUAUUUUACAGUAUGAAAUUUUCUUUUGAUCUUACAAGAAAUUUCUUUUGGUGAGAUUUUCUGUUUGUUUUCUAGGAAUAUUAUAGUAUAUUGUGAUGAGGAUAUGUAUCGGUGAUAUUUGAAAAAUAAUUUUUUAGAAAAUUAUUCUCAAUAUUGUCAUCUCCCACAAAAGGAAAAAUGAAAUAGUUUCCAUAUCAUGUUAGAGUUGAUUUAGAAUGUUGGAAUUAACAAUGAGAAAUUAAUUUUAUUUUCUAUUUAUUAAUGUAAAUGAAUUGUUUUUUAAACUUUAAAUAGGAAUGAAAAUUUUUAUAAUUAUAAAAAUGAUCAAAUCUCAUAUUUUGAUUUUUUUUUUUAAUUCUUUUACAUGGUAUUAUGGUUAAUAUCUCAUCUUGUUCUAUUCAUAUUUUUUUUUAAUUCUUAAAAUAUGUUUUUUGUUUUUUAUUUUUACUUUCUUUUCUUAUUGUUUUUAUAUGCGUUCACCAAAAUUUAGAGUAAUUUGAGAUUGAUGAUGAAAUUUCCCUUUCAAGGUUAAAAAAUUUCUAUAAAAUCCUUUUAUUACAUAAAUUUUCCUUCCCUAAAACUUUUUUUUUUUGAAAAAGAUAUUUUAUAAUUUUCUUUUGAUUUUCUAUGAAAUUUCCUUUAAUUUGUUUAUUUUCUAAGAAUAUUAUAAUAUGUUGUGAUGAAGAUAUUGGUUGGUAAUAUUUGGAAAAUAAUUUUUGAGAAAAUUAUUCUCAAUAUUGUCAUCUCCCUCAAAAGGAUUCUAAAAAUUUGUUUUAUUUUUGUCUUCUUUUCUUAUUGUUUUUUUAUGCAUUGACCAAAUUUUGGAGUAAUUUGAGAUUGAUGAUGAAAUUUUCCUUUCAAGGUUAGGAAAUUUCUAUAAAAUCCUUUUAUUACAAAAAAUUUUCCAAUCAUUUCCAUAAAACUCUUCAUUUUCUUCAUUUUUCUUUUUUCUGAAAAAGAUAUUUGAUAAUUUAUUGAUCUAAAGAAUAUCAAAAGUAAAAUUUAAAAUAUUGAAUAUCUUUUCCUUUGAUGUUUUUAAUCUUUUAUUAUUUUUAUUUGAACAUAUUUUUCAUAUCCAAAUUUUUUAUUAAUUAUUUUAAUUAGAAAAAAUAAAUAUUAAUUGGAGUUAUGACUGAAAAAUUAAUAAUUUUUAUGAAAGUUUCUUUAAUUCUUUCUCAUACUAAUUUUUCUCUUAACAUUUUUUUAAUAAUGAAUUAGGUUUUUUGUCUUAUAUACAGAAUCUUCAAGCUUGUUAUAAUAUCAUGUCCUCUCAUAUUAGUAGUUGAAAACAUUUUUAUAUUUUGUUGCUAAAAUUUUAUUUUAUAUAAUUGAGAUGAAAUUUAAUGGACAUUGUUAUUUCACAAAAUGAACAUUAAAAAAAAUAUUGAAAUUAAAAAAAUCCUUCCAAGAAAUAAAAAAAAUAUAUAAAAAGAAUUAAAUGUUAAAAAUGAUUUUUAAAAGCGCAAUGAAUUAUAAAAAAUUAAAAUUAAAAAGUGCAUAUUUUAAGUGGAAGAUUACUAUUUUCUAAAAUUUUAGAUUUAUUUUUUGAUUUUCUAGUUUUGCUUUAUUUUUUAUUUUCUUGAAUUGUUUUUAUUUGAGUUCAAAUGUGAUUGCUUUGUUAUGAGAUUCAUUAAAGAGAUAAUUGUUGAUUCUACAAUUAUUGUAUUAAAGUUUUUACUCAUUUAAUGAAUUGUACUUAGUUUCAUACUUCCAAUUAUUAUGAUAUUAAUGUUAUUCUCAUUUGAUUUUAGUUUUAUGAUAUAAAAAAAAAAAAAAACAUAUUCUCAGGUAGAAUUUGAUGAAAUUAGAGGAGAAUUAACUUCUUUUGUGUUAUAACUAAUCAUGAAUCAUAUUGAUAAAUCAUGAUUAUGCAUGGUGAGUCCCUUAGUUGUUAUAUGAAUUUUCCAUUGGUAUUGUAUAACAUUACUUAUUCUUUACAAACUAUUUUUAUAUCAAAAUGGGAAAAAGAAAAAAGAAAACAUUAGUACUUAGAUUCGUUUAUUUUUUAUAACAUCAAUUAAUUUUUAUUUUCAAUAAAAUUCUAAAUCUCAUUAAACUAUGAAAUGCAGGUAUACACUCUUGGGAAGACAUUAUGAAGAAUAAAAAGAAAGGAGAAAGAAACAACAACAUUUUGGGUUUUUAGAUGUGACUCUUAUGUCAUACAUUAUAGGACAUCAAUGUUACUUUAUUUGGUAUUGAGAAUUUUGGGUUUUUGGAUGCAACUCUUGUGUCAUUUUAUGAUUAGCCGGUUUUAUGCAUAUGAAAUGCAGGUAUACAUGAAUGUUGGAAUGCUUAACAUUUCUAAAUCAUAUUUUAAUAUGUAUUCACUUUUCUUUUUUAGUUUUGAUGGGUUUGAUGUACUAUCAUUUUGUAAACAUUUGAUAUACAAAUAUCACUGGAUGAUGUAAUGUAUUAUAGGUUAAUCCAUAAGCAUUACGAAAAUAUAAGUUAAAUGUGAUAUGAUUAUUAUAUUUAUGGACAAAAUAUAUACAAGUUGAUCUUAUUUGUUAAUAAGCAUUACAAAAAUCAACAGACUAAUUAAUAAAAAACAACCAUAUCUUUCAUAAUCAUUUACAAUGAUGUGACACCAUAACUCAAAGGUGAUGCAUUUAACGUGACACCGUAACUAAAAGGUGAUGCAUUUAAUAUGACACCUUAUAUAUCUCAUGCAACUCUAUAUCAAAUUAAGUAUAACUAAAAAUAUAUGGUGUCGCUUCUGAAUAUGUCACCAUUAAUCUCCUUUGGUGUCGCUUCCAAAUACGUCACCAAUUGGUACCCUCUAUGGUGUCAGUGGAUAAGGUGACGCUAUGUUGUAGUGACACCCUAUGUUUAUAGUGACUCAUUAUAAAUGUCACCAUAUCUCUUUUUUCUUGUAGUGGAAUCAGAACUUACCAUACAUAUGAAACAUGGUGACCAAAUAGCUACAGAGUUUCCCAUUGUAAUGCAAGCAAGAAGCAUUCCGAAAGCCAUGACAACCAUUGUCUCUACUGUCUCCUGGCUUCCUUCCUAUCAAAGUAUAAAACAAUUUGAUGGUUGAAACUAGUUGCUUAAUCAUAAGUUCAUAUGAUUUCCAUCCAGCUCAGAAUACUUAUAGUCAUACCUCAGCAGAUAUACCUGCAGCGUUUAUGUUGUGUCAAUGCAGCUGUAGUUGCUCCGCCUGCAACACCAGCUAAUUUUGAAGAGUGUAAAAUUGGAUUUUGAUUAGAAACACCAACACAAUGUGCAUUAUUCUUAUUCAACAGAAAUUUUUUUCAAUUCCACUGACAAUAUUGACUACCAAACAAAUGUUAAGAUCACAAACAGUAUUAACAUAUUAACCUGUCAUGUUCACCAAAAUAGUAGCACUUACCAAUAGAUCUUAGUAGCUUUUCAUUUUGUAAUAAUGAAUUGGAGUAUACAGAACCUUAAUGAACAAUCUUGAUAGGCUCCCUAAGCAAACUAUGAACACAAAUGCUGAAGGGAACAAAGGAGAAACAAGAUCCAUUAACAUUCCUGCAACCAACACAGAAGCCUCUCAUAUCAUUUUAAGACACAGAAUGAAAAUGAUAACAAAAUUAUAACCAACUAUAUGGCAACCAUAUUUAAAUUAAAUUAAGUUCCAAGUUCAUGGGGAAUCCAAUACUGUACACUGAUAUGGUAGUCCUCUUACUAGUUAACAUACGGUAUUAUAGCGUUGAUUAUUUGGGGGAGCAAAAGCCUAACUCCAAUCACUUUAUUACAAAUUGAUGAAUACCAAUCCAGAAGUUAGGAGACAUUACACAACAAACUAGUAGCUAAAUUGGUACUUAGUGGCCCCAACCAUAAACAAUGCUCUCCUUAACCAUGUGAAACAAAGAGAAAAUUAAGGGAAAAUAUCCAGGCCAAAUGAGAAAACAGACAUGGGAGAAACCACGGAGGAGAAACAAAACUGCAAGUGCAUACAAUUAGUCUAGUUGAAAAACCAAGAGAAAAUUGAAAUAAUUUUUGUCAGAAGGAUUAACAUAGCAUACUUCUUUUUAUCAGAAUUUGCACUAUAGAUAUUGGUAGUUAAGACCUGAGAAUAAAAAAUUAACAUGAAAAUAAUGAUAAAAUAAUAAUAAUAAUAAUAAUAAUAAUAAUAAUAAUAAUAAUAAUAAUGAUGGUGAUGAUGAUGAUGAUGGUGUUAGAUGUUAAGUUAAUAAAUGAAAUAAAAUAUAAUUAAUGAAAUAAAAUUAUAGUUUAAUUAAAUAAACUAUAUAUUCUUAGAAACAUUAUAAAUUAGAAACUUAUUAAUUUUACUUAAAUAAGGAAUAAAUGAAUUAAAUUAAUAUUAAUAAUUAGGAAUAAAUUUUUUAAUAAAUAAUAUGAUUAGGAUUGUAGAAUCUAUAUAAUUUUAGUUAAUUGUCUAUAGUAAGAAACUCAUUGAUUUUAGUUAAAUAAGGAAUAAAUUAAUUGAAUUAACAUUGAUAAUUAAGAAUAAUAAUAUUAAUAAUUAAAAUUAUUAAGAUUGUGGAAUCUAUAAUUUUAGUUAAGCUUCUAUUUUUUUUUUUCAAAUAUAUUAACUUUAGAUAAUAAGCUAUCUACUAACCAUUUAUUAUUUAAUCAUUCAACUUACAAUAAUGAGAUUCUCAAUCCUUCAAAAUGACAUUAAUUUAACCCACUUCCUUAAUCAAUUAUACCUCGAUUAAAUUAACCUUUCAAAAAUUAAAUCUACUAAAUGAUAAUAUUCAUAUUUAAUCAAUUUAUCCAUUUUUGUAUAAAUUCUUAAAUUCAUAUUUAAUUUCAUUUCGAUUCAAUUUUAUUUCAUGUUUUAUAAUUUUAUAAGGGUUAUAAAAAUUAAAUUGAAUCAUACCGUAACAUUAGAUUAAAUAUCUUUUGAAAAAUUUAUUAUAACCGUUUGAUAUAAUACAAAUUUCAUCAAGUUUUUCUAAUUAAGGUUUUCUGAUAAUUACCUUAUAAUAAUAAAAGUAAUUCUUGUAAUACAUAUAAUAUUAAAAUUUCAAAAAUCCAAUCUCAAAUAAUUUAAUUGCUAAAUUUAUAUUUAAUUUUUGAAGUUCCUAAUUUCGAAAUGUGACUUGGCAAGAAUUUAAACUAUUAACCUUCCACUAAGUCACUAACUUCUCAAAAGUUUCGCCUAAUUAAAUAAAAUAUCGACACGUCAAGGUUCACUAACAUCUUUCAUUUAUUUAGACCAUUCAUUUUGGUUGAUUUUGAGGAUAGUCAUCGGCAGUAGACAUACAUCUUCUAGACCAAUUAGCAUACCAACAGUGAUUAGGCUAAGGUGGUGAUCCAAUUCCAUGGAAGUGCAGCAAGAAAGGAGGAACUUUGGAGAGAUAGAACCAGAAGGCGGCCAACCAAGCAAGAACAGUGGCCAAAUUGGCCUUAAGCUUGAGGAGCAUAGGAUUGACAAUGUUGAAAUCAAUCUUAGGGAUAGGAUUGAGUCUCUCAGAAUGACAGGAGAAAACACUCAAUGGCUAGGGAUACCAAAGGUUCCUCAGAUGCUGAGGGGGACCCAGGAUUUCAAGAAAUUCUACGAACCGAGGGUAAUUUCAAUCAGUCCUUACCACCAUGGCGAGCCCGACCUUGGCCGAGUGGAAAUGAUCAAGCCUCCAUGUUGUCACGGACUUAGUCGUUUCCUAAGCUCGUGUGGCACUUAGACAAGUCAAGACCCUUGAUCUUGUUAAGUCAACCUUACUCCCAAUACUUAGCUUGCUAGGUUAAGACGCUUAUGACUCGGAAGCUUUAGAAGGCGUAGUAGGCAACUCUUAAAGAAUGGAAGCUUUAUUGCUUUCAAAGGAAGCUAUACAAGGCUUGGAAGGUCACUUGCUUGGUUGGUUAGGUUCUUGGGUGGUGCCUUGGCCAAAUGAGGCCCUCACCUAUUUAUAGGCACCAUUGAAACUCUCUGGAACCUUGGAGGGUUCCUUACAAAUCAAGAAGAUUCUAGAACACCCUACAUAAUUCUAUGUACAAACUUAUGUACAAGAAUAUACAAGAGAUUCCUAGAAUUCUCUAGAAAACCUUGAACUCCUCUCAUGCCUUUCACCAUAGUGUAGAGAUGUGUGGACAUCUCUAGGCAUCUUUAGAACCUUCCAUACUCUUCCCACAAAUGGCUUAGUGUGGAUGACUCCAGGAGUCUCUAGAAGCUUCCUAUAUAAACCCAUGGGGAGGCUCAUUUGAGGCAUCCUGUGAUAAUGUGCCCAAAAAUUCCUAGCUGAUAGUAACCAGGACAUCGAAGCUUUGUACACAAAAAUUCGAAGUAAUAUCGAGGCAGUGAAAAAGUGCUAUGAUUGGAGUAGUACAAAAAAUUAUGAUGAUGAGAUACUUGCCAGGAUGAUGCUUCUGGAUGGGUGUUUUUUACUACAAUUCAUCCGCUGGAGAGGUAUGAUAAACAUUCUUGAAGUACACGAAAUAGAUUGUGUGGUGCAAGACUUGUUCUUGCUAGAGAACCAACUUCCCUAUGGAGUCCUCAAGUUGAUUUUUGAGGGAGCAAAUUUCAAGGUUGGUCUACUAAUGGAAAAGAAUAUAAUAGAAUUCGUCACUGAGAUCGGAAUGCUAGAAGGGUUGUCUUCAGAAAUACAACUGAAAGAGGUGAAUGAAGAGCCCUCUUAUCUCCUCGACCUUUUGCGAAGUGCUCUCCUAGGCAGGUUUCAAAUGAUUAGGAGUUAGCCCGAAAAAGAGCAGCAACCUAAGAAAAAAGGAAAGUCGUUGUCGUCUCAAGGAGGAAAGGGGGGCUCUGUCGUCCAUGGAAAAAAGGUAAACAACGGGGCAUUAAGCAGUCUUUUCAACACAUCAAGGAGCUUAAAGCUGCCGGGAUCUAUCUCAAACCAAGUAGAAUGUGUUUCUUGAGAGGCAUUUCUUUCAAAUCCUACAUCUUCUGUGGCUACCUGAAACUUCCCCCAAUAACCAUUGAUGACUUCACGAAGACCAAGUUCUUGAACAUGGUAGCCUAUGAAAUGUGUCAAGAUGCUCCAGAUGACUAUGCGGUCGCUUCUUAUAUAGGCUUCCUUGACGACCUCAUUGAUCAUGCAGACGAUGUAAAGAAGCUGAGAUCUAAGCACAUUCUCCACAAGCUUCUUGGCAGCGAUGAAGAUGUGGCCCAAAUUUUCAAUGAGAUCAACAAUGGCUUGGUAGAUCCCGGAAUUUAUGAUGAUGUGAAAGAUUGUAUUCAGAAACACUAUGACAAGAGAGUGAAUACUUGGAUAGUUGAAGCCCUUCACAACCAUUUCAAGUCUCCAUGGACUUUCAUGGCUCUCAUUGCAGCUAUUUUAAUACUAAUUCUUACUGGGGUUCAAACCUACUACGCUCAUCCCGGUAAAUAUAUAAUAUAUAUAUAUAUAUAUAUAUAUAUAUAUAUAUAUAUAUAUAUAUAUAUAUAUAUAUAUAUAUAUAUAUAUAUAUAUAUAUCGUCAAUUAUGAUUGGGAUAUGUUUUUUUCUUGUUUAGCAUGUUUGUGAUUAGAGAAAUAAAGAUGUAUAGAUUGUUAAGUUGUAUCACUAGAUUUCAUGCAUGCAAUAUUAUGGGUCUUUUCUAGUUUUCCUCCCCACAUGAAUUUGCUAUAAUCUAUAAUGUUUGUUUGAAUUCACAAUUUCCAGCUUGCUUUUUUUCGUUGGUUUUCAUAGACCAUGAUCAUAGAUAACACAACAACCACAGAAAAUUUUCAGUCAACAGUACGUGAUUCUAUGAAUGGGAUGGGGUUGAAUUUGCUCACACACUUUUUUAUCUAAGGAGAAAAUUGUGGAUAAAAUCAUAAUUUUGAUAUAUUUAGGCUAUGUUUGGAUUCCGAAAAAUGCUAAGGAAAAGAAAAAAAAUUACGUGGAAAAUUAUUUUCUUUAGUUUGGGUGACAUGAAAUAUACGAUGGAAAAAAAUAUUAAAGAAAAUAUCAUAAUAUUUCUUUUACUAUUUUCCUUAAAAAAUAAUGAGGAAAAAAAAGGAGGAAAAUAAGAGGAAAAAAGAAGGGAAAAGUUUGGGGAAAUUUUAUCAGUUUCAUCAGGAAACUCAUUUUCUCGCUAUUUCACUUUCUAGGUCUCUCCGAUUUCCUGGAAACUGACGUUUCGUGGUUCAAAACGUAGAUGCAAGUGUCGGAAUACCCGUCGGUAUUGACGGUUCUGAUCCGUGAAAUCCUGCCGGUGAUGAAGUUCGGGGAGGUGGUUUGCAGUGGCGACGCGCCGGAGAGUUGCGUCGUAUGUCUGUACGACUUCGAGGUAGGAGAAGAGAUCAGGCGGUUGACCAAUUGUAAAAACAUUUUCCACCGGAGCUGUUUGGACCGUUGGAUGGACCACGAUCAGAAGACCUGUCCACUUUGUAGGACCCCAUUUGUGCCUGAUGAGAUGCAAGAUGAGUUCAAUCAACGGCUCUGGGUUGCCUCUGGGAUCACUGAUUUUUACAGUGAAUACGGUACCGUUUCAGGCUUGUAGGUUGGAGAUUUUUCAUGGGUUUUAUUUCAUUUUUUAAAUUUUGGUAUGGUGAGGGUGAAAGGGUUGAAUUGUAUAUACAUGAAGAAAAAAAAAUGCCACGUACCCAUUAAAAAGGGGUAAGUUUUCAAUAGUUAUUGAACGAUGGGCUCCCACAAAAUGCGUUCUUCUAUAAUUAUUUUUUAGAAAAUAAGAGUACAAAAUUUAUUUUAUUAUUCAAUAAAUUGAUAAUCAUUUAAUAUAAAUUAUUGAUUUUGUUUUUCUUCUAUUUUUUCUUGACUUUUUUUUGUGGUUAACCAAACAAAAAAAAUGAAUUCUUUUUAUUUUCCCUUGAAUUUUUCAUGGAUAACUAGACAAGUGAAAAAUUUUAUAUUCCUUUCAUUCCAUUUUUCCUCCUAAUUUUCUUUCUCUUGCAUUUUCUAGGACCAAACAUAGCCUUAUAAAUUGAGGAAGGGCUCUCUAAUUUAUUUAUUUUUAUAAAAGAUAAAAUCAUAAUACAUCACUGAAGGAAGGAGAGCGAAGGCAUUUUUAUUUCAUUGUUGAACUUGUUUGAAAAAAAACACCCACACACAGAGAUUGAGUUAGAAAUGAAAGUGGAGAAAAGAAAAGUACUCGACGGUUUUGCAUACUGCUUGAUAGAACUCGUUAAAAUUGUUUAUAUCUCUAGCACUAAAAUACAUCUUGUAGCACUUAGCGAUCAAAGCCUGUUUUUCCUCCUUACUUCCAAUUUAGACAUGGAGAGGUGACACAAACUUUGAGAUAUUCAAUGAUUCAACAAAGCAUUCAUCAAAUACUAUAUUGUUUGCUUUGAUGGAGGGAAAAGAUGAUGAUACAAGGAGUUAGUUUCAUGAGGGAUGAUGCGCCUAUCUUUUGAAUGGUUGGAUAUGAUGAUGUUGUUGGAAAGUGUCUCAGAAAUUAUUUUUGAGUCAAUUGAAAAAUUAUAGAUAAUCUCCUAAUACAAAAUAUUUUUGUAUUUGAGUUUCCUAUUAUUAUAGUGGGGAUAUUAUAUUAUAAGAUUUUUUUUUUCUUUUUAAGGAAAAAACAUCUUUGACAAUUAUACAUUUAGUUUUCCAUAUGCAAUCUUCCUAUAUAUGUAAUAAGGAAAAUAUACAAAAAAAGACAUUUUUAAAAGAGUUAUCUAUGAAAUGUUUUUCUAGAAAACACUAUAAGUGAUUUUCCAAACACUAUAAGUGAUUUUUUUUAAAAUUUUAAAAGUGUUUUCUAACUUUUGCCAAACACCUUUAAAAAAUAAAUAAAUAAAUAAAAAACCACUUUUUAGGGUAAAAGUGUUUUUAAAAAACAUUGCCAAUUGGAUUUUAAAUAAUCUAGAUUGUCAUUUUUUUUAUUUCAAUUAUAUAUAUUAUAUCAAAUAUUUCUAAUUUUUUUUUAUACAAAGUAAAUAAAUUAUUUAAUAUAUCCAAACAUAUGGUUGAUGUCAUUCAAUCGAUCGAUAUAAAUCAAUCUUUCUUUUAAAGUAAACGUGGUGCAAAUAAUUACAUAUAAUCAAGCAAUGAACUAUCGUUUUGGGAUUUUCAUCGAGAGAUAUGCGUCCAUACUCAAACGCAUUUUUCAUUUGGAGUCUUCUUGAUGUAAACUUUUAUAUCUUUCACAUUAAUGCUUCUUAAUUUAUUCUCUUUGGUCAUUUCAUUUCUUUUUUUUUCAGCCCUUUUUCGAGGUCUUUUUAUUAUCAUUUCUAUUUCAUAUAACAAUUUCUUUACUUUUCUUUCCAUAUAACCAUGGAGGCAAAAUGAGUGUGAUAUAAUACGAUUGUCCAAUAAUAAUAUCUAGUAAUAUAAAAUAAUUAUUUUAAAUAUAUAACAACAUUUAAAAUUUUAGACAAAUAAUUUCCAUUAUUUUUAAUAUUGAUGUCAUUGUACGCACAAAUUUCGUAAUUUUGGUCCUGCAAAAUUAGCAAAACAAAAUAGGAAAAUAAUGCGAACAAAAUAUUUAUUGAAAUUAAAAAUAUUAUGGAUAGAAUCUAAAAAAAAAAAAUAAUAUUCUUUCCAAAAGAAUAUUUUCCCUAUGAUUCUUUUGCUUUGAUCACACUUUAGAAGACGAUGAUGACAUUUUCUUGAUUUCGAAUAUCAAUCGAGGGCCACAAGUGGCUUAUUCCCGAAUGACCUUGUUGAAUGGCGAAGAAUGCGUGUAGCAGUUCUUUUGUUGCUUAUCAAACUUGUAGGGAGAUUUGAUGAAGUUUUUUCUUUUGUUGUGAAGCCCCUUUUCCUGUAUGAAGUUACCUUUGGAUUUUCUCCUUAGGAUUUUCCUUUUUGGAUUUUUUUUAUUUUUUAUUUUUUUCUGAAUUUUCUUCCCUUUUCUAAAUAGAAGACACCUUUAUUUAUAGGUGAAGAUAGGGAAUUUGAAUUUCAAAUUCUCGAAUUUUAGUUGCUUAAUUCAAGGGAUUUAGUUCAUUGAUUUUAGCAAAUUUUCCUCUUUGGGAGGUUUUACCAACAAAAUAAUAAUAAUAGUAAUAAUUUUCUUAUUAUUAUUAUUAUUAUCCUUUUUAUAGUUGGAGAUUAGGGAAACUCAUCCAUAAGAGGAAUUUUUUUUAAUUUAUUCAUUUUAAAGACCAAAUUAGUGGUAAUUUAAUCCCCUAAUUUUUUUUAUGUCUACAAAUGCCCCCAUUUCAAGACGCAUCACGUACAUGCUUUGUCAUGUGGAUGGGGUGAGUCUUGAAAUAUAUUUUUUUUCAAAUAAAUAUUUUAAUAGGAAGUUUCCUAUUUUUUUCAAAAAAUAUUUCUUUCCCACUUUUUUUUUUUUCAAACUCCACUUCGUUUUCCUACUUGCUUUACACUUUGAAUCCUCUUCCAAUUCGUUUUCCUUCUUGCUUUACACUUUCAGUCCUCUUCCAAUUUGUCAUCCCUAUUUAUACUUUUUUUCUUAUAUAAAGGGGACAAUAGUUGAAAAACUUGACUUGAACCUUAUUAGAGAGCUCUUUUGAUCUUUGGGUGUUCUUCAAUCCAACUUGAGAAAUCUGACUUGAAUUCACUGCGAAAAAUCUUCACCUCUUUAAACUUGUAAGUGUUUUUUUUUUUUUUUGAAUAUAUAUAUAUAUAUAUAUAUUGAAGCUUGGUGGGAUGGAGCCACAAUGUUGGUGGAGACGUGAGCCAUGAUAGUGGUUGCCUUGGGGCGUCAUCAUUGGCAUAUAUAUACAUAUAUAUUGGUGUAAGGAUGAAGAUUUAAUAUAUGGACAUUUACGUGAUCUCCAAAAAAAGGGAAUGAAGAUUUUCUUUUAAUAUAUAAAACAUGCAUGGAAAAAGUCAAACAAUUUCCAUACAUAUUUAUAUAUAUGUUGACACGUGAAUCCACUUUCCAAUUUCCAUGUACAUACAUGUUAACACGUGUUAUUCUUAUUUAUUCAUAUAUAUAUAUAUAUAUAUAUAUGUAUAUUUAUUUUUUAAGGAAGAAAAAGACUUACAUUUUUCGAACACAUGUCCGCCUUCAUUAUUUGCUUUGAUUUUAGGUAAUUUAAUUAAUUAAUUUUUAAAUUACCUUAAUACUUGAGGGGAAUUUUUAAUAAAAUUAAAUAUCCAUAAAAAAAUAAAUAUAUAAAAUUUGACCCUCAUGUAAUCAAGGCUCUAAGGCGAAACAGUAUCAUAUUUUUGGCACUUAUGUGCUAAAGUCUUCACCCAUGCAAAUUGGCUUAACUUGAAUUCAUAGUGGUGUUCAAGUUAUAAUAUUUAAUUAAAACUUGGAAUAAUACUUGGUAUCUAUGCAAACAAGUUAUAGCCUUGAUGUUACGCGGUGUUGUAUUUUUGGCACUUAUGUGCUAAAGUCUUCACUCAUGCAAAUUGGUUUGACUUGAAUGCAUUGUGAUAUUUCAAGGGAGAAAAAGACUUUCCUUUUUUGAAUGCAUGUCGGCCUCCAUUAUUUGCAAAGGUGAAUUUGAUUUCAGGUAAUUUAAUUUAAUUUAAUUAAUUAAUUAAUAAUUUAAAAAAAUUUACCUUAAUAGGGGAAUUUUUAACAAAAUGAAUACCCAUAAAAAAAUAUGAAUAUUUAAGAUUUGACCCUCAUGUAAUCAAGUCGUAGCCCUGACGCGAAGUGGUGUCGUAUUUUCGGCACUUAUGUGCUAAAGUCUUUACUCAUGCAAAUUGACUUGACUUGAAUACAUUGUAAUAUUUUAAGGGAGGAAAAGACCUUCCUUUUUUGAAUGCGCGUCGCCUCCAUUAUUCGCAAAGGUGAACUUGAUUUCAGGUAAUUUAAUUUAAUAUAAUUAAUUAAUUAAUAAUUAAAAAAAUUGCCUUAAUAUUUGAGGUGAAUUUUUAAUAAAAUUAAAUAUCCAUAAAAAAAAAUGAAUAUUUAAGAUUUGACCCUCAUGUAAUCAAGUCAUAGCCCUGACACGAAGCGGUGUCGUAUUUUUGACACUUAUGUGCUAAAGUCUUCACACAUGCAAAUUGGCUUGACUUGAAUGCGUAGUGGUGUUCAAGUUUUAAUAUUUAAUUAAAACCUGGAAUAAUACUUGGUAUCUAUGCAAACAAGUUAUAACCUUGAUGCUACGUGGUGUUGUAUUUUUGGCACUUAUGUGUGAUUCGUGCCCAAUUGGUGUCUCAGCUGAUUCAUGUCCAGCUGGUGCUCCUUGAUUGAGGGAGUAAUCAACAAAAUUUAUAACCUAUUACACCAUAUACUAGGGUAGCAAAGACAAAGCUACUAUAGUAUAGUGGCUCUAGGAUCGUCCACUGGGAAAGAUUAACAAGCUAUCAAUGAUACCAAUUCCAAGUGAAUUGGUUUUGUUUCAUUUCAUGGUUAGCUUAAGAAGUAAAACACAAACUUUGAUUGGUAAAGGUUUAGACUUAAACUAACUAACAUAACAGAAGUUUGGAAUAAUUUAGGAAGAAAAGCAUUCCCUGGAGAGUUAUGUUCACUGGGGUGGUUCCUCAUGCAAAAGACAUAGCUCCAGUCAGAUGGUUCAUUUCCUCGCGUUAGAGAUUCAACAUAUAGUCAAUUCUCUAACCGGUGUUGUACAGAGACUCCUUCAAUUAGAUUUCACUUUAAUUCUCUCACUGAUGCAACUUGCAAUGGUUUAAGCCUCUCACUAAGCCUUAACCAUUCAAGGCGAUCUUCAACCUUGGACUUCCCUUCACAAGCUCGCAAGAGAUAACUAAUGGAUGUCUCCUUGGAGUCCAAAAGCUUACCAAGUGUUGGCAAUUCCAGAAAAUCCUACCCUAAAGUCACCUUUCAGAGGCUCGCAAGGGGUAAACUAGUGCAUUUCCAUGGUUGGAAAUCACUUGCCUUACCAAGUGUUGGCCCAGAUGACUCUAAGGUGUUUUAAGUUAACUAAAAACAUAGAAAUCACUAAAGGAUUUCACUUCCUCUUCAUUAUUAGCUAAAACCACAAAGCUCUGCAUUUUUGCACUUGGAACCUUCCCCGGCAACCUUAGCUCCAAGGAAUUAGAGGUUUAGUUACUCAUUCUCUGGGGAAAACUCCUCAGAGAAUUCAUAACUUAGAAAGAAAAUAAAAAUACAAAGUGAGAAGGUAAGGCAGUAGAAAGAACUGAACUUUACUUGCUUACCAAAAACUUUACAAAAGGAUCUCCUCUCUUGAGAACAGGCUCCCGAGAGGUAUAUAUAUGAACCUAAUAUAAAACUAAUUAUUACAUAGAUAUUUAGUCUUUUUACUAACUUAAAAGCUAAGGAAUCUUGUAAUUGGUGGUUUACAAGGAGUAUUUUGGGAUUUAGACAACAAAAAUCUGAUGUAAAAUAUCUCCCAAUGUCGGUAGCAAAUAUCGGGAUGCUCCAGGGACCAUUUCGCAAGAGAAAAUGGUGUCUGCGAGAUUUCGCAGACACUCAAGAGGGCUGCGAAAUAAUUUCGCAACACCAAGCUAUCUUCACAGGGCUGCGAAGUUGGCUUCCACCUUGAGGUUCCCAGCUUCCUUCUCACGGCAUAAAUUGGGCAUCGUCAGAAGGAGAAACAUCACACUGUUCAAAAAGGCUGCGAAAUCACUUCGCAACAAAAGGGUGAUUUCGCAGCACUUUGCAAAAUGCUUCCUUCAGCUCGGAGUGAUUGGCUUGUAACGGCUGCAACUUCUUCGUUUCAACUCCGAAUUGCGCACCGUUUGAAGCAUUGGAUUGUUGACUUCCUGAGCUUUGAAAUGGUAUAUAGAAUGCAUCAUUUGGACUUCAGAAAGUGCUCCAAAAGUGGCUGCUACGACUAUCAUCAAGAAUAGGCUUCAUGGCAGAUUCUCUUUGCUUUUUCUCCUUGCAAUACAAAUUUACUCUUGGCAAAUGACUUCUAAGCUUUGCCCAAGAUUCCUCAUAGCUCUCCUCAGUCUUGACUUGCUUUGGUGAUCAAAAUACUAACAAAAACACCAAAACUUACACAAAGUGAUUAAAAUUGCUUUAAAGGAUCCUUAACAUGCCAAUUGAGUUAAAAGGCCUAAACUACUACUCAAAAGUGUUUAAAAGGAUUAAUUAUAGGCUAUCAAAUAGCACUUUUUGAGUAGUAAUCAAUGUGCUAAAGUCUUCACUCAUGCAAAUUGGUUUGACUUGAAUGCAUUGUGAUAUUUCAAGGGAGGAAAAAACCUUCCUUUUUUGAAUGUGCGUCAGCCUCCAUUAUUCGCAAAGGUGAACUUGAUUUCAGGCAAUUUAAUUUAAUUAAAUUAACUAAUUAAUAAUUAAAAAAAUUACCUUAAUACUUGAGGGGAAUUUUUAACAAAUUAAAUAUCCAUAAAAAAAAUGAAUAUUUAAGAUUUGACCCUCAUGUAAUCAAGUCUAGCUCUGACGCGAAGCGGUGUCCUAUUUUUGGGACUUAUGUGCUAAAGUCUUUACUCAUGCAAAUUGGCUUGACUUGAAUACAAUGUGAUAUUUCAAGGGAGGAAAAAACCUUCCUUUUUUAAACGCGCGCCGGCCUACAUUAUUCGCAAAGGUGAACUUGAUUUCAGGUAAUUUAAUUUAAUUUAAUUAAUUAACUAAUAAUUAAAAAAAUUACCUUAAUACUUGAGGGGAAUUUUUAACAAAAUUAAAUAUCCAUAAAAAAAUAUGAAUAUUUAAGAUUUGACCCUCAUGUAAUCAAGUCGUAGCCUUGACGCGAAGCAGUGUCGUAUUUUCGGCACUUAUGUGCUAAAGUCUUCACACAUGCAAAUUGGCUUGACUUGAAUGCUUAGUGGUGUUCAAGUUUUAAUAUUUAAUUAAACCUGGAAUAAUACUUGGUAUCUAUGCAAACAAGUUAUGGCCCUAAUUCUAAAAAUACAAGUGAAUGUCACUUCAAAUGCCGAAAUAUUAAACCAAACCUUGUGUACUAUGAUGAGACCAACUCUCAUCCUCUUGAUGCAGAUGUCUUAUUUGCUAACGUCCCAACUUCAACUCAACCAAUAGAACUUGAUGAUGAAGAGGUAAUUUUUUUUUUUUUUAGCAUUGAUACUAACAAAAAUAAAUAUUUGCCUUAGGUGGUAGGUGACAACCAAUUUGUCAAUGAAGGGGAUGAGUCUCUCCUAAGGAUCAGUUUGAAAAUGUUGUUGCUACUAGGGAGUCGACGCCCUUUACAUUGACUAUGCAAUGAGAUAAUCACCCUAUCCUCUCAUUACCUUUGCCUCAUUCUCGUUUGGGUGAUGAUUCAUGCCCAGUCGGUGUAUUAGCUAAUUCAUGUCCAGCUGGUGUCCCUUGAUUUUGGUCCUCAGGGAGUAAUCAACAAAAUUUAUAACCUAUUACACCAUGAACUAGGGUAGCAAAGACAAAGCUACUAUAGCAUAGUGGCUCUAGGAUUGUUCACUGGGAUGGGUUUUCACUUCACAAAUGAUAUUAAUUCAAAGCUGAAUUGGUGUCUUUUCAUUUCAAGGUUAGCUUUAAAAGAAAACAUAAUCUUUAGUGGAAAAAGGUUUGGUUUUAAACUAACCAAAAAUAGUAACUGAUUUUACUUACAAAGAAAAGUGUUUCUUGGAGUUUAGAUCACUGGGUUCAGAUUCCUUGUACAAAAAGGAGAGUUCCGGUCACUUGUUUAUUUUCCUCGCAUUAGAGAAUUAACAUAUAGUUAAUUCUCUAACCAGUUUUGUACAGAUGCUUCCCAUUAAUGGGUUCAAACACUAAAUCCCUCUCACUGAUGCACCUUGCAAUGGCUCAUACCUCUCACCUAGCACUUGCCAUUCAAGGUGAUCUUUAACCUUGGAUUUACCGUCAAAAGCUCGCAAGAGAUAACUAAUGGAUGUCUCCGUGGAGUCCAAAAGCUUACCAAGUGUUGGCUAUUCUAGAAAAUCCUACCUUCAAACCACCUCCCAAAGGCUCGCAAGAGAUAAACUAGUGCAUCUCAAUGGAUAGAGAUCACUUGCCUUAUCAAGUGUUGGCCCAGGUGAUUAAAAGGCGUUUUAAGUUAACUAAAAAGAUAAAAACCAUUAACGGGUCAUACUUUCUCUUCAUUAAAAACUAAAACAACAAAACUUCCAAUUUAUGCAUGUGGAAACUUACCUAGAUUUCUUCACUCCAAGAGACAAAAAGCCUAGCCUCUCAUCCUCUGAGAAAACAUCCUCAGAGUUUGAUUGGCUAGAAAUAAAAAUAACAAGAAAAAAUAUAUAUAUCUGAAAAGCAGAGCAAGUGCUCUGUAUUUUACUUACUUCCCAGAACUGUACAAAGGAUAUAUGAUCGAUCUAUCAUCGAUCCCCCCUUUCUUUAUCAUGAUUAUUACAAACUAUAUAUAAGGGGUUAUUCACCCUUUUGUUUUUACUUAAGGACUAAGGAAUCAUAUGAUAGGUGGGUUACAAGGAGAGUUUGGGGAUUUAGACAUCAAAUAUCUAAAGCAAAAUAUCUAAAGAAAAAUAUCUAAAGAUAAAGAUCUAAAGAAAAAUAUCUAAAGAUGUCGGUUGCACAUAUCGGGAAGCUUCAGGAGAACAUCGCAGCACUGUGCAAAAUGGCUGAGAAACUCUCCGGGUGAACGCUAUCAGCACUGUGCAAAAUGACUGCGAAACUAUCCGGGUGAGCGCUAUUAGAGGAUCCGGAUAUGUAUAUCCGGAGAAGUUGAAACGCCCUCCUCUCCCAUCCAGCUCCUGAAUUCCGGAUGUCAUCCUGGUGGAAAUGGCGGCGGCAACAUAAUUCCGGAUGCCAUCCGGGUGGAAUGGCAGUAGCCGGAUGGAAAGGGGCGGCAGCCGGAUGGAAUGAGCAGGAUCCCAUACUCCUUGUAUUCUGGAUUUGCUUAUGGAUUCCAAAGAACUCUCCUCAAUCUCGGAUUGCUUUGGUGAUCAUAAAGCUAUCAAAACACCAAAACUUAACACAAUUUGAUUAGAAUUGAUUGCAAGGGUCCUUAACAUGCCAAUUGGGUUAAAAGGUAAUAACUACUACUCAAAAGUGUUUAAAAGAGUUAAUUACAAACUAUGAAAUAGCACUUUUUGAGUAGUAAUCAGGUGAUGAAGGUAUUACUAACAUCUUAAGUGAUGUUCUAAUCGAAUCUCAAGGUCAAAAUACCAUAAUUGGAGAUAUAACAUAUGAUGAAUUGAUACUUUUAAUAGUUGCAGGUUUAAUUGCUGAACAACAAUCUCCAUGCUCUACUGUGGUUGCUCUUUAUACUUCCACUCACACAUUCGAUGUCGAACAAAUCAUCCUUAAUGCUCAACACCAAGCAGCGCUUAUGAUAGGAGAAGACAUUAAGGAGAUGAUUAUCAAAACUUCUAAUGAGUGUCCCAUUAUUGAGAGGAAAACUUGAUGAGCUUUUCAAUGCUAUCACGAAGAUUGUAGUGGACCCUUCACCAUUGAAGUCUCAGAUUGAGAAGUACAUGGAAAGUGUAGAUCACCUCGAUGUAGUGCAACACACCCAUUCUAUGAAGAUAUCUCCGGAAGUACAAAGCAAACGUUUAACUAUUGUUGUGUCUCAGAUUGUGGAUGCUCUAAACUUUGAAGGUGUACAGACAAACCGUAGUCAAUCAUUAAAGUUUGACUUAGCUACUCUCGAUGCUAAAUAGGAAGCACUUAAGAAGGAAUUGGAGCAACUAGGUAUACAAAAGGAGCGCCUUCACAACUCAAUAUUGGAGAUCGAUGAGAUUAUAGCCAAUAAACAAAGUGAUGUUUCUCGCUUGAGGUGCUUAUUGAUGUCGAUGUCAAGACUUUAGAGACACUUCAAGAAGCCUUAAGGAUUCAACGUGACGAGUUUACAUGCUUGGUGUGGAUGUGAUCAUUGUAUCUUUUUACUUAGAUUUAGCUCUCAUUCUUUUCCUUCAUUCAUUAUUUUAUUUUUAUUAAGAUGUAAUAAAGUCUAGCAUUUGUUAGCCAGAUUAUUUAUUAAUAAAAAUGAGACUUUAUUUUUUGGUAGUGACUGAACUCAAGUGGUUUCCCUGAGUUGCCUACAUACCCUUCAAAGAGAGGGAAUCAAGUCAAACGUAGUUCCAAAUUUUUAUUUUUUUAUUUUUUUAUUAUUAUUUUUUUUUACGCUCUAACUUUUGCCAAGACUAAAAUAAAGAUUUAAUCUUGCGAGCAUAUGUCCUAACUUUUGCCUAAGUCGCCUUUUCAGGUUUUCAACUUGACAUUUUUUUUUUUUGCGUCGUAUGCAGUUUAUGCUCAUGCAGGCCAGGAGCACAGUGUGACUCAAGCAUAAUAACGUUUUAAGAAUUUGCCAUUGAUAGGGUCAAUUCUUAAUCCGUCUUCAGCAAUGAUCUUAUAAGCACCAUUGGUGUAAACUUCUUACACCACAUAAGGUCCAUCCAAUUUUGAUGUAAAUUUGCUCCCAGUCUUAUGUGUGAUGAUGAUGGGUCUAUGAAUGGCAAGAACUAGAUCACCGAUUUGAAAAGACCGAAGACGAAUCUUUUUGUUAAAAGCUCUUGAAAGGCGUGCUUGAUAACACUCUAAGAGUUGUUGGGCUUCAAGUCGCUUUUCAUCUAGUGUUUCUAACUCUUGAAGACGUAACUUGGCAUUAUCUUCAUUAGUUAGUCCUUCAUGUAUAGCAAUCUUUAAUGAAGGGAUCUGACGCUCAAGGGGCAAUACAACUUCUACACCAUAAACGAGGGAAUAAGGGGUUGCUUGUGUAGGUGUUCGAUAUGUUGUUUGAUAUGCUCGAAGUGCUUCUCCUACUCGUUCAGGCCAAUCCCUCUUUGACUUAUCAACAAUUUUCUUCAAUAAGUUGCAAAAGGUCUUGUUCAAUGCUUCUGCGAGACCAUUGGCCGGUGCAUUGUACAUUGAUGAAUUGUGUUGUUUGAAACUGAACCUCUCACAUAGAUUACUCAUCGAUUUUUUUAUAGAAGGGUUUCCCAUUGUUAGUGAUUAUGUAUCGUGGCACCCCAUAUCAAUAGAUAAUAUUACUUCGAAUGAAGUUCACUACAUUUUAUGUCUUCACUUCUUUAAGUGGCACAUCUUCCGCCCAUUUUAAAAAAUAAUCUGUUGCUACUAAUAUGUAAGCAUGCCCAGCGGAAGAUUUAGGAGUAAUGGGUCCGACCACGUUAAGUCCCCAUGCAUCAAAUGGCCAUGACGCAAUCGUAGGAUGGCGUGGCUCAGGGGGUUGGUGUAUAAAAUUUAAGUGGAAUUGGUACGAUUGACACUUGUUUGCAUAUUCCAUACAAUCCUUAACCAUAGUUGGCCAAUAUUAUUCCAUCAUUUUGAUUCUAAAAUGAAGUUUUAGCCCUAACUGGUGAGCCCCACAAAUCCCAGAAUGGGCUUCUUCAAUUACUUGAUUUGCCUCUUCUCCUCCUAGGCAUCGAAAAAGUACUCCAUCGAAUGAGCGUCGAUAAAGUGUUUCUUUGUAGUAAAUGAAGCGUGGAGCUCAACGUCGUAUUUUUGUUCAAUGUCUUAGUUCAUCAGAUAACUUCCCAUGCUCUAAGUAGUCAAUUAAUGGUUGUUGCCAAUCUUCGCUGUCAAUAGUGAAUACUGAUGUAGCGUUUACUUCUUCUUGUUGUAAUAUUGGCAAUGGUGGUAGUACCCACUUAUGGCAAAGAGGGACAUGUACAAUCUCAUCCUUAAGCAGUGUCAAACUUGCAACUAGAUUAGCUAGAGCAUCUGCCAUUUGGUUUUCUUUUCGUGGGAUAUGAACUAAAGAAAUUCGCUCAAACUUUUCCAUCAAUUGGGUAGCAUAUUGGAAGUAAGGAACUAAGUCAUCACUUUUAACCUCAUACAAGGCUAACAGUUGAUUGAUUACCAACUUAGAAUCACCACAUAUCUCUAAGCUUGUGAUAUUCAUUUCAAUCGCCAUUUUUAAACCUAUAAUUAAGGCUUGGUAUUCAACGACGUUGUUGGAGCAUCUCUCACUAAGAACAAAUGAAUACGGUAGUAUCUGUCUUUGUGGUGAGACAAAUACAACACCUGCACCUGUUCCAUCAUAGCGUGCUGAUCCAUUGAAGAACAUCAUCCAUGAAAGAAAAAUGUCAACAUAAAAGAUCUCCUCAUCAAGAAAGUCAUCUGAAAUUUCCCAUGUUAUAGGGAUAGGAUUAUCUGCCAAGAAGUCUGCAAGUGCUUGUCCUUUGAUUGUCUUUUAAGGGAUGUAGAUUAUUUCAUACUCAGUGAGUAACAACCUCUAUCUUGCUAAUCAUCCUAAAAGAACUGGCUUUGAUAGCACAUACUUAAUGGGAUCACGUGUGCUAUUAAGUGUACUAUGUAUGCCUGCAUGUAAUGUCUUAGCUUCUUUGUCGAGAAGAUUAAAGCAAGACAAGUUUUCCCUAUUGGGGAGUAAUUUAGUUCCGCUCCCAUUAGAGUUCGACUUAGGUAAUAUAAUGCCCUUUCUUUGUUUUCCUCAUUUUCUUGUGCAAGUAAUGCUCCAAGAGAGCAUUCUUGUGCGGCGAUGUAGAGUAUCAAUGGCUUCCCUGCCAUAGGAGCACCUAAGAUUGGUGGAUUAGCCAAAUAUUUUUUUUAUGCUCUCAAAGGCAUUAUGACAAGCUUCGUCCCAAACAAAUGGGACAUUUUUCUUCAUAAGUCGGUUGAAGGGUUGACAUCGUCCUGCAAGGUUUGAAAUAAACCGUCAAAUGAAAGCAAGAUGUCCUUGAAGACUUCUAAGUUCUUGAAGAUUCCUUGGCUCUGGCAUAUCUCGAAUGGCUGCGAUCUUAGAUUGAUCCACUUCAAUGCCAUAGUGUCGAACAAUAAACCCUAGAAACUUACUAGAAGUAACACCAAAAGCACAUUUAAGCGGGUUCAUCUUGAUUUGGUACCUUCUUAACCUGUCAAACACCAUACGGAGAUCUCACAGGUGGUCUUCUCUCUUCCUAGACUUUACAACUAGGUCAACAACAUAGCACUCAACAUUCUAAUGGAGCAUGUCAUCAAAGAUUUUCUGCAUAGCAUGUUGAUAUGUUGCACCUACAUUCUUUAGUCCAAAAGGCAUCCCUUUGUAACAGUAAAUACCCUUUGAGGUAUGAAAUACAGUAAGUUCUUCAUCCCUUGGCGCCAUUCGUAUUUGAUUAUACCCUGAUGAUCCAUCCAUGAAGGAUAAAGCUUCAUGACCAGUAGUUGCAUCAACCAUAAGCUCGAUGAUUGGUAAUGGGAAGUCAUCUUUUGGGCAAGCAUUGUUUAAAUCUCUGAAAUCCACACAAACACGGAUCUGCCCAUUCUUUUUCUUAACUAGAACGAUGUUUGCAAUCCAUGUCGGGUACUUUACCUCCCUAAUGAAACCAACUUCAAUCAAUUUGUCAAUUUUGGUUUCUAUUUUCAAAACAAGUUCUGGUCGAAAUCGUCUUUGGGCUUGCUUAAUCAGUCGGACACCAUGCUUCACUAUGAGUUGAUGUACUGCAACUUUUGGAUCAAGACUUGGCAUUUCUUUGUACGACCAUGCAAAGACAUCUUUAUAAUCAAGUAACAACUCAAAAUAACUUUUCUCUUCAGAAGAACUUAGAAACAUACUUACAUAGAUUGGCCUUGGGUUUUCAUUUGUUCCUAAAUUGAGCUCUUUUAAUUCAUCUACAUUGGCUUGCCCCCUAUCUUCAAAUACUUGAGGAGCUUUCCCUGGUUCAUCUUCUGAAAAUUUUGAAUUAAAGUCAACUUGCACUGUAAUAUGGUAGCUAGUGUGCGUCGAACUUUCUUCAACAUCUUUAGGGCAUCCCUUGUCCGACAGCUUGGUAAUCACAAUGAUACAUCAUUUUACUUUUAACGAACCAUUAGUACAAAUUUCCCAAGUUGAAUGGCGCUUCAUCCUUGAUGGGAUUAAAUUUCUUGUCUUUGCAUCCUCCUUUAGUUCAAUACACUGUUUCAUAUUGGGAUUUCAUUGCCAUGAAUUUCGAGGUAAAUUCCUAAUCCUUUGUUGUAUUGACCUUUGUGGAAUAUAUGUUAAAUUCUGUUCUACUUGGUUAAAAUCGCUCAACCUAGUGAACACUGAAAUUUGAGGAGGAGAAUUUGACCCACUACUAUCUUCCAUGUCUUCUAUAGUGAUAUGUUGUGUACUUGCCUUAGUCUUCUUGGUCUUAGCUAAAAUUUUGAUAGACUCGAAAAGUACAAACCCUAAACCUGCCCUAGAAGGUUUGACUGCAUACCCUUGUUGUUUCAACUUCUUUUGAGUUUCGUUAAGGCCAUGCAUCUUUUCACUUGUAGUCUCGGGGCUAAGUUCUCCUAAUUGUGAUGACAAAGUGAAGUCAUACCCUGCCUUGGCUAAUAACUUAUAAGCCUUAGGGUUGAACCCCUCAUCUAUUAUUUUACCAUGAAUGAAUUCUUGCUUUGUUUGAUCUUUUGAGGAUUUGACGGAUUUUUGUGACUCAUCCCUAGAGAUAAGUUGUAAGUUUGGAAGGGGAAUGGUCGCAUCUUCUUUCAAGACCUGAAGGUCCCCAUUUUCCAAUAUUCGAGGUUGUACUUCACUUUUGUCUUCUAUGAAAGGUGGUUGACCCUCACUUCGUCAAGAUCUUGGGAUGUACCUAAAAACUGGGGAAGUAGUGACAAUCGUUGAGUCUAGUGUAGAUUUUUUUUAGGAUUUCUCUUUUUCUUCAAUUCGAGUCAUCAUUGGUUGUGAAAUUUCCUCUACUAAUGUCAAAUUACAUUGCUCAACUUUUCCCUUAAAUUUAGCCUUCCCAGAUGAUUACUACCCAAAAAGUGCUAUUUUACACCUUUAAUGCAUUAUGUUUUAAGCACUUUGGUGUAGUAGUUCUCCAUCUUUAGUCCAAUUGGCAUGUUAAGGACCUAGCAAUGUCUUCUAAUCAUAUUUGUGGCUAGUUUUAGUGUUUUGACAUCUUUUUGGAUCAUUAAGACAAGCCAAUCAAAGGAGAAAAGCAAAGAGAAGCAAGGAGGAAAGCAGAGGACAGCAGCUGCAGUCUUCGUUGGCACUUUUGGAGCAAUUCCCGAAGUCCAUUUUCUACAUGCUAUAUACCAUUUCAAAGCUCAGGAAGUCAAGAAUCCAACGCUUCAAACCGUGUAUGAUUUGGAGCUGAAACGAGGAAGAUGUGGCUUUCGGAAGACAACUGCUCCAGGUGUGCGAANNNNNNNNNNNNNNNNNNNNNNNNNNNNNNNNNNNNNNNNNNNNNNNNNNNNNNNNNNNNNNNNNNNNNNNNNNNNNNNNNNNNNNNNNNNNNNNNNNNNNNNNNNNNNNNNNNNNNNNNNNNNNNNNNNNNNNNNNNNNNNNNNNNNNNNNNNNNNNNNNNNNNNNNNNNNNNNNNNNNNNNNNNNNNNNNNNNNNNNNNNNNNNNNNNNNNNNNNNNNNNNNNNNNNNNNNNNNNNNNNNNNNNNNNNNNNNNNNNNNNNNNNNNNNNNNNNNNNNNNNNNNNNNNNNNNNNNNNNNNNNNNNNNNNNNNNNNNNNNNNNNNNNNNNNNNNNNNNNNNNNNNNNNNNNNNNNNNNNNNNNNNNNNNNNNNNNNNNNNNNNNNNNNNNNNNNNNNNNNNNNNNNNNNNNNNNNNNNNNNNNNNNNNNNNNNNNNNNNNNNNNNNNNNNNNNNNNNNNNNNNNNNNNNNNNNNNNNNNNNNNNNNNNNNNNNNNNNNNNNNNNNNNNNNNNNNNNNNNNNNNNNNNNNNNNNNNNNNNNNNNNNNNNNNNNNNNNNNNNNNNNNNNNNNNNNNNNNNNNNNNNNNNNNNNNNNNNNNNNNNNNNNNNNNNNNNNNNNNNNNNNNNNNNNNNNNNNNNNNNNNNNNNNNNNNNNNNNNNNNNNNNNNNNNNNNNNNNNNNNNNNNNNNNNNNNNNNNNNNNNNNNNNNNNNNNNNNNNNNNNNNNNNNNNNNNNNNNNNNNNNNNNNNNNNNNNNNNNNNNNNNNNNNNNNNNNNNNNNNNNNNNNNNNNNNNNNNNNNNNNNNNNNNNNNNNCAAUACAUGGUAAGCUUCAAGUCUUUAUGGAUGCUUAUUGCUAGAUCCAUAUUAGUCCAUUAGUUAUCAUGUACGAGUCAUUGGAAAGCGGUUCAAGGUGAAGACCUAUAGUGUCUAAAGCCAUUAAUGGACUUUGACUACCAUUUAUAUUGAUUAUUAUGGAUUAAAUCUUCAUUGUUAAACCUAUACCGGUUCGGGAAAUAACUAUAGGUUAAAUCCCCAAUGCGAGGAGAAAAAUCCGGAAUUUUCCACUUUGCAUUCUAAACUUGAUCCUAGCAAUCCUGAGCUCCGGGAGACUUUCUUUCUUCCAUUUUUAAUUAGUUUAUGUUAGUUUAGUUUCAAACACUUUCAAAACAAAUUUUAUUUUCUUUUAAACUUUAAGUUUUUGAUUAAGGAAAUCAUUAAAUACAAUUUCUAAUUUUGAGUAUAUCACUGGUAGAAUGAAAACCCAUCCCAGAGUUCGACCCUAGAGCCACUAUACUAUAGUAGCUUUGCUAUAUUAGUAUGAGGUCAUAGGUUUUAUAAAUGUUUUUGAUUAAAUGACCCAUUUGGAGUUACACGCGAAUCAAAAUGGCGCCGUUGCCGGGGAUGGUGCCACGAUACAGUGAUACAACCUUUUAGAGGCUACUUGUGAUUUUCAUCACAAGUUUGGUGAAUUCCUUUUUCACUAACUUUAUUUCUUUUUUUUUUAUUGUAGAAUUUCUUUUGUUUUCUUUCUAACUUUAACUUUCUUCUAGUUUUCUUUUGUUUUUGUUGUGUUUGUUUUAUUUCAGGUAAGUAAUAACUUGUGCAUGCCCUAUUGGAUUCGGGACCAAGAGGGAAGAUUAGUAAGGAUUGAGAAUCCUCAAGACACAGAGUUGGAUAUCUGUGUAAACAUCAUGGACCCUCCAGAAGAGGAUCAGAAUUCUCAACAAGGUCAAGGGGGUAAUCCCAAUGCAUAUUUAUCCAUGAGGGAUAGAAUGCACCCACCAAGGAUGAGUGCACCCUCGUGCAUCCUGUCUCCUCUUGAGCAGUUGGUUAUAAGGCCCCAUAUUGUGCCCCUUCUACCAACUUUCCAUGGAAUGGAGAGUGAGAAUCCAUAUGCCCACAUCAAGGAGUUUGAGGAGGUGUGCAAUACCUUUAGAGAGGGAGGAGCUUCAAUAGACUUGAUGAGACUCAAGCUAUUCCCUUUUACUUUGAAGGACAAGGCAAAAAUAUGGCUUAAUUCUUUAAGGCCAAGGAGCAUAAGGAAUUGGGUUGAUCUUCAGGCCGAAUUUUUGAAGAAAUUUUUCCCCACCCAUAGGACCAAUGGGUUGAAGAGACAAAUCUCAAACUUUUCUGCAAAAGAAAAUGAGAAGUUCCAUGAAUGUUGGGAAAGGUAUAUGGAGGCCAUCAAUGCUUGUCCUCAUCAUGGCUUUGAUACAUGGCUCUUGGUGAGCUAUUUCUAUGAUGGGAUGUCUUCCUCCAUGAAGCAAAUUCUUGAAACCAUGUGUGGAGGAGAUUUUAUGAGUAAGAAUCCGGAAGAAGCCAUGGACUUUUUAAGUUAUGUGUCUGAGGUGUCAAGAGGAUGGGAUGAGCCCAACUCAAGAGAGAAAGGGAAGUUUCCCUCUCAACCAACCCAAAAUCCAAAAGGUGGAAUGUAUGUAUUAAGUGAAGACAUGGACAUGAAAGCUAAAGUGGCAACAAUAGCAAGGAGGUUGGAAGAACUUGAGUUGAAAAAGAUACAUGAAGUCCAAGCCAUUUCCGAGACCCAAGCCCAUGUCAUGCCAUGCACCAUUUGCCAAUCAUGUGAUCAUGUGGUAGAUGAGUGCCCAACCAUGCCAGCUGUGAGAGAGAUGUUAGGUGAUCAAGCCAAUGUUGUGGGGCAAUUUAGGCCUAACAACAAUGCACCUUAUGGAAACACCUAUAAUUCAAGCUGGAGAAACCAUCCAAAUUUUUCAUGGAAACCAAGACCACCUCCAUACCAACCAUAAGCCCAAACCCAAGCACCUCAACAAACCUCUUCAGUGGAGCAAGCCAUUGUGAACCUAAGUAAAGUCAUGGGUGACUUUGUGGGUGAACAAAAGGCAAUCAACUCCCAAUUGCAUCAAAAGAUUGAAAAUGUUGAGAGUUCUCAAAUUAAGAGAAUGGAGGGGAUGCAAAAUGAUCUAUCUCAGAAGAUAGAUAAUAUUCAAUACUCCAUCUCUAGGCUUACCAACCUCAACACUGUGAAUGAAAAGGGAAAGUUUCCCUCUCAACCAAGCUAAAAUCCCAAGGGUGUUUAUGAAGUUGAAACCCAAGAGGGGGAGUCUUCAAAGUUAAGGGAGGUUAAAGCUGUGAUCACUUUAAGGAGUGGAAAAGAGGUUGAUCAACCCCUGCCUAAGGUGAAGCAAGAUGAAGAACUCAUGUCAAAGAAAACCUUGGUCAAAGAGAGCAAUAACCAAGAAGAGAAGAGUGGGAAGAAAAGUGCAUCCAAAUCAAGCAUUGAAGAAGAGCCAAGGGUAGUGAUUAAAGAGGAUAUGAUGAAGAAACAUAUGCCUCCCCCUUUUCCUCAAGCUUUACAUGGAAAGAAGGAAAUCAAGAAUUCAUCAGAAAUUCUUGAAGUCUUGAGACAAGUGAAGGUGAAUAUACCCUUACUUGAUAUGAUCAAGCAAGUCCCCACAUAUGCAAAGUUUCUAAAGGACUUGUGCACGGUCAAGAGAGGGUUACAUGUGACAAAGAAUGCAUUCCUCACUGAGCAAGUAAGUGCUAUCAUUCAGAGUAAGUCUCCAGUUAAGUACAAAGAUCCGGGAUGCCCCACCAUUUCAGUCAACAUUGGAGGGACACAUGUGGAGAAAGCUUUACUAGACUUGGGGGCAAGUGUGAAUUUGCUCCCAUACUCUGUGUACAAGCAACUGGGACUUGGAGGAUUGAAGCCCACAGCUAUCACUCUCUCCCUAGCUGACAGGUCAGUCAAAAUCCCAAGAGGGGUGAUAGAGGAUGUUCUAGUUCAAGUGGACAAAUUCUACUAUCCUGUGGAUUUUGUUGUGCUUGAUACUGAUCCCAUUGUCAAGGAAGCAAACUAUGUACCAAUCAUCCUUGGGAGACCUUUCCUAGCUACCUCCAAUGCCAUUAUCAAUUGUAGAAAUGGGGUGAUGCAGCUCACAUUUGGGAAUAUGACCUUGGAAUUAAACAUAUUCCACCUAUGCAAGAGGCAUCUUCACCCAGAAGAAGAGGAAGGAUUGGAGGAGGUGUGCUUGAUCAACACCUUGGUUGAAGAGCAUUGUGACAAGAAUUUACAAGAGAGCUUGAAUGAAAGCCUAGAAAUGUUUGAAGAAGGGUUACCUGAACCCUCUGAUGUUCUACCUAUCAUGUCUCCUUGGAGGAGACGGGAAGAGAUCUUACCACUGUUCAAUCAAGAAGACUCACAAGAAGCAACUGUGGAGGACCCUCCAAAACUUGUUUUGAAGCCACUUCCUGUUGAUUUGAAAUAUGCAUAUUUGGAGGAAAAUGAGAAAUGUCCAGUGGUGAUUUCUUCAACUCUUACUAUUGAUCAAGAGGAUAAUCUUUUGGGAGUCCUCAGGAAAUGCAAGAAAGCCAUUGGAUGGCAAAUUUCUGAUCUGAAAGGGAUUAGCCCUUUGGUGUGCACCCACCAUAUCUAUAUGGAGGAUGAUGCAAAACCAGUGAGGCAGCCCCAGAGGAGGUUGAAUCCUCACAUGCAAGAGGUGGUGAGGGGUGAAGUUCUGAAGCUACUCCAAGCUGGGAUCAUAUAUCCCAUUUCAGACAGUUUGUGGGUGAGCCCCACCCAAGUAGUCCCAAAGAAAUCUGGAAUCACUGUGGUCCAGAAUGAGAAAGGGGAGGAAGUCUCUACACGUCCUACCUUAGGAUGGAGGGUGUGUAUAGACUAUAGGAGGUUGAAUUCAGUGACUAGGAAGGACCAUUUCCCUUUGCCUUUCAUGGACCAAGUCCUUGAGAGAGUCUCAGGACAUCCUUUCUACUGUUUUCUGGAUGGGUACUCGGGGUACUUCCAAAUAGAGAUUGAUUUGGAAGAUCAAGAAAAGACAACCUUUACUUGCCCCUUUGGUACUUUUGCGUAUAGGAGAAUGCCCUUUGGGUUAUGCAAUGCUCCUGCAACUUUCCAAAGAUGUAUGCUAAGCAUCUUCAGUGAUAUGGUGGGACGCAUCAUGGAAGUCUUCAUGGAUGACAUCACUGUUUAUGGAAGUUCUUAUGAGGAGUGUUUGUUGCAUUUAGAAGCUGUUCUCCAAAGAUGUAUUGAGAAAGACCUAGUGCUAAAUUGGGAGAAGUGCCAUUUUAUGGUACAACAGGGAAUUGUCUUAGGACAUAUCAUCUCCAAGAAGGGCAUUGAGGUAGACAAAGGCAAAGUGGAGCUAAUUGUUAAGUUGCCACCUCCCACAAAUGUUAAAGGAAUUAGCAAUUCUUAGGACAUGCCGGGUUCUAUAGAGUUCAUUAAGAUUUCUCAAAAUCUUCAAAGCUCUUNNNNNNNNNNNNNNNNNNNNNNNNNNNNNNNNNNNNNNNNNNNNNNNNNNNNNNNNNNNNNNNNNNNNNNNNNNNNNNNNNNNNNNNNNNNNNNNNNNNNNNNNNNNNNNNNNNNNNNNNNNNNNNNNNNNNNNNNNNNNNNNNNNNNNNNNNNNNNNNNNNNNNNNNNNNNNNNNNNNNNNNNNNNNNNNNNNNNNNNNNNNNNNNNNNNNNNNNNNNNNNNNNNNNNNNNNNNNNNNNNNNNNNNNNNNNNNNNNNNNNNNNNNNNNNNNNNNNNNNNNNNNNNNNNNNNNNNNNNNNNNNNNNNNNNNNNNNNNNNNNNNNNNNNNNNNNNNNNNNNNNNNNNNNNNNNNNNNNNNNNNNNNNNNNNNNNNNNNNNNNNNNNNNNNNNNNNNNNNNNNNNNNNNNNNNNNNNNNNNNNNNNNNNNNNNNNNNNNNNNNNNNNNNNNNNNNNNNNNNNNNNNNNNNNNNNNNNNNNNNNNNNNNNNNNNNNNNNNNNNNNNNNNNNNNNNNNNNNNNNNNNNNNNNNNNNNNNNNNNNNNNNNNNNNNNNNNNNNNNNNNNNNNNNNNNNNNNNNNNNNNNNNNNNNNNNNNNNNNNNNNNNNNNNNNNNNNNNNNNNNNNNNNNNNNNNNNNNNNNNNNNNNNNNNNNNNNNNNNNNNNNNNNNNNNNNNNNNNNNNNNNNNNNNNNNNNNNNNNNNNNNNNNNNNNNNNNNNNNNNNNNNNNNNNNNNNNNNNNNNNNNNNNNNNNNNNNNNNNNNNNNNNNNNNNNNNNNNNNNNNNNNNNNNNNNNNNNNNNNNNNNNNNNNNNNNNNNNNNNNNNNNNNNNNNNNNNNNNNNNNNNNNNNNNNNNNNNNNNNNNNNNNNNNNNNNNNNNNNNNNNNNNNNNNNNNNNNNNCUCAACCAAGCCCCAAUUCUUCAAACGCACGGGUGAAUAGUCCCCUGUGCGAAAAUUUCCCCCCCCCCCCCUCCCCUGUGCGAAAAUCUCGCACACCACCCCCCCCCCCGGUGCAAAAAUCUCAGCUUCUCCAUCCCUACCUUCCCUAAUCCCAAGCCUCUGCGCCUCAUUUCAUCGCUCCAUCAUGCCAAAGACCCGAGGAGGAUCUACCACAGCCCCCCAGAGCAGUCAGAGAGCUGCCCCUGUGCGGGCCCCACUAGCUGCACCCUCACAUUUACCUGAUUCUGCCCCUCAGAGCAGAUACCAUACGAGGAAAGCAUCUGCCACGUCUGUGGCCCCACCACAAGUUCCGCCUCGGAGUCCUCCUACAAAGAGAGCCAAGACUUCAGAGCCAGGAGAUUCCUCCAGAGCACCUCGGGAUUCACAGUCUCAGCCUUCUUCCGCCAGGCGCCGUAGACCCAGCUUGCCCAUUGAGGGCAAUUCAGAUUGCCGAUUGAGAGACUUUCAUGUCGAGGCAUAUUUCGAUCACUCUCUUAUGCGACAGCAGCCUGAGUUGCGGGAUUCAUACCGCCUACUUGAGAGGUACCAUCUUAUACCCUUUAUGACUCUGCCCCAGUUCUUUUAUCCUCGAGUAGCUUUAGACUUUUACCAGUCUAUGACUACUCGUGGCGUCCCGGUACCUGCCUCGAUCCUUUUUACCAUUGAUGGACGCCAGAGUAUUUUGGGGGCUAGACAGAUUGCCGAUGCCUUCCAUAUCCCUUUUGCACUAGUAGAUCCCGCUACAUUUAGACGCUGGGUCCCAUUUUCUGAGUGGGACAUGGUUCGUAUCCUAUCUCGAGGGACAUCUUCCCAGAGGACCAUUUUGAGGAGAGAGCUUCCCCCAGAGAUGCUCCUAGUUGAUGUGGUGCUUCGCGCCAAUCUUUUUCCUCUUCAGCAUAAAGUACAGAGACGAGGGGCCAUUAUGGAGGCAUUAUUUCGUAUCUCUGAGGCCUACUAUUUUGGCCCCCAUCAUUUGAUUAUGGCCGCUCUCCUCCAUUUUGAGGAGAAGGUGCAUACGCGGCAUCUUGCGAGGGCAGACUCCAUUCCUUUACUUUUCCCUCGGCUGCUAUGCCAUAUUUUGGCGCAUAUGGGUUUUCCUACAGACCCUCGUUCAGAGCCCCGCCGCCAUUGUCGAGAGAGCUUCUCUCUUGACCAAUGGACUCAGAUAUGGCUCCAUCGCCAGUCCCCAGAACUUCCCGAGCCAAGGGAAGUCCCUCCUGCUCCGUCCACUACAGACCCUCCACAGCCAGUACCGGAGGCAGCAUCAUCUGAUGCCCCACCUGUUGUUCCUCCUACAUCAGAGCCGCCCAUUACUAUCCCUGGUCCAGAGUAUCGUGCCUUGCUCACUUCUUUCCAGACUUUGACCACUACUCAGACGGCCAUUAUGGAGCGCAUGGACCACUUCCAGACUCAGCAGGACCAGCAGACUCUCAUUCUCCGUGAGAUUCAGCAGCACCUCGGUCUUGUGCCACCAGCUCCACCUGUAGCGGUGCCUUCCACAGUUGCAGCGGAGGACCCCUCCUAUCCACCAGAGGAGCCUACUACUUGAUCAUACGAUCACUCAUCUCCUUUUUUGUAUCUAUAUGCUACGUUUUGGGAUGUCUUAUAUAUUUUGGACCACUUUUAUACUGGGAUUGGAUGUAUUCCAUGUUUAUUUUGUAUAUUGUACUUUCUCAGUUUAUAUAGACAUCUUCUCUUUUAGUGUAUUUUAGCUAUUCCAUUUUAUUUCCUCUUUUCAUCACUCUUAUGAUUUUCCUUUUCUUAUGCAACAUGUGGUUUCUCCUGUUCAUUCAGAGUCCCUUACUAUCAGGAGGUAUCACUUCCUCCCUUAUUUUAUCGCUUGCUUUUGGAACAUUGCGGACAAUGUUCAUCUUAGUUGGGGGGAGAGUUGAGGAAGUAAUUUGUUGAAUUUGUUAAGUUAUUUUGCUAACAAAUUUUUUGCAAACUCUCUUUGUUUUCUCAAAGAUAAAUUCUCAAAAGUAAAUGGGAGAAAUUAAAUUCUUAUCUUAUUGCCAUAGUCUCAGAGUUUGUAUUAUGCUUAUUAAAGUUGAUAAAUUGUUGAAGCUUCUUUUGUUUUCAAGCUUAAGUCUUCCACUCUAAUCUUUUCACACACUGAACACAUUAGAUUCCAGUUAUAAGAUGGAAAACUUUCUCACCCCCCNNNNNNNNNNNNNNNNNNNNNNNNNNNNNNNNNNNNNNNNNNNNNNNNNNNNNNNNNNNNNNNNNNNNNNNNNNNNNNNNNNNNNNNNNNNNNNNNNNNNGAUAUUCAAAUUUGCAUAAUGGUCGCUCUUUUGAAUGUUGUGAUAAGUAAGUUAUUUGAUGACUCGUGUUGAUGAUUGAGUUUUAUAUCCUUGACUUGCCACGAGAGUGUUUGAUCCAAUCAUGCCACUUGGUUAUUUUUUGGAGUGAUCAGCAUGAUUUUGUAAAUUAUUAUAUUAUCUAUUUUUCUUUCUUUUUCUCUCCUUCAUUGCUCAGGGACUAGCAAUGUGUCAGUUGGGGGGAGUGAUUACUACCCAAAAAGUGCUAUUUUACACCUUUAAUGCAUUAUGUUUUAAGCACUUUGGUGUAGUAGUUCUCCAUCUUUAGUCCAAUUGGCAUGUUAAGGACCUAGCAAUGUCUUCUAAUCAUAUUUGUGGCUAGUUUUAGUGUUUUGACAUCUUUUUGGAUCAUUAAGACAAGCCAAUCAAAGGAGAAAAGCAAAGAGAAGCAAGGAGGAAAGCAGAGGACAGCAGCUGCAGUCUUCGUUGGCACUUUUGGAGCAAUUCCCGAAGUCCAUUUUCUACAUGCUAUAUACCAUUUCAAAGCUCAGGAAGUCAAGAAUCCAACGCUUCAAACCGUGUAUGAUUUGGAGCUGAAACGAGGAAGAUAUGGCUUUCGGAAGACAACUGCUCCAGGUGUGCGAAAAUUUCGCACACCCCCUUAGCUGUGCGAAUGGUGUGCGAAAUUCGCACACCUUCUUCAGGUGUGCGAAAAUUUCGCACACCCCUUGCGUGGUGCAAAUUUUGCUCUGUUUUUGCCGACUCCACUUUAGAUAUUUUCCUAUGUAUUUUUUUGAUGUAAUUUCCUUUCUUAUCCUUGUAACUAACCAAUCACAAGCUUUUGCUUUUGUAAAGACUAUAUAAGGGGUGGAAAUUACCUCUUGGAAUAUAUGGAAUACGUAUUACGUUUUUACACUUAGAAUUUUACAGAGCUCUCUCGUUCUCUUUGCUCUUUACUAUUUUCUUUUUCUUGGAAGCCCAACAACCUCUAAGGAUGUUUGNNNNNNNNNNNNNNNNNNNNNNNNNNNNNNNNNNNNNNNNNNNNNNNNNNNNNNNNNNNNNNNNNNNNNNNNNNNNNNNNNNNNNNNNNNNNNNNNNNNNGAAGCCAAACAACCUCUAAGGAUGUUUGCCCGGAGGAUGAGAGGCUAAACUUUCGGUUUCUUGGAGUGAUGGAAGCUAGGUGAAAAGUCCAGAUGCAAGGUGGAAAACGCUCGUGCAUUAAAUUCAGGUAGUUGGAAUUCAUAAAUGGCUUUUAAAUCCAAAGUUUUGCUUUAAAUCUCUUAGAAUCACUUUGAAUGACCAAUACAUGGUAAGCUUCAGGUCUUUAUGGAUGCUUAUUGCUAGAUCCAUAUUAGUCCAUUAGUUAUCAUGUACGAGUCAUUGGAAAGCGGUUCAAGGUGAAAACCUAUAGUGUCUAAAGCCAUUAAUGGACUUUGACUACCAUUUAUAUUGAUUAUUAUGGAUUAAAUCUUCAUUGUUAAACCUAUACCGGUUCGGGAAAUAACUAUAGGUUAAAUCCCCAAUGCGAGGAGAAAAAUCCGGAAUUUUCCACUUUGCAUUCUAAACUUGAUCCUAGCAAUCCUGAGCUCCGGGAGACUUUCUUUCUUCCAUUUUUAAUUAGUUUAUGUUAGUUUAGUUUCAAACACUUUCAAAACAAAUUUUAUUUUCUUUUAAACUUUAAGUUUUUGAUUAAGGAAAUCAUUAAAUACAAUUUCUAAUUUUGAGUAUAUCACUGGUAGAAUGAAAACCCAUCCCAGAGUUCGACCCUAGAGCCACUAUACUAUAGUAGCUUUGCUAUAUUAGUAUGAGGUUAUAGGUUUUAUAAAUGUUUUUUAUUAAAUGACCCAUUUGGAGUUACACGCGAAUCACCAGAUGAGGGAAUGAUAAUAAAAAAGACUUCCUCUAUAACAUCAUUUUCUAUGUAAAAUUUAGCAUCAGCAAAAUAAGACUUGACUUCUGUAAAUGGCUUAGCUUCAACCUCUGCUUUCUUUACCACUCCUAUAUAGAAUUUGAAACACUAGUGUAGUGUUGAAGGAAUUACCCCAUUCUCAUGAAGCCAUGGUCGCCUGAGUAAUAGGUUGUAAGAUGUUUUUACAUCAAUUACAUGAAACAAUGUGUUUGAACUCAAUUCACCCGUAACAAGCUCUAGGUGAAUCAUACCAAUAGCUCAUUGUCCUCCUUGAUUAAAGCCCUGGAUCAUUAGGCGACUUUGAGUUAGUUCUUUUGUAGCAAUCCCGAGUCGUUUCAUUGUUGUUUUGGGCAUGAUAUUUGCUGCAGACCCUCCAUCAAUUAAGAUGCGAGUGAUAUUUUGUUCUCGUAUGUACCCAAUAACAAACAGAGGUCGAUUAUAUGGUUUUGACCCUAAUUGAAGGUCUUCACGGUAAAGGUGAUGACUGCACAACAUUUGACACAAUUGUGGCUUUCAUCCUCAAGUCCUUUUGUCCCCUUUAUUUUGGUGGCAUAGAGUGUGGGAUUAUUAAGUACUUGAAUCAACACAUUUUGUAUCUCAUUAGGAAGUUGUAGCAUUUCGUGGCGACUAAAUAGUGAGGGUAGGUGUUGUAAGCUUGUUACUACCCCCUCUUCUUCCUUAGUUUUUCUUGACUUAACACCAAGAAUGCUUUUCUCAUCUUCACUUAACCCCUCUUCUUUUGCAGUCUCAUUGCAAGAGACCAUAUGAGUUGAUAUUGUCACCCUUUUAUAAAAGAACCCUAAGGGGAAUUAUUCCCCUAGGGUGAUAGGGGUGAUGAGUUUCUGGAUCAAAAGGUUGUCUACUUGUACAAUUGCUUGUUUUCUAUCAGGAUUCUUUUUUUCUUUCUUUUUUAGAUGUUGACAAGUAUUCCACUCAUGUCGUCCCUUCCUAGGAAGGUUAGGGUAUGAAUGCGACAUUUGCUUCUUGCGAGGUCUUCUUUGUGUCACUAAUGUCCAACCUUCUUCGUUAUAUGACAUUGAUUUUUUAUCAGAGCAAAGACGAAGAAAGCUAUCUUGACACGACACUUGUGUUUGCUUUGGUUUCAGUGACUCGCAUUGAAUAGCACUGGCACAUGCUCCCAGUUUCUUAAGCGGAACAUGUAAUGGAAUAGGAUCAAAUGACCCAAAUGUGACUGUAGCAUGAUUUGACUCUACUACUUCAUCUAGAUCUAAAUGAAUUAUUCCUUGCUUUGCAAGUUUCAUUAUGAGAUCUUUUAAAACGAAACAUUUCUCCAUAGGAUGACUGCACAUUUGAUGGUAAUGAUAGUAGUUUGGAUUAUUAACACGACCCAUUUCUUUUAGACGCUUGCACUCAAGUAACUCAAUAACUUUUUUCUGGAGCAAGUCUUCCAACAUGUUAGGCACAUCAGAGUCAAGAAAAGGAUAUUUCUUCUCCUCUAAUUCCUUCAAGGUGAAUCAAUGUCUCUCAUUUUCCUAGAUUGGUCCAGUCUCUUUUACUUCUUUCUUUUUAUCCUUUGCUGAGAUUUUGACGGGAGCCGUAUUUAUCGUCAUUGACUCCUGGAUGGGUUUCUUCGAGGUCUUGUCACUCAUUUUCCCAUUAUGUCUCUCUUUUUGCCGAUCAACGGUAAGUUCUUUCUUAGAACAAUGGUUGGCUAUGCUAAGCUUCAUGUCAUGUGCUCGGGUAGCUAAUUCUUCAAAGUUAUGGGGUCGUAUCCCUUAGAGAAUGUAUAGGAGACCCCAAUGCAUUCCUUGUAUGCACAUCUCCACGGCUGAUACCUUAGAUAAUCUAUCUUUGCAAUCAAAGCUUAAGGAACGUCAACAGUUGAUCUAGUCUACAAUUGGGUCGUCUUUCCAUUGCUUAGUGUUAAUAAGUUCCAUCAUACUUACAAUUCAUCGGGUGCUAUAGAAACGGUUAAGGAAUUCACGUUCCAUUUGGUCCCAACUAUCGAUACACUCAGGUGCAAGGUCUAUGUACCAAUCAAAAGCAUUCCCUCGGAGAAAACAAGUGAAUUAUUUAACUAAUAAGUCACCAUCUAUACCUACAUUGUUACAAGUUUCAACGAAAUGGGGAACAUGUUGUUUUGGAUUUCCUUUCCCGUCAAAUGAUUGAAAUUUUAGAGGUUGAUAACCCACAGGCAUACGUAGGUUAUCAAUCCUCUUAGUGUAAGGUUUAGAGUACAUGCACGUACUCUGUGAGGGUCCACCGUACUGCGCUCUAAUGGUGUUAGUUAUCAUAUCCUGAAGUUGUUGGACAAAUAAUGACACCACUGAGGCAGAUUCCGUCGUUUGUCUCUCACUUUGCAUUGUCCUAUACGUAUGUGGUGCAUCAUCGAGAGGAGAUGCAACAUUCGAAAAGUGGUUGAGUCCUUGACUUAACUCACACGUAUUUUGUACUUGUGCCUCAACCUUGUUUAUGAGAGAGGUUAUCUACAUAUCCUUCUCUUCAACCGUCUUGGUGAGUUUGGCGAUGGCACGAGCCAUCUCUGCUAAUUGUUCCUCUACGAAUGUAGUGUCGAUUGCCAUUACCGGCAUAGUCAUCGAGAAAGGAGAAGUAAAAGAGUCGGAACAAUUGAAGUAGUUUUCCUCCUUUGACAUUCUAGUUGGCGAUUCGGAAUGUGAGUCGGUGCUAGAGUUGGCAUUGGUAACAAAGCAAGGAGAUUUAUCCCUAAAGUCCUGUAGUGUUGAAGGGAGUUUCCCUCUGCUAUGAGGACUAUGGCUCUUUGCCCCCAGAGAAACUAAGGUGAUGAGUGGUUGGUUUUCAUCGCAUGUUCUUACCUGUUUUAGCAAACAAGCAGACUCACUUGUUUGUUUUGUUGAGAUUGAAGAUGUUGAUUUUGCUUUGCUACGAGUCAUGGGGCUCGUAGCAAUGUCAUGUGUCGAUUGUGCAAUGACAAUCUUGUCAUUGCCCUUGUUGACAUGCACAACUUAAGUUUUUUUGGGUGUCAUCAACGUAGUAGAGAUCAAUCUUCUAACAAAAGAGAUGAGAGGCAGAAAUGUCCCACCGGGCGUGCUAGAAAUUUGUCAGCACAAAUUUCAUAAAUUUUGGUCCUGCAAAAUUAGCAAAACAAAAUAGGAAAAUAAUGCGAACAAAAUAUUUAUUAAAAUUAAAAAUAUUAUGGGUACAAUCUUAAAAAAAAAAAAAAAAAUUCUUUCCAAAAGAAUAUUUUUCCUCUGAUUCUUUUGCCUUGAUCACACUUUAGAAGACAAUGAUGACCUUUUCUUGAUUUUGAAGAUCAAUCGAGGCCCACAAGUGGCUUAUUCCCGAAUGACCUUGUUGAAUGGCGAAGAACGCGUGUAGUAGUUCUUUUGCCGCUUAUCAAACUUAUAGGGAGAUUUGAUGAAACUCUUUCUUUUGUUGUGAAACUCCUUUUCUCGUACGAAGUUACCUUUGGAUUUUCUCCUUAGGAUUUUCCUUUCUGAAAUUUUUUUUUUUUUUUCUGAUUUCUGAAUUUUCUUCCCCCUUCUAAAUGAAAGACACCUCUAUUUAUAGGUGAAGAUAGGGAAUUUGAAUUUCAAAUUCCCGAAUUUUAGUUGCUUAAUUCAAGGGAUUUAGUUCCUUGAUUUUAGCAAAAUUUCCUCUCCAGGAGGUUUUACCAACAAGAUAAUAAUAAUAAUAAUAAUUUUCUUGUUAUUAUUAUUAUCCUUUUUAUAGUUGGAGAUUAGGUAAACUUAUCCAUAAGAGUUUUUUUUUAAUUUAUUCAUUUUGAAGACCAAAUUAGUGGUAAUUUAAUCCACUAAUUUUUUUUUAUGUUUACAGUCACUAAUAAAUUUCAAUUUUAUCUUCCUAACGUACAAUCCAAAUAACUCUAACACUUCACUCAAAUAUUUAUCUUUCAUUCACAUGAAUUGAAUUUUUCUCCAACAUCAUUUCCACUAAAAAUCAAUUAUUGCAAAAAAAAUAUUAAAAUGAUAACUAUACAUGUAGAAUCCCUUACAAGUAGAAUCACUUGCAAAAUAACACCAUAAUAAGUAAAUCUAAAUCCAAAAAUAAUAAUAACAAAAUUCUCAAUUAAAAUAUAUUAUAUGAAAGUUUUGGGGAAUAAACUACUCUACCAAAAAUCGAGAAUCUAAUCGUUAAUUUUGAAAUUAGACUUCAUGAUAUUUCUCACAUAAAAUAAAUAUCCUCAUAAAAUUUCAAGCAAAAAAAUCAAAUUUAUUUGCUUCAUCAAACAACCUUCUGAAGAUCUAUGAUACUCAAUGCUCUGUUUUUUUCUUUUUUGCCCUUUUAAUUCUUUCUACACCUCUUUCUCUCUCCUAAGACUAGACUUCUUCUUUCUAUUUAUUAUUAUUAUUAUUAUUAUUUCCCUUAGUUGAUUUUUAUCGUUUCCCGUUCUUUUUUUAAGAUUUCACACCACUCUCAUAUGCCACCCCAACACCCCCCUCCUUUUCUCAUUUUCCUAUACAUUUACUAAUUUAAUUAAAUUUCAUAUCAUAAUAAAACUAUAUUUUACCAUAUUCCCAUUUUAAGCUUUUAUUUUUUCAAAUAUAUCAACUUUAGCUAAUAAUAUAAUAAUCCACUAACCUUCGUUCAAUUUACAAUAAUAAGAUUCUCGACCCUUCAAAAUGACAUUAGUUUAAUCCACUUCUUUUGUUAAAUAUACUUCAAUUAAAUCAACCUUUUAAAAAUUAAAUCUACUAAAUGAUAAUAUUCAUAUUUAAUCAAUUUAUCUUUUGGUAUAAAUUCCUAAAUUUACAUAAUAUAACUUCAUUUUGAUUCAAUUUUAUUUCAUGUUUUAUAAUUUUAUAAGGUUGAAUUCCCAUUAUAAUUAAAAAUUAAAUUGUUUUGUUAUAAUAUUAAAUUUUAAAUAAAAUAUCUUUUGAAAAAUUUAUUAUAACCAUACGGCAUAAUACAGAUUUCACCAAGUUUUUCUACCAAAGGUUUUCGGAUCAUUACCUUAUAAUAAUAAAAUUAAUUUUUACCAUAUAUUUAAUAUUCAAAUUUCAAAAAUCCAACCACAAAUAGUUUAAUAGUUAAAUUCAAAUUUAAUUUUGGAAAAAAAUGUGACUCGGAAAGAAUUUAAACUUUCUAUUAACUUUGUAAAAAUUACACUCAGUUAAAUAAAACGUUGACACGUGAAUGUUCAGUAACAUCAUGGCAAUAGACUGACAAAUAUGUGAAUUUUCAGCAUUCAUUUUGGAUGAUCUCGAGGGAUAGUCAUCGGCAGUAGACCGAAGUUUAUGAAGAUGUGAAAGCUCUUAUUCAGAAACACUCCGACAAGAGAGUGAAUGCUUGGAUGGCUCGAGCCCUUCAGGACCAUUUCUGGUCUCCAUGGACUAUCAUGGCUUUUAUUACAGUUGUUGUGAUACUAUUUGUUACUGGGGUUCCGUACUACGCUCUUCCCGGUAAUUAAAUAUAAUGUGAUGUGUUGUUUUUUUUUUCUUGUUUGGUGUGUAUGAUUAGAGAAAUAAAGAUGUAUAGAUUGUUGAAGUUGUAUCACUGAAUUUCAUGCAUGCAAUAUCAUUAGUGUAGGGACCCCUCCCCCUGAUGACACGUGGCAUGCAGUGCUAUCCGGAUCAAACUCCAUCCGGACUCCCCAAAAGGAUAUGCGCUUCGCUAUCCGUAGCAACUCUAUCCGUACUUUCCCAAGAGGAACACGUGGCAUGCAUUGCUAUCCGGAUCAAACUCCAUCCGGACUCCCCAAGAGGACAUAUGACGCGCUCCCCUAUCCGGACUCCCUCAGGGAGAAGCACACGUCACUCACGAAUGUCAAGUCCGGACGAUAACAUACCCUAUCCGGAUCAUUGACUGAAGUGAGCAAGUCUUGCUACAUCAUUUCAACAGCCUGCCACAGCCCACCAUCCGCCGCCUGCAGAGCGAAAGGACAGGGAUGGUGGCAGGUUACCUCCAACGAUCCGUCGCCUACAGAGCGAAAGGACAGAAAUGAUGGCAAGUCACCUCCCGCGAUCUCUAACAGCCGUCUAUAAGGUCAUGAUGGCUCUGCCACCACCUAGAGGCAUCAUGACAAGCCAAAAAGUAUUUCCAUCAUUAAAGAGGGAGGACGAGCUUCUGACACUAUAUAAAGGAACCUUCACACAAGGAAGAAGGUAAGCUUGCUAUACCCAGUAAAAGGCCAACUGCUUAAUCUCUCUAGACAUGGCUGACAAAACCAUCGGAGGGUGUGUCCGGACACCUUGUCCAGACAUCUUUUGCAGGAACGACUGAACCAGAACUCUAUCUUGGUUGAAAGCGUGCGUCCACUUGGCAGGUACUUGGAUCAUCGGGACGCAAGGCCUCAACAUUGGCGCCGUCUGUGGGAAAAUCGCUGAUUUAGUCGCCGGCGAAGAUGUCCACUCCGUCCAGUAGCUGCUUGGGGAGAAGAAGAUAAUACCGAAUGGCGCCGAGCCAUCGAGAGAAGACAGUUGGCAAGCGAGCGACAAAUGCAAGCUCUCCUCCAGGAAACAGAGAGGUUGAGAGAUGAAAACGUCGUGUUGCGCAUCCAGGCUUCAUCGAUGAGGCCUCCUCGUGAUCAGCGCUCAAGAGGUCAGGUAGCAAACUCAAGGCCUGACCCAGAGUCGAUAUACCCUGAGACAGCAGGAGCCAUCCCCGAAACAUGCAACGUUAGGCCGCAAGAGCGACACACGCCCCUGCACCAAACUCCCCAGGAGGAAAGCUCGAACUAUACUCGUUUCUCGUCAAAGAAACAACGAGACAAAAGAACCCAGUUGUCAGGCGUGAUGUGCGCGAGACUAGGCCCAUAGGAGCCUAGGAAGCCACUCUAUGAUGCCCCUGACUAGCAUAGAGCCAAAAUAUACUCCGCGGCCCAGCCCGGACAAAAACAGGAGCCUGAAAGACCACUCUGUGAUGCCCCUGACUGGCACAGAGCGCGCCCUGACCCAAUGGUCACCCCUUUGGUGUCGAACGUUCCCCUGCACCAAGCGGUACCUGACCAUCCUGGGAGGCCACUUUGUGAUGCCCCUGACUGGCACAGAGCGCGCCCUGACCCAAUGGUCAACCCUUUGGUGCAGAACGUUCCCCCGCACCAAACGGUACGACAAGCUGGGAGAAACCUCCCAAACAAGCCACCCAGUGGCUCCAUCAGCAAAAGGCUGGACGACAUGCUCUCCAUGCCUUUUUGCUCUCAUAUUAUUCAGUACGACCCCCCAAGGGGAUUUCUCGUGCCUAAAUUCUCCACGUACGAUGGGUCCAACGACCCCUUCAACCAUAUCAUGCAUUACCGUCAACUCAUGACUCUUGAUAUAGGAAACGACGCGCUGCUAUGCAAAGUAUUCCUCGCCAGCUUACAACGGCAGGCCCUCUCAUGGUUUCACCGCCUACCUCCCAACUCUGUUGAUAAUUUCAGGGACCUGUCAGAAGCUUUCGUGGGACAAUGCUUGUGCUCCGCUUGAUUCAUGCCCAAUUGGUGUCUCAGCUGAUUUGUGUCCAACUGGUGCUCCUUGAUUGAGGGAGUAAUCAACAAAAUUUAUAACCUAUUACACCAUUUACUAGGGUAGCAAAGACAAAGCUACUAUAGCAUAGUGGCUCUAGGAUCGUUCACUGGGAUGGGUUUUCACUUUACAAAUGAUAUUAAUUCAAAGCUGAAUUUGUGCCUUUUCAUUUCAAGGUUAGCUUUAAAAGAAAACAUAAAGAUGUUUGAAUGAAAAAGGUUUAGAUUUAAACUAACCAAAAAUAGUAACUGAUUUUACUUACAAAGAAAAGUGUUUCUUGGAGUUCAGAUCACCAGGCUCAGGUUCCUCAUACAAAAAGGAGAGUUCCGGUCACUUGUUUCUUUUCCUCGCAUUAGAGAAUUAACAUAUAGUUAAUUCUCUAACCGGUGUUGUACAGAUGCUUCCCAUUAAUGGGUUCAAACACUAAAUCUCUCUCACUGAUGCACCUUGCAAUGGCUCAUGCCUCUCACCUAGCAUUUUCCAUUCAAGGUGAUCUUUAACCUUGGACUUCCCUUCAAAAGCUCGCAAGAGAUAACUAAUGGAUGUCUCCUUGGAGUCCAAAAGCUUACCAAGUGUUGGCUAUUCUAGAAAAUCCUACCUUCAAGUCACCUCCCAAAGGCUCGCAAGAGAUAAACUAGUGAAUCUCCAUGGACGAAGAUCACUUGCCUUACCAAGUGUUGGCCCAGGUGAUUUAAAGGCGUUUUAAGUUAACUAAAAAGAUAAAAACCAUUAACGGGUCACACUUUCUCUUCAUUAAAAACUAAAACAAUAAAACUUCCAAAUUAUGCAUGUGGAAACUUACCCGGAUUUCCUCACUCCAAGAGACGAAAAACCUAGCCUCUCAUCCUCUGAGGAAAAAUCCUCAGAGUUUGGUUAGCAAGAAAAUGAAAAUGAAAGAGAAGGAAAAAACAGAGCAAGGCUCUGUAUAUUCUAUAUAUUUAUAUAUCUAUAUACAUCCCGUUGGAUUACAUGAUUCCAUGAGAACAAGCUCCCGAGAGCUAUAUAUAAAGAAAAUUACAAAACAAAAUAUCUGAGGUUAUUCACCCCUUUUCCAAACUUAAUAACUAAGGAAUCCUAUAAUUGGUGGGUUACAAGGAGAAGAAUGGAAAUUUAUACAAAAAUAUCUGAAGAAAAGAUCUAAAAGAGUCGGUCACAACUAUUGGGAAACUUCAGGAGAACACCCGUGCACUGUGCAAAAUGGCUGCGAAAUUCUCGCAGCAAAAGGCUGAUUUCGCAGCUGUGCAAAAAUCUUCCUUCAGCUUGGAGUGAUCUUCUUGCAAUGGCUGUAACUCCUUCGUUUCAACUCCGAAUCGUGCACUGUUUGAAGAGUUGGAUUCUUGACUUCCUGAGCUUUGAAAUGGUAUAUAGCAUGUAGAAAAUGGACUUCGGGAAGUGCUCCGAAGUGUGAAAGAAGACUGCAGCUGCUGUCUUCUGUUUUCUUCACUCUGUUUUUCCUCUCUCCAUUGUUCUUUCCUUGCAUACUUUGAACGACUUUGGCAAAGGGCUAUGGAGCUCCAAAGCUUGGUUCUUCAUGAAUUUGAGCUUCCAAAAGCUUUGCCAUGAAAUAUAUACAGCUCUCCCUCAUUCUUGGAUUGCUUUGGUGUAGCUAAAAGCUAUCAAAAACACCAAAACUUAACAAAAUUUGAUUAAAAACGAUUGCAAGGGUCCUUAACAUGUCAAUUGAGUUAAAAGGUAAUAAUUACUACUCAAGAGUGUUUAAAAGAGUUAAUUACAAGCUACAAAAUAACACUUUUUGAGUAGUAAUCACCCCCCCAACCGACAUAUUGCUAGUCCCUUAGCAAUGAAGGAGAGAAAAAAUAAAAAUAAAAGUAAUAAAUUUACAAAACAUUGCCUCAUGCAACCACCCAUUCUAUUUACUACAUCAGCAGAGCGUUGGCGGACGUAGAAACAAGGUACUCAAAAAUGGAGCUAACGGCCUUAACUCUUCGAAGUGCUGCCCAGAAGCUACGCCCUUACUUCCAAGCCCACCCGGUGGUCGUGCUAACUGACCAGCCCCUUCGCAACAUCCUGCAUAAGCCGGACUUAACCGGAAGAAUGCUUCAAUGGGCCAUAGAGUUGAGCGAAUAUGGAAUCGAGUUCCAACCCAGGUUGUCCAUGAAAGGCCAAGUGAUGGCUGACUUCGUGCUGGAAUACUCCCGAAGGCCUAUCCAGCGCAAGGAACCAAGUGAAGAAGAGUGGUGGACUUUGCGAGUUGAUGGAGCCUCCCGGUCAUCAGGAUCCGGAAUAGGGCUCCUGCUGCAAUCCCCAACAGGAGAACAUCUGGAGCAAGCCAUCCGACUGGGGUUCCCUACGUCUAACAAUGAAGCUGAGUAUGAGGCCAUCCUAUCCGGAUUGGACCUCGCCCUGGCUCUAUCCGUUUCCAGGCUCCGGGACUAUAGUGAUUCCCAACUCGUGGUAAGGCACGUCCAGAAGGAAUACGAAGCUAAGGAUGAGCGCAUGGCGCUAUAUCUGACUAAAGUAAGGGACACCUUACAACGGUUCACCGAAUGGACGAUCAAAAAAAUUAAACAGACCGAGAAUGGGCGUGCCGACGCCCUGGCAGGCAUAGCUGCUUCCCUCCCCAUCAAAGAAGCCAUAUUAUUGCCUAUACAUGUGCAAACCAAUCUUUCCGUCGCGAAAGCCCCUACUUGCAAUACCAUUGAGGCAAACCAAACAGAAGGCCAAGAGUGGGCGAAAGACAUAAUAAGGUAUCUCCGGACAGGUACCCUACCCGAAGAGCCCAAGCAGGUGCACAAGACCCGGGUACAAGCUGCCCGUUUCACCCUGAUCGGGGGGCACUUGUACAAACGGUCCUUUACAGGUCCCUAUCUCAGGUGCCUAAACCACUCAGAGACCCUCUAUGUAUUAGCUGAGUUGCAUGAGGGGGUAUGUGGGAACCAUUCCGGAGGUCGAUCUUUGGCGCACAGAGCCCAUUCACAAGGGUAUUACUAGCCCACGAUGAAAAAGGAUGCGGCAGCCUAUGUCAAGAGAUGUGACAAGUGUCAAAGGCAUGCCCCCAUACCACAUGUGCCGUUCGAGACGUUAAAACCAAUUUGAGGCCCCUGGCCCUUCGCACAAUGGGGUAUGGACAUAGUAGGACCCCUACCAGCCGCAGCUGCCCAGAAAAAAUUCCUGCUCGUCGCCACGGAUUAUUUCAGUAAAUGGGUGGAAGCUGAAGCAUACGCUAGCAUCAAAGACAAAGAUGUCACCAAGUUCGUAUGGAAGAACAUCAUCUGCCGCUUUGGAAUUCCCCAAACCAUUAUAGCUGACAACGGUCCACUUAGCAUCACUUUUGAAAUUUCUGUUCGGAACUAAACAUCCAGAAUUCAUACUCCACACCGCGUUAUCCUCAAAGCAACGGGCAAGUAGAGGCCACAAACAAGACCCUAAUAACUGCCUUAAAGAAGAGGCUCGAGCAAGCCAAGGGGAAGUGGGUGGAGGAGCUACCCGGCGUCCUAUGAGAGUAUCGAACCACACCCGGACGUCCGACAGGCAACACUCCCUUCGCCCUCGCAUACGGUAUGGACGCAGUCAUUCCUACCGAAAUAGGGCUACCCACUAUCCGGACCGAGGCAAGAAGCCAGGAUGAUGCAAGUGCGGAGUUAGGAAGAAAUUUGGACUGGGCGGACGAAGUAAGAGAAACCGCAUCCAUCCGGAUGGCGGACUAUCAACAAAGAGCAGCCACUCACUACAAUCGCAAGGCAAGGCCCAGGAGUUUCAAAAGUGGAACGCUGGUCCUUAGAAAGGUUUUCGAAAACACUGCUGAGACAGGAGUAGGAAAGUUUCAAGCCAACUGGGAAGGCCCCUAUGUAGUGUCCAAGACAAGUGAAAGUGGAGCCUAUCAUCUACAGAGGCUAGACGGAACUCCAUUGCCUCGACCAUGGAAUGUAUCCAAUUUAAAGCAGUCUUACCAAUGAAAGAAAGAUAGAAGUACAAGGUGAAUGAGUAUGUUUUAUUAAUACUUGUGAAAAUUGUAUACAAAAGGUUCUCCGGACUACUAAUACAGAGAGAAAUAGCAGUAAAAAUUACAAAAAGAAAAGCUCUCAUUGGGAGGGCUUGCGACGCAACUUUUCUUCCUCGCUCGGGGGAAUCGAAGGGACGUCCCGUUUGAUGCCAUGCUUCUUCAUGCAGCAACGGUAACCAAAGAGAUACAUCUCGUCUACCUGCUUCUGGUAAUCCGUCUCGAGUUCCUCCCUUUCCGCAGUAAACUCAGCCUCUAGCUCUUCUUUUUGCGCUGAUAAAAGCAACUGCAAGUCCUGUCUCUGCUUUUUCUCAAUUAACACCUCUGUCCGGAGUUGCCUUACUUCCCCUCUCAGCUGGGCCGUCUCGUUUUCCGCCUCGUGCAGGCGGGCGUCCGUAGCUUCCUCCCUGCUCUUCGCCUCUGCUAGCUCUAUCCGGAGAGCCUCCUUGUCAUCCUGGGACCUCUUCAAGGCUUCAACACUCUCUUCAGAGGCUCUCCGGGCAGCGGAUAAGCUGGCUUCGGCCUGCUCCAAUCUCGAGCGCAAUUCCUCUUCACUGCUCAUACGCUGGGAGACGAAGGCCUUCAUAUGAUCGAAAAUCCGCAGCAGGUCUAUAAAAAGAUCAUGUUGUCGAACCAUGCCGCGAAUACCGCUCACCAGCUGCAGAAAAACCCACAACAAGAGGUCCAAAUUACAAGCCAUGUACAAAGCACACCAGUAUGGCAAGAAAAAUCAAAUGAGGAUAAGCUAUACCAUUUCCGCCGCUUCAAACAUCUUCGCUGAAGGCACAGCAACAUCUGAGCGGGAUGGAAUUCGUUUCAACAUCUCUCCCAACUCCGCAUAGCUGAAAGGGCUAGCGGAGGUGCAAGCUGCAUCAUCAACGUGACUCCCCCCUGACGAGACACUAGGGCGUGACUCCUACCCCGGCUCCGGGCCCCCAUCAUGCACGACCGGUUGGAUCUCUUCGGGCGAACCCUCAUCCGGGACCAACACCGGGUCGGUUAGGUUCUCUUCAGCCAUCUCCGUCUCACUUUCCUCCGGAUGAUCCUCCUGGGUGGAUGAGCAGUUGACUUCGAUGGUUUCCAGAAGAAUAUCCUGAAGCAGCCCGCUGAUGCCAGACUUUAAAUCACGGGCCGGACGAGACCUCCUUGUAGCUGGCCCCUUCACCGGUACAAGGGCAAGGGAGCUUGGUUCGCAAGGAGGCAAACCCUGACUUUCAGCCCCCGUUUCUUCCGUUAAAGGCGCCAUAGAAGGCAACGUUUCAGUACAAGAGGCCCCGGCUACAUCCGCGUUCGGAUGGGGAGAGCCGGGCUGAUUCACUGAAGUCGCUUCCUCAGCCAGAAGAGCCAGUCGUCUAGCCGCUGGCACUGAAGGCCCCGAUCCAUUUAGACAUGCGAUAUGUCCGGAGCCGCUUGAAACAGAGGACAAGACGGAAGGAUCGGGCAUUCUUAUUAUUAUUUCCUUUACGAAAGUUGGAGGUGGUAUUACAACUUCCUUUGGGGGAGUUGGGAGUCUUAUUUCUUUUCCCUUGUUGAGAACCUUCUUCUUCUUCUUUCUCACUGGGGCGCCAGCAGGAGGAGAGGGCGCGUAGCGUUUAUCACCAGGGGCCUUCCGCAAAGUCCCCUCUUGCCUUCUUUCCUCCCGUUCGUUGAGAAGUGCUUUACGUGCCUGGGCGUCUGCCUUUCGCACCGCCGUGAAGAAUGGGAGAUCUUUGAGAAUAAAAUGCUCCCCAUCCACCACCUCUUUGGGCAGCCGCCUUGGGAGUAUGUUGAGUACAUACGGCUAGGGCUCUUGGGUAACCAAGAGGAGAUUCUGCGCGGAGAGAAGCGUUUCACAGCUCUUCUCGUCCGCCGUAAUCUCAAAUAGCCUGUUCAGCCGAUCGAAUGAGACUUUUUCCACCCACUCUACCAACUUCCCCCUCCUAUCCUUGCCUGCACCCAAGAAAACAAAGCAUGUCAAACGCCUAAUAAUGCUGACCUAACUCGCAAUCGGGGGAGGACAGGGAGCAACUUAUUUCAUACCCGGGACCUUCAAUGAAUGAUUGGGAGCGAACUGCCUGUCCGGAUGCGCCGACAAACCAGCCCAUAGGCCCUUGACCAGCACGUGUCCUCUAGCGGCCCCCUUGGUCGAGUCAAGAAGGCUGGUCACCAACUGAAGAGAUGGAAGGCAGGCGACAAAGCUGUGGAUAUCAUUCUUCCCCUUCUUGAUGGAGUAGAUAAAAAGAACCUCCAGUAGUGAAAGGUCCAGGUUGAAUAGCAUGCUCAAAAUGCUGUACCCCAUCAGCACCCGGACCAUGUUCGGAUGGAUGUAAGCCGGGGGAAUCCGGGUGACGUGGAGAAAUUCUUUGAACAACGACGGGAGAGGGAACUGGAACCCAACAUUGAAUUGCUCCUUGGUGAAGUAGAUAGCGUGGUCCGUAGACUUCUCAAUCGACACGGCCUCUCCGUCCACAAAGUGAACGGACACGUCAUUUGGAAUGCAGAAGAGUUCGUAGAACUCCUUCACAUUCAGCUUAUCCACAGAUUUUUUCGCAUGGACCUCUCCGGACGCACCUUUGCCACUCUUCCCGACCGCAGUAGACGAAGCAACGUCCUUGUUUGCAGACAUCUUUGAGAGUGGGGUUGAAACAGAACCUGCAUGGCAAAAAUCCAACAGUAAAAAACAAGCACCCGGCCCCAUAACCCUAAUGGCAAAAAAGCCCAGAAAGCCUACCAUCACCAGCAUACCCAUCCCAACCCUUGGCUCUACCACAAAGAAGAAUCGGCAACCCACAAAAGUUGCAGGGGGCAACAGAAACCCUAAACGCACCCAAAACACAACAGAAUCCCCCGAAAAAGCCCUAAAGGCCAACACCAACCCCAAUCGCAAGAAGCUUGCCCAACAAGCCAGAAGCAACCGCCAAGCAAACACAACGAGAAGAAGGCAAGAAUAGAGAACGUACCGAGCGUAAACUGGGAAAAUGAAGAUGAAAUCCGCGGUACAGUCACGGUCACGACAUGAGUAUUGCUAGUAGAAAACCCUCGAGCCUGACUCACAGACGAAUAUACGCAGAAGGCUAAAGAGAAAGCACUACCAGUAGAAAAUGCAGAAGAAAAAAAUGCAAAAGUGAAGGACUCGGUCUGCUAUUUAAAACGAAAAACAGCCCCUCGGUAUUCUAACCACUCAGCCGCGCCAUUAUUAAAAAGACACGCUGCUUGGGAAAUCCCCGAGACGACGGCUCAUCAUAAAUGCUCUUAUUCCUCUUCGCCCCCGCGCACCACGUGGCCCAAUGAGCGCAAAAGGUAACCUCAGUUUCAAAAACAAUCAUUUUUAACCCGCCCAUUCUGCCCAGGCAAAAUCGGCAGGUUAAAAGGGGGGCAUUGUAGGGACCCCUCCCCCUGAUGACACGUGGCAUGUAGUGCUAUCCGGAUCAAACUCCAUCCGGACUCCCCAAAAGGAUAUGCGCUUCGCUAUCCGGAGCAACUCUAUCCGUACUUCCCCAAGAGGAACACGUGGCAUGCAUUGCUAUCCGGAUCAAACUCCAUCCGGACUCUCUCAGGGAGAAGCACACAUCACUCGCGAAUGUCACGUCCGGACGAUAACAUACCCUAUCCGGAUCAUUGACUGAAGUGAGCAAGUCUUGCUACAUCAUUCCGACAGCCUGCCACAGCCCACGAUCCGCCGCCUGCAGAGCAAAAUGACAGGGAUGGUGGCAGGUCACCUCCGACGAUCCGUCGCCUAUAGAGCGAAAGGACAGGAAUGAUGGCAAGUCACCUCCCGCGAUCUCUGACAGCCGUCUAUAGGGUCAUGAUGGCUCUGCCACCACUUAGAGGCAUCAUGACAUGCCAAAAAGUCUUUCCAUCAAUAAAGAGGGAGGACGAGCUUCUGACACUAUAUAAAGGAACCUUCACACAAGGAAGAAGGUAAGCUUGCUAUACCGAGUAAAAGGCCAAUUGCUUAAUCUCUCUAGACAUGGCUGACAAAACCAUCGGAGGGUGUGUCCAGACACCUUGUCCGGACAUCUUUUGCAGGGACGACUGAACCAGAAAUCUAUCUUGGUUGAAAGCGUGCGUCCACUUGGCAGCUGCUUGGAUCAUCGGGACGCAAUGCCUCAACAAUUAGUCUUUUCCUCCCCAUGAAUUUGCUAUCAUCUAUGAUAUCUGCUUGAACUCACAAUUUCCAACUAGCUUCUUUUUGUCUUCUUUCUCAUAGACCGGGAUCAUAGAUAACACAAUAUCCAUAGAAAAUUUUCUCUCAACGGUAUGUCUUCUUUCUAAAAUGCCUUUAUCAUCCCAGCAAUAUAUGAAUAUAAUAAGAUAAUAAAUAUUAAUAUUAUAUAAAUGAUUGAAAAUUAUAACUUGAAUAUGAAUUUAUUAUUAAUUUAUUUAUUAUAAAAAUAUAUUAAUAUUAAUUUAUUUAUUAUAAGAAAUAUAUGGAUAUGAAUUUAUUUAUUAUUCAUAAUUUAUUAAUAUUAAGAGUUAGUCAUUUAAUGAUAACUUUUUUUUAUUUAAAUUUUUUUCUUUAUAAGAUAUUAGAAAAUUAUAUUUUACAUAUAAAUUUAUUAUUAAUUUAUUAAUCUUCUUUAUAUCAAAUAAAUAUUAAUAUGAUGUAAAUAAAUAUAAUAUGAUAAUAAGUAUUAACAUUAUGCAAAGAAUAAGUAUUAUAAAUUUAAAAUAGAAUGUAUAUUAUUAACUUUUCAAUAUCUAUGAAAAUCGUUCAAGGUACAUAAAUGUAAAUUUAUUAUUAAUUUAUUUAUAAACUCUUUUAUUUAAUUUUUUUUCAUUGUAUUUUACAUAUUUUUUUCUCUUUUAUUUAAAAUUUUUCCAUUAUAUUUUAUAAAAUAUUAAAAAAUGAUUUUUUAUUACCCCACAUGUAAUGCACGUGUUUUUAGACUAAUAUAUAUAAAAGUGUCCACUUGAAUAGAAGUCGUCAAGAAAUAAAAUGAAAUCUAAUUCAAGUAAAUUUAUUAAACUUGGAUAUACUAUAUGGGUUUUUUAUUUUUUAUUUUUUAUUUUUCAAACCCAUUAUCACCCAUUCACGGGUGUAAUAAAUUUGCUAAUUAUCUCACCACCCAAGGUGAUUAUUCAAAUUUCUAUGGUAAUUUCUAUAAGAAAAUAUUCCCAAAGGUUAUUUGUAAAAUAAUAAAAUAUAGAUUAUAUUACAAUAAUCCAUAUAACUCAAAUUAAUAUAUGACAGAAAAAUUAAUAUAAAUUAAGAACAAUAAUUUGGAUUGUUCCUUCACUACUUAGGACUUUAUGGAACUCUUCCUAAUCUUGUGGUUUUUCGUCAACCAUAAAUUUGUAUCUAAUUAAAAAUUUUAGGGAAAAGUGGGUGAACAUUUUUACAUUGCUCAGUAAGACAUCUUGCACCCAAAGGAGUUAAAUAUUCCAGGUCAAUGCAAUAGAAUCCUAUGCUAAAAAUAUAAUAUUUUAUUUACAUUAUAUUACAUUAAAUGAAAUCUCCACCAUACAAAAUUAAGAGUAUGCUUGACAAUGUUUUUAUUUGAAACAUUUUUCCUUUAAGUUCUUUCUCAAAAAAAAAAAAUUUAAGAGAAUUAUCUAUCAAAUGUUUUUCUAAAAAAUAUUACAAGUGAUUUCCUAACAUUAUAAGUGAUUUUUCAAAAUUUUAAAAGUGUUUACUAACUUUUGUCAAUCAUUUUUUUUAUUAAAAAAACACUAUUCAUGCUAAAAAUGUUUUUAAAAAGAACUACCAAUCACAUUCUAAAUAAUAUGGAUUGUCACUUUUUUUAUUUCAAUUAUAUAUAUUAUAUAAAAUAUUUCUAAAAUUUUUAUAAAAAAAUAAAUUAUUUAACAUAUUCAAGCAUACGAUUGAUGUCAUUCAAUUAAUUGAUACAAAUCUUUUUUCUAAAUGUAAACAUGAUGCAAAUUAUUACACAUAAUCAAGCAAUGCACUAUUGUUUUUAGGUUUUCAUAGAAAGAUAUGCAUUCAUAUUCAAAUACGCUUCCCAUUUAGAGUCUUCUCGAGGUAAAUCUUUGUGUCUUUUACACUAUGGAUCUUAUUCUCUUCUUAAUUCAUCGUCUUCUUUUCAUUUCUCAUAUUCUUUUCUUUUUAUUUUUUUUCCAUUCUCGGACUCUUUUCAUUUUCAUUUCUAUUUCUUAUAACAAUUUCUUUACUUUUCUUUCCAUACAAUCAUGGAGGCAAAAUGAAUAUGAUAUAAUAUCAUUCUUGAAAUCUAGAACUUGUGACAUACAUACACUUCAUCAAUAAAACCCACAAAAAGUAACAUGAGGGAAAAAACCAAUAGAAUGAUAUAAUAUAAUCACAACCCAUCUUGUUUGGACAGAUAGAUAAAUCUAAGCCAUCUAGAAAAAUAAUCAAAUAUCUUUGCUUAUAAAUAUUAAUCCAUACAAAUUUCUCCUUGUCUUAUUACAAAAAAUGACAAAGACAAAUAAAUAAGGCAAGAAAAACCAAUAUAUCCAAAAAUACAAAAAAAAUAAAAAAAAUACAAAGGAAGUUAAUUCAUAUACUUAUAACUUACAAAAUAACAUUGGAAUUCAAUAUAUUAAAAUAAUUAUAAAUAAUUUGAGUAAUCUUACCAAAAAAAAAAAAAAACCCCAAAUCAUGUAAAUUAUUCAUAAAAAUUAUUAAGAAAAUCAAGUUAAUCUUAAUUAGGACUGAAAAUUUUCAAGUACAAAUAAGAUAUAAUAAUAGUAAAAUCCUCUUUUGUGCUCUAUUCUUCUUUACUCUUCCAAAGUUCUUCUAGACAUCUUCAACUAAAGCUCUUCCAAACAGCUUCAACCAAAGUUCUUUCAGACAUUUUCAACCAAAGCUUUGAUACCACCUAUUAUGCUAGUGGAAGUAUUAAUUUAAAUGUAUUAAAGGAAGAACACAUGAAUAAAUCAAACCACACACAAAGGUACAUGAGGUUUAACGUGGUUCAACCAAUCAUGCCUACCUCCACAAAUGAAAGAGAACAUUCCAUCAUAUAAUAGAAAAUAUUACAAAGGACAUAAAUAGAUACAAUUAUUGAGUCCUAAAACAUCCCACUUUUCCCUACUCUUUAUAUCUUCACCCUAAAUCAUAAGCAUUUUUGCUCCACCAAGUGUAUGUCAUGCUGGGAACCUUAGAUCUCUUUGUUCCCAAGCCCUAGAUCAUAUAGAUGCAUGCAAACGACCCUAAGUCUAAAGAUCUUAUGCAAUGGAAGCAAAAAAUAAUUUUUUUAACAUUCUAGGAUCUAGAGAAAAGUCAUUAGAAAACUUUACCUUUGAUUUAGACGUUCCCAAAUCAAUUCUACUUGGUGAAGGUGAAGCCUGAAUGGUCCCGAAGGUCUCAUGCACCUAAGAUCUUCCUCCUAAUGACUUGAAUCACGAUCUUGGCACUCCAAAGUAUGAGCCUUGGAAUGGAGGAAUCUUAGGCUCUCUCUUUGGAGGUGGAAGAUAGUUCUCGCACCAAAAGUUAUAGAAACCCUAACCUCUAAGAUGGUAUUUAUAGGAUUCCCUUAUUAGGCUUAUGUGACUUGAGUCCAAGGCUUAAAUCACUAAAUCUAGCCUAAACAAGUCCUAAUUUAUUAAUUAACCACGUAGAGUCAUCUAAUUAAUCAAUUAGUCCAACCCAAAGAACUUAUUAAUUAUCCCCUAUGCAACCUUGCAUAAUUACCAAAGCAUUUUUAUACACAAAAGUGAACCUAAAGUCGAUUCAAUCCACAUAAACUGCAUCAUCAUGCUAUAUGAGCUUAGAGUGGGGACCAUUGGGAUCCAUAGGAGUACUGGCUCUCUUAGAAUCCAAUUAUGAAGUUGAUUCAACAUUCUACUAAAAAAAAAUCAACUACAUUCCAGUACCCUAUAUAAAUAACAACAAAAUGAAGCUUGGUUCCGUGAUCUAUUAUCCACUACAUGUAGACUCCCUAUGAGUUGAUGUCCAUAAUCUGACAAAGUAGUGUUAUCACCUAUCAAGAUAACCUCUUAAUCUAUAAGUUAUAGAUCACAUUUAUUAUGUGAUCAAUUAACAUAUUCUAACUCUAAGGUGCAUAUGUCAAAUUUCCACUAAAGAAAAUGUUAUGGUCAUAGUCUUUUACAUCACAUGUCUGUUGAAUCACCCAAGGAGACACACUAUCUCAAUCCCAUGAGAUAUCAUGGUGCUUCUAUUGAGAAUAGUUAUUGCCACCAGCUUCCAUCAAUAAUGACUCAAUUUAUAAGGAUAUAUGACCACCUUAGGGUCUCACUCAUAGGUCAAAACCUUUUAUUGACUCCAUGCAGUAUUGUAGUUUGAUGAAUCAUGACAAUUGGUAGCCUUAUGUCAUAAUUUACUAUAAGUCAUGUCCAAUGUGCAUUACAUAUAUUAGUGCACUUACCAUAGGAAAACUAUACUGACAAACGAAAUAAGUCAUCCCUCUAAUUAUGAGGUAUUUCAUUAUAGUCUCAAAUAGAUUGCCCAAAUCCAUAAACCAAUUGUGGGCAACUCAUUACUUUCUAAGGAACCCACGACUUGAAUUUUCUGUACAACUCCUAAAUCACACAAGUCAUGUACAAUGCAAGUGAUGUGAGACGUGUAUUCUCAAAUAAUUUAUUAAUGCAAAUGGGAUAGAGAAAAACCAAAAAACAUGAUUAUAUUAAAUUUAUAAAUGUAUCUCAAACUGUUACAUCAUAUCAUGUUUUCUAGGACUCAAUCCCAGCAUCUCACUUUUCCUCACAUCUACACCUUGGUGAGCCCUCUUCCUCCAUCGGGAGUCUGUCACUUUUCCUCACAUCUCUAUUCGGCACCUAUGGUCAUCACAAGUCUAUCUCUCUCCCAUAAUUUUUUCCUUUCAUGACCUAAAAUGUUAAUAAAGAUAUUCCUAUUAGUUUUCCUUAUUAUAUAAGAAAUCUAAUUACAAUCAUUUAUAAACUUUGGAAAUAUUCUAUGUAAUAUCACUUUCAUCAAAAGAAUUAUAUUCCAAUUAGAAAUUCAAGACAUCUCCAAACAUGGUUUUUAAGUUUCUUCUUGUUUUUCUAAUUAUUUUUUAUGAUGGGGUUGUUGAAAUUGGAGGAAACUAAAAUGUAGUACAUUGUUAUAUGAGGGUUAGAUGGGUUUUGAAUUUUGACGAUAUUGAGAUAUUGCCGCACAUGUGUACUAAAAAGUAUUGAGAUAUUACAUGGAAGGCACGAAGACAGCCUUUCAAUGCUGCUACUCAUCAAUUCCUGAAGGGCCAACUCAAUUAGAGGGCGAUAGCUGCACAUUCUAACAUUUUCCAUGAAAAGACAAUGUUUGAACUUUCUACUCAUCUUGCCGCAUAUGUGUACAAAAAAGUAUUGAUAUAUUGCAUGGAAGGCACGAAGACAACCUUUCAAUGCUGCUACUCAUCAAUUCCCGGAGGGCCGACUCAAUUAAAGGGCGAUAGCUGCACAUCCUAUCAUUUUCCAUGAUAUCACCAUGAUAAGAGUCUGUUAGACCAUGAUGGUAGAAAGUACUAGCUUUAACCUUUUUAAUGCUUGAAAUUUUUUGGUAAAAGAUAUAUUUUCAAGUACUAGAAAAGUUUAAAACGUUUUAAAAAUUAAUUUUAAACAAGAUGAAAGAGUUUAUUCGUAGUGAUUCUAGGAAUCCCUUUUAAACUUACCGAUAUUUGAAAUUUUUUAGCAAAAUAGUUGUAACCUUUCCAACCUUCCGUUUGCUAGGAAGCGCUGGCAAUGAUUAUUAGUAUCAGUAAUAAUCACUAGACAAAGUCAUCCGUCUUGGUUGGAAGCUCUUUUAACACCUAGUCAUCGGCAGUAGACUUACAUCUUCUGGACCAACAUACUAACAGUGAUUAGGCCAAGAUGGUGAUCCAAUUCCAUGGAAGAGCAGCAAGAAAGGAGGAACGUUGGAGAGAUAGAACUAAAAGGCGGCCAACCAAACAAGAACAGUGGCCAAACUGGCCUCGAGCCUGAGAAGUAUAGGAUUGACGUUGAAAUCAGUCAUACGGUGAAAAUUUGGAUUGAGUCUCUCAAAAACGCAGAAGAAAACACUCAAUCUCAAAGUCAAUGGCCAAGGAUACCAAAGGUUCCUCACAUGCUGAGGAGGACCAAGGAUUUCAACAAAUUCUACUAACUGAGGGUAAUUUCUAUCGGUCUUCACCACCAUAGCAAGCCCCACCUUCACCCAGGGGAAAUGAUCAAGCCUCUAUGUGCCAAAAAAUUCCUGGAUGACAGUAAGCAGGACAUCAAAUCUUUGUACACAAAAAUUGAAAGUAAUAUCAAGGUAGUGAGAACUUUCUAUGAUUGGAUCAUUACAAGCAUGUAUGAUGAUGAAGAACUUGCCUGGAUUAUGCUUCUGGAUGAGUGUUUUUUACUAUAUUUCAUCCACUAUUUAGUGAGAAAAAAUAUGAGUGAGUUGCAUGGUUUGAAUGUGAAAGAUCAUAUGAUUACUUUUGUGAACCAAGACUUGAUCUUGCUUGAGAACCAACUUCCCUUUGGAGUCCUCAAGUUGAUUCUUGAGGAAGCAAAAUUCGAUGAUGGCCCAACCGUGGAAGAGAUGAUACAAAAAUUUGUCACUGACACCGCAUGGCCAAAAGGGUGGACAUAAAAAAAUACACCUGAAAGAGUCUCAUCUCCUCCACAUUUUUCGAAGUGCUUUCCUAGGCGGGUCUGAAAAGAAUAGCAAGCAAGAACCUUAGGGGUAACAAGGCGAUAGGAAGUCUUUUCGACACAUCAUGGAGCUUAAAGCAGUUGGGAUCCAUUUCAAAUGGAGUACGACUUUUUUUACAGACAUUUCUUUCAAAUCUGACUUCUUCUAGGGCUACCUAACAUUUCCCCCAAUAAUCAUUGAUGGCUCCACGAAGCUCCUGUUCUUGAACAUUGUAGCCUAUGAAAUGUGUCUAGAUGGCCCAGGUGACCAUAGGGUCACUUCUUAUAUGCGCUUCCUUGACAACCUCAUUGAUCAUGCAAACGAUGUUAAGGAGUUGAGAUCUAAGCACAUUCUCUACAACGGUCUUAGCAGUGAUGAAAAGACGGUCCAAACUUUCAACGAGAUCUACACUGACUAGGUAGAUCUCGAUGCUUAUGAAGAAGUGAGAACUAAUAUUCAGAAACACUACGACAUGAGAGUGAAAGCUUGGAUAGCUGAAGCCCUUCAUGACCAUUUCAGGUCUCCAUGGACUUUCAUGGCUCUCAUCGCAGCUAUUUAAUUCUUACUGGGCUUCAGACCUACUACGCUCAUCCUGGUUAAAGAUGUUUAAGAAACAAUGUAUAAUGACUGAAAUCCUCCUUGCCGUGUGCAGGAGAUAACAUCAAAUAUAUAUAGAAUAAAUAACAACAAUGUGAUCCUAUAAAAUAGGAAAGGUUUGAAAUAUAAAUAUUGAAAACAUAUCUACAUAUAUUUAUAGUUAUACAUUCGGAUUUUAUGGAACCGAAUUGGGAUAUAGAAAAUCUUAUGGAGAAUCAAAUUAUUCUCCUUUAUCACCCCCUGCAAGGUGAGCGUGGGAGAAGGGAUAAUGCUGAGCUUACUUCAGAAGAGAAAAAACUGAGGCUUGGUGACGCUUUUGGUCAAUGAAUCAACAAAUUGUAGAUGUGAAAGGAUAAAAUCAACUUUCAAAGUGCCAUUAGCAACAAGUUCACGAACCAAGUGGUAGUCGAUCGCAAUAUGUUUUGAGCGAGGGCGAGUAACCGGAUUGAUUGCCAUAAAAAUUGCACUUUGAUUGUAACAAAGAAUUUUAGGUGUUGUUGAGAGUGUAACAUGGAGGUCCCAAAGUAGUUGAACAAUCCAGGCAAUAUCAAUAGUGGCAACGGCUAAAAAGCGAUAUUCUGCUUCGACACUUGAUCGAGAGACAGUGCUUUGUCUCUUAGAGGACCAAGAAACCAAAUUGGUAUAAAAAAAAAAAAUAGCGUAGCCAGUAAUGGAACAACAUGUAUCAAGACAGCCUACCCAGUCUGCAUUAGAGUAAACAAGAAUAUCAUGAGUAGAUUGUUGAUGGAGUUGAAGUCCAUGAUGAGGAGUGCCUUUGACAUAACACAAAAUGCGCUUGAGAGCACGAAAGUGGUCCUCGGUGGGAGCAUGCAUGAAUUGGCAAAUAGAAUUCACACUGAAAGAGAGAUCCGACCUAGUGAUGGUCAGGUAUUGAAGAGCACCUGCAAGUGAACGAAUUAUAGUAGGAUUGAAGAACAAUUUUCCUUCAGUUGAGAGAUGUUGACCGACAACACAGGGUGUAGAAAUAGGCUUUGCAUCAAUCAUGGAAGCAUAUUGCAACAGAUCAAGGGCAUCCUUCGUUUGACUGAAAAACAAACCCUUCUCAUUAACUUGCACUUCAACGCUAAGGAAAUAAUGAAGUUCACCCAAAUUCUUCAUGGAGAAUUCCUUGGAAAGCCGAGUAAUGAGGGUUUGAACCAUAGAAGAAUUACUUCCAGUUAUGACCAUGUCAUCAACAUAAAGAAGUAAAUAAACAGUUCCAACCGAGAAGUGAUAGACAAAUAAUGAAGAAUCAACAUGAUUGGAAAGAAAUCCAAGUUUGAGCAAAAAUGAGCUAAAAUGAUGAAACCAAGCUCGAGGAGCUUGUUUCAACCCAUAAAGAGCCCUCUUUAGGCGACAAACAUGCUGAGGGAACUGUGGAUCUGUGUAACCAGGUGGUUGUUCCAUAUACACCUCUUCAUUGAGAAAACCAUGUAAAAAGGCAUUUUUAACAUCUAACUAAUGUAAACGCCAUCCAGAAGUAAUAGCCAAUGACAAAAUAAUUCGGACUGUAGUAGGGCGCACUACAGGACUAAAUGUGUCACCAAAGUCAAGACCAUGAAUCUGAGAAAAUCCUUGAGCCACAAGACGUGCCUUGUGAUGCUCAAUGGACCCAUCCGAUCGAAGUUUGGUUUUGAAAAUCCAGUGACAACCCACUACAUUGUGAUUGUUAGGACGAGGUACAAGAACCCAUGUAUCAUUUGUCUUCAAAGCUUGAAUCUCAUCAUCCAUAGCCGAGAGCCAUUCAAGGUGUUUUGUAGCAGACAUAAAACCCCGAGGUUCUUUGAGAGCAAGAAGUGCCUAAAAAUUUUGAGAAAAAGACAAAACAUUCAUAGCAUGAUAUAACCGUGGUUUGAAUAUACCAGUUUUUCCUCUGGUAAUCAUCAGGUGGCUGAAAGUGGUCACACGAGGAACGGAAGACACCGACAGUGGGAAAGUUGAGUCUGAAGCUGCAGAUCCAAGAGGUGUUCCACAGAAAUAGGACCUUGCAGAUCAGGGGAAGGAUCUAAGGACAAGUGUGGAGAAUCACUGCAAGGUAAACAUGGUGAACUCGAAAAAGAAUGAGAAGAACCAAUAUUAGAAUAACUAGACACAUAGUUCGGACAUUCAGAAAAAUGGGUAUAGUCAAUGUUGGUUUGUAAAUUUUGUACAGAAUCACCAUGAUAAGGAAAAGUAUUUUCAUAAAACUACACAUGUUGAGAAACAUAGACACGAUGUGUCGUUCGGUCAAGGCAUCGAAAUCCUUUAUGAAGUGUACUGUAACCUAAAAAGAUAUAAGAAGCAGAUUUUAGAGACAAUUUAUUUGGUGAGUAAUCUUUUAAAUGAGGACAACAAAGACACCCAAAAGUGCGAAGCAUAGAGUAAUCCAGUUGCUUACCAAACAAGAGCUCAUAAGGAGUUUUGCCAUCAAGUAAUGGUGACGGGAGUCAGUUAAUGAGAAAGACAGCAGUUGAGAAGGCCUCAGCCCACAAAGAGAGCGACACAUGUGCAUGGAACAUAAGGGUAAGACCCGUUUCUGUGACAUGGUGAUGCUUGCGUUCGGCAAUGCCGUUUUGACUAAGAGUGUAGGGGCAUGCCAAAUGGAGAACAAUGCCACAAGAUUGCAAGUGAGAUUGAAAUUUAUUAUUUGUAAAUUCGAUUCCACCAUCACAUUGAAAGGAUUUUAUUUUAGAUGAAAAUUGAGUCUCAAUAUAAUGUUGUAAAUGGAUGAAGGUAUCAAAAAAAUCAGAUUUUUGUUUUAAAGAGAAUAUCCAACUAAAUCUGGUACAAUCAUCAAUGAAUACCGCAUAGUAUCUAUAUCUAGUAAAAGAGAGAACUAGUGACGAACCCCAUAAAUCACAGUGUAAGCGAUUAAAAGGCAUGGCACAACGUUCAUCAUUUAGAGAAAAAGGUAAACGAUGGCUUUUGCCAAGUCUACAACCAACACAAAUUUUAGAAUCAAUGUUCACCAAUUUAUUACUACAAGAAAUAUAUCCUAAUCUAGAAAAAGAAGCGACAGUAUGAUAAUUGGGAUGACCAAGGCAAGCAUGCCAUAAACGAACAGAGGCUCGCGGUGAAGGAGAAGUGGUGGACAUAAGGGCAUGAUGACAACAAUCCAACACGUAGAGAACAUUUUCACAUAUUCUGACUCCCAGUACGAUUCUUAUGACAUGAUCCUGUAUGGUAAAACCAGAGGAAGAGAAGGUAACGAGACAAUUAUUGUCUGUAGUAAGUUGACUAAUCGAAAUAAGAUUUUUCUUAUUGCCGGGAACAACUAAGACAUUUGAUAAAAGAAGAGAACUAGACAGAAUAAGAGAUGAAAUGGAACCAGUAUGAGAAAUUGCUAAAGACUGACAAUUUCCAACCAUGACACAUUCAUUACCAGAGUAGAGAGCUGGUUGAUCCACAACCUCGGUGGCACUUGUCAUAUGAGAUGUUGCACCAGAAUUAGGAAACCAUUUAGAGUCAUUCAGGUCUUGAAUCGAGCAAGCUGAAAAAACUUCAACAAUAUUAGCCGACUACUUCUUCUUGAGUUUCAAGAAGCUCUAGCAAUGUUUGGCUAGGUGUCCAUCUUUGUCACACAACUGGCAGUGAACGGUGGAUGAGGACUUCGAAUUUGUAGAAGAGCUAGACGAAGUGGGAGGCCGAUUCUUCCCUUUCUUAGCCCCUACAGAUUUGGAAGUCUGCUGCACAUAAUAAGCAGAGUUAGAAGACGAGUGGGAAAUCGACCUUUCAAAAAUCUCAUGACUCAAAGCUUUUGGAACAAUCUCGACAAAGGAGAGUAGUGGAAGACCCUAAUGCUCGUAAAUACCAAUGAACUUUAUCUGUGUCGUCAAUGGGAUGACCGAUCACAACCAAUUGAUCACAAAGACCUUUGAAGGUACGGGAAAACUCAGCAAUGGACUGAGAGUCGCGUUGCAUCAGUUGGAGUUCAUCCUUAAGUUGCAGUUCAUGAGUCUUCGACCGAUGCGAGAAUGAGACUUCAAGAGCGCGCCAAGCCUCAUGAGAAUGGCGUAAACCCAAUACUUCACUCAUAGACUCCUCGGUAAGAGAAGAGUAGAGUAAACCGAGAAGCGUCUGAUUAGUAUGUAGCCAAGAAGUGUAUGCUGGAUUUGACUUGGUGGUGCCAUCAGCUGCAAGAAUUGUGGCUGAUGGAGCUCCGAUGCUACCAUCCAAAUAGCCAAACAAAUCUUGACUAGCUAACAGUGGAACAAAUUGAUUUUUCCACAAUAAGUAAGUUGAGGAAGCCAGUUUAAUGGUGAGCAUAUUCACUAUUAUGUUAAGUGGAAGAGAAGGAGAUGAAGAAGCUGAAUCGGCCAUGGUUAGAAUCAAAGAAAAAAAUCUUGCUCUGAUACCAUAAAGAUGUUUAAGAAAUGAUUACUACCAAAAAGUGCUAUUUUGUAGACCUAAUUAUAAUGGUUUUAAGCACCUUUGAGUAGUAAUCAUAUUCAUUUAACCCAAUUAAUUCAUUAAGGUCCUUAGUAAUUGGUUUUAACCAUUUUGUGGCAAGUUUACAUGUUUAUAUCAGCUUAUGAAUCAAUUCAAGCAUGCCAAAUGAUGGAGGAGCUACUUGGACAAGUUAAAGCAAGCUUUUAGCUACACCAAAGCAAGCCAACAAAAGGAGAAAAGCAAAGAGAAGCAAAAAGAAGCAAAGAGGAAAACAGAGGACAGCAGCUGUAGUCUUCUUUGGAACUUUUGGAGCACUUUCCGAAGUCCAUUUUCUACAUGCUACAUACCAUUUCAAAGCUCAGGAAGUCAAGAAUCCAACGCUUCAAACCGUGUACGAUUUGGAGCUGAAACGAGGAAGAUAUGGCCUUCGGAAGAAAACUGCUCCAGGCUUGUGCGAAACUCGCACACCCCCUCAGCCGUGCGAAUGGUGUGCGAAACUCGCACACCCCAUGCGUGGUGCGAAUUUUCCCCUGUUUCUGCCGACUCCACUUUAGAUCUUUUCUUUUAGAUAUUUUUGUAUAAAUUUCCAUUCUUCUCCUUGUAAUCCACCAAUCAUAAGAUUUAUUAGCUAGGAAGGUUGGAAAAACUUCUCUAUUUAUAUCCCCUUGCAUCCGUUGUAACAUAUAUUGAUAUAUAGAUAUAUAAUACAUAUUACGUUUUACACUCUCUCGUUUUCUCUUUUCUCUUCACUAUUUUAUUUUCUUGGUAGCCAAACAGCCUCUAAGGGCUUUUCCUCAGAGGAUGAUUGGCUAAAACUUUUAGUUUCUCAAAGUAUGGAUGUUAUGUGAUGACUUGGAUGCAAUCCCAUGGAAAUUUCUCACACCCGGAAGGUAAGGUAGUCGUUUUUCAUUAAAGGUUCAUUAAUGCAAAGUUUGGUUUUUAUUUCCUUUGGACAACUUCCAACGGCCAAUACUUGAUAAGCUUUUGGAUUUCUAUCCAUUAGUUAUCUCCUACGAGCUAUUGGAAGGUGAGGUUUUCAAUUCCAAGUUUUGUAUUAAUCCGUUAAAACCAAUUUCAAUGGCCAUUGAAAGGUGAGUUUAUCACCUGGAAUGACUUUGAGUUGCCAAUAUUUGGUAAGCUUUUGGCUUUAGACCAUUAGUUAUCUCUUACGAGCCAUUCAAAAGAAGUCUAAGGUGAAUAACCAUUGAUGAAAUUCACUACCAUCUAUUUUGCCAUUUUAAAGGAUUAAAACGUGAUUUGCUAAAUCCAUACCGGUUCGGGAAGCAAGCAUCACCAUAGUUGCAAACCCAACGCGAGGAGCCUAUCCUGAGAUUUCCAAUUUGCAUAAGAGCCAGAGCAUAGCUAUCCUAUCUUUGAGAAACUUGUUUUUACACCCUUUCAUUUUAGUCUUUAAUGUUAGCUUAGAUUAGUUUAAAUCUUUCUAAAACAUUUACAUCUUCUUUUAAAGCUAACAUCCAUAAGAAAAUCACCUAUUUUCCUAACUUGAAUAUCACUUGUGUUUGCGAAAACCCUUCCCAGUGAACGAUCCUAGAACCACUAUGCUAUAGUAGCUUGGCUACUUUAGUAAUAGUAUUCAAGGCAUAAAUUUUGUUGAUACGCCUUUAAAGCUAAGCUACCAUGAGUCGCAUCAAGAAACAAUGUAUAAUGACUGAAAUCCUCCUUGCCGUGUGCAGGAGAUAACAUCAAAUAUAUAUAGAAUAAAUAACAACAAUGUGAUCCUAUAAAAUAGGAAAGGUUUGAAAUACAAAUAUUGAAAACAUAUCUACAUAUAUUUACAACUAUACAUUCGGAUUUUAUGGAACCGAAUUGGGAUAUAGCAAAUCUUAUGGAGAAUAAAAUGAUUCUCCCUUAUCACUGGAAAACAUAUAAUACAUAUAUAUGUGGUUAUUUGGUGUUGCGAUUUUAUUUUUUCUUGUUUGGUAUAUUGUUCCGCGUCUUUGGGAUAAAUUGUUAAGUUUUAUACCGUGAUGUGUUUUUAUUCUUGUUUGGCGUGUUUAGGUUUGAGAAAUGAAAGAUUGUAUGAUUAAAGAAAUAAAGAUGUAUAGAUUGUUAAGUUGUAUGAUUGGAUUUCAUGCGUGCAAUAUUAUUCGUUUUUUCCUUCCCAUGAGUUUGCUAUCAUCUAUAAUAUAUGUUUGAAUACUCACAAUCUCCAACUAGCUUCUCUGUGUCCUUUUUCAUAGUCUAGGAACAUAGAUAACAUUGUAUCCACACACAAAAUUUUCAGCCAACAAUAUGUAAUUCCGUGGAUGGGAUGGGAUUGAAUAUUGCACACACAAUUUUUUGUGGAGCGAGAAAAUUGUGAAUAAAAUCAUAAUUUUGAUAUAUUUAUAAAUUGAGGGAACAAUCUCAAAUGUGCCCUUUGAUUUUUUAUUUUUUUUUCACAAAAGACAGAAAUAUCCUUUUUAGGCAAUUUAAUGCUAGAUUUUGGAUGAAAAGAGAUUUCAUAAAUAAAUGCUACAAUUUUUUAAUGAAGUCUUCCAAUCUUCAUCAAAAGAAUCUUCAAGUUUUUAACUUCUUUAAGAAAUUUUUCAAUAUUUUUUAACUCUUAAAAAAAAUUUAAACUUUUUAGGAUUUUUUAAGAACUCUUGGACAAUAAAGAAACAAAUUAUUUAGACACUUUCAACUCGUGAGGCAAAAUUUGUUUAACAUCAUGUGUAUGUCAUGCAAUUUAGUUCAACAAAUUAUUGAAGGAGCUUAAUUUGCCAUAAAAGGAAUUGAUAGAGAUAUACAUACACAACAAAUGAGUGAUUACAUUAUGAAAAAAAAAUCCAACUUCCAUGAUUGAAGUAAAUACAUUGAUACAAGAAAUAUAUAUAAUAUUUUAUUAGAGAGUAUUAUGAAAAAGGAAGAAUAAUUAAAAUUUAUAAAAUCUUAAAGAUCAAAUUAUAAAUAUUUUUAUCAAAUAUAUUGAUUUUAAAGAUUUUAGAAGGUUAAGAAUGCUAUCCAAAGAUAUAAAUAAGUUUUAGUUUUUAUGCUCGAGUAGUAAAGUCGUAAAAAACUAAUAUAUUUUAUUAUGAGGAAUCUCUAUUCGGCCAAGUUCAAGUAUUUAUAAAUAAGAAAUUAUGUAAUAUUCUAAUGAGAGUGACAAAAUCUAAUAAAUUUUUAAUUCUUUCCGCUUUUUAUCUCCUUUUACAUAAUUAUUUGUAUUCCACUUUCAAUCUCAUCACUUGGGCACAAAUUGGCGCUAACUAGGAGAGAAUUUUUUGUAGGAUGAGCUCUUGGACAUAAGUUCCUGAUGUGUCAGCAUCUUGGAGGUCCAUGCUUUCAAUAUCUGCACUCAUCUUGCCUCACAUAGAAGCCACGAAGGAUAGCCUUUCAAUGCUGCUACUCGUUAAUUCCUGGAGGGCCAACUUAAUUAGAGGGCGAUAGCAGCAAACCCUGACAUUUUCCUUGAAAGGACAAUAAUUGCAUCUGAUUAUAAGUAUACCUUGAAUCCAUCCUGACAUUUUCCUCGUGAAGUAAUCCUUUUUAAGGGUAUGUUUGGCUUAGGAAAAUACUAAAAAAAAAAAAUUAAUUUCUUUUUUAUAUUUAAUUUUAUCAUAAAAAAUUUGAAAUAGCGUAAAAUAUAUUUAAAAUUAUUAAAAAUUUUGUACAUUUUUUAAAUUGUUUCAUCUUUAUAUAAAAAAAAGUUAAAUACAUACAAAAAAAAGAGGUAGUAUAUAAAAAUAAUUCAUUAAUUUAAUUUUUUUUUCUUUCCUUAUACCUUUCCUCUCUAUUUUCUUUUCCUUGUAUUUUUUUUUUUUUUACUUUUUGAAACCAAACAUAACCUACUAAUUUGGUGUUUUUUUUACUUAAUCUAAAUAGAACUUAAUUUAACUUAAUUUUAAAUAUAACUUAAUAGUAUUAAGUAUUAAGUUAUUUAUUUUUUAUUAUUUUAUUUCUAUUAAGUACUAAGCAUUAAUAAGGUAAGAGUUGUGUUGAGGUUGUGUUUUGGUUAUUUUAAAAAGUUAUUUUUAGCAUUAAGUAAAAAACUAUGUGGUGUUUGUUUUUUACUUAAUUCUAAAUAGAACUUUAAUACUUAAUAAUAUUAAGUAUUAGAUUCUUUGUUUUUUUUUUAAAUAUUUUAUUGGUAUUAAACAUUAAAAAGUAGAGAAAAACUAAUAUGUUGCUUUUUCCACUUAAAAAAAAAUCAAAUAUUUUGGUUUUUUUAUUCAAAAAAAAGUUUAUAAUAAGUCAAGAAAAAAUAGAAAAAUAAACAACCUAAAGUUUAAAAGUAAAUUGUUUCUAGCAAAAAGUUUUUUUUUUUUAAAAGGCCCUCUAAAUGUUUUUGCUUUUUUAUUGAGUUAAAAUUUUUUUAAAAAUAAACAAUAAGUAAGAAAAAGUUAAAAUAAAUCAUUUAAAGUUUUAAAGCAAAUCACAUUCAACAUUAAAUGAAAAAAAAAACCAAACCCCACGUAAGAUUUAAGAUUCAAAAUGAUUAUAAAUGUGUGACACUAAGCUUAAUGCACGUACACUAAUGUUAUUCAUGGGUUUCCCAUGAUGGGAAGCUUGUAAAAACACUAAAACUCAAGCCUCCAUAUAUUCUACUUUCUCUUUUUAGACAAAAGAGCUUCUGUGGCAGUUUCAAGAUAUGAUCAUGGACUAUGUUGUGAGAAAAUCAUAUGUUUUAGGAUUAUUGUUAAUUUACUAUGAUAGUCCAAAAUGAUCCCAAAACAUAUGGUUUGUUGUAAGACAAGAUGAUUUACGUUUACUAAGUUAAGCUUUUUGAAAGGUUUGUAAUAAUAAAAUAUGACAUCAAAAAUAAAAUAAGGUAUUUAUGUAAAAUAAAGAAAAUAGGUUAAAAAAUUCAUUAAGGCUAUGUUUGGUUUAAACUUGAGGAAAGAUAUGAAGAAAAAAAAAGUGGAAGGAAAAUGAAAAAUAAAUUGAAAGUCAAUAAAUUAUUUUUAUAUGUUUGAAACCAAGGUUUGGUUAAUCUUGAUUUUGAUGAUAACAAAACAAGGUUUAGAACUAAUGAUCAUAUUUCAAGUGUGAUUAGGCAAGACGAUUUCCAAAGUGGCAAUUACAAAGACAAAUCAAGCCAAGGAGAAAUCAUGAAGAAGAAGACCACCUCAAAGAGAAGAGUUUUUCAAGACUAAAGCUUCAUAAGAUCUCUUUGUAAGGUUGUUGGUGCACUAGGACUUUCAUGCAUUUCAUUCUUUAUUUAUGCACCAAAAUCAUCCAAGAGUAAUAUUGUUUUAAAUAUCUUAAGAAUUAGAUGAUUUCAUGUUUUCAACUAAAACCUUGUGUUAAAUGAUUUUCAAACUUGUGUUAAAAGGUUUUAAGUUGAAAAAGGUUGGGUGUUGAGCCAAAAAAUGGCUCAACCGGUUCAAUCGGUCGACCGAUUGAGGGAGGCCAAAAAGUUUCUCUCUCUCCCAGUGGCCUUCUCUUCCUGAUCAAGGUUGAACCUCAACCGGUUGAGGUCAAGUCGAGGUCCGGUUGAGGCCCAACGGUCACUUGCCAAGCAUUAAAUGCUAACGGCUAGUCAACCGGUCGACCCCUAGCUUGACCAGUCGAACCCCCAACGGCUAGUUUGGCUUUUUUCUUCUAUAAAAAGGCUACAAUCUUCAUUGUUUCAUGAGCUUAACCUUCCCAAAUCUUUUUUGAUUAUAUUUAAGCCUUGGAAGAGUAUUUUUUAGUAACCAUUGUUUCAUAACUUGCAUAUCUUUAGUACACCAUUCAAUCCUAGUUUUUCUUGUAUCUUUGAGCCUAAAGUUCUAUUACUAGGAUUUUUGUGAGAUCAUUAUUUGUAUAUCUUUGUGAGGAAUUUUCUCAAGUGAGGGGUAUCACUUGAGAGGUUGUUCAAGAGAGGGAUAUCUCUUGAAGAAGAGUAAAGGGUGCUUGGAGCCAAAAGUCCAAGAGGGUGAAUUGGAACCAUAAUCCAAUUGUAAAGAGAUUGGAAGCUUGGUUGAAGCUUCAAGAUAGUGGAACCCUCACUCGGUUAGGAGGUUGAGGAGAGUGGACGUAGGCAAAGAAGUGCCGAACCACUAUAAACUCUCUUGUUUGCACUCUCUCUUCCCUAACUCUUUUAAAUUAUAUGCAAUUGUCUUUAUUUUGUUUAUUAUAUACUUACAUAUAAUUGUCUCUUAUUUUUUCAUAGUUUAAAUUUGUGAAAAAGAGACCAUCACCCUAUUUACCCCCCCCCCCCCCCCCCCCCCCCCNGGGGGACCCCCCAACUUGGGUUAACCCCNNNNNNNNNNNNNNNNNNNNNNNNNNNNNNNNNNNNNNNNNNNNNNNNNNNNNNNNNNNNNNNNNNNNNNNNNNNNNNNNNNNNNNNNNNNNNNNNNNNNUUUUUAAAAUAAAAAAAAAUUUUUUUUUUUUUUUUUUUUAAAAAUUAAAAAAAAAUUUUUUUUUUUUUUUCAUAGUUUAAAUUUGUGAAAAAGAGACCAUCACCCUAUUUACCCCCCCCCCCCCCCCCCCCCUCUAGGGUGACUACCAUAGUUUGGAUUAGCCUCAAAUUCCUAACAAUAUGUUUAUUUAAAUUCAUUUCAUUUAUUCUCCUUCAUUAUAUAAAGAUUAAAUAAUUUUAAAAUGCAUAAAUUUUUAAUUAAUUUUAAUCAUAUUUGAUUUUUUUAUUGUAUUUUUCAUAGUGAAACCAAAUAUGAGAAAACCAUUUUUCUUAAUAUUUUUUUUUCUUUUCUUAAUACUUUUUGGAAGCCAAACAUAAUAUAAUUUUUAACUGGUUUAAAUUAUAUUUGAUAUUAAAUAUAUGAUUAUGUAAAUAUUGAAAAUAAAUAAAAUCUAAAUAAUUUUAUAUUUUCCUUUUCCAAGUUUUAAUUUAUUUUAAUAGAGAUUGAAUAUGAUUUUUAAGAUUGUCUUAAUUUUUUAAUUAUGAAAAUAAGAAUUGAAAAAGAAAAAUUGGAUAGCUAAUAUUGGUAGGCAUAUGUAAUUUUGAUAGUGGGGAGAAGAGAAGACGUGAGUGGUGUGAGAAGGUCAUUUUUGCCCAAAUUUUUGUGUUUUCAAAAUCCAAAGCAUUUCCUUACCCACCUUUUUCUCCAUGUUUGAAGUAAACAUGGGAAAAGAGUUCCAAUAAGAAAUUAAUAAAAGAAAAGGAACAUAUCACUAUUACCUUUGUAGAUAUCAGGAUGGAUUCAACAUUUAAGAUACAUUUAUAAUCAAUGGUGGAAAAUGUCAAGAUGAAAAAUAUCCUUUCAUCAAGGCAAGAUGGAAAAUAUAAUUUGAUAAGUAUUACAUUUACAGUACUGAAUGAAUGGAUGAAAAAAUAUCAUCAAUCAAUCAAGUGGUGUCAAAGUAUAUAUAGAAAAGGACCAUACCACUAUUUCAUCUGUGUAUUUGUGUUCCAAGUAAAAGUGGGAAAAAACUUGCAACAAGAAAUUAAUAAAAGGAAAUGACCAUACCACUAUUUCCUUGACAGAUGUCAGGAUAGAUUUAAGAUACAUUUAUACUUAAUGGUGGAAAAUGUCAAGAUGGAAAAUAUCCUUUGAUCAAGGUAAGAUUGAAUAAAUUGUUUGGUAAGGGCUAGAUUUACAGUACUCAAAUAUGUUUUUUUCAAUAGGUAUGAGAAAGACAUCAUCAAUUAACUGGUGUCAAGUAUAUAUUUUUAAGUCUCAUUAUUGUAGCUCAAUCUCAUUUGUUUGUACUUGAUACGUUCCCAAUUAGUGUCUCAGCUGAUUCAUGUCCUCUCAAUGGUCCCUGACAGUGGUGCCAUUUGAUUCGUGUCCAGCUAGUGUCUCUUGAUUUUGGUCCUCAGGAAGUAAUCAACAAAAUUUUUAACCUAUUACACCAUGUACUAGGAUAGCCUUAGCUAGCAUAGCAUAGUGGCUCUAAGGUCGUUCACUGGGAUGGGUUUUCACUCCAUAAUUGAUAUUAAUUCAAAGCUGAAUUGGUGCCUUUUCAUUUCAAGGUUAGCUUUAAAAGGAAACAUAAAGAUGUUUGAAUGGAAAAGGUUGGUUUUAAGCUAACCAAAAAUAGUAACUGAUUUUAAUUACAAAGAAAAGUGUUUCUUGGAGUUUCAGAUCAUUAGGCUCAGAUUCCUCAUACAAAAAGGGAGUUCUGGUCACUUGUUUCUUUUCCUCGCAUUAGAGAAUUAACAUAUAGUUAAUUCUCUAACCAGUGUGGUACAGAUGCUUCCCCUUAAUGGGUUCAAACACUAAUUCCCUCUCACUGAUGCACCUUACAAUGGCUCAUGCCUCUCACCUAGCAUUUGCCAUUCAAGGUGAUCUUUAACCUUGGAUUACCCGUCAAAAGCUCGUAAGAGAUAACUAAUGGAUGUCUCCUUAGAGUCCAAAAGCUUACCAAGUGUUGGCUAUUCUAGAAAAUCCUACCUUCAAACCACCUCCCAAAGGCUCGCAAGAGAUAAAAUAGUGCAUCUCAAUGGACGGAGACCACUUGCCUUAUCAAGUGUUGGCCUAGGUGAUUUAAAGGCGUUUUAAGUUAACUAAAAAGAUAAAAACCAUUAACGGGUCACACUUUCUCUUCAUUAAAAACUAAAACAACAAAACUUCCAAUUUAUGCAUGUGGAAACUUACCCGGCUUUCUUCACUCCAAGAGACGAAGAGCCUAGCUUCUCAUCCUCUGAGGAAAAAUCCUCAGAGUUUGAUUGGCUAGAAAGAAAAAUAACGAGAAAACAAAAAUAUGAAGGAAAAACAGAGCAAGUGCUCUGUAAAAUAUAUUUCUUACUUAUGCAAAAGGUUGUCUCUGAGAACAAGCUCCCGAGAGUAUUUUUUUUUUGUAAAGAAAAUUACAACUAUAUAUAAGAGGUUAUUCACCCUUUAUUCUUGCUUAAAGACUAAGGAAUCCUAUGAUAGGUGGGUUACAAGGAGAGUUUGGGGAUUUAGACAUCAAAUAUCUAAAGCAAAAAAUCUCAAAAUGUCGGUCGCAAAUAUCGGGAAGCUUCAGGAGAACAUCGCGGCACUGUGCAAAAUGGCUGCGAAAUUUUCGCAGCAAAAGGACAACAUUUUCGCAGCCAAAGGCUGAUUUCGCAGCCGUGCAACAUUCUAUCUUCAGCUUGAAGUGAUCUACUUGCAAUGGCUGUAACUCCUUUAUUUCAACUCCGAAUCGUGCACCAUUUGAAGCAUUGGAUUGUUGACUUCCUGAGCUUCGAAAUGACAUAUAGCAUGCAUAAAUUGGACUUCAGGAAGUGCUCCAAAAGUGGCUGAAAUGACUGUCAUCAAGAAUGCUUCAUGUUAGAUUUCUCUUUGCUUCCCCUCCUUGCAUUCCAGAUUUGCUUAUGGAAAAGGACUUUAAAGCUUCAGUUCUUCAUGUUUCUGAGCUUUCCAUUUGCUUUGCCAUGGAUUCCAAAGAACUCUCCUCAAUCUCGGAUUGCUUUGGUGAUCAAUUUACUAACAAAAACACCAAAACUUACACACUUUGAUUAGAAAUGAUUGCAAAGGUCCUUAAUAUGUUAAUUGGGUUAAAAGAUGAUAACUACUACUCAAAAGUGUUUAAAAGAGUUAAUUACAAGCUAUCAAAUAGCACUUUUUGAGUAGUAAUCACUCCCCCCAACCGACAUAUUGCUAGUCCCUUAGCAAUGAAGGAGAGAACAAUAAAAAUAAACAAUACUAUAAUUUACAACAUCAUGCUGAUCAAAAAAACAAUUUUCAAGUGGCAUGAUGAUCUAACUCUCACAUGGAACAUUAAAGAAAUAAAACUCAAACUUCAACAAGAGUUAUCAAACAACUUGUCUAAUCACAAUUCUUAAAGAGAAGGCAUUAUGCAAAUUUAAGCUUUAAAAGAGUUUCCACUCCCAAAGGGUCAAACCUUAUUCUUCCACAAAAAUCUAAGUGUUAUUUAUUAGUUUCCGAAUAUAGUAUGUUGAACUAAUCUCUCCCCCCAACCUAGUUCUUUUUCAAAGCUUAGUAAGCUUAUCAACCUCCAAUAGGCUAAGAACGCACCUCUUUUCUCACAAUUUUUUUUUUUUUUUCAUUGUAGGAGUACAAGGCUUAAAGGUAUUAUUUUCUAAAUUGUCCAUGUAAUGAGGGUCCAUUGAUGACUCCCAACCAAUUAAGGUUUAGGGCAUCAAGCUUUAAGGAUCUUUCAACCACUAACUCCUCGGAUUUUACCCCGGACUUUUGAGAAUGAAUUUUAAUACCCAAGCACCUACAGUAUGUUAAACUCCACCUAUCCACCCUUGUAACGAGCAUUGAGGUCGGUGACUCCCAACCAAUGAAGGCUUAGGGCACCAGGUUUUAAAGAUUUUCACCAUAUACCCCUCACACCUUGCUCGGGUUUCAAGGCAAGCAAACAUUUUUCUUUUUCUUUUUUUUCAAAGGCUCAUUGGCCUUUUAUAAGGUGUCCCAACACUAUUAAAUGAGGUCAAAGGUACCAAGUCUAAAAUUUUCCUAAGUCAAGAGGGAAAUAGUUUUUCAUCUUAUACUCGGAACCUAUUGUGCACAGUGUGUGAAUAGCUUAAAGUGGAAGAACUAAGGUUGAAUUCAAUAGAGGUUUCAACAAUUCAUCAACUUUAGUAAGUAUAAUACAAACUCUAAGUCAAGUAAAAAGACAAAAAUUCAAUUUCUCUCUAUUUCAUUUUGAAGAAUUUUCCUUAAUAACCAUGGAAAGUAGAUUAAAAAAUUUAAAAAUCAAGCAAAAAGUAACUAAAUUACCAAAAUAACUUAGCAUUAAUAACAAUACUUACUUCCUCAACUCUCCCCCUAACCAAGCUGAACAUUGUCCUCAAUGUGACAAAAGCGAUUGAAAAAUAGGGAGGAAAUGGUACCUCCUGAGUGACAUGGAGUCUGAGUCGUAUAGGAAAAACCACAUGUUUAAAAAAAAAACAAAAGAGUUAGUGAGUAGAGGAAAUAGAAAAAUGUCAAGUUUAAACAAAAAAUGAUGUUUAUAUAUGAUGUAUCAUCAGUAAUACAUUUGUGGAGCUGAUGCAUCUGUGGUGGCCUCUUGAGUGGGUUGGAUCAGGACUUUGACCUCUGAAAAAUUUGGUAGUCUCCUUAGGUUCAUAGUGUCCUCAGCUGGAGUUCUCAAUUGAAGCUAUGGGCUUUGAUGGUUUAAGGAGGUAAGAAAUGGAGUGAGAGGCUUCGUGUGUGUGAUCUCAGUGAGAGGGCUCUCCUCUUUAGAUGCAUGGUUGCGGGGCUCUAUUGGCAUUUUUGCAACUUCCCUUGGCUUUGCAAAGUGUUUUUGUAAACCUCACUUCAUUUCACAAGUCAAUUUCGAAGCCUGGAGGUCAUUUUGUAUUUUGGAGAUCAUUUUGCAGCCAAAGGGAAAAAAGAAAAACAUUUUUGCAGCCCAUUUCGAAGUUUGGAAAUCAUUGGACAACCAUUUUGAAGUUUGGAAAAUCAUUUCGCAAUCAAAAGGCCAUUUUCACAGCAAAUGGAGGAUUUCGCAGGGGGUAGCUAUGGGGCUGCGAAAUCAUUUCACAGCCAAAGGGGAGUUUUAGUAGCCCACUUUGAAGCCUGGAGCAUUUUCGUAGCCAUUUUGAAGCUUGAAGAUCAUUUUGUAGCCAUUUCGAAGUUUAGAAAUCAUUUGGCAACAAAAUGGGAAUUUCGCAGCCCAUUUUUUAAGCUUGGAGCUCAUUUCACAGGGGGUAGCUAUGGGGUUGCGAAAACAUUUCGCAGCCAAAUGGGAAUUUCGCAGCCCAUUUUGAUGUCUGGAGCAUUAUCGUAGCCAUUUUGAAGCUUGGAGCAUUUUCGCAGCGGGGGGUGGAUUUCGCGGAGGAGGGGAAUUUUCGCAGCCCAUUUCGCAGCUGUGAAAUGGGUGGACGGCGCUGCGAAGUGGCACUCGUGUGCCAAAGGGUGGUUUCGCAGCUGCGAAACACCCUUCGAAAUGGGGUCGCGGCUGCGAAAUCCCUGCGGGUGCUUUGCGCGUUCGUCUUCAAACGACCAUAACUUCUUCAUUCCAAAUCCAAAUUGCUCACCGUUUAAAGCAUUGGACUCUUGACUUCCUGAGAUUCGAAACAAAAUAUGAUAUGCAUUAUUUGAGCUCCAGGAAGUGCUUCAAAAAUGUGUCCAACAGUAGCGAAAUGGGGGUGCGGCUGCGACAUUUCAGCUCAUUGUUUGCACACUCGUCUUCAAACGGCCAUAACUUCUUCGUUUCACCUCCAAAUCACGUACCGUUUGAAGCACUGGACUCCUGACUUCCCAAUAUUUGAAACUACAUAUGGUAUGCAUGAAAUGUACUUCAGGAAGUACUUCGAAAUGUGUCCAACAGGGGUGCAGCUGCAACAUUUCAGUUCAUGGUGUGCGCACUCAUCUUCAAACAGCUAUAACUUCUUCGUUUCAACUCCAAAUCGAGUACCGUUUGAAUCUUUGGACUCCUGGAUUCCUAAGAUUCAAAACGAGAUAUAGUAUGCAUAAUUUGAGUUCUAGGAAGUGCUUCAAAAAUGUGUCAAACAGUAGCAAAAUGCAACAUUUCCUUUCAUGGUGUGCACAGUCAUCUUCAAACGGCCAUAACUUCUUUGUUUCAACUCCAAAUAGAGCACCGUUUGAAGAUUUGGACUCCUGGCUUCCCAAGCUUUGAAAUGACAUAUGGUAUGCAUAAAAUAAACUUCAGGAAGUGAUCGAAAUAUGUCCAACAGUUGCCGAAAUGGGGGUACGGCUUCAUGGUGUGCACGCUGAAGGAUUUUAAGGCAUGGAGGAUUUCGCAACCAUUUCGCAGCUGCGAAAUGAGUGUACAGGGCUUUGAAAUGGUACUCGUGGGCCAAAGGGUGGUUUCGCAGCUACGAAACACCCUUCGAAAUGGCUCAUCGAUUGCGAAAUGGAGGAUCUCGAGGCGUGAAAAAUUCGCAGCCAUUUCGUAGCUGCGAAACGGGUGUACGGGGCUGCGAAAUGGCACUCGUGUGCCAAGGGGCCUCUUCGCAGUUGCGAAAAGUUUCGCAGAGGGUGCUAAGAGGCUGUGAAACCAUUUCGCAACGGGAAGCGAUUUUCGCAACGGGCCACUUUCGGCUGUGAAAUUUCGCAGGCCAUGCUCUCUCCUUGCUUUUUAAGCUCCUCUUGAUUCCCAACUUCCUUCUUUCACUUUUUUUUUACAUUCCUCUUGAUUUUAAUCAUCCAAAAACCUAUAUUACAUCAAAACAAAUUAAAAUUAAAGCAUUGAAAUCAAAAUUAAAGCAUUGAAAUCAAAAUUAAAACAUUGAAAUCAAAAUUAAAACAAGUAAUAAGUAAAACAAAAAGGUAUGGACUAGCUAGUCUUUAAAAAGACUAAGUCCAUCAAAAAAAUUUGAUCCUGAUUUAGCUUGCCCGGAUCCCAUAUGAAGUUUGCAUCCCUCACUUGAGACUUGCUUUGUAUGAUUUUUCCAUACAAAGCUUGGGGGAAAAGUGGAGACAUGUGCUUCAUCAUUUCUUCCUUGAUGACUAUCCUCUGUGGAUCUUCAUUUACAUUAACAUCAUAGCCAUCUUUCUCUAUACUUUUCCCAUUUUUCUUUCCUUUGAUUUCCUCCCUCUUUUCUUUCUCUGCUUCACUCUCUACCUUAUGCUCUAGCUUGCAUGUGGGCGGAUCAAUCUCUUUACUACUCCUCAAAGUGAUAACCGUUUUAACUUCCUUCACCAUUGAAGAUUCUCCCUUUUGAGCCUCCACUUCAUGGAUACCCUUGAAAUUUUGAUAAGGUUGAGAAGGAAAGUUUCCUUUUUCUUGCAUUGUGUUGAGGUUGGCAAACCUUGAGAUUGAAUAUUGGAGAUUAUCUAUCUUCUGAGAUAGAUCAUGUUGCACUUCAUCCAUCUUUUUGUUCAAUGAACUCUCUACACUGUCAAUUCUUUGAUUGAGCUGAGCAUUGAUGGAUUUUUGAGCUCCAACAAAGUCUCCCACGACCUUGCUAAGAUUCACCAUAGCUUGUUCAAGGUUCGAGGCUUGCGGAAGUGCUUGAACAUUUUGCUUGUACUGAGGUGGCUGUGGUUUCCAAGAGAAAUUUGGAUGGUUCCUCCAAAUGGAAUUGUAGGUGUUGCAAUUACCAAACAUUUCCCUCACCACUAGAAUGGUAGGACACUCUUCCACCAAGUGCUCAAAAGAUCGACAAAUGGAAUAGGGCAUAGGUUGCAAUGGUGUCUAAGAGAUGGCUUGCACUUCUUGCAUCUUCUUCAUUUCUAUCUCUUCCAAUCUCCUUGCCAUAGCUGCAAUCUUUGCCUUCAUGUCUAUGUCUUCAUUCAAAAUAUACAUCUCACCCUUAGCAUUAGGUUGAGACUUCAUUCUUCCCAUAUCUCUAGCAUUUGGUCCAUCCCAUUCUCUUGAAACUUCAGCCACAUAACUCAUGAAGUUCAUGGCUUCCUCUGCUUUCUCGUAUUCAAUAUGGAAUGCACAACUAGCAAUUUGUGAAUUAAAAACAGAGAAAACAAAAGAAAACAAAAGAAAAACAAUUCUAAGAAAAAAAGUUAAGGUAAACUAAAAACUAAAUAAAAGGUAUACUAAAAUAUGAGCAAAGAAAAAGAAACAAAUAAAAAGAGUUAGUAAAAAGAAAAGAAAAGUCACCAAACUUGUGAUGAAGAUCACAAGUACUCUAGAAAGGUGAUAUCACUGUAAAGUGGCACCAUCCCCGGCAACGGCGCCAUUUGAUACGUUCCCAAUUGGUGUCUCAGCUGAUUCAUGUCCUCUCAAUGGUCCCUGACAGUGGUGCCAUUUGAUUCGUGUCUAGCUGGUGUCCCUUGAUUUUGGUCCUCAGGGAGUAAUCAACAAAAUUUAUAACCUAUUACACCAUGUACUAGGAUAGCCUUAGCUAGCAUAGCAUAGUGGCUCUAGGGUCGUUCACUGGGAUGGGUUUUCACUCCACAAUUGAUAUUAAUUCAAAGCUGAAUUGGUGUCUUUGCAUUUCAAGGUUAGCUUUAAAAGAAAACAUAAAGAUGUUUGAAUGGAAAAGGUUGGUUUUAAGCUAACCAAAAAUAGUAACUGAUUUUAAUUACAAAGAAAAGUGUUUCUUGGAGUUUCAAAUCAUUAGGCUCAGAUUCCUCAUACAAAAAGGGAGUUCCGGUCACUUGUUUCUUUUCCUCGCAUUAGAGAAUUAACAUAUAGUUAAUUCUCUAACCGGUGUGGUACAGAUGCUUCCCCUUAAUGGGUUCAAACACUAAUUCCCUCUCACUGAUGCACUUUGCAAUGGCUCAUGCCUCUCACCUAGCAUUUGCCAUUCAAGGUGAUCUUUAACCUUGGAUUACCCGUCAAAAGCUCGCAAGAGAUAACUAAUGGAUGUCUCCUUAGAGUCCAAAAGCUUACCAAGUGUUGGCUAUUCUAGAAAAUCCUACCUUCAAACCACCUCCUAAAGGCUCGCAAGAGAUAAAAUAGUGCAUCUCAAUGGACGGAGACCACUUGCCUUAUCAAGUGUUGGCCCAGGUGAUUUAAAGGCGUUUUAAGUUAACUAAAAAGAUAAAAACCAUUAACGGGUCACACUUUCUCUUCAUUAAAAACUAAAACAACAAAACUUCCAAUUUAUGCAUGUGGAAACUUACCUGGCUUUCUUCACUCCAAGAGGCGAAGAGCCUAGCUUCUCAUCCUCUGAGGAAAAAUCCUCAGAGUUUGAUUGGCUAGAAAGAAAAAUAACGAGAAAACAAAAAUAUGAAGGAAAAACAGAGCAAGUGCUCUGUAAAAUAUAUUUCUUACUUAUGCAAAAGGUUGUCUCUGAGAACAAGCUCCCGAGAGUAUUUUUUUUUUGUAAAGAAAAUUACAACUAUAUAUAAGAGGUUAUUCACCCUUUGUUCUUGCUUAAAGACUAAGGAAUCCUAUGAUAGGUGGGUUACAAGGAGAAUUUGGGGAUUUAGACAUCAAAUAUCUAAAGCAAAAAAUCUCAAAAUGUCGGUCGCAAAUAUCGGGAAGCUUCAGGAGAACAUCGCGGCACUGUGCAAAAUGGCUGCGAAAUUUUCGCAGCAAAAGGACAACAUUUUCACAACCAAAGGCUGAUUUCGCAGCCGUGCAACAUUCUGCCUUUAGCUUGGAGUGAUCUGCUUGCAAUGGCUGUAACUCCUUUAUUUCAACUCCAAAUCGUGCAGAGUUUGAAGCAUUGAUUGUUGACUUCCUGAGCUUCGAAACGACAUAUAGCAUACACAAAUUGGACUUCAGGAAGUGCUCCAAAAGUGGCUGAAAUGACUGUCAUCAAGAAUGCUUCAUGUUAGAUUUCUCUUUGCUUCCCCUCCUUGCAUUCCAGAUUUGCUUAUGGCAAAGGACUUUAAAGCUUCGGUUCUUCAUGUUUCUGAGCUUUCCAUUUGCUUUGCCAUGGAUUCCAAAGAACUCUCCUCAAUCUCGGAUUGCUUUGGUGAUCAAUUUACUAACAAAAACAUCCAAACUUACACACUUUGAUUAGAAAUGAUUGCAAAGGUCCUUAAUAUGUUAAUUGGGUUAAAAGGUGAUAACUACUACUCAAAAGUGUUUAAAAGAGUUAAUUACAAGCUAUCAAAUAGCACUUUUUGAGUAGUAAUCAAUACUCUUAUACCUUAAUAUCAUUAAUAUGUAUCCUCAUUGUAAGUAAAAAAAAAAGGUAUUUUACUUUAGUUUUAUUUAUUUGUAUUUCAAAAUCUAAAAGAUUUCCUUAGGUUUAUAUAAGCCCUUACAAUGAGGUAUUAAUAAAAGAAAAGGAUCAUACCACUUUUUCCUUGAUGGAGGUCAGGAUAGAUUCAAGAUACAUUUAUAAUCAAACGAAAUUAUUGUGUGUUCAUGGAAAAUAUCAUGGUGGAAAAUGUCCUUUGAUCAAGGUGACCCUCUCGUAAUUGACAUCGGAUUCAAUUGUUGUCCGUCAAUGGAAAUUGAAUUCCCAACCAUAUAAAAUUAAAUUAAUAUAAAUAGUCCCUUUUUUUGUUUCAAUUAUUUAUAUUAUGUCAAAUAUUUCUAAUUUUCUUGUACAAAAUAAAUAAAUUAUUUUAUUCUCUAAUUAUAGAUUCAACCAUAUAAUUGAUAUCAUUCAUUCAAUUGAUACAUAAAUCGUUCGUCCAAAUUUAAACAUAAUGUAAAUGCAUACACACAAUUAAGCGGUGCAAUAUUGUUCCUAGGUUUUCACUAAAGAAUACACAUCUAUACCAAAAUACACUUCUCAUUUGGAGUGUUCAUGGGGUAAGUUUUUGUAUUUUAUAUUAGAGAUCUCACUCAUUUCAUAAUUCGCCCUCUUUUGGUCCUUUCAUUUCUUAUUUUCUUUUCUUUUCAUUUUUUUGCCCUCAUUCUCAUUUCCAUUUCAUAUAACAAGUUCUUUACUUUUCUUUCUAUACAACCAUGAAUGCAAAAUGAAUCCAAUAUAAUAUUAUUGUGUAAUCCAAACUCAAAUUAUAAUACCAAAUAAUAUAAAACAAUUAUUUUAAACCUAUAACAAUACUAAAAAAAUUUUACUAAUAAUUUCCCUUAUUUUUAACAUUGAUAUAUUACUAACGAGAAAUUACCUUGAUCUCAUUGGUUUGUGUUUUAGAACGUAAAAGAAAUCCUCGGGUUUAUCCAAGUUCUUACAAUAAGGAAUUAAUAAAAGUAAAGGACCAUGCCACUUUUUCCUCCAUGUUCCAAGUAAAUAUGGGAAAAGACUUAUAACAAGAAAUUAAUACAUGUUCCAAGUAAAUGUGGGAAAAGAUUUGUAACAAAAAAUUAAUAAAUGUUCCAAGUAAAUGUGGGAAAAGACUUACAACAAAAAAUUAAUAAGAGAAAAGGACGAUUGGAAAAGACUUACAACAAGAAAUUAAUAGGAGAAAAUGACCAUACCACUAUUCCAUCUGUGUAUUUGUGUUCCAAGUAAAAGUGGGAAAAAACUUAGAACAAGAAAUUAAUAAAAGGAAAGGACCAUACCACUAUUUCCUUGACAUAUGUCAGGAUGGCUUUAAGAUACAUUUAUAAUUAAUGGUGGAAAAUGUCAAGAUGCAAAAUAUCCUUUGAUCAAGGUAAGAUUGAAUAAAUCGUUUGGUAAGGGCUAGAUUUACAAUACUCAAAUAUGUUUUUUUCAAUAGGUAUGAGAAAGACAUCAUCAAUUACCUGAUGUCAAGUAUAUAUUUUUAAGUCUCAUUAUUGUACCCUAAUCUCAUUUGUUUGUACUCUUAUUCCUUAAUAUCAUUAAUAUGUAUCCUCAUAAGGUAUUUUACUUUAGUUUUAUUUAUUUGUAUUUCAAAAUCUAAAAGAUUUCCUUAGGUUUAUCUAAGCCCUUACAAUGAGGAAUUAAUAAAAGAAAAUGAUCAUACCAUUUUUUCCUUGAUGGAGGUUAGGAUAGAUUCAAGAUACAUUUAUAAUCAAACACAAUUAUUGUGUGUUGAUGGAAAAUAUCAUGACGUGGAAAGUGUCCUUUGAUCAAGGUGACCCUCUUGUAAUUGAUAUCGGAUUCAAUUGUUGUCCGUCAAUGGAAAUUGAAUUCCCAACCAUAUAAAAUUAAAUUAAUAUAAAUGGUCCCUUUUUUUGUUUCAAUUAUUUAUAUUAUAUCAAAUAUUUCUAAUUUUCUUGCACAAAAUAAAUAAAUUAUUUUAUUCUCUAAUUAUAGAUUCAAACAUAUAAUCGAUGUCAUUCAAUCAAUUGAUACAUAAAUCCUUCUUCCAAAUUUAAACAUAAUGUAAAUGCGUACACACAAUUAAGCGGUGCAAUAUUGUUCCUAGAUUUUCGUCGAAGGAUACACAUCUAUACCAAUACACUCCCCAUUCUGAGUGCUCUUGGGUUUUGUAUUUUACAUAAGACAUUUUACUCCCUUGUUAAUUCGUCCUCUUUGGUCUUUUCAUUUCCUUUUUAUUUUUUUCCCUCAUUCUCAUUUCCAUUUCAUAUAACAAGUUCUUCACUUUUCUUUCUCUAGAACCAUGGAUGUAAAAUGAAUGCGAUAUAAUAUUGUUGUGCAAUCCUAACUCAAAUGAUAAUAUCGACUAAUAUAAAAUAAUUAUUUUAAACCUAUAACAAUACUCAAAAUUUUUGAUAAAUUAUUUCCAUUAUUUUCAACAUUGAUAUAUUACUAAUAAAUUUUAAUUUUAUCUUCCUAACACAAUCCAAAUAAUUAUAACACUUCACACAAAUAUUUAUCUUUUAUUCACAUGAAUUGAAUUUUUCUCCAACAUAAUUUCCCCUAAAAAUCAAUAAAAAAUUCAUAUCAUCAUUAAAAAAAUAAAAUAACUACAUAACUAGAAUCACUUGCAAAAAAAUAUUAUAUUAAAAGUUAGUUUGAUAGUGAUUUUAAAAAAUGUUUCUAACAUUUUUAAUACUUAAAUUUUUUUAUUAAAAUAAUUAUGUUGAAAUAUUAAAAAGAUUAAAAAUGUUUGCAAAAAUCACUAUUAAACAAGCUAAAAGAAUCUGUUCUACAAUGAUUUUAGGAAUCCCUUUUAGUCAUCCCAACAUUUGAAAUUUUUUAGCAUAAUAGUUGUAACCUUUCUAUCCUUCCAUUUGGUAGGAAGCAUUGGUAGUGAUUAUUAAUAUUAAGGUCGAAUGGGAAGGUGCUGCUCAUGAUGCGCGGGUCUUUUUAGAGGCAUUAAGAAGGCCAGAAUUGGGUUUUCCUCCUCCACCUAGAGGUUUGUGAAUAACAAUAUCAACCUUGUUUAUGUGAUCGAAUAUUUAUUAUCUAAUAUAUAUUUUUGUUUUUGUUUUGUUGGUAAAUAUUAUUUGGUCGAUGUUGGUUAUCCUCAAAUGAGUGGAUAUUUAGGCCCUUAUAAAGGCGAGUGUUACUAUCUUCUAGAUUUUCGAUGAGCACCUUGAGGUAAAAAGGAAAUAUUUAAUCAUAGGCAUUCAUCAUUGAGGUGCACAAUUGAAAGAACGUUUGUCAUUUUGAAGAAUAGAUGGAGAAUGCUACGGGAAAUGCAUAGUUUUUCUCUUGAAAAACAAGUAAAGAUUGUUAUUGUUUCCAUGACUCUUAAUAACUUUAUAAGGAUUAAUGCUAGAAUGGAUAUGGAAUUUAAACCUUAUGAUAAUGAUCAAGGGUUGCUUCCACUUAAUGAAGAAGAGAGUCGAAUGGAUUCACUUGUUGAGGAAGAUGAUUCACAUCAUGCAAGAGAGAUGGAAGAAGAAUGUGAUCGAAUUGCAAAUCUUCUUAUAUCUCAUUGAUGUUUGAUUAUGACUCUAAUAUAUAAUAAUAUAAUUUUCCCUCUAUGAAAACAUUUGUCUUCCAAUUUACUUUUAAUUAGAAAAGUUUUUUUUUUUGAGAAAUUAAUAGGUAAUCAUAUAUUGUUUUACUUUGAAAAUUAUCUUUUAUUCAAUGUUCUUUUUUAUUGAUUUAGAUGUUUUUUGUAAAUAUUUUUUAAAAAUUUAUUAUCGUGAUAAAAAAUUAUUAAUUUUAAACUAAUAUAUAAUCAAAUAAUUUGUUAUAUUAUGAUUGAUAUUUAUUUAUUAAUCCGAUUCUUUUUGUAAACAUUUUUCAAAAUUUUAUUUAAUCAUAAAAAAAAUAUUUUUAGAUUUUUUUAACAAUAUAAAUGUAUAUAUAUUCUUUUAAGAUAGAUGUUUAUAUAUUUUGUUGUAAUGUAAAGUUUUUUGUUUAUCAUACUAUUUUCUUUUUGUAAUUAAAAUUAUGUCCUUUUUGGGAAUUUAUUAAUAUUAAAAGUGUUUUUAUACUUAUACAACAUAUUAUUAAAAACACUAUUAGAAUCAUUUUUUCUAUUCUUAAGAAUCACUGUCAAUCGAACUCUAUGUUUAUAUAUUCUUUUAAGAUAAAAAAAUACUAAUAGUCAAUGCAUAUUUGCAUACAUGUUGUUCUAAGAAAUUCACUGAGUUAAAAGGGGCUCAUAUAUUAUAACUUAGACUCGCAAGUAGUAAAUCGAUUUUACAACCACUCUGCUCUGGCUUUGCUGCAAGAAAUUUCAGAAAAUGUGGCUGUUUUUGCAGGCAUUUGAUGAUAAAAUUUUGAGAAAUAUUUCAAAACAAUGCAUCUCCUUGGUUUAUGGCAACUCUUUCUCUUUAUCCCAAUAGGGGCCAUCCUCAAAUUUCCUGUCAAAUUCAGUUUAUUACAGACUAAAAAAUCACCCAGAUUCUAAAGGCUUCGAAAAAGGCAGCUGCAGCUGCAAGGGAAUUUCAUAUGUAUUUGAGUUAGGUGGGUAUGUGGGUCCGUUGAGUGGAUGAUGAAAUAUCAUCUCACUUAUAUAGGGAUGGCAACGGGGCGGGUUCGGGGCGGGGCGCCCCCCUCCCAACCCCGCCCCGUUUAUUUAAAGCAAUUCUCAUCCCCGUCCCAUUUAAAAAAUUAAACGGGGCGGGACGGGUAUGCUACAUUCCCAUACCCGCCCCGUUUAACUUUUUAUUUAAUUUUAAUUUUUUUUUAAUUAAUUUUAAAUUUUUUAAUUAUAUUAAAAUAAAUAUAUUUUAUAAAUAAUUAAAUUAUUAUAUUUUUUAUAACUUAUUUUAUUAAAAAUAAUUUAUUAUUAUCUAUAUAUUAAAAAUAAUAAAAUAAAAAUUAAAUUAAAAUAAUUUUAAAUUUUAAAUUAAAUUUAAUUUUAAUUUUAAUUUUAUAUAUAAUCGGGGCGGAACGGGGAAGAGCAAUACCCGAACCUGCCCCGGGUUUCAAAAAAAAUCCCAAACCCGUCCCAUACCCGUUUAGGAAAAUAAUAUCCCACCCCAUUAGGGACGGGGCGAGGCAGGUACCCGAAAUGACCCGCCCCAUUGCCAUCCCUACACUUAUAUGCUUACAUGCGCAAUGUCUUAUCAUUAUUUUAUUUAAUUAAUUCGAAUAAUAUUUUUCUUUUUUCAAGAAAACCCUAAAACUUGAUUAAAAUCAUUAUUUUCGGAAAACAAUUAUAAUAAUUUAUUUAAAACAGUAUUAUCAACUCUCUUUUUUUCUUUCUAAGAUACCUUCAUCAUCUCGAUGAUAUAUGAAUAUAAUAAAAUAAUAAAUAUUAAUAUUAUAUAAAUCAUUGAAAAUUAUAACUUGUAUAUGAAUUUAUUAUAAAAUUAGAUUAAUAUUAAUUUAUUUAUUACACAAAAUAUAUGGAUAUGAGUUUAUUUAUUAUUUAUAAUUUAUUAAUAUUAAGAAUUACUCAAGGAUAACUUUUUUAUUUAAGAUUUUUUCUUUAUAAGAUAUUAGAAAAUUAUAAUUUACAUAUAAAUUUAUUAUUAAUUUAUUAAUCUUCUUCACAUCAAAUAAAUAUUAAUGUUACAUCAACAAAUAUAAUAUGAUAGUGAGUAUUAAUAUUAUGUACAGAAAUAAAUAUCAUAAUUUUAAAAUAGAGCAUAUAUUUUUUAACUUUUCAAUAUCUAUGAAUAUCGAUUGAGAUAUAUAAAUAUAAAUUUAUUAUUAAUUUAUUCAUAAACUCUUUUAUUCAAUUUUUUUAUUUAUAUUUUAUAUACUUUUCUCUUUUAUUUAAAUUUUUCCAUUAUAUUUUAUAAAAUAUUAAAAAAUUAUUUUAAUUACCCCACAUGCAAUGCACGUGUUUUUAGACUAGUUUUCUAUUUGACACGUGAAUGUUCAGUAACAUCACGGCCGUACACUGACAUAUAAAUGUUCACAAUUCUUUUACUUAGAACAUUCAUUUUAGAUGAUGUUGAGGACAGCCAAGGGCAGUAGACUAACAUCUUCUGAACCAAUUAACAUACCAGCAGUGAUUAGGCCAAGGUGGUGAUCCAAUUCCAUGGAAUAGCAACAAGAAAGGAGGAACGUUGGAGAGAAAGAAGGCGGUCAACCAAGCAGGAACAGUGGCCAAAGCAGCCCCGAGCCUAGGGAGCAUAGGAUUGACAUUGUUGAAAUCAGUCCUAGGGUGAAAAAUUGGAUUGAGGCUUUCAAAAAUGCAGAAGAAAGGACUCAAUCUCAAACUCAAUGGCCAAGGAUACCGAAGGUUCCUCACAUUUUGAAGGGUACCCAGGAUAUCAAGAAAUUCUACUAACCGAGGGUGAUUUUAUUCUGUCCUUACCACCAUGGCAAGUCCCACCUUCGCCUAGGGGAAAUGAUCAAGCCUCCCUGUGCCCUAAACUUCCUGGCUGAUAGUAACCAGCACAUCGAUGGUACACAAAAAUUGAAAGUAAUAUCGAGGCAGUGAGGAAGGGCUAUGAUUGGAGUAGUACAAACGAGUAUGAUGAUGAGGCACUCGCCUGGAUGAUGCUUCUGGAUGGGUGUUUUUUACUACAAUUCAUCCGCAGCACAGAAGACGGCAGCACAAUCAAUUUGAGUAACGUUCUUAGAUGUCACCAAAUUUAUUUUGUGGGGCUGGACUUGUUCUUGCUGGAGAACCAACUUCCCUUCGGAGUCCUCAAGUUGAUUUUUGAGGAAGCAAAAUUCAAGGGUGGUUCAAUAAUGCAAGAGAAGAUAAAAAAAGUUGCCAGAUGGGUUUGUAGGGACCCCCUCCCCCCUGAUGACACGUGGCACGCACCGUUGUCCGGAUCAACUCUAUCCGUACCCCCCAAGAGGACACGUGGCGCGCACCUCUAUCCGGGUUCCCCAGGGGGGGCAUACGACACUCUCAAAUAUCAUACUCGGGCGAUGCUCUAUCCUAUCCGGACCUUUUGUCCGGAUCAUUGACUGUAACGAGCAAGCCUUGCUAAGUCAUCCCCGACAGCCUACCACAACCCACGUUCCGCCGCCUGUAGAGCGAAAGGACAGGAGCGAUAGCAAGUCACCUCCUACGAUCUCUGACAGCCGCCUGCAGGGUGAUGAUGACCCUGCCACCACCUUGAGGACAUCAUGACAAGCCAAAAAGUCUUCCCACCAUUAAAGAGGGGAGCAGAGCUUCUGACAUUAUAUAAAAGGGUCUUCACACAAGGAAGAAGGUAAGUCUGAGACCCUAAAAAAGCCAAUAGUCUGAUAUCUUAAGCCAUGACUAACAAAACCAUCGGAGGGUGUGUCUGGACAUCCUGUCCGGACAUCUUUUGCAGGAUCGACUGAGCCAGAACUCCUUCUUGGUUGAUAGCACGCGUCCACUUGGCAGCAGCAGGGAUCCUUGGGACACGAGGUAUCAACAUUGGCGCCGUCUGUGGGAACUCUCUGAUUCAGUCGACGGCAAAGAUGUCCACACCUUCCAGAAGCCGCUCGUCGGCUAGGGGAGACGAAGAUUAUUUCGAAUGGCGCGAAGCCAUCGAAAGGAGACAGUUGGAGAGCGAGCGACAAAUGCAGGCUCUCCUCCAGGAAACAGCGAGACUGAGAAAAGAAAACGCUAUGUUACGCAUCCAGGCUUCAUCGACGGGACCUUCUAUUGGUCAGUGCUCAAGAGGCCAAGGAGCAAACUCAAGGCCUGACCUAGAGUUAAUAUACCCUGGGACUGCGGGGGUCAUCCCCGAGACGGGCAAUGUUAGACCACAAGAACGGCACACGCCCAUGCACCAAGCCCCCUAGGAGGAAAGCUUAGACUCUACUCGUCUCUCAUCAAAGAGACAACGCGACAAAAGACCCUAAUUGUCGGACGCGAUGCGCGCGAGGCUAGGCCCACAGGGACCUGGGAAGACAAGGCCGCCAGUAGCCACAACCUGGGGAACGCAACCUGACCCCUUGGUCACACCCAUGGUGCAAAACGUCCUCCCGCACCAAGCGGUACGACAAGUUGGGAGAAACCCCCCAAACGAGCCACCCACUGGCUCCAUCAGCAAAAGGCUAGACGACAUGCUCUCCACACCUUUUUGCCCGCAUAUUAUUCAUUACGACCCCCCGAGGGGAUUUCUCGUGCCUAAAUUUUCCACGUACAAUGGGUCCAGCGACCCCUUCGACCAUAUCAUGCAUUAUCGACAGCUCAUGACUCUCGAUAUAGGAAACGAUGCGCUGCUAUGCAAAGUAUUCCUAGCCAGCCUACAAGGGCAGGCUCUCUCAUGGUUUCAUCGCCUACCCCCCAACUCUGUUGAUAAUUUCAGGGACCUGUCGGAAGCUUUUGUGGGACAAUACUUAUACUCCGCUCGGCAUAAACAGAACAUUAGCACUCUGCAAAACAUAAAAAUGCAAGAGAAUGAGUCUUUAAGAGAGUUCGUGAAGCGGUAUGGUCAGGUCGUCUUACAAGUAGAGGCUUACAGUAUGGAUGCUGUCCUUCAGAUCUUCAAACGAAGCAUUUGUCCAAGUACCCCAUUCUUCGAGUCGCUCGCUAAGAAACCUCCUACGACGAUGGACGACUUGUUCCAACGCACGAGCAAAUACUCAAUGCUGGAGGACGAUGUGCGCGUAGCCACCCAGCAAAUCUUGGUUGCCGGUCAAACAUCCAGAAGUGGUGCGGAAAGAAGUUCCAAACUUCCGGACCGGCCAAGGCUGUCCGACCGAAAGCAGGAAGAACAAAGCCGCCCAGAACGACCGCCCCUCACACCCCUUUCCAUAUCCUACAAGAAGCUCCUCCCUAUGAUCCAAGAUCUGUCCGACUUCAGGUGGCCCGAACCCCUCAGAACGGACCCAACCCAAAGGGAUCAUAGUAAGAAGUGUGCCUACCAUAAGGAGCACGGUCACACUACGGAGACAUACAGGAGCCUCCAUUAUUUGGUGGAAAGGCUCAUAAAGGCGGGACAUUUGAAGCAAUACCUCCGCUCCGACGCCAGAGUUAGAGACACUUCCCAAAAUCAUAACUCAGAAACCCCCAGGAUCCCAGCCGCCCCCAAAGCCAUUAUAAACUAUAUCCACGGAGGACCACUGGAUGAGGAGUACGACUCCAAACGAAAGAGACAGGGGCUGUUGCGGGCAGCAUCGGUACGUGAGCGCGUCAACUCCAUACAACCUGGGAUAACUGGUGGGGGCCCCUGGCCCAUAGAUGGGACAAUCAUUUUCCCCCUAGUAGACCCCACAAGGAUAUUACAGCCUCACUACGACGCCCUCAUCCUAUCCCUAGGGAUGGGAGACUUUGACGUGAGACGCAUCCUAAUUGACCUGGGCAGCUCGGCCGAUCUUUUACAAGCGUCGGUAAUCAGCCACAUGGGAUGCGAUCUAUCCGACCUCGAAAACCCUAGGUGAAUCUUGUCCUGAUUCAACAGAGUGGUGACUACCUCCUUGGGAGAUAUUGUGCUGUCAGUCCAAGUAGGCCCAGUCACUCUCAACAUACAAUUUUCGGUGGUACAAGAUUUAUCACCCUUCAAUGUUAUCUUGGGGCGCAUAUGGCUGCACUACAUGAAAGUCAUCCCCUCUACGUACCAUCAAAUGGUAAGCUUUCUCACUGAGGACGGGCAAAUCGACCUAUACGGCAGCCAGUUAGCCGCUCGCCAAUGCUAUCAGAUAGCGCGAGAAGUAGGGACCAGUCAGGAGGAUAAACCCCUUCCUGAGCCCACCCACACACUUGACCAUUAUCAAUUACUGAGUCCGGCGGACAAAGAUCCCCCGGCAGCGGAUCCCUUGCGGACGAUCCAGAUUUCGGAAGAAAGUACUCACCUCACACAUAUCAGUUCCCUCUUGACACCGGAAGAGGCCAAAAGCAUCCAAGAUGCUCUCCAACAAAGCUAUGACAUUUUUGCAUGGGCGCAUUCUGAUAUGAAGGGAAUUCACCCCUCCAUCGUCUCUCAUAGGCUUAACGUCUUGCCAAUAGCAAGACCCGUCCGACAGAGGAUCAAACGUUUCCACCCAGACAGACAAAAGAUUAUCAGGGAUGAGAUUGACAAAUUGCUGGAAGCUGGAUUCAUUAGAGAGGUGGAAUAUCCAGACUGGUUGGAAAAUGUGGUAGUGGUCCCCAAAAAGGAAGGCAAGUGGCGGGUGUGCGUCGAUUACACCAACCUCAAUAAUGCAUGCCCAAAAGACAGUUUCCCUCUGCCGCGGAUAGACCAAAUUGUAGACUCCACCGUCGGACAAGGAAUGCUCUCCUUCUUGGAUGCCUUCUCACGAUACCACCAAAUCCCUAUGGCCCCGGCCGACGAAGAAAAGACGGCCUUCAUAACGCCGCAUGGGCUUUAUUGCUACAAAGUCAUGCCAUUCGGACUCAAAAAUGCUGGCGCCACUUAUCAAAGACUGAUGACGAAAAUCGUCAAACCUCUAGUCGGCCGCACAGUGGAAGUGUACAUCGAUGAUAUCGUGGUUAAAAGCAAAACCCGAGGAGAACAUGUCCUCCACUUAUAAGAAGUCUUCCACCUCUUAAGGAAGUAUGGCAUGAAGUUGAAUCCAUCCAAAUGCGCUUUUGGUGUAAGUGCUGGCAAAUUCCUGAGAUUUAUGGUCAGCCAAAUGGGGAUAAAGGUUAGCUUGGAUCAAGUUAAGGCAGUCAUGGAAACACCACCCCCCAGGAGCAAAAAGGAAUUACAGCGCCUCAUAGGCAAGCUCGUCGCGCUAAGACGCUUUAUAGCCCACUUCACUGAUGAAUAGCGACCUUUCUUCCUGGCAAUACGAAAAGCCGGUGCAAACGGGUGGACGGACGGCUGCCAGAGCGCUUUCGAAAAAUUGUAUAUGUAUCUGGCUGUAUCAGAGUGGGCAAUCAGUGCUGUUCUAUUCCGCUGCCCCUCGCACAAUGAGCAGAAACCUAUUUACUACGUCAGCAGAGCGUUGGCGGACGUAGAAAUAAGGUACUCAAAGAUGGAGCUAACGGUUUUGGCCCUUCGAAGUGCCGCCCAGAAGCUCCGCCCUUACUUCCAAGCCCACCCGGUGGUCAUGCUGACCAACCAACCCCUUCACAACAUCCUGCACAAGCCGGACCUGACCGGAAGAAUGCUUCAAUGGGCCAUAGAGUUGAGCGAGUAUGGAAUUGAAUUCCAACCCAGGUUGUCCAUGAAAGGGCAGGUAAUGGCCGACUUUGUGCUGGAAUACCCCCAAAGACCUGCCCAACACAAGGAACCACGCGGGGAAGAGUGGUGGACUUUGCAGGUUGAUGGAGCCUCCCGGUCAUCAGGAUCCGGAGUAAGGCUCCUGCUGCAAUCCCCAAUAGGAGAACAGCUGAAGCAAGUUAUCCGAUUGGGAUUCCCCGCGUCUAACAAGCAGAGUAUGAGGCCAUCCUAUCCGAGUUGGACCUCGCCUUGGCCCUGUCUAUUUCCAGGCUCCGAGUCUACAGUGAUUCCCAACUCGUGGUAAGGCACGUCCAGAAAGAAUACGAAGCUAAGGAUGAGCGCAUGGCGCGAUAUCUGACUAAAGUAAGAGACACCCUACAACGGUUCGCCGAGUGGACGAUCGAAAAAAUUAAAUGAACUGAAAAUGGACGUGUCGACGCCCUGGCAGGCAUAGCUGCUUUCCUCCCCAUCAAAGAAGCCAUAUUAUUGCCUAUACAUGCGCAAACCAACCCCUCCGUCGCAGAAGCCUCCACUUGCAAUACCAUUGAGGCAAACCAAGCAGAUGGUCAAGACUAGACGGAAGCCAUAAUAAGGUAUCUCCGGACAGACACUUUGCCCGAAGAGCCCAAGCAGGCACAUAAGACCCGAGUACAAGCCGCCCAUUUCACCCCGAUCGGGGGGCACCUAUACAAGCGGUCCUUUACAGGCCCCUACCUCAAGUGCCUAGACCACUUAGAAGCCCUGUAUGUGUUGGCUGAGUUACAUGAGAGGGUGUGUGGAAAUCAUUCCGAAGGUCGAUCUCUAGCGCACCGGGCUCACUCGCAAGGAUAUUAUUGGCCCACGAUGAAAAAAAAUGUUGCAGCUUAUGUCAAAAGGUGUGACAAAUGCCAAAGGCAUGCCCCCAUACCGCAUGCGCCGUCGGAGACAUUAAAACCAACUUCUGGCCCUUGGCCCUUCGCGGAGUGGGGCAUGGACAUAGUAGGACCCCUACCAGCCGCAGCUGCUUAGAAGAAAUUCUUGCUUGUCGCCACAGAUUACUUCAGUAAAUGGGUGGAAGUUGAAGCAUACGCUAGCAUCAAGGACAAAGAUGUCACCAAGUUUGUAUGGAAGAACAUCAUCUGCUGUUUUGGAAUCCCUCAAACCAUUAUAGCUGACAACGGCCCACAGUUUGAUAGCAUCACUUUCUGGAAUUUUUGUUCGGAACACAACAUCCGGAAUUUAUACUCCGCACCGCCACGUGGCCCAAUAAGCGCAAAAAAAGUAACCUAAGUUUCAAAACCAUCAUUUUUUAACCGUCCAUUUUGCCCGGGCAAAAUCGCCAAGUUAAAAGAGGGGCAUUGUAGGGACCCCCCCCCCCCUCUCCCCGAUGACACGUGGCACGCACCGCUGUCCGGAUCAACUCUAUCUGUACCCCCCAAGAGGACACGUGGCGCGCACCUCUAUUCGGGUCCCCCAGGGGGGGCAUACGACACUCUCAAAUAUCAUACCCGGGCGAUGCUCUAUCCUAUCCGAACCUAUUGUCCGGAUCAUUGACUGUAACGAGCAAGCCUUGUUGAGUCAUCCCCGACAGCCUGCCACAGCCCACGUUCCGCCGCCUGUAGAGCGAAAGGAUAGGAACGAUGGCAAGUCACCUCCCACGAUCUCUGAUAACCGCCUGUAGGGUGAUGAUGACCCUGCCACCACCUCGAGGACAUCAUGACAAGCCAAAAAGUCUUCCCACCAUUAAAGAGGGGAGCAGAGAUUCUGACAUUUUAUAAAAGGGCCUUCACACAAGGAAGAAGGUAGGCCUGAGACCCUAAAAAAGCCAAUAGUCUGAUCUCUUAAGCCAUGACUAACAAAACCAUCGGAGGGUGUGUCUGGACAUCCUGUCCAGACAUUUUUUGCAGGAUCAACUAAGCCAGAACUCCUUCUUGGUUGAUAGCACGCGUCCACUUGGCAGCAGUAGAGAUCCCUGGGACACGAGGUAUCAACAGGGUCCACAUAAAAAAGUAAUGAAUUAUUGCGUACAAGGCACGAAGACAACCUUUCAAUGCUGCUGCUACUCAUCAAUUCCUGGAGGGCCAACUUAAGGAGUUGAAGGGCAGUAACUGCACAUCCUGACAUUUUCCAUGAAAGAAUGUAAUUGCAUAUGUAUUUUGGAAUCUAGAAAAUUUCCAAAAUUAAAAUGAUAAAAAAAAAAUUUUAAAAGUGAAAUGAUAGUAAUUUUUAAAAAUAGAAUUAAUGAGAUAAAUGAUAACAUCACAUUUAACAUUUAAACUAUAAUUUAUUUAAUUCAAAUGUAUUUAAUAAUUAAUGUAAAAUAAAUGGUGAUGAACUUUUUAAUAUUUAAUUAUCAUAUAAAUGAUAUUAAAAAAUAUUUGUUAAGAAAUUAUAAUAAUGGUUUUUAUACAUUUAUCAAUUAAUUAAAUAAAUUUUAAAAUAAAAUACUUCAAAUUUAUUUAUUUAUUUUUUAAUAAUAAACUUUAAUAUAUUUAUUAUUAUCAUAUAUUAACAAAUGAGAACUUGGUCCAAACACAUUCGUCCAGGGAGAUUCUGAAAUUGCGGAAGCUUUGUUUGAUCAAGUCGUUGAGUAUUGGAAACAAGCUAUAGCAAGCCGCUAAGUAUUGGAAACAAGCUAUAGCACUUACUCUUGGUAAUUAUAUUGAAGCGCAUAAUUGGUUGAAGAUCACGAGACGUUUCGAAUAAAAACACUCUGUUUAUUAUUUAGAAUUUUUUAUAUUUCUUAUUAUUUGUUGGACCGAUCAGUCAAAUAAAAUGGAUCAUUCCUAUGCCUAUGGGAAGAACCAAUCAAAGAAUUUCAUUAUAUCCCUUCUAAGAUCGUUCUAUUUCAUUUAGUAUCUCAUAGGGAUAAACGAUACAUUAGAGAAUAUAUUUCUUUAUUUUAUGCUAUUAACGAUAAUUGCUAUUAAUAAAAGUAAUUAAAACUACUAUUCUAGCCAACCUUCAUGCAAAAGAUAUUUUUUUAACAUCAAGCGUGUACAAUCAAACUUGAACCCAAGCCUUUUGGUGUGGUUCGAAUGAUUCCCCUUUGCAAGCCACUUUAAUUUAAAGUGGUGGAUUGACAACCACCUUAAAUUUGAAAUUUGAAACAUGACAGCAUGGGCAGUGUUAAUUUGAAGCGCGGGCAGUGUUGACCGAUUAUCCGUGGUGGAUUUCAUAUUAGCCAUCCUCGAUAAAUGAUUUUUUAUCGAUAUUUUGGUGAAAAAUCCUGAUUUUUCAAACACCCAUGGUCUUGCACUUCAAAAGGAUUGAACAAUAAAUAAUGGGUACGGAGAAAUGGGUGAAAUACAAAGUAACAUGACACUAUAAUGAUAAAAUAAUAAUAAUAAUAAUAAUAAUAAUAAUAAUAAUAAUGUUAGAUGUUAAGCUAAUAAAUGAAAUAAAAUUAUAGUUUAAUUAAAUUAGCUAUAUAUUCUUAGAAACAUUAUAAAUUAGAAACUUAUUAAUUUUACUUAAAUAAGGAAUAAAUGAAUUAAAUUAAUAUUAAUAAUUAGGAAAAAUAAUAUUAAUAAAUAAAAUUAUUAGGAUCAUCAAAUCUAUAUAAUUUUAGUUAAUUGUCUAUUACAAGAAACUUAUUGAUUUUAAUUAAAUAAGAAAUAAAUUAAUUGAACUAAUAUUGAUAAUUAAGAAUAAUAAUAUUAAUAAAUAAAAUUAUUAAGAUCGUGGAAUCUAUAAUUUUAGUUAAGCUUCUAUCUUUUUUUCAAAUAUAUUAACUUUAGAUAAUAAGCUAUCCACUAACCAUUUAUUAUUUAAUCCAAUGUUUUCAGAACCGGACCGGUCAUCGAACCGGAAAAAUUACCGGUUCACGGUUCACUGGUCGGACCGGCGGUCGAACCGGUUGAACCGGUGAUGUAAUAAAUAUAUAAUUUAUAUAUUAUAUAAAAUUAAAAAUAAUUAUAAAAAUUAAAAAUAUAUAAAAUUAUAAGUUUUAAUAAUGCUUGGUUUUUAUAUUUGGUAUAUUAAAUUAAAUGAUAAAGUUUAAUAUUUUAAAUUUUAUUAAAUAGAAAUAUGUAAUAUUUAAGAAUGAAGAUAUAUUUAAGAUAAAAAAUUUUAUAAUAUUUAAUUUUAUCUUUCUUUUUUGUAUUUUAUUGUUUUAAAAUUAUUCUAUUAAUUAGUUUAUAUUAUUUUUUAUAAUUAUUAUUAUAAAAAUAAAUAGGAAUUUAAAUAUUUACAUUUCUUUAAAGAUUUUAUAUGAUAAAAAUUUGAAAUGAAAACAUUAAUCUUAAGUCUUAUUAUAUAUAUAUUUUAACAACAUUGCAAAAGUCCAGCCCUCAUGCAGUCAUGCCAUGCUUCCAAUCGGACCAGCCCUCAAAGAGGCCAUGUACUAUUCCAGUCCCACAUCGGAAGCACAUGAAUUCCAUGUGCUUCAAGUGCUCUAUAAAUAGAGACCUUGCAGCAUGCUUUUCAAGCCAAGUAAGCCAGCAAAUUGGGCUUGGAGGCAUGGCCCAAGAGAAGGAUAUAUAAGUUAUAAUUUUAUUGGAUUGGGCCCGGUGGCUUGAACCAAUUAUGGGUUUAUAAUUUGUUAAGUUUUAAAAGUAUUGGGCAAGGAAUUGGGCUCGUUAAUGGGCCUCAUAAUAGUAACAAAUAUUUGUAGAAUAGGGAAAAAAAAAAAGCUUGGCCGGUUCGUAAAAAACCGGAUGGUUUGACCGGUUUGGCGGUUCAACCGGUGGUUUGACCGGUUUAAUACCGGUUUGAUUAUUAAACGGUUCAUUGGGCUGGACCGAACCGGAAAGGUCACCGGUCGACGGUUCGACCGGCCGGUCCGGUCCGGUUUUUAAAACAUUGAUUUAAUCAUGCAACUUACAAUAAUGAGAUUCUCAAUCCUUCAAAAUGACAUUAAUUUAACCCACUUCCUUAAUCAAUUAUACCUCGAUUAAAUUAAUCUUUCAAAAAUUAAAUCUACUGAAUGAUAAUAUUCAUAUCUAAUCGAUUUACCUUUUUGUAUAAAUUGUUAAAUUCAUAUUUAAUUUCAUUUCGAUUCAAUUUUAUUUCAUAUUUUAUAAUUUUAUAAGGGUUAUAAAAAUUAAAUUGAUUCAUACGGUAACAUUAAAUUAAAUAUCUUUUGAAAAUUUUAUUAUAACCAUUUGAUAUAAUACAAAUUUUAUCAAGUUUUUUUAAUUAUGGUUUUCGGAUAAUUACCUUAUAAUAAUAAAAUUAAUUCUUGUAAUACAUAUAAUAUUCAAAUUUCAAAAAUCCAAUCUCAAAUAAUUUAAUUGCUAAAUUUAUAUUUAAUUUUUGAAGUUCCUAAAUGUGACUUGGCAAGAAUUUAAACUAUUAACCUUCCACCAAGUCACUAACUUCUCAAAAGUUUCGCCUAAUUAAAUAAAAUAUCUGACACGUCAAUGUUCACUAACAUCUUUCAUUUAUUUAGACCAUUCAUUAUGGUUGAUUUUGAAGAUAGUCAACGGUAGACCUACAUCUUCUGGACCGACAGUGAUUAGGCUAAGGUGGUGAACCAAUUCCAUGGAAGAGGAGCAAGAAAGGAGGAACGUUGGAGAGAUAGAACUAGAAGGCGGCCAACCGAGCAGGAACAGUGGCCACACUGGCCUCGAGCCUGAGGAGCAUAGGAUUGACAUUGUUGAAAUCAGUCAUAGGGAUUGGAUUGAGUCUCUCAGAACGGCAGAAGAAAGCACUCGAUCUCAGAGUCAAUGGCCAAGGAUACCAAAGGUUCCUCAGAUGCUGAGGGGGACCCAGGAUUUCAAGAAAUUCUACGAACCGAGGUUAAUUUCAAUCGGUCCUUAUCACCAUGGCAAGCCCUACCUUCACGCAGGGGAAAUAAUCAAGCGUCUAUGAGCCCGAAAAUUCCUUGCUGAUAGUGAGCAGGACAUCGACGCUUUGUACACAAAAAUUCAAAGUAAUAUCGAGGCAGUGAAGACGUGCUAUGAUAUGAUACCGACGAACAAGUAUGAUGAUGAGAAACUCGCCCGGAUGAUGCUUCUGGAUGGGUGUUUUUUACUACAAUUCGUCUGCGGGCAAGGUAAUGAAAAGUUUCUUAGAUGUCACCAAAUAAGUUUUGUGGAGGAGGACUUGUUCUUGCUGGAGAAACAACUUCCCUAUAGAGUCCUCAAGUUGAUUUUUGAGGGAGCAAAUUUCAAGGUUGAUCUACCAAUGGAAAAGAAUAUAAUAAAAUUCGUCACUGACAUCGGAAUGCCAGAAGGGUUGUCAUCAGAAAUACCGCUGAAAGAGGUGAACGAAGAGCCCUCUCAUCUCCUCGACCUUUUGCGAAGUGAUCUCCUAGGCAGGUUCCACAUGAUUAGGAGUCAGCCCGAAAAAGAGCAGCAACCUAAGAAAAAAGGAAAGUCGUCGUCGUCUCAAGGAGGAAAGUGGGG